AAAAAAACAAAAAAAUUGACUAUACUGCUUUUGUUUUCGUUCUUAGAACAGAUUUUAGUUUCUUUUGAGAAAAUUCAAACUCAUUCCCAUUACUUUCUUUUCAAAAAUCACCUCUCAAUUUUUCAUCAAUCACUCAAUUCCGAAUUUCAUCUCCAUUCUCUUUCGAAGAAGAAUGCACGAAGAAUUUUAGCUUGCUUUCGCUGCUUCUCGAAUAUUGGGUAUUGUUUCCUUUAGUUUAGAUAAUUUUUUUUUUAUAUCUCUCUUUCUAGUUUGAUAAUUUAGGGUUAUACUUGAAUUAAUUGUAUUUUUAAUCAACCAAGGUUGAUUUAAUUGAUUCCAAGUCUCAAUUUCCUGUUCAACAAACAAGGAACGCACAAAUAAUUUUCAUUUUCAUACUCAACUUUGAAAGAAUCAAUUUAUUUUAUCUUUGGUUAGCACACUUCUGUUCAAUUUUUGUUUAUUUAACUUAAGAUAUCUUUUUCUUUCUUUUCUUCAAGCAGAUUAUAGAUUAUAUUGAGAACAGAGCUUUCUCCUUAAUUCCGCCAAGAGCAACGUUGAUUUCAGGUGAUAAUUGAAUGUGUAAUAUUUUCAAUUGAAAUUAAUUGAGUCUCGUAAUAAUAAUAGGGAUUUGAGAUUUACAUCCUGUUGAAAUAAUUUCAGAGUGUUCUGCUAUUUGAAUGCGCAUUAAUUGUUUGAUUAAAUGUCUCUUUAAAAGAUUAUUUUUGUUUUUAGCAAACAUCUUAAUGCACUUUGCAAAUUGAAUCCAACAAGGGAAAAUUAUAGAACUGCAACAGUUUUCAAAUUGAUUGCAUAUUAGAAGUAAUGUUAAUUUAUGCUGCAACAGUUCAAUGGGCUGGGCACAAGUUUAGGACUUUAGUUGCUCAAUUAAUGAAUCCACCACUCAUCAGACUUGGAACUUAUAUCUAUUGAAUCAAUAAAAAUAGUUGAUGGAAUCAAUGCCGAAAGCUUCAUUUGAUAUUUAUUUAUAACAUCUGUUAGAUUCUGCACAAUCACAAAUAUAUAGUAGCAGAAACUAUGUUAGAGACACUGUAGUUGCUUAAUUAGUGAAAUUGUGAUCUCAUUGCCCCCUUUUUUUGGUUGAUUCUAUAAUUUUAUUAGUUGUUCUUGUGGUUGUAAACAAUAUCAAUUUCUAAUAUUAAUAAAACUGAAUGAAUAAAAUGCGAUGCAUUUGCCGGAAAGUUAAUAGUUUAAAUAUGGAUAAAUCUUGGAUGUUGAUGGAUAGAAGGUCUAUAGAAUAUGAGAACUUCAUGCUAGUCAUGCUAGUCAUCCUGAGCUUUUGAGAUGUCCAUGCCAAGCACGUCUUAGUUUAUAGGCUCAAACAAGUAUAGAAAAUGCAUGAUAGAACACAGAACUCAUAUUUUAGCAACAAUCCUCAGCUCAUUGGCCCUUAGUUCAGAAUGACAAUUCUUAUUAGCCAAAGAUUCAAAAUGAUUUUUAGUUGUUUAUAAGUAGAGCACUAGAUCAACAAAUACUUGAAGACCUGCAGCUUGGCUAUUGAACUAUACGAUGGUGGCAAUUCGAAGACUAGAAGUUGGCUCUGCCAUUCGAAGUAAGCAACGCAGCUGCCCAAAGUCUGCCAAGCCAUCAAGACUCCAUCAAGUAUACUUCAAAGCCACAUCAAGACAAUACUAAGAUACAACAUCAAUAAUAAUAACACCAAGAAAUACAUGGAGGCCAUUACAUGCUACAGCCACCCCAAUAAGAAAUUAAUAAAGACAUUCCUAGAAAGUUACAAACCCAUGCAGUAGGAAUAACUAAUUAAUUUAUACAGUUCAGUACUCGUUCCUCUGUUUCAAAUCCAAAUCCACUGGUCUACCAUUUAUUAUGACGCAAUGUAUAUGCCGAUAUUAUCCUCCCUCCGUUAUGUACCUUUCAAUUUAGUGAGGUUUAGACAGGGGUUCCAGAUUUGGUAAAUCAACAAUCACCAGAUAUGAUAGAGCGGCCGGAAGAGGAAGCAUGGUUCCUAAUCCUAAUCUUGAUUUAGAGCAGAUUAGGUAACAUGUGGCAUUCUACAUUCCUGCAAUGCUAUUUCUUGUUAUGGCAGCGGCAUUCUUGGUCAUGGCAUCACAAGCAAAUGCUUUGAUUUGAAGACUUGCUCGGCUAUGAAAAAUAAGGAGAGCAAAGGUAGUUAAUCUUGGUGUGGUCAACAGUUUAAUGGGGGUACUAAGAAAAAUAAAGAUAAUAUAAGGAAUGUUGUUGAGGAGUAUUUUGAUAUUUACAAAAGUGUUCAAAGUAAAAAUUGAUUUCUUAAAACCCAUUAGCUAGCACACAUAAUAAUGGGGAGAAAAUUUUAGACUACGAAUAGUCCCACCCAUUUAAUAAUAUUCUUCAAUCAAUUAUGUUUAGUUCAAAAAAAAAAAAAAAAACCCAUCUCUUUAUUACUUUCUAACUAUUCAUAUUAAUGUGUUAAUAAUUAUGAAGAACCGGUGUAAUUUAUGUGAUGUAGGAAGCACUUUAGGCAAAAUCAUCUGAAUCUCAAAAUUUCGUGAUAUUGUGCCAAAUAUCCAAAACAGAGCUUCCUACAUUGCUAUAGCAGUUUUUAAAAGUUGAGGACUCCAAAUAUCCAAUAACUGAUAAAUUGUGUUAAGAAAUAUAAAUAUUAAUGGUGACGACACAUAUGUAUGGAAUUCCUCUGUUUUGAGUUUGACUAAAACAACCUGAAUAAUUUCAAACAAUCCAUCAGCCCAAAGUCCUUGAGAGAUUGAACUGGAUUUCAGUGCAUCACAUUUUGAAAUUGAAACUAACAUUAAUUAGAAAGGCCGAACAGCCUCUGUUUUUUACUAUAAUACAAAAUGGGAAGUCAAAAACCAAUUCAAGGAACUCUCCUGUUUUUGACUGAACAUACAUAAUCCGAACAAUUUACAAUUAAAUAAAUCGUCCAAAAUCUCCUUUAGUCCAACCCCCAUUUCCAUGGUUUAAUAGAAUAUCAUAAAGGUAUCCAAUACAGUGAAAUUAACGUUCAGCUCAUGAAGUUUCCGUUAUAUAUAUUGAAAAAGAAAUUAAUAAAAGAAAUUGAAAACCAAUUGACACUGGAUCAUGUAAGAUUGUUAGUUGUUAAUUAUGAUGGAAAUAUACACUUGGUCUAUCAAUUACCAUCUAGCUAAUGCAUGUGCACUUUCAUUUGUGUCUAUCACUGAAGAGUAGAGUUACUUGAUUGAAUAGUAUCAUAUCACAAAAACUCAAAACUCAAUUUCAUUGCGCGAGCAUACCACGCCAUAUGUAACUCAAAAGUGCAAUAACAUUGAACAUUCAGCUAGCUAGCUUAUACUAAUUAAUUAAUACGACUACUAGUUCUUUAUGAUUAAUUAAAAGAUAAAAUAUUUGACAAUCACGAAACAUUAUUCUAUCACUAAAGAUUAGAGCUUCCUACAUUGUUACCCAAACUCUUUUAUAUCUCCCAAACGUUAUUAGAGUCCCACAUUUGUGGGCACAUCAUUAAGUAAAAUGUGCCAAUUAGGAAGAGCUAGCUUUUUUGUUCUGUUUUCUCGAAUGCGUUGCAACUUGCAGGAAAUUUAAACCGUCAACACCUGCAGGAAAUUUAUAUAUAUUCUGUCAGCACUUGCAUACAUUGCAAUUUUCAACGAAUUCCAAAUCUUCAGAUCUUGAAUUAGCUGGACUGACGUCCGACCAACUCCACUGGCUAAAACAAAGGAUUAAUUUUUGAGAAAUUAUAAAGAAAUUAAUACAAGUAAAAUGAACCUAUUCAUUUGAUUUGAUAUAAUUGGCUAAGGGUGAUUUCGAUAACGUUUUCAAAGAAGAUAUAGAACAAAGAUCAAAAUGAAAAAUAAGUAAUUUGAUCAGUCCAUGCAAAAAAGGCGCAAGCUUCGCCCACACAUGCAUGUGUCUGACUAACAGGACAUGGCUUGGAGCAAGGAUCAAUGGACAAGUUUGAGGUUUAUGAAAUAUUGAGAAAAUAGACAAAUAAUAAAGCCACUGCAAGUUAAGCAGAUCAAAUAAACAGAACAAAGGAAAUAAAUGAUCAAUUUAAUUCUUUGUGAAAUGGCCACAGGCCACAGCAACAACGAAAAUAUGUCUACAUGCAGCAUUACAUCAACAUUUGAUCAUCUAUCAAUUUUCAUGAUAUUAGAUUAGAAACAUUGAGUUCAUAAUUUUAUGUAAUUUCAUGUACUAGAUAUAUAUAAUUGAUUGGAGUUAGUUUAAAAUAUAAAGAAAGAGUAAUGGGGAGUGAUGUCAAUGUGGCAUUUGAUGAGUAAAGAUAGACAACAAAUAUUGAUCAGGUAAUAAUGAAAUAUGUAUUUACUGAAAAAUAUUGGCAAUAAAAUGAUGCUAUAAAAAUUUAAUAUUAGUUGCAAGCGAAUAAAUUGACAAUUAAAAUUAAUAGAUAUAUAGGCAAUGCUUUAGGUUUAUUUUAUCAUUUCACACCAUUUUGCAACUACAUUUUAAUUAGAAGUUCAAUUAAUUUUGACCAAAGACUCUAGAGAAUGUCAAAAAGAGAUAUGAUUUUUGUAUACCAAAAAAAAAAUAGAAAUGAAAUAAGUCAAAAUCAAUUACAAGAACAACAAUAAAAGCAUAUUUUAUAAAAGCCACAAAUACAUAAUAAGAGUUUAGUUUUGAGUUACAUAAUUAUUAAUGGGUAAAAGUCCAUUUAGUCACUGUAUUUUAAGAUUAGUGUCCAUUUAGUCCCUGUAUUUUUAAAAAUGUCUCGAAACAUUCCCGUCGUUAAAGUAUUGAUACCCUACUGUUACUUUUUAUUUUUUUGACUUAUUUUUACAUUAUUACCCUUUUAUAAUAAUUUUUUUGUCUGAACAUUAAUAAAAAAAAUUAAAUUACCAAUUUAAUCCUAGAAAAUUAAAAAAAUUAUAUUAAAUUUUUUUUCAAGCACCAUUUGCACACUUGGUAGUUUGCAUACAAUUUUUAACAAUAUAAUUUUUGACAAUUAGAAAUUAAUAUAAUUUUUUUUUAUUUUUAGGGUUAAAUUGGUAAUUUAAUUAUUUUCUUUUUAUUAAUGUCCAAAAAAAAAUUAUUAUAAAAGGGUAAUAUUGUAAAAGUAAGCUAAAAGAAAUAAAAAGUAACGGUAAUAGUAUCAAUACUUUAACAGCAGAGAUGUUUCGAGGCAUUUUUAUAAAUACAUGGAUUAAAUGGAUACUAAUUUUAAAAUAUAAGGACUAAAUGUGCUUUUACCUACUAUUGAUUUAUAUAGUAAGAGAGUUUUAUAGAAAUGUAGGAAUUUUUAAAAGAGUUUUGCUAGAGCAAAAAGUUUAGUUUGGUCUAGUUUGUGGAGGUUUAAGUAGUUGAAAGCCGUGCAAAUGAAGGAAACAUAAACUUCUAAUUUUUUACAAAGUAAUGGCUAAAAUAUUUGAAAAGUUUGAGAUUUUAAAAAGGCUGGGAAAAUAGACAAAUAGUGACGACACUACAAGUUGGCAGAGCAAAUAAACAGAGGAAAACAGGGCAGAUAAUUACCAUUAUACCUAUAAUUUUUAUUUUUUCCAAAAACAAAUGUUGCGAUUUUUUUUUCCAAAAAAGAAGCACAGUCUGCUAUUACCACUAAAGAAUGUUAGCUACUUUAUAUAAGCAUAUGUCUAAUUACCAAAUAAAUUCCACUUUAACAAAGAAUAAAAGUUAAUUUCAUUGAUGGCCCGUGUUGUGCUUUCUUUUUUUAUUAUUUUUCCUUUUAGAUGUUGAAGUUACUUUGUAAACUUCUCCAAGCGAAUUAAAAAAUUUCCGCUUACUCUAGGAUCUUUUCAAUCGGCCUGCAAUUUGUAUUCUUGUCUGUAAGAUUGAUUUUUUUCUUUAAAAAAAUUUAAAAAGGGAUGAGAAAUCUUACCCACUAAAUACCAACUUUGAAUUUUGUUAUUAUUCAAACUUUGUAUUUCUUGCUCAAAGCCAGUUAAACUGUGUCUAACUGUCAUGCAGGUUCCAUUUUUACUUGAUUAACUGUAUAUACAAAACUAAAUCACCUGAGCCUCUGGUUUCACUAUUUUCCAACUAGAAACUUAAACGCAGAAUUGAUGGUAUUGGAGUUCCUUAUUUAUUUUAUGUACUAUUGGCCGCUAGGUAGCUUGGUCAUAUACGUGUAUGGGGAUGUCAUGUUAGGAAAUUGGUGGGUAAAGCAGACACGCAGCUACAAUAAAAUUGGAAGAAAAUAAAGAACAAGCACAAAAGAGAAUACCAGAAAUUACGUGGUUCGGCUUUUAGCCUACGUCCACGGGCGAAGACAGGAGGAAAUAUUAUACUAGUGAAAAGGAGUUACAAGUAUUGUAGUAUUUUAGCUCACUACCCAAAACCCCAAUACACCCAAACUCUCAAAUCACUAAGCACACAAAAUUCUUUGCUCUUGCAAGAAUUACUUCUCUCAACUCUCAAUUCUCUCUACAAAAAUUGCCUCUCAAGAUUGGAAUGAAAAAUGAGUUAGGGAGCUCUUCCUUUUAUAGCCAAAAAAAUGGCUAUUAAAUUAAUAUAUAUAUGUAUAUAUUUCAAAUGUUGUUGCCAACUUCUUCUUUUUCUCCAUUUGGAUGGCACCAUUUUCUUUGGCCGGCUGCACAUUUUCUUUGGCCGGCUUGUCAAAACCAACUUGAAUUGGUUUUGUGGCCACCGGCCUUUGACAUUUCUCCCACUUGGAGAUUUGAUUGAAAAUCAAUCAAUCUCCACAUCAUCCUUUCUGCUUCGCCAUAAUCAUGUUGCCUACGUUUUCGUUAGGCCACUAAAGGAUCUACUCCAGACAAACUUAUCAGUAUUGAUUGGCUUGGUCAAAACAUCUACUAGGUUCUCUUUGGUAUGGAUUUUCUGCAAAUCCACACUUCCGUCUUCCACUACUUCUCGUACGAAGUGAUACUGAACUCCUAUGUGCUUUGUCCUGGAAUGAAAGGCUGGAUUCCUUGCAAUGUGCAAGGCACUCUGACUGUCACAAAACACAGAAAUUUUCUGUUGUUUGUGCCCGAGCUCCUCCAAUAGCCUUUGUAUCCAAAUAGCUUCCUUGCAAGCUUGUGUAGCUGCCAUGUACUCUGCUUCUGUUGUAGAUAAUGCCACAACGGUCUGCAGUUUCGAAACCCAGCUUACAGCUGCUCCCGCAAGUUCAAACACAUAACCAGUAGUGGAUUUCCUUUUAUCAAGGUCUCCUGCAAAAUCUGAAUCCACAUAACCCCUGACAGUAAACUCUGAUCCUCCAUAACAUAAUGCAACAUCUGAGGUUCCUCUGAUGUAUCUCAGAAUCCUCUUCACAGAUAUCCAAUGCUCUUCACCAGGAUUCGCCAUGUAUUGACUGACUGCUCCCACUGCUUGUGCAAUGUCCGGUCUUGUACAUAUCAUAGCGAACAUUAAACUUCCCACUGCUGAUGCAUACGGUACUCGAGACAUCUCCUUCCUCUCUGCUUCAUUGCUAGGACACAUACUUGAGGAUAAUUUGAAAUUAACAGGAAGUGGGGUAGAAAUUGACUUACAAUCUUGCAUGUUGAAGUGUCGCAAGAUUUUCUUCAAAUAAUUCUUCUGCGAAAGCCAAAUCUUCUUGUUAUUUCUGCCUCGGUGAAUUUGCAUCCCUAGAAUCUUGUUUGCUGGUCCCAAGUCCUUCAUUUCAAACUCCCUAUCCAACUGUGCCUUUAAUUCUUGGAUUCGAUCUUUGUUGGGACCUGCUACCAACAUGUCGUCCACAUACAACAGUAAAAUAAUGAAAUCAUUAUCUUCAAACCUCUUGUAAUAUGCACAAUGGUCUGAACUGAGUCUGUUGUAUCCAAGGCUCAUGAUGAAGGAAUCAAAUCUCUUAUACCAACACCUCGGCGCCUGUUUGAGACCGUAAAGAGAUUUGUUCAACUUGCAAACCAAGUUCUCCUUUCCUGUUUCUGCAAAACCUUCUGGUUGAAGCAUAUAUAUUUCUUCUUCAAGUUCUCCAUGAAGAAAUGCAGUUUUCACAUCUAAUUGCUCAAGAUGUAGGUCAAAUGUAGCACACAUCGCCAAGACUAUUCUGACUGUUGUGAGUCGAACCACGGGCGAAAAUAUCUCGUUGAAGUCAAUACCUUCUUUCUGAGCAUAUCCUUUCACCACCAAUCUUGCACGAUAUCGCUCCACUUGGUCAUUGCCAUCACGCUUGAUCUUGUAGACCCAUUUGUUUCCAAUGGCUUUUCUUCCACGUGGUAGUGGUACAAGUUCCCAUGUCUUGUUCUUGUGUAGAGCUUCAAUUUCUUCCUGCAUUGCUGUCAUCCACAAAGCAAUAUCUGAGCUUUCUAAAGCUUUAUGGAAAGUUGAUGGCUCUCCAUCCUCCGUUAGAAGACAGUACGCAACGUUGAUCUCUGUGACAUACUCCGAGUGCCACGUUGGUGGUCGUCUCUCACGAGUUGACCGACAAACUUCUGGAGCCUCGGACUCGACUGGUUCUUGUUCCUUGUGCUCUGGUGCUGCUUCAGAAGAAUCUGAAUCUUCUAGAUUAUUUUCCACAUAUACUGGCACGGUCUCUGACUUUUCUUUUGUAGUGCUAUCAUCCUCAUCUCUCAUUUGCAGUUGAUCUUCUACAAAGAUAACAUCUCUGCUGAUGACGAUCUUGUGGGCAGUGGGGUCCCACAACGAUACCCCUUUACUCCAUCAGCAUACCCCAAGAAGAUACAUCUUCUAGAUUUUGGAUCUAGCUUUGUUCUUUCUUGGGCAUUGUACAUCACGUACACAGGACAUCCAAAUGCAUGUAGGUAGGAAUAAUCAGCUGGCUUUUCAGUCCACAUUUCCAUCGCUGUCUUCAGCCCAAUAGCUGUAGAUGGCGAUCGAUUUACUAUAGAACAUGCAGUUGGCUGCUUCUGCCCAGAAUGAAUUGGGUAGACUAGCAGUCCUCAACAUAGCUCUUAUUCUUUCUGUAAGAGUUCUGUUCAUCCGCUCUGCCACUCCGUUUUGUUGAGAAGUGUAUGCUACCGUGAACUACCUCUGAAUACCUUCUUGCUUACAGAAAGCAAGAAACUCGCCGUCUGUAUACUCUCCACCAUUAUCUGUCCUCAAGCACUUGAUCUUUUUACCAGAUUCAAGUUCCACCCGCGCUUUGUAUUCUUUAAACAAAGGAAAUACAUCUGACUUUUUCUUAAUUGGAUACACCCAACAUCUUCUGGAAUAAUCAUCAAUGAAAGUCACCAUGUACUUUGCACCUCCCAUGGAUAUAUCUGGUGAUUCCCAAACAUCAGAAUGAAUCAAGUCUAGAAUGCAUUUACUUCUAGCAAUAGAUCUACUAAAUUUUAAUCUAUGCUGCUUACUUGUAACACAAUGCUCGCAAAAUGGUAAACUUACCGAUUUGAGCCCCGGAAGCAAUUUUCGCUUAGAGAGAAUCUUCAAGCAUUGUUCUGACAUGUGGCCAAGUUUGAGAUGCCACAUCAUCGUUGAUUCUUCUCCAUUUGACGCGACACACGCAUCAGCCUCCUGUAGUGUUUCUCCUCUAAGCAUGAAUAGAUUAAAACCGAUCUUUUCUGCUUUCAUCAAUACAAGCGCGCCUUUAACGAUCUUCAUAAUUCCAUUCUCCACAUGAGUUUUGUACCCAUGACAAUCCAUUUGUCCCAAAGACAAUAGAUUUUUCUUCAGGCCGUUGACAUAUCGUACCUCCCCAAUUGUGCGAAUUGUACCAUCAAACAUUUUUAUUUUGAUAGUACCAAUACCAGCGAUCUCCAAGGCAUGAUCAUCUCCCAUAUAUACAGAUCCUCCUGAGAUAGGUUCAUAUGUGUGGAACCAUUCUCUCCUAUAGGUCAUGUGCCAGGUAGCUCCUGAGUCUAUAAGCCAGACAUCAGAAAGUCGUUUUCUGCCUUCUGAAAUAGUUGUUGCCUCGCUGUAAAGAAUUUCGCCAUCAUCCGAGGUACUUGCUACACAACCCUGAGCAUUUGAUGACUCAGGUUCUUUGCCCUCUCUUUUCUUCUGGUUACUCCAACACUCUUUCUUGACGUGCCCUCUCUUGCCACAGUUGUAGCAUUUAACAUUCUUCUUACUUCUGGAUUUUGAUCUACCAUGAUUUUGACUCCCACUGGGGCCACGUUCCGUUGAUCUCCCUCUUGUCACCGAUAGCGCUUCUGCUUGCUGCGAACUUGCUUGUCUGUUUUCCUUAUUUUUCCGCCUGCUCUCCUCAUUUAAUACUGAGGUUGCAACAUCGUCGAAAACUAGACUAUCCACUGGAUUGUUGUUCGUCAGGUUGAUGAUGAGUUGAUCAUACGAAUCUGGUAGACUUUGAAGUAGAAGCUCUGCACGUUCAUUUUCCUCUAUAUUAUGACCCAACAUUGUGAGUUGUGAAAAUAGAGUCUUCAAUGUGUUGAUGUGGUCGGUCAUCAUUGUAGAUUCCGCCAUUCGAAGAGUAUAGAGUUUUCUCUUCAAGAAGAUUUUGUUGUGUAGUGACUUGGCCUCGUACAAUUUUGUGACAGUAUCCCAUAUUUCCUUCGCCGUAUUUUUCUCUGCCACACUGGAUAAUACUCCGUCUGCAAGUGCCAAGUGUAGAUCAGAAAUGGCGUUGCCGUCUACCUCGUUCCACUUGUCAUCAGUUAUCUCCAUGGGCCUUUCUCCAAUUGCUGCCAAGCAAUUAUUUUUCCUCAAUACAGCUUUCAUCUUCAUUUUCCACAACGAAAAAUUAUUUCCGUUAAACUUCUCAAUUUCAUACUUUGCCGCCAUUUUGUUGAUAAAUACCGCACACAAGCUAGUGUACCACCUUGAAUAGUUGUGAGUAUGUGUGAGAAUGCACACCAGGAAAGUUCCCAGGAAAGACUGGAGGGGUCACAAUGGUCCCACUUAAAACCCAGACUCCUUAAGCUCUUAUCGCCUUUGUGACAGAACUUUCCUAGACAUGUACAAAACCACACAGUUGCUUUACUCACACCACUAUUCCCUGCUUUGCACCGCAAAAUUCUUGGAUCGCUUCCACCGUUUCACGUGAAUAGUACCGUAUACGUGAAUAGUGCCGUAUACGUGAACAGUAACUGACUCCAAAAAUAUAACCAAUAGCUCUGAUACCACUGUUAGGAAAUUGGUGGGUGAAGCAGACACGCAGCUACAAUAAAAUUGGAAGAAAAUAAAGAACAAGCACAAAAGAGAAUACCAGAAAUUACGUAGUUCGGCUUUUAGCCUACGUCCACGGGCGAAGACAGAAGGAAAUAUUAUACUAGUGAAAAGGAGUUACAAGUAUUGUAGUAUUUUCGCUCACUACCCAAAACUCCAAUACACCCAAACUCUCAAAUCACUAAGCACACAAAAUUCUUUGCUCUUGCAAGAAUUACUUCUCUCAACUCUCAAUUCUCUCUACAAAAAUUGCCUCUCAAGAUUGGAAUGAAAAAUGAGUUAGGGAGCUCUUCCUUUUAUAGCCAAAAAAAUGGCUAUUAAAUUAAUAUAUAUAUAUGUAUAUAUUUCAAAUGUUGUUGCCAACUUCUUCUUUUUCUCCAUUUGGAUGGCACCAUUUUCUUUGGCCGGCUGCACAUUUUCUUUGGCCGGCUUGUCAAAACCAACUUGAAUUGGUUUUGUGGCCACCGGCCUUUGACAUGUCAUGGGGCCUAAAAAAUAAAGGUGAAAAUCAGUCACAAAUCUGAAGUGAAAAACAGUAACUAGAACAGAAUCUAUGUUUUGAUGUCUUUAGUUUAUAGGCUCAAACAAUUAAUAGUAUAGAAAAUGCAUGAUAUAGCACAGAACUCAUGUUUUAGCAAUAAUCCUAAGCUCACUGGCCCUUAGUUCAGAAUGACAAUUCUUAUUAGUCAAAGAAUCAAAAUGAUUUUUAGUUGUUCAUAAGCAGAUCACUAGAUCAACAAAUAAUUGAAGACUGGCUUGGCUAUUGAACCAUACGCGGCAAUUCGAAGACUGAAACUUAACUCUGCCGUUCGAAGUAAGCAACUCAGGUGCCCAAAGGCCGUCAAGCCAUCAAGACAAUAUGAAGAUACAACAUCAAUAAUAAUAACAUCAAGAAAUACAUAGAGGCCAUUACAUAUUACACCUAUCCCAAUUAGAAAUUAGUUAAUACAGUCCUAGCUCCUCUGUUUUAAAAGAAAUUUACAAACCCAUGCAGUAGGAAUAAUUAAUUAAUUUAUACAGUUCGGUACUCAUCCCUCUUCUGUUUCAAAUCCAUAUCCACUGCUCUGCCAUUUAUUACUACGCAAGGUAUAUGGGUUAGCAAGUGCCGACAUUGUCCUCCAUUCUUUGUGUGCCUUUCUUCUAUCAAGGGACAACCCAAGAUCUCUAAUCGCAAGAAAAAUAUUUCAGAGUAAAAAGUGAUUUCUUAAAAUCUAUUAGCUAGUGCACAUAAUAAAAGGGCAUUCAUGGUAAAUUUUAGAUUACAAGUAGUCCAACCUUUUAAUAAUAUUCUGCAAUCAAUUCCGUUUGUUUUAAAAUAAAAGAAAUCCAUCUCUUUAUUACUUUCUAAUUAGUCAUAUUAAUGUGUUAAUAAUUAUGAAGAACCAGCGUAAUUUAUAUGAUGUAGGAAACCCUUUAGGCAAAAUAACCUGAAUUUUUUAGAGUAGCGGCUAGACAUAUUGGGCAUAACCUCAGUUUCUGUUACUUCUUUGACCCUGCCUAAGCUCUUUUAAGGGCUAAUAUCAAAAUUUCGUGAUAUUGUGCCUACAGAGCUUCCAAUUCAAGGAGCUCCCCUGUUUUUGACUGAAACAUAUGUAAUCCGAACAAUUUGUAAUUAGAUAAAUCAUUCAAAAUCUCCCUCAAUCUAACCCACAUUUCUAUGGUUUAAUAACAUAUCACAAAGGUGCCUAAUAUAAUGAAAUUAGCAUUAGUUCACGAGAUUGCCAUUAUAUAUAUUGAAAAAGAAAUUAAUACAAGAAACUGAAAAUUAAUUGACACUGGAUCACGUCGUGUUGUUAGUUUGAUUAUGAUGAGAAUAUAAUCUUGGUCUUUUAAUUACCAUCUAGCUACCGCAUGUGCACUAGUUUCAUUUGUGUCUAUCACUAAAGAGUAGAGUUGCUUGAUUUGAACAGUAUCAUAUCAUAGAAACUCAAAACUCAAUUUCGUUGCCCGAGCAUACCAUGCCAUAUGUAGCUCAAAAGUGCAAUAACAUUGAACAGUCAGCUAGCUAGCUUUUACUAAUUAAUUAAUACGACUAUCAGUUAUUUUUUAUUAAUUAAAAGAGAAAAUAUUUGACAAUCGUGAAAACAACAACAAUUCACUCCAAUAAACAACAUAAUAAACACAUGAUAUAUAUUACAAGUCUUUUUAUGAUGUAGAUUAGAAGGGAAAAUACGAAGGACAUAUUAUAUAUUAUAUAUGAUUGAAUUUAAUCCAUGAUAAUUAGACAAAAUAACACUAAUCUAGCUAACUAAUCCAACCAUCAUAAUAAUUUGAUUUUCAUUAUUUUAUUGUGUCCAAUCAUGCUAAUUUAAUAAGAAAAACACAGAACACUUGAGGAUUUAGAUAUUCAACAACUUUGGCCAAGUUUGAAAAAAAUUAGAGCUUCCUUCAUGCUUUGUGUUCUUAUGUUACACAUGAUCAUAUUAUGUUACAUUUGACAGAAAACUGAAAAUUAUUGAAAAAAAAAAAUCUUAGUUAACACAUAAUCAAAAUGAGAGAAUAAUGCACACACAUCACAACAAUGUUUCAUUCAUUUUGAAUCUAUAUUUACAAAACUUGUAUCCGAUGGUUUACAUUUGUUUAAUCUAACGGCUAUGACGUGUACUGUCAAAACGCUACAGCUGCCAUCUCUGUUUGUCCUUGUUGCAUCCUUGAUCUUAUAUUAUCCUGGAGAUUAUUGAAUGUUCUUCUCAUUCUCAUGUGCUCGAGGGUCCUUUCUUGAGACAUUUCAGCAAACACCUGAUUCAUCCUAUUAAACAUCAGCAUCAUUAAUCAGUAAAUGAUGUAAGGUAGCCCUGUUUUGAGAAGUCAACAUAAAUCAGUCACCUUAGAUUUUCUCAGUCUCAGAGCACAACGGGUGAUGAUUUGAUGAAAAAUGUUAAUAUGCACGCAUCCCCUGAAUUAGCUAGAGCUGGUUGUCAUUUUCUUCUUUCUUUUGGUACUGUUUUAGAUUUUUAAUCAAUCAGAUUCAGCUGCAUGUUUGCUUUUAGUCCAAACCAAAAUAAGAUAUUAAGUACUUUUGCCAGAAUAGACGCAACCAAAAUUCUAUGGGAUCUGUAGUUCCUAGUUCAUGCAGAAGCGGCCGAAUGCUUCCGGCAAUCAGGAGCAGUGGUCACCCAAAGUAAAAGACUUUCUCUUGUAUUAACCUUUGCUAGCCGUCGAAGUUAAAAAAUUUUUUUGAACAAGUUAAAACAGUUCCAACUCAGAAGUAGUAGUGCCCAAUUGGGUUGUUAUAAAUAUUUCGGAAUUUCAGUCUAAGUUGAUUUGUUUAAUUAUGUAUGCACAAACUAGCUUGACCACUUCUUUCAUAUUGAUACCUAUAAAUUGCAACCUUAUUUUACGUUGAUGCACAAUCUAACUUAACAAAAACAAUAUUCAAAUUGUCACAGAAUGUUUUCUUCUUAAAAUAUAUAUAUAUAUAGUAGUUAAUUUUUCUUAUUCUUCACUCCAGGAUCCAGCUCCAUACCCCUCUUUUUUGUCGUUAUGCUGCUCAGCCGUUAGAUUUUAAUUAUGUUAAUCUAACGGUUGAGAUUUGUAAAUGAAUAAUGAAGUGGUGUUUGGCUACUAUCUGAGCCCAUUGCAUCUAUUUGGUGUUGUGAUUUUUCGCUUGACUAGUUCUGAAAAUAUCGGCAGCCAUCGACGGCAAAUCUGAACAAAGGCAACAUGAGGUGAUCGUGGUGAAAAUGUUUUUUGGCAUGCGAAUCUAAUGACUUUCGAAUACGUUCAUUCAAAUAUUAAAUGCAAUUCAGGCAAAUAGAAGCUUGGUUGAUUGAUUGCUCUUCAUGUGAAAUUCUACCUAAUGGCUAUCCUUUUAAUGGUUUAUAUUGUCUUAUAUGCAAAUUAAAUUCGGAAUUCGGAUGAUAAUAAUCUUCAUUUAGAACAGAUUAGGUAACAUGUGGCAUUCUACAUUCUUGCAAUGCCAUUUCUUUUUAUGGCAGCGCCAUUUUUAAAACGGCAUCGUUUUGUCCAUUAAGAUGUUUCAACUUGUCCCGGGCUGGACAUAUGACUCACUUAAUGAUAACAAAACGGCGAGGCAUGAUAUGAAGGUGUUUUGGCUAAAGGCUUAAGUUCUGCAUGUGACAAGCACGUGAGAGAAGAAUCAAGUUAGUUAUAAGUUGUUAUACACGUGGCUGGAUCUGGUGCAAUCUGGGGUAAUGAACACCCGUUAUAUAAGCUGAGCUUUCAGGCAGUUUCAGCAAGAUGUAAAGAGCUUCUAGUGAGAAUGAAGAGAUAGAAAAAGUAUCAUUUUAUUCCUUGUUAGUUUCUCCGUGUGAGCUCUGUAAAAUAAUUAACCCUAAAUAAUUUGUCCUGCAUCACCAAACUCCGGAUUUUACAAAGCACGCAUAAAGGAUAAUAGACACGUUUGAGGUUUUUUUUUUUAAAGAAAAAAGAUAAUGAAAAUAGACAAAUAAUGAAGACACAAGUUAAGCAGAGCAAAUAAACAGAGGAGAAUGAAUUAAAUACUAUCCUUGAGAACUCAAUUCUUUAAUAAACUCAAUUUUUUAAAUGUAAUUUUUUUUGGGGCUUAAACUCAUGUCAUAAACUGUAGUCUUUAAUUUGGGCUUUGUUGUAUCAAUUUUUUGGAGUUUAUCUUGUUUUAUUUUUUCGUUUUUAUAGUGCAAGAUUUUCGGUGGAGAUAAAUCAGGAAUAAGAGUGAAAUCCCAAUCUUAAAAUUUGGAAGAAAUGAAAUGCGAUUUGUUUUUUCAUGAAUAAAACAAUUCAAUUUUUUGUUAGCACUUGCGUAUGCUGCCAGUUAAUUACACCGUCAACACCUGCGGGAAAUUUAUAUAUUUUCUGUCAGGACUUGCAUACGUUGCAAUUUUCAAUGACUUCCAAAUCUUCAUAUCAUGAAUUAGCAGGAUUCACGUCCGACCAACUCCCCGCGGCUAAAUCAAAGGAUUAAUUUUUGAGAAAUUAUAAAGAAAUUAAUGCAAGUAAAGUGAGCCUAUGCAUUUGAUUUGAUAAUUGGCUGAGGGUGAUUUCGAUAACGUUUUCAAAGAAGAAAUAGAACAAAGAUCAAAAAGAAAAAACAAGUAAUUUCAGUCGAUGGAAGAAAUGAGCAAGAUUCGCACAUGCAUGCAUGCGUCUGACUAACAGGACAUGGCUUGGAGCAGGGAUCAAUGGACAAGUUUGAGGUUUAUGAAAUAUUGGGAAACAGACAAAUAAUAAAGCCAAUCCAAGUUAAGCAGAUCAAAUAAACAGAGGAAAUAACCGAUCAAUUCUUUGUGCAGUGGCCACAGCAACAGCGAAAAUAUGUCUGCAUGACUACAUUAAUUAAUCCUACUAUCACAUGCAGCAUUACAUCAACAUUUGAUCAUCUAUCAAUUUUCAUGAUAUGAGAUUAGAAAUAUUGAGUUCGUAAUUUCGUGUAAUUUCAUGUACUAGAUAUAUAUAAUUGAUUUGAGUUAGUUUAACAUCUAAAGAAAGAGUAAUGGGGAAUGAUGUCGAUGUGGCAUCUGAUGAAUAAUGAUAGACAACAAAUACUGAUCAUGUAAGAAUGAAGUCUGUAUUUACUGAAAAAUAUUUGGCAAUAAAAUGAAGAAUAUUUGAUUUUUUUAUUUUUUAUUUUUAUAUCUCCCAAACAUUAUUAGAGUCCCACAUUUGUGACACAUCAUUAAGUAAAAUGUGCCAAUUAGGAAGAAUACUUGACAUUUUUUAUUUUACAAUUUUUAAGAAAUAUCAAAUAUACAUGACAUUUUGUGAAAAAUUAAGUAAUUGUGAAAUAUAAAUGACAAUUUAUUUAAAUGUCAUAUAAUUGUGACGUUUUAUCAAAUAAGUGACAAAUAUAUAAUAUAUUACAUAUUUAUGGCAUAAUUAUCAUUUAUAUUUUCCUUCUAUUGACUUAAGAAAAAAAUUUAAAAACUCACUAUUACCGCUUUUGUUUUCGUUCUUAGAACAGAUUAGUUUCUUUUGAGAAAAUUCAAACUCAUUCCCAUUACUUCCUUUUCAAUAAUCACCUCUCAAUUUUUUCAUCAAUCACUCAAUUUCGACUUUCAUAUCCAUUCUCUUUCGAAGAAGAACGCACGAAGAAUUUUAGCUUGCUUUAGCUGCUUCUCGAAUUUCAGGUAUUGUUUCCUUUAAUUUUGAUUUUUUUUUCUUCUCUCUUUCUAGUUUGAUAAUUUAGGGUUAUAGUUAAAUUAAUUGUAUUUUUAAUCAACCUAGAUUGAUUUAAUUGAUUCCAAGUCUCAAUUUCCUGUUCAACAAACAAGGAACGCACAAAUAAUUUUCAUUUUCAUUCUCAAUUUUGAAAGAAUCAAUCAAUUUAUUUUAUCUUUGGUUAGUACACUUCUGUUCAAUUUUUGUUUAUUUAACUUAAGACAUUAUUUUCAUUCUUAUCUUCAAGCAGAUUAUAGCGUUGCUCCUCUCAUUGAUUAUAUUGAGAACAGUGCUUUCUCUUAAUUCCGCCAAGAACAACGUUGAUUUCAGGUAAUAAUAAUAAUAGGGAUUUGAAGUUUACAUCCUGUUGAAAUGAUUUUAGAGUGUUCUGCUAUUUGAAUGCGCAUUAAUUGUUUGAUUAAAUGUCUCUUUAAAAGAUUAUUUUUGUUUUUAGCAAACAUCUUACUGAGAUGCCUCUCGUAAUAGUAUUACCGUAAUGUAUUUUGCUUCAUUUUGGUCUGUUUAUACACUUUAACCAGGGAAAAUUACAGAACUGCAACAGUUUUCAAAUUGAUUGCAGAUUAGAAGUAAUUUUAAUUUAUGCUGCAACAGUUCAAUGGGCUGGGCACAAGUUUAGGACUUUAGUUGCUCAAUUAAUGAAUCCACCACUCAUCAGACUUGGAACUUAUAUCUAUUGAAUCAAUAAAAAUAGUUGAUGGAAUCAAUGCCGAAAGCUUCAUUUGAUAUUUAUUUAUAACAUCUGUUAGAUUCUGGACAAUCACAAAGAUAUAGCAGCAGAAACUAUGUUGGAGACACUAUAGUUGCUUAAUUAGUGAAAUUGUGCUCUCAUUGCCCCCUUUUUUUGGUUGAUUCUAUAAUUUUAUUAGUUGUUCUUGUGGUUGUAAACAAUAUCAAUUUCUAAUAUUAAUAAAACUGAAUGAAUAAAAUGCGAUGCAUUCGCAGGAAAAUUAAUAGUUUAAAUAUGGAUAAAUCUUGGAUGUUGAUGGAUAGAAGGUCUAUAGAAUAUGAGAACGCGGUAAAUGAGUUUCUCAAGUUUGCAGUACUUCAUGCUAGUAAUCCUGAGCUUUUGAGAUGUCCAUGCCAAGCAUGUCUUAAUUUAUAGGCUCAAACAAUUAAGAGUACAGAAAAUGCAUGAUAGAACACAGAACUCAUAUUUUAGCAACAAUCCUCAGCUCAUUGGCCCUUAGUUCAGAAUGACAAUUCUUAUUAGCCAAAGAUUCAAAAUGAUUUUUAGUUGUUUAUAAGUAGAGCACUAGAUCAACAAAUAAUUGAAGUCGUGCAGCUUGGCUAUGGAACUAUACGAUGGUGGCAAUUCGAAGACUACAACUUGGCUCUGCCAUUCGAAGUAAGCAGCGCAGCUGCCCAAAGUCUGCCAAGCCAUCAAGACUCCAUCAAGUAUACUUCAAAGCCACAUCAAGACAAUACUAAGAUACAACAUCAAUAAUAAUAACACCAAGAAAUACAUGGAGGCCAUUGCAUGCUACAGCCACCCCAAUAAGAAAUUAAUAAAUACAGUCCUAGAAAUUUACAAACCCAUGCAGUAGGAAUAACUAAUUAAUUUAUACAGUUCAGUACUCGUUCCUCUGUUUCAAAUCCAAAUCCACUGGUCUACUAUUCAUUAUGACGCAAUGCAUAUGCCGAUAUUGUCUUCCAUCCUUUAUGUACCUUUCAAUUUAGUGAGGUUUAGACAGGGGUUCCAGAUUUGGUAAAUCAACAAUCACCAGAUAUGAUAGAGAGGCCGGAAGAGAAGCAUGGUUCCUAAUCCUAAUCUUGAUUUAGAGCAGAUUAGGUAACAUGUGGCAUUCUACAUUCCUUCAAUGCCAUUUCUUGUUAUGGCAGCAGCAUUCUUGGUCAUGGCAUCACAAGCAAAUGCUUUGAUUUGAAGACUUGCUUGGCUAUGAAAAAUAAGGAGAGCAAAGGUAAUUAAUCUUGGUGUGAUCAACAGUUUAAUGGGGGUACUAAGAAAAAUAAAGAUAAUAUAAGGAAUGUUGUUGAGGAGUAUUUUCAUAUUUACAAAAGUGUUCAAAGUAAAAAUUGAUUUCUUGAAACCCAUUAGCUAGCGCACAUAAUAAUGGGGAGAAAUUUUUAGACUACGAAUUAGGGGUGGGCAUGGGUUGGUAAAAUCCAACCCAAACCAAACCCUAAAAAUUUGAAUCCAACCCAAACCAACCCAAAUAUUUUUAACCCAACCCAAACCAAACCAUUUGGGUUUGGUUUGAAUUUUAUUAUCAAAAUAAUUUUUAUUUUAAUAAAAUUUAAUUAUAUCAAAAUUAUAAUAAUUAUUAAUUGUUAUUAAUUAUUAAAUUGAUAUUAAAAUAAAUGAAAUAAAUGAUAUUAAAAAUUAACAAUAAUAAGUGAAAUAAAUGCUGAGUAAAAUUUGUGGAGGGUAGCUCCUUAAAAAUGCCACCUAUUAAUGUUAAAUCAUUCAAAUGAGGACACCCAACCGUGUGAUACUUUUGAUACUUUUGGGACCAUCUUCAUCUUUCCUCAAGCAAAUGGCACUCACUAGCAUCUUCAUCCUUAAAUAAGAUAAAUAAAUAAUUUAUAAUGUUGAAUAGUUAUAAAGAUGAGUAAAUUUAAAAAAGGAACAUGAUUCAUACCAAAAUUGUAAGAAUAACAUCAAUCUAAAGUCAUUGCCUCCGUUGUUGCACUUGAUCCAAACUCUACAUUAAAUAAAAAUAAAUUAAUAAAAAAAGACUAGUGAUAAACAAAUAUAUAAUUUUUUUCGCUUGUUAUGAUAAACAGUAGUUACCUGACAUCAUGGCUUCAUAAAACUCAAGCUCCUCCAUCGUUGGUUCAUCUUGUAAUGGGACAAAAGUGUGAAGUAACCAAUUUUGUGAGCAUAUCAAAGCUUCCACCAUCUUUGGACUUAAAGAACUACGAAAUGAAUCAAUGAUGCGUCCUCCAGUACUAAAUGCAGAUUCUGAAGCUACUGUAGAUAUUGGAAUUGCAAACACAUCCUUUGCAAUAUGUGAAAGAACUCGAUAUUUUAUUGAGUUCAUUUUCCACCAUGCCAAAAUCUCAAAGUCAUCGUCAUCAACAUGUUCACAUGGCUCCAACAAGUACCUCUCUACUUCAUUUUUCAUCUCAACACAAUCAUAUUUUCGUAUUCUUUGUUUGAACUUUGCAACACUUGAAAGUUUAGAAAACCCCACCUUUUUAUCAAAUUUCCUACUAUCAACAAUUGACGACUUACCAACAUCACUAGAUGAUCCACAACCACCAAUCUUAGUGUCAAGAUCUUUAUAGUAUUCAUAAAGACGUAUUAAAAGAUUUUUCAUCUUUUCAGACUUCUUCCCAACCUCAUCAAUAACAAAAAUGUCACAUAUUUUAACUUAUAACGUGGAUCAAGAAUAACCGAAAUAAGCAACAAAUUAUUUAACCUAUCAAUUGAACCCCAAUAUUUGUCAUAUUUAUUUUUCAUACUUGUUGCCAUUUUAGAUAAAACAAGAUCAUCACUACUUUCAAUUAAUGAUGUCAAAUCGGAAUGAAUUGAGCACAUUUCAUGAAAAUAUAAGUUUGAAGUCACGUACAUUGAACCACUAAAUUUCAAAAUUAUAUCAUAAAAUGACUUCAAAAACAACACAAAAACAUUAGCAUUUUCCCAAUCAUCACUAUUAGGGGGUCCUCCAUCUUCUUUGAAAUAUGAAACAUAAUGUUGAUCAUCAUCCUCCAUUCUCUCAAAAGCCUUUUGAAAUUUUAAAGCACUCUCCAACACUAAGUAGGUGGAAUUCCACCUAGUGGACACAUCUUGAACCACAAGACCAGCACCUUCAAUUCUUUCAUGCUCCACACAUAUUUUAAAUUUUUUUAGCCUUGCAGGAGAUGACUUUACAUACUUGACAGCAUUACGAAUUCUAGAAAUUGACACAUGUAAGUCUUUCAAUCCUUCAUUCACAAUUAAAUUCAAAAUAUGCGCACAACAUCUCAUAUGUAAAAAAUCACCAUCUAGCACAAGCCCAUUCUCACUCCAAUUCUUCAAUUUCUUUUUGACAUAAUUGAUAGCUAACUCAUUUGAACUAGCAUUAUCAACAGUAAUGGUAAAUACCCUUUCUAUACCCCACUCAAGCAAACAAGAUUCAAUUACCUUUCCAAUUGUCUCCCCCUUAUGGUCAGGUAAUGUGCAAAAAUUUAAAAUUCUUUUCUGCAAUUUCCAUUCACUAUCAAUGAAAUGGGCUGUUAUCACCAUAUAGUAAUAAUUUUGUAUAGACGUCCAUGCAUUUGUGGUUAUACAAACUCUUUGCUUAUUUGAAACAAAAAAGUUCCUUAAUUUUUGCUUUUCUUCCCAAAAACGUUUGUAUACAUCUCUAGCAAGGGUUCUCCUAGACGGUAGAUCAAAGUUUGGCCCCAAUUGCUUACUAUAUUGUUGAAAGCCCUCUUUCUCCACAAAACUAAAGGGUAAUUCAUCAAUAAUAAUUAACCGUGUAAGGGCUUUUCUACAUGCUUCUUUGUCAAACACAUGAGACUUAGAUUCAUCUUUCAUUUCAUGUGAAGUUGUUUGAUUUUCAUCCUCAAAUAUGCUCAAAUAAUCAGGACAACGUAACAAAUGAUUCCUUAAUGUACUAGUCCCAAUUUUAGUCCCAUGUUUAUUCUUACAAGCAUAAUCAUUACCACAAUAAUUACACUUGCAUCUAUUACCUAGAUCGUAUUUAGUGAAAUGAUCCCAUAUUUAUGAUCUCUCUGAUGGCUUUUUCCUCUUGCUUUGAGUAGUUGCAAGCGUGUCCAAGGAACUAGUACCAUGACAACUUGAGUUCUCAUCCAUCUAAAAUUAAAUGAAAAAAAAAAUAAACAACUUUAAGCCAAUUCAACAAAAACUUUUACCAAAUAUAAGGAACAACAACAAUAGUGCCAGUAAGAGCAUCAAGUUUCAAUCCAGCAGGAACAACAAUCUGCAAAUAUUCUACUAGACGAAAAUAUGCCAGAGAAACUAUUAAGUAUCCAACUUUCAUUCCAGCUUUGGAUUCAAAUAUAUUCUUAGUUAUAACCAACAAUCAUCUACAAACGAUAGGAAAAAAAAUUCAUUAAAAAAUAUCUUGAUUUAGGGCCAUCAGAACAGAAUCGAAGCAUUACAGGGCCACACCACAACAACAAAAGAAAAAAAAAAUUGAAGCAGAGCCUGAUUUCAAAUUCAAUUAAACUUUUUUUUUUGGGUCAUCUACAAGCUCCCUCAAAAUUCAAAAACUUUUGGAUUUACCCACUAUCAUAUAUACUUAAUUUAUUAAACAUCUUAUUAUAGAAUAUUUUAUGUUAUUUGUAAUGUAGCAGGGGAGGCUAGCUAUCUGUGGCUAAUCCAAUGUUCAUCUCUCUUCUACUGAAUAAUUUAUUAUUGUAAAAUGAUAGGAGCCCAGCUCUUAUUGCUAUUGCUAGCUAAUAUUGGAUGGAAUAAGUGUCAGGAUGAAGCUGAAACAAGAGUCAAAAUUUCACUAUUAUCUAAAAAUAAGAGCCACCACAACAAUAACAAAAGCAAAAAAAAUUGAAGCAGAGCCUCACCUUAAAUCAUUAGGACGAUAGCAAUCGAAGUGGGGACUUUAGGAGUCGAUGACAAUGAGAGAUCCACCACGUCACUUUUGUCGAUAGGGAUUGUAGAAGAUGGAGAGAGAUUCAGCGGUUUGUUUAUUUUGUUUUCAGCGGUUUGUUUAGUUUUGGAAAUUUUUUCUUAACCCAUAGGUUAACCACACCCAAACCAUUAUAAAAUGGUUUCAUACAUAAAAACCCAAAUUCAACCCAUUUUUUUAAUUUACCCAACCCAAACCAUUUUAUUUGGUUUGAGUUUGGGUAAACCCAUGGGUUGUGGGUUUAUGCCCACCCCUACUACGAAUAGUCCCAUCCAUUUAAUAAUAUUCUUCAAUCAAUUAUGUUUACUUCAAAAAAAAAAACCAUCUCUUUAUUACUUUCUAAUUAUUCAUAUUAAUGUGUUAAUAAUUAUGAAGAACCGGUGUAAUUUAUAUGAUGUAGGAAGCACUUUAGGCAAAAUCAUCAGAAUCUCAAAAUUUCGUGAUAUUGUGCCAAAUAUGCAAAACAAAGCUUCCUACAUUGUUAUAGCAGUUUUUUUAAAGUUGAGGAGUCCAAAUAUCCAAUAACUGAUAAAUUCUGUUAAGAAAUAUAAAUAUUAAUGGUGAUGACACAUACGCAUGGAAUUCCUCUGUUUUGAGUUUGACUUAAAUAACCUGAAUAAUUUCAAACAAUCCAUCAGGACAAAGUCCUUGAGAGAUUGAACUGGAUUUCAGUGCAUCACAUUCUGAAAUUGAAACUAACAUUAAUUAGAAAGGCAGAACAGCCUCUGUUUUUUACUAUAAUACAAAAUGGGAAGUCAAACCAAUUCAAGGAACUCCCCUGUUUUUUUACUGAAACAUACAUAAUCCGAACAAUUUAUAAUUAAAUAAAUCAUUUAAAAUCUCCUUUAAUCGAACCUCCACUUCUAUGGGUUAAUAGAAUAUCAUAAAGGUGCCCAAUACAGCGAAAUUAAUGUUCAGCUCAUGAAGUUGCCAUUAUAUAUAUUGAAAAAGAAAUUAAUACAAGAAACUGAAAAUUAAUUGACAUUGGAUCACGUAAGAUUGUUAGUUGUUAAUUAUGAUGGGAAUAUAUACUUGGUCUAUUAAUUUGUGUCUAUCACUGAAGAGUAGAGUUACAUGACUGAAUAGUAUCAUAUCACAAAAACUCAAAACUCAAUUUCAUUGCGCAAGCAUACCACGCCGUAUGUAGCUCAAAAGUGCAAUAACAUUGAGCAUUCAGCUAGCUAGCUUAUAUUAAUUAAUUAAUACCACUAUUAGUUCUUUAUGAUUAAUUAAAAGAUAAAAUAUUUGACAAUCACGAAACAUUAUUCUAUCACUGAAGAGUAGAGCUUCCUUCCUACAUUGUUACCCAAGCUCUUCUACAUCUCCCAAACAUUAUUAGAGUCCCACAUUUGUGGCACAUCAUUAAGUAAAUUGCUUACGUUGCAAUUUUCAACGAAUUACAAUUCUUCAGAUCUUGAAUUAGCAGGAUUGACGUCCGAUCAACUCCACGUGGCAUGUGUCUGACUAACUGGACAUGGCUUGGAGCAAGGAUCAAUGAACAAGUUUGAGGUUUAUGAAAUAUUGGGAAAAUAGACAAAUAAUAAAGCCACUCCAAGUUAAGCAGAUCAAAUAAACAGAACAGAGGAAAUAACUGAUCAAUUUAAUUCUUUGUGCAAUGGCCACAGCAACAGCGAAAAUAUGCCUACGUGACUUCAUUAAUUAAUCCGACUGGCGUGGAUGUUACUAUCGCCGUGCAGCAUUACAUCAACAUUUGAUCAUCUAUCAAUUUUCAUGAUCUGGGAUUAGAAACAUUGAGUUCAUAAUUUUAUGUAAUUUCAUGUACUAGAUAUAUAUAAUUGAUUUGAGUUAGUUUAAAAUAUAAAGAAAGAGUAAUGGGGAAUGACGUCAAUGUGGCAUUUGAUGAGUAAAGAUAGACAACAAAUAUUGAUCAUGUAAUAAUGAAAUACGUAUUUACUGAAAAAUAUUGGCAAAAAAAUGAUGCUAUAAAAAUUUAAUAUUAGUUGCAAGCGAAUAAAUUGACAAUUAAAAUUAAUAGAUAUAUAUAUGCAAUGCUUCGGGUUUAUUUUAUCGUUUCACACCAUUUUGUAACUACAUGUUACUUAGAAGUUCAAUUAAUUUUGACCAAAGACUAGAGAAUGUCGAAAAGAGAUAUGAUUUUUGUAUACCAAAAAAAAAAUUAGAAAUGAAAUACGUCAAAAUCAAUUACAAGAACAACAAUAAAAGUAUAUUUUAUAAAAGUCACAAAUACAUAAUAAGAGUUUAGUUUUGAAUUACAUAAUUAUUCAUUUAUAUAGUAAGAGAGUCUUAUAGAUAUAUAGGAAUUUUUUUAAAAGAGUUUUGGUAAAGCAAAAAGUUUAGUUUGGUCUAGUUUGUGGAGGUUCAAGUAGUUGAAAGCAGUGCAAGUGAAGGAAACAUAAACUUCUAGUUUUUUACAAAGUAAUGGCUAGAAUAUUUGAAAAGUUUGAGAUUUUAAAAAGGCUGGGAAAAUAGACAAAUAGUGAAGACCCUGCAAGUUGGCAGAGCAAAUAAACAGAGGAAAACAGGCAGAUAAUUUAUAUUAUACAUAUAAGUUUUAUUUUUUCCAGAAACAAAUGUUGCGAUUUUUUUUCCCCUAAAAAAGAAGCACAGUCUGCUAUUACCACUAAAGAAUGUUAGCUACUUUAUAUAAGCACGUGUCUAAUUACCAAAUAAAUUCCACUUUAACAAAGAAUAAAAGUUAAUUUCAUUGAUGGCACGUGUUGUGCUUUCUUUUUUUAUUAUUUUUCCUUUUAGAUGUUGAAGUUACUUUGCAAACUGCUCCAAGCUGAUUACAAAAUUUCCGCUUACUCUAGGAUCUUUUCAAUGGGCUUACAAUUUGUAUUCUUGUCUGUAAGAUUGAUUUUUUUUCUUUAAAAAAAUAAAAAGGGAUGAGAAAUCUUACCAACUAAAUACCAACUUCGAAUUUUGUUAUUAUUCAAACUUUGUAUUUCUUGCUCAUAGCCAGUUAAACUGUGUCUAACUGUCAUGCAGGUUCCAUUUUUAGUUGAUUAACUGUAUAUACAAAAUUAAAUCACCUGAGCCUCUGGUUUCACUAUUUUCCAACUUGAAACUAAAACGCAGAAUUGAUGGGGUAAUUCAUGGGGAAUCAGAUGGCCAUCUAUUUUUAGGUCUAUUUUAUGUACUAUUGGCCGCCAGGUAGCUUGGUCAUAUACGUGUAUUGGGAUGUCAUGGGGCCUAAAAAAUAAAGGUGAAAAUCAGUCACAAAUCUGAAGUGAAAAACAGUAACUAGAACAGAAUCUAUGUUUUGAUGUCUUUAGUUUAUAAGCUCAAACAAUUAAUAGUAUAGAAAAUGCAUGAUAUAGCACAGAACUCAUGUUUUAGCAAUAAUCCUAAGCUCAAUGGCCCUUAGUUCAGAAUGACAAUUCUUAUUAGUCAAAGAAUCAAAAUGAUUUUUAGUUGUUCAUAAGCAGAUCACUAGAUCAACAAAUAAUUGAAGACUGGCUUGGCUAUUGAACCAUACGCGGCAAUUCGAAGACUGAAACUUAACUCUGCCGUUCGAAGUAAGCAACUCAGGUGCCCAAAGGCCGUCAAGCCAUCAAGACAAUAUGAAGAUACAACAUCAAUAAUAAUAACAUCAAGAAAUACAUAGAGGCCAUUACAUAUUACACCUAUCCCAAUUAGAAAUUAGUUAAUACAGUCCUAGCUCCUCUGUUUUAAAAGAAAUUUACAAACCCAUGCAGUAGGAAUAAUUAAUUAAUUUAUACAGUUCGGUACUCAUCCCUCUUCUGUUUCAAAUCCAUAUCCACUGCUCUGCCAUUUAUUACUACGCAAGGUAUAUGGGUUAGCAAGUGCCGACAUUGUCCUCCAUUCUUUGUGUGCCUUUCUUCUAUCAAGGGACAACCCAAGAUCUCUAAUCGCAAGAAAAAUAUUUCAGAGUAAAAAGUGAUUUCUUAAAAUCUAUUAGCUAGUGCACAUAAUAAAAGGGCAUUCAUGGUAAAUUUUAGACUACAAGUAGUCCAACCUUUUAAUAAUAUUCUGCAAUCAAUUCCGUUUGUUUUAAAAUAAAAGAAAUCCAUCUCUUUAUUACUUUCUAAUUAGUCAUAUUAAUGUGUUAAUAAUUAUGAAGAACCAGCGUAAUUUAUAUGAUGUAGGAAACCCUUUAGGCAAAAUAACCUGAAUUUUUUAGAGUAGCGGCUAGACAUAUUGGGCAUAACCUCAGUUUCUGUUACUUCUUUGACCCUGCCUAAGCUCUUUUAAGGGCUAAUAUCAAAAUUUCGUGAUAUUGUGCCUAAAGAGCUUCCAAUUCAAGGAGCUCCCCUGUUUUUGACUGAAACAUAUGUAAUCCGAACAAUUUGUAAUUAGAUAAAUCAUUCAAAAUCUCCCUCAAUCUAACCCACAUUUCUAUGGUUUAAUAACAUAUCACAAAGGUGCCUAAUAUAAUGAAAUUAGCAUUAGUUCACGAGAUUGCCAUUAUAUAUAUUGAAAAAGAAAUUAAUACAAGAAACUGAAAAUUAAUUGACACUGGAUCACGUCGUGUUGUUAGUUUGAUUAUGAUGGGAAUAUAAUCUUGGUCUUUUAAUUAUCAUCUAGCUACCGCAUGUGCACUAGUUUCAUUUGUGUCUAUCACUAAAGAGUAAAGUUGCUUGAUUUGAAUAGUAUCAUAUCAUAGAAACUCAAAACUCAAUUUCGUUGCCCGAGUAUACCAUGCCAUAUGUAGCUCAAAAGUGCAAUAACAUUGAACAGUCAGCUAGCUAGCUUAUACUAAUUAAUUAAUACAACUAUCAGUUAUUUUUUAUUAAUUAAAAGAGAAAAUAUUUGACAAUCGCGAAAACAACAACAAUUCACUCCAAUAAACAACAUAAUAAAUACAUGAUAUAUAUUACAAGUCUUUUUAUGAUGUAGAUUAGAAGGGAAAAUACGAAGGACCUAUUAUAUAUUAUAUAUGAUUGAAUUUAAUCCAUGAUAAUUAGACAAAAUAACACUAAUCUAGCUAACUAAUCCAACCAUCAUAAUAAUUUGAUUUUCAUUAUUUUAUUGUGUCCAAUCAUGCUAAUUUAAUAAAAAAAACACAGAACACUUGAGGAUUUAGAUAUUCAACAACUUUGGCCAAGUUCGAAAAAGAUUAGAGCUUCCUUCAUGCUUUGUGUUCUUAUGUUACACAUGAUCAUAUUAUGUUACAUUUGACAGAAAACUGAAAAUUAUUGAAAAAAAAAAAAAUCUUAGUUAGCACAUGAUCAAAAUGAGAGAAUAAUGCACACACAUCACAACAAUGUUUCAUUCAUUUUGAAUCUAUAUUUACAAAACUUGUAUCCGAUGGUUUACAUUUGUUUAAUCUAACGGCUAUGACAUGUGUACUGUCAAAACGCUACAGCUGCCAUCUCUGUUUGUCCUUGUUGCAUCCUUGAUCUUAUAUUAUCCUGGAGAUUAUUGAAUGUUCUUCUCAUUCUCAUGUGCUCGAGGGUCCUUUCUUGAGACAUUUCAGCAAACACCUGAUUCAUCCUAUUAAACAUCAGCAUCAUUAAUCAGUAAAUGAUGUAAGGUAGCCCUGUUUUGAGAAGUCAACAUAAAUCAGUCACCUUAGAUUUUCUCAGUCUCAGAGCACAACGGGUGAUGAUUUGAUGAGAAAUAUUAAUAUGCAUGCAUCCCCUGAAUUAGCUAGAGCUGGUUGUCAUUUUCUUCUUUCUUUUGGUACGGUUUUAGAUUUUUAAUCAAUCAGAUUCAGCUGCAUGUUUGCUUUUAGUCCAAACCAAAAUAAGAUAUUAAGUACUUUUGCCAGAAUAGACGCAACCAAAAUUCUAUGGGAUCUGUAGUUCCUAGUUCAUGCAGAAGCGGCCGAAUGCUUCCGGCAACUCAGGCAGAUAGAACCCUGGUUGAUUCGUUUUUCUUCAUCUGAAAUUCUACCUAAUGCCUAUCCUCUUAAUUGGUUUAAAUUCUUCUUUUUUUUCUUUGAAUUGUUGAUUUAUAAUGUCUUGUAUGCAAAAUUUAUAAUUUCGGAUGAUGAUAAUCUUGUUUAAGAAGAGAUUUCUAGUUACGGCAGCAGCAUUCUUGAUCAUGGCGCUCUGGUUUGCUUAGUUUCCUUUUUGUCUCUGAUAUUUUCUUGGCAUUCUUGUUCUCUCUUGUAAUAAAGUGCUUUUGAUAAAUUCGCCUGGUCGGUUUACUUCACUGACCAUUAAUGAGCAAAUCCUCCCAGUGACCCUCAAACUCUUCUACACAAUUAUAAUAAUUUCAGUUUUACAUAUACAAAAAUGAACAGCUCUCAAAUAUAUUAUUUGAUAAUGACAAAAACAAUAAUUCACUCCAAUAAAUCUCAUAAUAAAUACAUGAUCUACAUUGCAAGUCUUUUUAGGACGCAUUCAAAGAGAAAACAUAAGGAAUGGCAUUGCAAGAAUAUGGAAUCAGAAUAAAAGGGGAUGGUCGAGUUGGGUUGCUUGCAAAAUUAUUGGUGCGGGGUUCUACUUGUUUUUGUUUCACUUUAUUAAUUAAUUAGCGAAGCACACACGUCAUCAUUUGAAAAAGAAUCACUAGCACCAGCUUAUGAAAAAUAAAUUUGUAAGACAUAUUAAUUUCAAUGAAAAUGUAGCGUGAUUAUGUUAUGAAUUCAUUAACUUACUUCAUAAAUAUUCUUCAUCAUUAUGGUUAAUGGCUUAGCAAAUGCAGGAGCAGGGGUCACCCAAAAGUAAAACACUUUCUCUUGUAUUAACCUUUGCUAGCCGUCGAAGUUAAACAAGUUAAAACAGUUCCAACUCAGAAGUAGUAGUGCCCAAUUGGGUUGUUAUAAAUAUUUCGGAAUUUCAGUCUAAGUUGAUUUGUUUAAUUAUGUAUGCACAAACUAGCUUGACCACUUCUUUCAUAUUGAUACCUAUAAAUUGCAACCUUAUUUUACGUUGAUGCACAAUCUAACUUAACAAAAACAAUAUUCAAAUUGUCACAGAAUGUUUUCUUCUUAAUAUAUAUAUAUAUAUAGUAGUUAAUUUUUCUUAUUCUUCACUCCAGGAUCCAGCUCCAUACCCCUCUUUUUUGUCGUUAUGCUGCUCAGCCGUUAGAUUUUAAUUAUGUUAAUCUAACGGUUGAGAUUUGUAAAUGAAUAAUGAAGUGGUGUUUGGCUACUAUCUGAGCCCAUUGCAUCUAUUUGGUGUUGUGAUUUUUCGCUUGACUGGUUCUGAAAAUAUCGGCAGCCAUCGACAUCAAAUCUGAACAAAGGCAACAGGAGGUGAUCGUGGUGAAAUUGUUUUUUGGCAUGCGAAUCUAACGACUUUCGAAUACGUUCAUUCAAAUAUUAAAUGCAAUUCAGGCAAAUAGAAGCUUGGUUGAUUGAUUGCUCUUCAUGUGAAAUUCUACCUAAUGGCUAUCCUUUUAAUGGUUUAUACUGUCUUAUAUGCAAAUUAAAUUCAGAAUUCGGAUGAUAAUAAUCUUGAUUUAGAACAGAUUAGGUAACAUUUGGCAUUCUACAUUCUUGCAAUGCCAUUUCUUUUUAUGGCAGCACCAUUUUUUAUCAUUGUUUGUGUGGACCUAUUUGCUGAAUUCAAAACUUGGCGUGUUAAAACGGCAUUGUUUUGUCCAUUAAGAUGUUUCAAGUUGUCCCCGGCUGGACAUAUGACUCACUUAAUGAUACCAAAACGGCGAGGCAUGAAGGUGUUUUGGCUAAAGGCUUAAGUUCUGCAUGUGACAAGCACGUGAGAGAAGAAUCAAGUUAGUUAUAAGUUGUUAUACACGUGGGUGGAUCUGGUGCAAUCUGGGGUAAUGAACACCCGUUAUAUAAGCUGAGCUUUCAGACAGUUUCAGCAAGAUGUAAAGAGCUUUCUAGAGAGAAUGAAGAGAGAGAAAAAGUAUCAUGUUAUUCCUUGUUAGUUUCUCCAUGUGAGCUCUGUCAAAUACUUUGAUUCAUAAAUAAAACUCAUUUUAGUCGAUUCUCCCUUGGAUGCAUGUUCUGCCUCAUUGCACGGCCGAACCACGUAAACAGUGCUCGUUUCUGGGUGUGAUUGUUUGUUAAUCUUGCUUAUUUCUUGGCUGAAAUCUUGCUUUAAGUUCUUAAGUCAUCUAUUGAGUUCAUCGAGGUCAUUCAAUUGUUCAUAUGUAGCUAGUUUGAUCUUGUACAGGGUCUUAGGCAGUGUUUUGAUAGCUUGAUUAGCAUUAGCGGCUAUCUUGACAGUACAAUUGGUAUCAGAGCUAGUUCUUCAGAUCAAGAUCCAAGUAUGGCUCCAUCAAAGAUUGAUCUUGAGAAGUUCAAUGGAAAGAAUGACUUUAAUAUGUGGAAGGUUAAGAGGGAAGCAUUGCUGGUAACACAGGGUCUUGGGUAUGCUAUUCAACAAGUAACCAAAAAACAGGAAAGGAGGUAUCUUCGUCAAAGACCCCAGGGCAGGUUGCUGAGAUAGACAAAAGGGCUGGGGGACAAUAAUCUUGAGCCUUGCAGACUCAGUGAUAAGGGAAGUGGCAAAAGAACCACGGUUGUUGACUUAUGGGCUAAGUUGGAGAGUAUGUACAUGAAAAAAUCCCUUGCUAACAGAUUGUACACAUAAAGAAGAGCAUCCCUUGCUAACAGAUUGUACACAUAAAGAAGAGCAUGUUUACAUUAAAGAUGAUUGAAGGCUCAUCUCUUGAUGAUCAUAUUGAUGGGUUCAACAAAGUGUGUGACACUUUGAAAGCAUUGAUGCAGCAUUAAAUGAUGAAGAUAAAGCCUUAUUAUGAAUGAGCUCCCUUCCCAAAGUCCUAUCAGCAUUUUGUUGAUGCCUUGAUGUACACACACACACAUAUAUAUAUCAUAAAUUUUAUUUUAUUUUGUAGUUAAGUCUUUAUGUUUUUUUCAUUUGUGUCUAUCACUAAAAAGCAGAGUACUUGCUUGAUUGAAUAGUGUCAUAUUACAUCACAUAAACUCUCUCAAUUAUUGAAAAAAAAAAAUCUUAAAAGAUCCCUACUUUGUGCUUAAAAAAUCUUUAAAAAAAUCUUUAAAAAUCUUCAAAGUUUUCAAUUAUUGAUAACUGAAAAUUAUUGAAAAAAAAUCUUAAAAGAGAUGUGUUGAAUUGUGAAAUUAAAACUGAGUUUCAGACAUUUCGGACAUGUCGGUUUAUAUCCGUGAUUGUGCAUGCCCUGUCGGUUGCUUGAUGAAACAGGAGAAUAUUGACCUGUGUGUAUUAUCGUUUACUUCCUGCAAUUAAAUCACAUGUUGUUCAUGUGAUUCCAUUUACUCUAUACGGCACAUUUGGCAGUCGUUUUGGUCACUUACUGAAGCACGGGUUAAGUACUUGAUUCAAGGUUGUUAACUGACCUUUACAAGGCGGGAAAAUUCUGGGUUUGUUAUAACAAACCCGGAAUGCAGCUAGUGAGUGGGGGAGUUUUCUAGACUCUUCAUGAUAUGUAUAUAUAGUCUUAGAGGCUAUAGUUGAGACAUAUGAAAAGCUUGUAACUUCUUCUUAAUGUUUGUAGUUUGAUCUCGGUGAUGGAGAUAAGAUUGCUGCCCUGUUCUCCAGGCCGAACCACUUAAAUUGUGCCUCUGUUUUGCUUGAUGACUACCAGUGGUGAGAAAACAGCUACAGAACAAAUCAAGCUUGAUGACUCAAAUAUUAGGGAAGCCAUAGUCAAGGCAUCUGGUUUAUGCAUCAACAGUGGUUCGUGGACUAGAAUUCCUAGCUAUUGCCGCUUCACAAUUGCACUGGAAGAAAGCGAAUUUGAUCGAGCUUUGGAUCGCAUAGCUAAAUUCAAAAGCAUCGUACAAAUAGUUAACUAAAAAACGGUAUUGUCAUUUGUCAUGAUUUAUUUCUAUUGCCUGAUGAUGAUACCCAUCACGCCUUAGUUGUCGUGAAUAAAUCUAAAAUCAACAUUUGUGACGUUAAUAUCCAUUUGUGACGUUUUGAGAUUAUAAUAUAUGACAACACUGAUUAGUGUUGUCUCCCAUGUGAAUUGAGACAAAUUAUUUUCCCAAUUGCGCUUUCAUUUGAACAAUUCCACUGUAGAUUUAUAAAAUAAUGAUCAAAUUGUGUUUUUUAUUAAGUUACGAGUAAUUGGUUAAAUAUUAAUACAAAACUAUUGUGAGAUGAAUGAAUCAAGUUGGUUCUAGAAACGACCGUGUUUUGGAGCUGUAAAGCUUCAUUAAGCUCACGUGCUUCUCAGCUGGUUCUUAACAGAAAACGAACUGAUCGAAACGACAGAGCUCAAGCGCGUUUUGUGUAUCAGUUUAAGUGACCACGUGAGGAAGCAUGUGACAAAGGUUUUCAGAGUUCGUUAAGGUUGUUAAACCACGUGUCAACGAGCGGCUUAUUCUGGAAAUCAAGGAAGCUACCCAAACAGAGUAUAAAGGCUGGUUUUUUGGGGUGAUUCAACAACGAUUUUCAUGAGUCUUGCAGAGAGGGUUUUAUGAGAGAGAAAGUGUGAACUUGUUCUCUGAAAAGUCUGGUGUAAGGUUCUGUAACAAUCUCCAUUACUGUUUCAAUAAAGCUCAUCUUGAGGCUUCUCCCGUGGAUGUAAGCUGAGCAUUCCAUGCUUAGCUGAACCACGUUAAUCUUGGUGUCUGUGGUUCUUUUCUUGGUUCUUGAAUCUUCAGUUUCUUGUUUGUGUUCAUAGCUAUUGUGCUUUGUUGUUCUUGGGUGAAUUAGUCUAAGUAAAUCUUGGGGGUGUGCAACUUGCAUUGACUAAAUCACAAGCAUCCUAGGGCAGUGGCCAGUUUAGCUUUGUUAUAGGCUUGCUGUUUCACUACAACUAUUUUAAGUAACAUGUGGCAUAUUCUAAUUCUAGCCAAGCUUCCAACUAAGAUUCCCAAAUCAAAAGAAUUUCAACCUUCAGAACAUUCUGCAAAACGUUUAGUCUCUACGCAGUGCUAGAAUUUUCCCUAAGUUUCUAUCGCAAAGACUUCUAAAGAACUAUUCAGAUAUCGAGCUAUAAUCCAGUCUAAAGUGUAUAUAUCUCUCUAAUUCACCUCCCUCCAUUUCACCAGAAAAUCGACGAACACUUAGCUUCAAACAAACACUCUCAAAAAGCUAGCUAGCUACCCAGAUGGCAAAACCAAGAAUUCUUGCAAUGACAAUGUUGUUUCUUGUUAUGGCAGCAACAUUGAUGAACAUGGCAUCACAAGCAAACGCUCUGAUGCCGUGCACACAAUCACCUUUCUUUGACAUGAUGUUCCCAAUGACGGAAGAGCCUUUCAGGGUUCUUGAACAAACCCCUUUAACAAUCGCAAAAGGAGCUGAUCAUCAUCAAACUCUAGCCCCAGCGAGAGCAGACUGGAUGGAGACACCAACAGCCCACAUGAUCACGCUCGACAUUCCAGGGAUGAAGAAAGAUAAUAUGAAGAUUGAAGUUGAAGAGAACAGAGUACUGAGAGUGAGUGGGGAGAGGAAGAGUAAUGAUUAUUAUAAGGAGGGAGUUGAAGGAGAGAAAUGGCACAGAGCUGAGAGGACAUUUGGCAAGUUUUGGAGGCAGUUUAGGAUGCAUAUGAGUGCUGACUUGGAUCAUAUUAAGGCUCACAUGGAAAAUGGGAUUCUGAGGGUCACAGUACCAAAGCUUGCUGCGUAGAAGAAGAGGCAGCCUAAGGUUAUUAACAUUGAUGAAGAGUCUGGUAAUUCUUCCAAUGAAGAUAUUAAGGCUACCAAGGCUCAAAUGUAAUUGAUUAAAGAAAGAAGUGAUUGCUUUGCUUGAUGUGCUAUUUGUUUAUGAUCUUUUCUUGGUUUUGUUGUGAGAUGUUUCUAUUUGGAUGCUCUAUUUAAUGUAUUUUGAUGGGUUUUUGAGGAAGGCUUGUAUGUAUUGACAACAAUAAACUGCUUUUUAUAAAUCCUAGUCCUACAACACUAGAAGAAAUUAAUACGCUUGGUUUAUAGUUGAUAAAAAUAUCUUUUUUUUAAAAAAAAAUCUUUUUCUUUGGCAUAUAGUAUGCCUUUUGAGGGGAAAAAUAUUUAUCCCACUCCUAAUUCGUCCUCUUCUGUGAUAUUAAUGUGUUAACACGAAGAUUCAUUGUAAUUGCAACAAUUUUGACGAAUCCAAAAGUUCAAUAACUGUUAAAUUGUAUUUAUAAAUACUAAUAGCGAAGGUACAGAAACGAUUAAUUCAAGAAGUUGCUUAAAGUGCAUUAAAUUAGGGAGUAUAAAUAAUUGUGUGAUACAGUCCAGCCUUCAUCUGCUUAUAAUUAGCAACCAAAAACCACUUUGCAACGCCAUUAAAAAAACAUUUUAACAUUAUUGCUGAGGGAAGAGUCAGCUUAGGCUUAUUAACUCGUAUUAUUAAUGCUGAUGACGCAGCUGGUAAUCCUUUUGGUGAAUAUAUUAAGGCAGCUGAAGCUUAAAAUUAAUUAAGCCCACUAAAGCUUAAAAGUAAUUCUUCUAGUGACGAUGCUUUGCUUAGUUCGCUUUUUGUUUUUAAAUUUUUUUGGGGCCAACGUUUUGCUUAUUUUGCUUUUUAAAUUCUAUUCACUUUCUCCUUCAAUUUUCUGUUUUUGUUGUUAUCGAAUUUGAUGAUGGUUUAUAUGUACGAAGAUUAUGUAAUAAAAUGCUAUAUAUUAUGUAAUAAAGUGCUUUUGUAACUAUAUAUAUAUAUAUAUAGAUAUUUCAACAACUGAGGAAGAGAUGGCCAUUAUACAUUACACAUUUGCACUCAAUAAGAAAUCAAUUCAUUAAUAUAGCCAAUAACAAGCCUGGUUUAUUGUUAAUGAAAAUUAAAAAAGAAAAAAAAAGUCUUUUUCUUUGGCCUUUAUUAUGCAUUUUAAGAGGAAAAAAAUUUAUCCCACUCCAAUUCAUGAAGAUAUUCUCUUUUUUGUCAUAUUGAUGUGUUAAUAUGAAGAUCCAUUGCAGUUGGUGAAUUCAAAUAUUCAGUAACUGAUGAAAUUGUAUUUAUAAAUUCAUACUAAUAGCAAUUGAAGAUUAUAAUUAAUUUUGUAAUAUGGUCUAGCCCUCGUGUGUUUAAUUAGCACUCAAAAACCACUUUACAAUAGGCAUUAAAAGAACAUUAUAACGUCAUUGCUGAUGAGUUCUGGUGAAGAUAUUAAGUUAAGGCCACAAAAAUCGAAAUGUACGUAGCUUCGUUUGUUUUUUGUUUUUGAUUUUUUUUGGGGCAAAUGCUUGGCUUCGUUUGCUUUUUCGUUUUUGAUAUUUUCUUGGCUUUAUUGUGUGGCAUGUUCUUGUUUUCUUUUGAUUUUCUGUUUUGGGUGUUAUAGAAUUUGAUGACGAUGUACAAACACUAAUUAAUUACUAAUAAGAACAUUAACAAUUUUUGUCGAAGUUUGAUCAAGAGAAAUAUUACACAUAUAUAACCGUACAGCUAAAUAAAAGAAAAUGAAGUUUAUUUCUAACGGCUAAGCAUGAGAUACGCAUAAGAAAUUAAUCCAUUAAUUAAUUAAUUAAUAUACAUGUCCCCCGCUGCUAAAAUAAUGCGAGCCCCUUACUCUACUUAACAUUUUUCUUUUUAUUAAUUUAUCAACUGAGAUUUGAAUUUUAAAAUUACAUACACAAACACGCUUGAUUUAAAAGAAAAAAAUUCUAAUAAUAAAAUAUUUUACAUAUGUAACCAUACGGCGGAAGAACAAAUAUAAGAAACUUACAGCUGAGAAUGAGAUAGGCAUAAGAAAUUAAUUAAUAGAGUCCUCCUCCUUUGCUAAAUAAUGCGAGCCCAUUGUUCUUUUUAUUUCGAAAACCCAUUAAUCACCAACACAUAAUACACGCCCAAUUUAAAAAAAAAAAAAAACUACUAAUAAAAUAUUUCAGUCUUCUGUUGAGUCGUCAUCAAAAACCCAUUUACGAUCUAUUACAACAUAAGGUAUAUGGGUUAACAAGUCCCAAUAUUGUCCUCCAUCCUUUCUGCACUUCUCUGCUAUCAACGGACAUCCCCCGAUGUAUAAUUGCAAAAGUGAGGAAGGCAGGCCCUUCUCCGGAAAGUAUUUGAGCUUGGGACAAUCCUCGAGAUACAAUUCAGUGAGGUUUUGAAGAUCAACAAUUGAAGAAGAUAGGCGUUCCAGAUUUGGAAAACUGAAAAUCAACAGAGAUGUUAGAGAGGCAGGAAGAGGAAGCGCGGUCCCCAAUCUUAUGUCAUCUGCCUUUGGUGGGAAUGACACCAUGUCGUCAUCGCAUCCGCUGAUUCUAAGUUGUCGCAGAGAGGAGAAUCUGUGGAAUCCCCGACCCCACUCAAUCGUUGACUUCCAAAUCUCCAUAUUACCCGCAAUCCACAGUGAAUGAAGGUUGGUGGGAAGGCCAUCUUCUUCAAGGCUUGGAAGCUCAACUCCUCUUCCUAUUGUUAAUUCUUGAAGAGAGGUCAGAUUGUGCAAUCCCUUGGGUAAGGCCUCCAGUCUCUCACACCCAUGGAUCCUGAGCUUACUCAGUUUCGCACAAGGCAAUCCCCCUUCGGGAAAGGACUCCAGAUUUCCACACCUUCCAAUACUAAUCUCUUGAAGCUGGUGGAGAUUAUGUAAACCACUCGGUAAAUUUUUCAGAUUUCCACAAUAACAAAUGUCGAUUGUUUCAAGAGAUGUGUUGUUGUCCAACCUUUCUGCUAUUGACUCCAGCUUUGAACAACUAAGAACAUGAAGGGACUUAAGAGACGGAGGUAGAUUGCCAACUUCAAGGGACUCAAGCGUGGCAGGUAACUCGUUUUUUGAAAAUAUACAUGUCAGAGAUCGACAACUCUCAAUUUCCAACUUCUCGAGAAGAGAUGAGGUGUACCUUCUGCUGCUGCUGCUCCUCUGGAUGCCCUCUUCCACUGUCAAAGUCCUUAUAUUAUCACAAUCGCUGAUGCUCAGCUGCUUGAGGCUCGGUGGCAGCUGGACAGCAGCAAUAUAUGUCAACGAAUGGCAGUACAAAAUACUCAAGAUCUCGAGAGAUGAAUUGGUGUCGCACAUCCAUGCCUCUGGUAACGAUUUCAGUGCAUCACAACUGCAAAUCUCAAUUUUCCUCAACUUGGAAGGCAGAGCAACCUCAGGAAAGGAAACAAGGGACCAGCAGCCGUAGAUUUCUAUCUCUCUCAAGGAACUGAGGCUGAGCGAUGAUUGUGGCAGCUUUACAAGGCCUUGGCAGCCGCUCAAUCUUAGAUAUUCAAGUCUGCAUGACAACUCGCAGAGCUGCUGUUGUUGGUCUUUCUCUUCCUCCGCCACCAAGGAUUGAAGUUUGGGACAGCUUGCAAUCGUCAGUCUUUUAAGAGAGCAACUGUCUUGUAGUAAUCCGUUAUGACUCUUCCAGAUAUAUGUAUGCUCUUUCAUAUCAUUUAUCUCCAAUUCUUCCAAUUUUGGCAGUUGCGGCUUUAAUGGCCCUGCGAGAAACACUUGAUUUGAUGCAUCUCUACAAACCACUGAAUUUUGAGAUCCGAGAUGACCAGUUGCACUUUCCCACACAACCUUUUUACAUCCGCCAAUCUGUAAUUUGCAAAGAGCUGGAAGACUCGAAACUGAAACUGACAAUUCUUCACAUCCUUCAAUAACAAGCAUCUCCAAUGCAGGAAGGUGCUCUGGAAAUGGUCCUUUCAAUUUAGAACAUCUUAAAAUGUGAAGCUCUCUCAAUUUAGGAAACCCUUCAACAACUCUUUGACUGGAUCCAUGGGAAAUCCAGUCUUCCCAUUCUCGCAUGUUUUCAAAAAUAAGAGUCUCCAAGCAUGGAAAAGGAAUUGGAGGAUCAUUCCCAUAGAACUCUGAACCCAACCUCUUUACUCUGCUCAUUCCACAUACUGCAAGAUGCUUUAGAGAGGGUAGUUGCCCGACUGACGGCAGGGCAGUACACAUGUCACAAUUUUCAAAUUUUAGGGUCACCAAAUUUGGCAAUGAGGAAUCUCCUAACCAAGCUGGAAAUUUUGUACCUCCAUAGCCACUGAUACAAAAUUGUUCCAAAAUUUCAUGAGGUUUUAGCAUGUCAAGCACAUCGUUUUCAGUUUUUGCCUCCCUUGAAGAUGAGCCAUCGGUAUUGAGUGCCCAUCGAAGCAAUAAUUCUCUAAGAUUCUUCUUUCCAUCCAAUUGAGCCUCCUUUGCAUCACCAACACAUUUUACAUUCUCCAAUUUUGAAAUGUUAAGUGUCCCAUGAAGGUGCGUCAACAACUUUAGCUCUCGUAACCCGGAACCACUGCCUUUUCCCACAACAAAAUUACACAACGUCUGAAGACAAGUCAACCUACCAAUUCCUACUGGCAUUUUCUCUAAAGAAUCUGUAUUUGAAUUCUUAAGAUGAUGCAAUUUGAGGAGAUUUCCCAUGUCUGCACACAACUUCUUCAGUUUCCGACAGUCCUCCAACAGAAGGGUGUGCAAAUUAUAAAGCUUAUUGACUGAUUCAGGCAGAGCUCUAAUCUGAGUUCCAGAUAGGUUAAGGUACCUUAAAUACCUCAAAUCACCAAUUGAAUCCGGCAGCUCAGGGAUGUGGUAUCCACGCAGAGAGAAGGCCCUCAAGCGUUGGAGUUUGAACAACUUAGGAAGAAUGCUAUAAGCCAAGUGUCCACGCGAACUAUUUGACAACGUUACUGGUAAAAAAGUUCGCAAAUGUUGGAUAUCGUACAAGUCCACAAACCUUUUAACGCCAUCACAAUAUUCAGGAAUGUAUGAUAGAUGACGAAGAUUUUCGGAAAAACUUUGCUGCUUGUUAACCUCUGAGGUAUACUCCAUUGUGAAGUAUAUCUCCCCCGCAGCCCAACGGGCAAGGUCAUUGAUAAGAUCGUGCAUCACAAAUCGUGAUAUACUGUUGCUUGAUUGCUGGAAAAAAGAUCUUGCACGUAGCUCUCGAAAGAACUUUCGACCUAGAUCUUCACUAGGAUUCCCGCUCUCUCCGUGAUCCAAGAGACCCACAGCACACCAUAAUAAAAUUAUCUCCUCCUCUUCAAAUUCAUAAUCCUUUGGAAACAAUGAGCAGUAUGCAAAGCAUUGUUUCAAAGGUGCCGAAAGAUAAUAGUAGCUCACUCUAAGCGCAGGUAUAAUGUCACAUCUCUCUUCUGGUAAAUCCCAUAUCUUGCAACUGAGCACAUCUUCCCAAUCACUUCGGUCACGUUUACCACGUAAGAGUCCACCAAGAGUUUUCGCAGCUAAGGGUAAGCCGUUGCAUUUGAUCACUAUAUUCUUGCCAAUGUCCUCCAAUGACUUAUGUGAACUGAAAUCUGUUGUCCCCAAAGAGUGCUGAGCGAACACAGACAGACAGUCCUCAGUUGACAAGCUUUUGAGUUCAUAAGCUUGAUCCAGGCUCAUGAUUUUGGCAACCUCUUCAUUGCGAGUGGUGACAACAAUCUUACUUCCCUGUGCGCCAGCUUGAAAUGGAAGGCUGAGGUGAACCCAGUCAUUGUAAUUCUCAUUCCAAACGUCAUCUAAAACAAGCAAAAAUUUCUUUCCAAAUAGUUGUUUCUUUAGCUCCUCUUGAAGCUUAUUCAAGUCGUGAUUAUCCACAUUCUGGUCACUAGCAAUUGAAAGUAGGAUUGAUUUUGUAAGCCUGCUAACAUCAAAAUCAUCGGAGACGCAAGUCCAUGCCUUGAGAUUAAAAUGAUCCUCCACCUGCUUAUCAUUGUAGACAAGCUGAGCAAGAGUGGUUUUACCCAGCCCGCCCAUACCUAUAAUAGGAAUAACAGAGAAUCCACCAUCAUUUCUUGAAUCAUCCUUCAACAACAAUUCAACAAUUUCCUUCUUUUCUGUUUUCCUGCCAUAUACUUUGGCUUCCUCCACCAAAGAGGUUGUCUCUUGCCUUCGCCUGGCUUUUUUGGAUCCCCCAGCUGAACUUUUUAUCAAAUUCAGCGAGCGUAUUCCUUCUUCAAUAUCUUGAAAUCUGUCGCUGAUCCCUUUGAUUUUGGACAUCAUGGCGUAAUCGAACUGAAUCGAUUGUGGAGUAAAAGUGGGGCAGCAAGUAGGAAUGAGCUUCCGAAACUUACUUUUCGUGCUUGUACGACUGCUGCUGGGUUGAUCAUGAGCAGCAGCUGGUUCUCCAUUUCCAAGCAGCAACUGCCUCCGGAAAGCCUCAGUUUGGAACUCAUCCAACAAGUCUUCAACAUCAUAAGCCAAGUUCUGAAGCUCGCCAAGCCACUUCUUCACAGACCGAUUAGUCGUCUUCUUCUCCUCAGCAUCAUCAAUCAUUAUUUGUAAUUAAAGAAUGAGGUCCAAUCAAUUUAUUGGAGAAAAAUUAAUUUUAAUUCUUAGGAUUUGAUUUCACUCUCUUUUACUUUUUGACGUUGCUAAAGAGACAGUAAAAAACUUACUAAAUGUCAUCAAAUGCUUGUAUAUCAUCUCACACUUUAGCCACAAAUGCUUGAUAUUUUUUUUUUCUUUUUUCCCGUACAGAAAGAAACAGAAUUUUGAGUUCUAAAGCAAAAUGAGAAAAUUGAGCAAAAUGCAUGUAGCAAGUCUUCCGCAUGUUUAUUCCAGUAAAGUGAAAAUAGAUAAUUGAAAAAUGAUAAACGAACGAAAGCGCACGAAGGGACGACAGAAAACGCGUUUCCUCAUCCAAUUUUGUUCUUGUGGACCGAAAAUAAAUAAUAAAAUAUUUUUUUUGGGAACCGAUAACAAAUAGUAAAAUAAAGAAUAAAAAAAAUGGUGUGAACGAACGAAAGCACAACGAAGGAGGAACGACAGAAAACGCGUUCCCUCAUCAAAAUUUUCUUUUAUGGGACCGAUAAUAAAUAAUAAAAUAUUUUUUUGUGGACCGAUUAUAAACAGUAAAAUAAAAAAUGAAAAAAAGGAUAGUGACGACGAACGAAGGCGCGAGGAAGGGACGACAGAAAACGCGUUCCCUCAUUCAAUUUUUCUUUUGUGGGACCGAUAAAAAAUAAUAAAAUAUUCUUUUAUGGGACCGACUAAAAAUAGUAAAAUAAAGAAUAAAAAAAUGAAAAAAAGGAUGUGUGCAAUUUUUCUUUUAAUAAUUUGGCAAUUUUUCGUUGCCAGAUUCAAUGAAUGUAAAAUCGCACCUCGAUUCAAAAUAAAUUUUAGCUGAACAUAAAUUCGCCUCAUUUAUUAAAUAUAUAUACUUAAUAUAAUAACAACGAUAUAGACCCAACUGAAAUAACUCAACGGAGAAAUUGAAACUUACUUUUUUAGUUAUGGCUCAUAUAUAAUACAAGUAUCAAGAUUUAAGUAGAGUUCACAUAUACACAUGCGGCUAGUUUUAACCGAGAGAUAAAUUAAUCAUUAAUACUCAGGUGUUUCUAAAUGAUUGAAUAAUGAUAUUAUACGAACCUUCCCUUUACAAGUCUUCACACUCAUAAACCAAGUUAAAAUAAAAUAAAAUAAAAAACGUUUCUCUCUCUCUCUCUCUCCUUUUGCCAUAUGAUUACUUUAUUUAUUGAAUUAAUUUCCAUGCUAUAAAGAAGACUUAAAAGUACACUAUAAUUUUUUAUAAUCACAACGGUAAUUUCUAUCAUCAUAGUAUAUUAUUGUCGUGUCAAAAUAAAUUAUAACAAAAUUUUAGAUGAACCUAAGUUCGACUCGUUUAUUAAAUAUAUAUACUUAGUAAAAAUAAUAAGACGAUUAAUAUGUUAUCAGGUAUAGGAUCAUUUGGCCACUUGGGCUUGUAGCCCAAUGGUGAACCAUUGUCCUUAAAGUUAAGCAUGACUAUGAGGACAAUGGUUCGAGUCCCCACGGACUCAACCUUCCUCAAUUAAACAUAAUUGUGUGGAGACUUCUUAUAACGUCUUUCUCCCUUGCGAAAUGCGAGUGGAGUAGAGACAUCCCUCCUCUAUGAGGGGUAUUUGGAUGGGCAUGUACUUUAUAGAAUAAAAAUAUAAUAAUAUAAAUCCCAUGUGAGUGGAGUAGAGACAUCCCUCCUCUAUGAGGGGUAUUUGGAUGGACAUGUACUUUAUAGAAUAAAAAUGUAAUAAUAUAAAUCUCAUGUAUAUAUAUCUGAUUGUAAAUAUCAGUAUAAUGACCUGCUAUCAUAACAGUUGUAUAUAUCUCUGUGUAAUUUUAAGUUUAAAAAAAAAAAAAAAAGGUAUAGGAUCAUUUGGGCAAUCCGAAGAGUAUUCCAGAAACCGAACGUGAGAGGCAGAUCUUUUGAUCCAACCAUGGCUUUUAUUGCCCCGUACAAAACUCUACUAUUAAUGUUUUUGUGAACAUUGAAGCAUAUGGACCAUUGACUAAGACAGCGGGACCCCUGAAAAUAGACCGUGGAGAAACGAUAGCAACUUUUAUCGAGAUGUGAACGUACUCACACUCACUACUGGAUCCCUGCCGGCCUUUUAUCUCACCCACCUUCAGACAUUGCCGCUCAAAUCACGAAGGAAAGGCAGUGGAAAGGGUAUGAUUGCUAUCAUUGUCCUACGUCCAUUGGAAAGUUAUAUUUUAAAAAUCACCAACAAGGUAUUUUAGGUCCCCCGUGAAUUAUGUCGUUUUUGUCACCCAUAUUUGCACCGACACUCGGUGGGGUGGUGCGAGGGACUAUUAAGAAUAAAAAUAUGGAGACACCAAUUAGGGAUUAUUAUUAUUAUUAUUAUUAUUAUUAUUAUUAUUAUUAUCAUUGCUUAAAAUCUCUUAAAAAAAUAUAUGUUAACAUUGGGAAGGAUAUAUAAUCUCUUUUUUAUUAGUAAAAUCUGUUUAUUUUAGUAGUAACUUAAUCUUUAAUUUACAUUUACUAUCAUGUCCCUAUAAUAAAUAAAUUAAUAUAUUUAACUUAAGAGAGUGAGCCUUCCAAUUUUACUUCCCAUUUGUCCAAUUGGCUUUCAUUCAUUUACAACCAUGUUUAACAUCUCAUUUUUCCUAAUUGGCAUUGGAAGAAAAUAAAUUUGAUUUUAUUUUUAUCUAUUAUUCAUCAUUUUUUAUCAUUGGUAAGGAUAUAUUCAUAAUUUAAAGUGAAUAAUUUGGACAAAAGAUAAUUAUAUCUUAAUUUUAAGUUGUAAAUAAAAAGUUGUUAGUUUUAUUAUACAUGUCAUCGAUGACAUGUCUUAAAUCAAUAUAUUUAUUUAUUUAUUAUAGGAAUAUAAUAAUAAUUAUAAAUUAUAAAUAAAUUUAUUAUUAAAACAAAUGGAAUUUAUUAACAAAAAUAGGAAUUAUAUAUCUUUUUUAAAAUAUUAAAACAUUAUUUUUUUUUUAGGGUAUCACUGUCCAUUUCCCAUUAAGCAAAAGAAAAAUCAGAGCCCACUAUAAAUAUAAAAUCAAUGGAGCUCAUGAUGAUGCAUUUGCUUUACAUACUAAAUUAAAUAAAAGCCGAACCAAGAAUCUUUGCCUUAGCUUAACAUGAUUAAUUAGGCACUACUUCAUAGAAAACGCAAAAGCAAUGAACCCUUUUUUUAAUCUUAAAUGUCAUGAAUAUAAUUCUUCUGCGUUAAUUAAUCAUUCUUCUCUGACCGUCUCUUCAGGUUCAUUUCAAAAGUUUGAAGAGAGUUUAUCAAUUCUUCUACUUAUAAAAGUAAGUUAAAUUAAAAGAUUUUAAUCUCUCUUCUUAUUACUAUAAGUGCGCUGUGCACGACAUUUUUUUACAAUAAACAAUGCCAAUUUGUAAUGUAAUGUUAUAUUCAUAUUCCCAUCGCGUCGAAAUUUUAAAUAAUGCAAAAUCGACUCGUUUGUUAAAAGGUAUAUAUUUAAUAAACUAAUAACAUAAUUAACAUAACGUAAAUAUUACACUAAUUAAAAUAAAAGACAGUAUCCGCCAACAAUAAUUAAAUUAGCAAGCUUCGCAUGCUCAUGUUUCAAUAAUUAAAUUAGCAAGCUUCGCAUGCUCAUGUUUCAAGAACUUAACAUUGGUGAAUUAACACCAAGGAUCAAUGAAAGAAUUACAAAAUAACAAAAUGGAUACUAUGCAUUUUUUCUUUCAACAGAAAAUGGGACUAAUUUUCAAAUAUUUUCAAAUUCACUUAUUUACAAAAGCAGUACAGAAUGAUUUCCUUUUAUUUUGAAACAUUGUAUGAACACGAAUAACAAUGAUACAAAGAGAAAAGUGGUAAUUCUCUGAUUUUUUUUCUUUUUUCCCUCUUUUUUGAAAGGAGACGUUGGGGUUUGGCUGUUUGCAAAAUUAUUGGUGUGGGGUUCUAUUUGCUUUUGUUUUCACUUUAUUAAUUAACUAGCGAAGCAAACAUGUAAUCAUUUGUAAAGGAGUCACUAGCAUCGGAUUAUGUUAGAUGAAUUUGUAAGACUUAUUAAUUUCAAUGAAAAUGUAGUGUUAUUAAGUUAUUAAUUCACUAAGUUAACUUGAGGUUCUAAUAUUUACUAAUUGUAGUGAUUAAUUUAUUUAACUUGUCAUAAUUUUCAUUUGAGAAUGAAAUUCAAUCAAUGUAUGAAAAAAGAAAAAGAAAAAAGAUAAUUUUUAAAAAUUUUUAAUUUCUAUGAUUUGAUUUCACUUUUUUCUGAAUAUUGACGCUGUAAAAGCUUUCCGAAUGUCAUCAAAUGCUUGUAUCCCAUCUCACAAAUUAGCAAAUAUCGUUUGGUUUCUUUAUACGUGGCCAUCACAAACUAAAAGUAACAACAUCCACCAUAUAUGGAAAAUUAAUUUUGAGAAUACUUUUUACUUUUAAAAGAAAAAUGCGAGUACAAUUUAAUAAGAGAGAACAAGAAUUCAUCAUGUUCCAAGUAACUGAAAAUAAGAUUAUAUAAACUUGAAUGCAGACAUAUCAUAUGUUAAUCUUAAUUUUUUUUGUUGCUGAAAAUUAAUUAAUUAGUUCCACUAUUCCUUUUUUAAUUGUAUGGUGAGAAACACAUUGACCACUUCUGAAUCAUGUUGCAUAUUUGUUAACUCAAAGAAACAGUAUAUUUUUGUAUCAAUCAAACUCACUUUGUUAAUAUUCUUCAUCAUUAUGGUUAAUGGCUUAGCAAAUGUAGGAGGAGUCAACCAAAAUGAAUCACUUUCUCUUGUAUUAACCUUUUAUUAAUUGUUGAAGUUAAAAAAAAUGUUAAAACAAAUUAAAAUAGUUCCAACUCAAAAUCAGUAGGGUGUAAGUAGGUUGUUAUAAAUAUUUUUAAAUUUUAGUCUUUUUUUUUAUUACAUGAGACUAUUGUUUAAACUACAACUCAUAUUACAUGAGACUAUAACUGAUAUUUACAAAUCAGACUAUUAUUGAGACAAACUUUAGCCUAAUUUAAUUGUGUGAUGCACAAACUUUCUCACUUCUUUUAUAUAAAUAAAGGGUAGAACUAUUUGAACUCAUUAAAUCACUUUUUAAAUCCCUCUACUUAUUAAGAUCAUCAUAAAAAUUCAAAAAUCCUUUUUAUACUCACUGCAUCUCUUAAAAAUAUCGCAAAUAUGACACAUUUGUCUUCACCUUCUAUUUAUCUUCAACAUUAACAAUUUUUAUUUGAAUCUGUAAUAUUUUUAACACUGUUCAUUCACUCAUUAGAGUUCCAAUAAUAGAAUAUAGAGAUUAAAAAUAUCAUUAGCAAAUUAUUUGUUUGUGUUCUAUAUGAUAUUCUUGGUUUGGAAAAAGCUUUAUCGGCAAUAUAUGUAAAUAAAAGACUAAGAACUUCCAAUAAUUCAGAUUUGAUCGAAACUUCACAAACUUAUUUUCACUUAAAAAAAUAAAAUAAAGUAAAAGAAAUUCUUGUGUUUUAAAAGAGAAACUGCCAGACAUGUUUCUAAGACAACUAGAAACCAAACUAGGCUUGAAGUAGUGAGUUUUGAAUUAUAAAAAAUACAUAAGUGUAAUUUCACCUAAAUCAAAUGAUGAAUUUCGUGACAACGGAUUUAGACUAUAGACCAAUACACAAAGAAUUGGAUGUUCAUCGCAUUUGUUCUUGAAAUUGUUUUGCGCAAAAAGGUUAACUAUUGUAUUAUAUUGUAUUGCAUUAUUUUAAUACAUGUGUAUUGUAUUAUGCUGUAUUGCAUUAACACUGUAUUAUAUUAAUACUAUACAACGUUUGGUUCUCCAUUGUACUCUAUUAAUUUUUAAUUAUACAUACAUUAUAUUAUGCUAUACUAUAUUAUUUUUUUGGUGGUUAAUUUCAAUUAUAUGUUUGGAAAUAAUAUUUAUUAGUACUUAGCAAAAUAUAAAAUAUAGAACCUUAACUUUUAGAAUAUUUACAUCAUUUUUUUUAGUAUAAAUGUAAAUAAUUAUAAUAAUUCUUCAUAGAACUUAUGUAAAAAUAACAAAUUCUGAAUUUUUGAUAUCGUAACAUUUUUUUUUAACGGCGUUUUUCAAAUGUAUACCUUAUUGAUGAUGCACCAUAAAAAUAAAUAUCAAAAUUUGCGAUCAUGAUCAAGUCGAGUUUUACAUGAUGAAAGCAUGACACAAAAAUUGAAAAAAAAUAAUAGCCGGCAAAAAGUUAUACAAGCAACAACAAAAGUGCUAAUUACUCGGAAAAUAAACAAUCAAGAGCCGCUGAUAGAUAUGAAUCAUAUGACAAGGUAGAGGAAUACAGAUAUCUGCAUACAUUUUUAACAAAGAUCAUCUUUGUAACCAAUUGUUGGCUUUGGCAUUAAAAGAUCAUCUUUGUAACCAACUGGGUAGCUAUAAAAUGAAUACUAAGUCAAUCAAAGGGGAAAGCUUGCUACAAGACUUUGAAGCAUUAUUCUGUUGCAUCACCUUCCUCCUCUGCCUCGCUUCCUGCAUCCCAAAUUAAAGAACAACAAAUAUUAAAUAACAAAAACAAAAUCUUCAAUAGACUUUUCAUACUCCAUAGAGCAAAUCUAUGGGAAUCCACAAAAUAAUUGAAAUACAUCAAUCCUGCAGGUCAUAGUAACAAAUUACAGAUACACAAUCAUGCAUAUGCAACUAAAAAAUGCUUAUGUAUUACAGCCGCUUUUUGGCAUCACUACUUCAUAAGUUAUAUAUGAUAAGAUAACAUUAUUAUUCUAAUCACAUGGUUAUGAUUUUAGUUGGACAUACAAAAGCUACGUGCAUGAAUCUGUAUGAUGCCACCUUUCAUGAGUCCAAAAUUUAAAUCAAAUCAAUUUGGUUGAGCCUUGAAAUUCCUAUUCCAGUCAAAGGAGAUGAUUUUUCCAAAGGUAAAGAAUGAGUCCGAUUACUUAAGCAUAUCAACCUUUUUUCUAGGCUAAAGUUUAUCCCUUUCCAUUUCACUAACUCUCCUCGCAAUACCUUGCGUCAACAUUUGCAUACUUGAUAUACUUUCACAACGGCUAAAAACUCAUUUAGUCUAUGUAUUUUAAGAUUAGUAUCUAUUUAAUCCCUAUAUUUUUAAAAAUACCUCGAAACAUCUCUAUCAUUAAAGUAUUAAUACCCCUACCGUUACUUUUUAUUUUUUUUCGCUUACUUUUACAAUAUUACCCUUUUAUUCUUAAUAAAUCCACUCAUUAAAUUAAACUCAUAUAGAAAGGUUGUAAAAAGAUCCCAAACUAAUUAAAAUUUUUAAAAAUUACCCUACAUCAAAUUAUUUUUUUUGUACCAUAAAACAAAACGAUAGUCGCAAACUUAUUUUGUACUAGGAGUAAUGAUUAUGUACAAAAAUGGGCACAGAAAGGUCUUUGGCUCUACAGUCUACUCGGUGAUUCGUGAAAUGCUUUCAAAGAGGGGGCAAAAAGAAAAAAGAAAAAAGAAAAAAGAAAAUAGAAUAUAUUCUAAUUUUUUAAUUAAAAAAAAAAAACCCUACUAUGUACUUUUAUAAUAACUCCCUCGAGUGCAAUGUCUCAAAGGUUGUCUUCUUCGUCCCGCUGACAACCCAAAAGGCAGAAACGCAAUGUCGUCGAAUUCGAUGGAGUCAUUGAUUCUCCAACUCCACGAGAUCUCGGCGGUUAAAUUCGGAAACUUUAAGCUAAAAUCCGGCAUAUCGUCUCCCGUUUACAUCGACCUCCGACUUGUCGUUUCUUACCCUUCCCUCCUCCGCCAAAUAUCCAAAACCAUCAUCUCCUCCCUCCCCUCCACAACCAAAUACGACCUCGUGUGCGGCGUUCCGUACACCGCCCUCCCAAUCGCCACCUGCGUCUCCGUCUCCAACGACGUCCCCAUGCUCAUGCGGCGCAAGGAAAUCAAAGACUACGGCACCGCCAAGGCCAUCGAAGGCAAUUUCAAGAAGGACGAAAUCUGUCUAAUCAUCGAAGAUUUAGUCACCAGCGGCGCGUCGGUCCUCGAAACGGCGGUGCCAUUGAGAGCGGCGGGGCUGGUGGUGACGGACGCCGUCGUAUUGAUCGACAGAGAGCAGGGAGGGAGGGAGAAUCUGAAGGAGAACGGAAUUGAGUUGCAUGCGAUGAUAAAGCUGAGCGAAAUGGUUAGGGUUUUGAGGGAGAAAGGGAAGCUUGAUGAGGAAACGGAGAGAGUGGUGAUGAAGUUUUUGGAGGAGAACAAGAAAGUGGCGGCUUCGAAUUUAGGUGGGGUUAGGGUUAGCGUUAAGGGUUUGAAGUACGAAGAGAGGGCGAAUUUGAUGAAGAAUGAGACUGGGAGAAAAUUGUUUCAAGUGAUGGUGAAGAAGGAGAGUAAUUUGUGUUUGGCUGCUGAUGUUGCCACUGCUGCUGAGUUGCUUCAAAUUGCCGAGAAGGUUUCUUGUUUUAAGUUAUUCAAUUUUCAAUUUUUGUGCUUUAAAUUGUAGGUACAAAUACUUAUAGCAGAGUGUACAGCUACUUCACAGCAUAAAUUCUGUUGUGAAAUUAUUAUUUUUUUUAAUUUCUGUUUUACAAAUUUCUUUUCCCUGAAAAUUGAGUUCAUUCCUUUCAUGCCCAUUAUUAGAAAUUAGAAACAUCCUAGGCUAGGUCUUGGACACGUGGCACACAUGUGGGUCAUGGCAGCCGCUGCUGGGCCUGAAGUUUAGGCCCAAUCUAUUAAUGGUUUUGUUGCUGGCAAUGCCAUUUGUUAAUUUUUUUUUUUUUUUGGGUUUGACCUUUGCCACCGAAAAAAAAAGAUGAUGUUGACUACAUUAGAGUACUUUACUCUGCCUACUGCCUGUUGCCUGUGGUUUGGUUGUUGAUUUUGUGACAUUUGGAUGUAAUAAUGUAUAAGAAUGUCCAAUAUAAUCAUUCUGGAUUAUCUUUUAGAGUGAUAAAACUGUGGUGCAACUGUGGUACCGUGCCACAGUUGCACCUGGAUUCCCACUUAUUCAAGUGAACCCCACUCAUUUGAGUGGAUCCAACGGCUGGUGCAACUGUAGCACGGUACCACAGUUGCACUGUAGCCUGACCCCUUUUAGAGUGCCAUUUAUUCUUUUGUAGUAGUUCAAUUUUUUCUCACGCAAUUUAAGGGAAAAAGAGGGAAAAAAGAAGUAUAUGCAUCGGUGAUAAUAUUACUUAACUAAUUUAAUAUUGAUUUGUUAAUCAUUAAUAUUUCGUGAAUGAUUUACAUUCAUGUUUUUCACAGGGUUCAUGAUAGCACUGCACAUAAUACGAUGCUUUAUUCAUCUGAUUUUCAUAAGAAAGAUAGUUUGUUUGUUUUUUCUUCUCUCUAAUUCUCAUUUGAGAUUUUCAGGUUGGACCAGAGAUCUGCUUGUUGAAAACCCAUGUCGAUAUAUUGCCUGAUUUCACCCCAGAUUUUGGUUCCAAACUUCGUGCGGUAUAGCUCCUCAACCCAUUUUCUAGGGAAAUAAACUCGACUAUAUUCUGAUUUUGUGGAUUCUUAUGAAAUGUUAAUUAAGCAAUACUAGUUAUAGCUAAAAAAUUUUCAACUCUUGAAGAUUGCAGAAAAGCAUAACUUCCUGAUUUUUGAAGAUCGCAAGUUUGCGGACAUUGGUAACACUGUGACCAUGCAGGCUGAAGGGUAAGACUCUGCGCUUCUAUAUUUCUUAAUUUCUUUGUUCUUUGUGUCCUUGCUUCCUCUUGAGGGUUCCUGUCUCUGUGUCUGCAGUGGUAUAUUUCGUAUAUUGGAUUGGGCCGAUAUAAUAAAUGCUCACAUAAUCUCUGGACCGGGAAUUGUGGAUGGUCUGAAAUUAAAGGUUAGAAUCAACUAUUUGGUAUAACUUUUGUUUGCCAUGAAGUAAUCAACUAAUCUGUUUCUAAUGUCACGCAUACUAUUGAUUUACCAGGGAUUGCCUCGUGGUAGGGGUCUGUUGCUGCUGGCUGAGAUGAGCUCAGCUGGUAACCUAGCAAAGGGAGACUAUACAGCAGCAGCUGUGAACAUUGCCGAGGAUCAUUCUGAUUUUGUCAUUGGAUUCAUCUCAGUUAAUCCAGCAUCAUGGCCAGGGGCACCAGUCAAUCCAGCCUUUAUUCAAGCAACCCCUGGAGUUCAAAUGGUAAAGGGAGGUGAUGAUCUAGGCCAACAAUAUAACACUCCAUACUCGGUAAGUUCUGUUCGUUCACUAGCUCCCCUCAACAUGUUAUUUUUCUAGCAAUACUAUCCAUGAAAACUAUUAAUACAAACUUAUCUAUGCAAAUGAACAUGGGAAUACAAUUAUUAAGGUAAACGUUAAAAGAAAGUCAAUUUAAUUGCCACAUCACCCAUUUUCAUUUGUGGUUUUUUUUUUUUUUACUAAUCAAAUUUCAAUGUGCCAGGUUAGUUUAUAUUGGUUGAGUGUGUAUGUCUAGUGUUUUGAUAAAUUUGUCACAAGUUGUAAAAUAGAUGUAAACUUGAGUGAAGAAUUAGCAAUUGAACAACCAGCUCCAAUCGAAUUAGCAUUUUUGCCUUAUGUUCAAAUUUGAGAAGGCCUAACUGAAACAUUUUUUCUUAGGGUCCCAGGUGCAUUGAGCUAGCCGAAGGACUAAUGGGUGCUAGUUACUUAAUAUAAUCUAAGAAAUAAAAUCAGCAUUUUACAUGUAAUGGAAUUUUAGGCAUGUCAAUGAGGCAUAAGGGGAAGAAGUUUUGAUUGCAAAUUUGGGAGGCCAUCAAAAUGAUUUGUUUUGGUGUGAUAACAAAAAAUUCUAAUGAAUAAACCCAAACCCUGGAAUGUUUUGCCAUAUAUCACUAGAUCCUCAAAAGGUUAGGAAAAUGAGGUAAAGAAGAUCCAUUUUCCUCCUGUUUUAUAUAUGUAGGAACUUUAUCUUUUCAUGGGUACAUCAUUGCUAUCACUAGAUCCCCAAGAGAUUAGGACAAUAAGAUAGAAAAGAUCCAUUUCGUCCUUUUUUUUUCACAUAUAGGAAUUUCAUCUUUUCAUGGGUACUUCAUUUCUAUGGAGCCAAAGAUAUCAUUUGCUCUAGUUUCUGAAAUUGAGCUUCGUAUACCAUGCUUUGAAAUUGACCCUUGACUAGAGAGAAAAAAUUUUCGUUUAUGACCAGAAAUUUUCUGUAAAUUGAAAUGAGAAAAAGUUGGAGAGGAAAAGCUUGGGAUUUAUAAUUUGGUAACAUGUUUUAUCUUUUCUUCAGGCAGUAAGCUUUGCUUAGCUGUGUCUAGAUAUCUUUUUGUCCUUGAUUAGCUGAAUUCCUAGAUAUUUCAUCCUAAAGACUUAUUCGUAUCCAUCUUUUCCCUCCAUACAUUGAACCAAUGUUGUAUCUUGUUUCAAAACAGGUAAUUUCUCCAACUUCAAAUUUAGCCUAGCCAACUAUAAUUUAACCAGGGAACAAGCUAGAAGGGGCAGAGCUAAUGAACUAAGGUUAACUGGUGUUUAAAAUAGUUGUAACUUGUACCUCAGUGAUUUUAUUCGAGAGCCUCACAGCCAUGUGAUAUUCCCUUUGUCACACAUAGUAUGACUAUUAAGAUGCUUCUUGCAGGCUAACUAAUCAAACUUGUUACACCAACAAAACAAUAGCUGAGUGCUCGACUGCUCUUAACCUGUUCUAUUUGGUUGACACUGUUGCAGCUUUAAUAACUUUAACGUAAAAUUGUUCUCCAGGUCAUCUACGAUAGGGGUAGUGACAUAAUUAUUGUGGGUCGUGGAAUUAUAAAGGCAGCAGACCCUGCAUUGGCAGCCCGUGAGUACCGGCUUCAAGGAUGGGAGGCCUACUUGGCUAAGUGCAGCUGAUCCUCCAUUUAGGUCUGGACUUCUGCUCGCUUCAACGGUUGCGAUAAUGAACAGAUGAGUCAAGUUCUGUUUAAUAUACCAUGCAUUGGUAUGUCUUAUGAAACCGAGAGAGUUUGAAGCUUUUGGCUGCAUUGUACUUAUAGUAACUUCUCAAGUCUGGUAAUGCUGCUUGUCUGGUUUUCCCAAUGAAACAUGGUUGCAAGAUUUCUGAGUGUUGUGUUAUCAACAAUAUAUGAAAUUUAUGAACGUGGUGUUUGGAGUUGCCAACCAUCUCAUUCAAAAUUAUCAUAUUGAAUGAUUCGGAUGAUUCCUCUUUUGUGGUUUGGAUGGACACGUGGCAAUGCGCAGUAGAUGCCUUGGAAAUUGGUAUCGGGCAAUCAUCUUUAAAUGUUGAUAUGGUAAAAUGACCAGGAUUACUUUAUGUUUAGCAAAACGAAUCCUUUUCUCUCUAAUAUUUUAUAACCUACAAAUAAUAAUGUUAAAAUGUCAGUUUUUCCAACCGAAACAACUUAUAAUUUAAAAAAAAAAAAUUGAUAGCAGAAUAUUAAAUAAAGGGAUAUUUUUUUUAGAAAAGGAAAAUAGUUAAUUUAGCCAAAUAGAAAGAAGAUACUCAUUUUCCCAAUGGUUUUUUUUAAACUCUCAUUUUCUCAAUAUAUAACUAAUAAUUUAACAAAGUGUUAUUAAUAUUUUAAAAUAUUUCUUAGGAUGAAUUGAUUUUUAAACGCGAGCGAGAAGAAAUUGAUAAGAUUUAAGGGUAAUUUUUAAAAACCUCCCCUGAGGUUUGAGGCUGUUGCAAGUAGAUGGUGAAAAUCAUUUUAUUUGUAAAAAGCCCCCUACCGUUAGUUAAAAUUUUCAUUGACUAACUGUUGACUUUGAAAAGACAAUAUUACCCCCAAUAUUUACAAUUCUAAAUAUUUAUAAUUUCAUAAGUAAUUAAAAUAAUUAUUUUCACCAUGAUCAAGUUAUUGAUAUUUCUUUAAAAUCUUAAAAAAAUAAAAUUACAAAUCUUAAAAUAAUUUUUUUUAAGUUUGUAAUAAAAUUACAAAUCUUAAUUAUUUGAUAUAAAAAUAUAAUUUUUUUUAAGUUUGUAAUUUUAUUUUUUUAAGAUUUUAAGGAAAUUUUAACUGACGUAAACUAUUAUUGGGGGUAAUAUUAUCUUUUUAAAGUCAACAGUUAGUCAAUGAAAAUUUUAACUAACGGUAGGGGGUCUUUUACAAAUAAAAUGAUUUUCACCAUCUACUUGCAACAGCCUCAAACCUCAGGAGAGAUUUUUAAAAAUUACCCUAAGAUUUAAUUAGUAACAUUAAGAUCGGUAAAUGAUAUAAUAUAAAACAAAACUAGUAAAGAACAAAAAGGGCCAACAUGAAGAAAACCCAAAAUUGAAACCUGUCCUUUUUGUAUUUUCUCGAGAAAUUUCUCUCUCCGACUUACAGCUCAACGGCUUUAGUUUGAAAUUCUUCACACUCUUUCAAUUGUCUUUCAACGCGCACACUUCGUAUCCUUCGUUAUUAAUUGUUCACACACGCUCCCCCAACACCGAGCAGACUCUCUCUCUCUCUCUCUCUUCUGUCCGAAUUAGGGUUCUGUUGGGCCGUGAAACAUUAUAAUGCGCUUCUGAUUUCAAAUACUUUUCCAGGUAAUUUAAUCUUUUUUUCCUUUCUUGCUUUCUGGAAUAUUCUAAGAUCUUAAUCUAGAUUUGUUUCCUCAUUUCGGCAUUUUAAAAAAUUUGCUUUUUUUUUUCUCUUACGGUUUAGGGUUCUCAAAAUCAUAUACGAUGCUGUUUUACUGCCACAUUUGUAAUUCGGCCAUUUUUCUUUUUCCUUUUUUUUUUGUGAGUGUUGAAAAGGAAAAAAGUGAUAUUUUCCUUUCUGGGUAUUGCUGGAUUUUGUCCCCAGAAAAAAAACUGUAAUUCCGUCUCUUUGCGUGUAUAUAUGUAUAGGUAUCUUCUACAUUACCAUCUUAUUGGCUUUCCGGGUGACGAAAAUGGGUAGCUUAACUUUCUUAUAAUUGAGUUAUGCUAUGUGGGUUUGUUGUGGUGAUUAAAUACUGAUGGCAGUGUCUAAUGAGAUGAUGAGGGAACUCUAUCUAUGCGAAAAUGCAUGGUGUAUUUCGUGUUUAAAGAUUUUUAUGCAAGUUUUAUUGUAUUACGUUGUUUUAUUAAUAUUACUGUCUCCCAAUAUUUGAGUUCUUGUGUUUAUCGAAUGAUAGAAAAGAGUUUACCCUGAUUUAUGGUUUUGAUUGAGAUGUAAUGGAUAUUUUUAUUUGAUUAUAGGUUGGGAAGUCAAAACUUGACCUUGGUGCCUGCAAGGAAGAAGUCAAGAAGAUUGACUAGGAAACAAGAUCUGUUGGUAAGAAUUCCUUCCCAACGAAAACUUUAAUACUGAUUAAUGUCAUAAACUUGUUGGUUCAUUUUUUUUAAAUUUAAAUUUUCAUUUGCCUGGGCAUGUUUGCUGUACUAUUAUUCAUAAAUUGGGAAUUGAUCUUUGAAUGAGUAUUGGAAUCAAAUAAUGACGAAAGUAUAUAAUGAACAGUUGAAUGUUCUUUGGCCAAAAUAAAUUCACUUUGGCAUGACUCAAGGCUGAAAGAAAAGAUUAUGUAAUGAAAAGAAGACAAUUUUUAUGAUGAUUAUGUAUACAUGUCAAACAAUGUCGUAAAAAGGAAAUAUGUCAUAGAAUGCAGAAAAUGUAGGAAACUACAUUGCCCCUCUUAGAGUUUAUCUAUAUAUAUAGUUUCCUUAUAUAUAUAUAUAUAUAUAUACCCUAAGGACCGGAAAGAGUUAAAGCUUAGGGUGACUGGUAGAAUUUGGAAAGAACAGUGAUGGAUGGAAGUGCUUUUUGUCUUGCAGCUUCGUGCAAUCAUGUUUUGCCGUCAUAGCUGGUAGUUGAGUUUUAUCUUGUUGGUGGGUAGUCCAGUGAGUCCUCUUGUUCAUGUAUUUUUUUGUUAUGUAGAAAGCAAAUUUUCUUUGCAUGUCCUUGCACUGAAUGCAUGAGUGGGGAAGACGUGUCGUGACUCUUUAUGCCUACAAUUGUAAUAUCUAUCUAAAUAUAUUUCAAUGUAUUGCAUUGCUGCAGUGCCAUUAGUUUUCUCUUUGCCUAUGAUGCAUAUGAACGAAGUCAACAGGAAUUAAAGCUUUGUGUCAUUAGUUUAACCAUGAAGCACUUGAAAGAGUUUUGUGGAAAGUUUUUCAAAGAAACAAAUUUUCUUAUUAUCAAUUUGCAAUUGAAUAAAAAAAUGACACAUUAAAUUCUCAAAAAUGACACAUUAAAUUCUCUCUUUUUAAUUAAAAAUUUUAUUAUCAAAAUAAUUUUUAAAAAUUACUUAAUUAAUUCUUUCUUUUUUUUUUCUUCUCAAUUUCAUAAAUUCUCAUAAAUUCAUUCAGAUAUCCUUUUUUAGCUACAAAUAAUCGAUAUCACUAAGUAUUUCAUGUUUGCUUUAUAUGAAAAAAAGGAAUUAUGAAUAAAGUACUUUAGAUAUAUUAUUAUUAUUAUUAUUAUUAUCAUUAUUAUUAUUAUUAUUAUUAUUAUUAUUAUUAUUAUUAUUAUGAUAUACUAAAAAAGGACAAAAUUAAACUAAAAAUAUAGUGAAAUUGAGUGUUUAAUUUGUAAAGAAUAGAGAAAAUAUGCAAUUGUAAGAUAAAGAGAGAAAGUGACAAGUGAAGAGUAAUUUUGAGAAUUUUAAAUUUUUAAUAAUAAAUUUAUUUUUUAAAAUAGGUACAGAGAUAAAUUUAAUUCAAAUAGGAGAGGAAUUUAAUGAGUUCAAAUAGCCUCACCAUUGUAAUAAUAUUAUACAGAAUUUAAUGUUAUACUAUAUUAUAUUUAUUUUUUAUUGAUAUUAUUUAAAUUUAUUAUUAAUUAUAUUAAAUUAUUAACUAAAUAAUUAUUUUAUGUUAAUUAUUUUUAUGUUAAUCAUUAAUAUAUAAAUAUAAUAUAAAAUAGCAUUUUUAAAUAAAACUACAUGAUACCAUAAUUUUAUUUUUAAAUUUUAUUUAUUAUAAUAAUAAAAUUAAUUAAAAUAUAUUUAAUGCCUCAAUUAAGGCAAAAGCUGGUAAUGUUCCACAAUGCAGUUUCCAAAACUUUCAAAUAUAGGUAACCAAUAAAUUAAUGUAAUCCGUAUUUAUAAUAUUAUGCAAUGUUAUGUUCCAAACACACCCUUAAUUUAGUUUUUGCCGCAUUAUCAAAUCUCGUGCCCUCCUUUGUAAAUUGUAUUGGUAACUUUACAACAUAAAAUUAUUUAGUCAAUUAGAAUAUAUUUAAUUCUUACUAUUUUAUAAAAUAUUAAAUUUAAAUGGUAAAAAUAUUGACUAUUGCCAACCAUCACAAUCCACCGCUUGCGAUAUCAUUUUGAUAUCCUUUGACAUCAAUUUAGGAAUUAAUAUAAUCCUUAUUAUUGGAGCUAUACAACGAUAUAUGUAAAACCGAAAAUAGAGCUUCAUUCAUUGUAGAUUUAUGGUCAAAGUUUUGUAUCUCUAAAUUUUGACCGUAUAUUUAUUAUAAUGAUAGGAAACUCUGUUGCUGAUGAGAUAUGCACCAUUGUGUAUAUCGAAUGAUGAAAAUUAUAAUGGUACCGAAAUUGACAUCAAAAGAUACUGGAAUAUGAACACCGAAGAUAGCUCAUGGUGGCCCAUGGGUGACGGUGGUGAGUAAUCUUCUGUCGUUUAUAAAUUUUAAAUAAUAAAUUUAAUAAUUAUAAAUAAUAAAAUUUUUAAGACAUUUAUAAUUAUAAAAAAUAAUUUAAUAUAAGUAAUAAUAUUUAUAUUAUUACAUAUAAUGCUAUACAAUAUAACACCAAAUAUUGUACAAUAUUAAUAUAAUAAAAUGAUAAUGCAAUAUGUCUACACUAUAAUACAAUAUAGUGUGCCAAACACUCUCUACGACUUUACUUAAUGUUGCUCAAUGCCUUUUAUUUCAAUUCCCAAUCAUGAGUUCAUCUCAAUUAAUGCUGGGCCCAAAUGUAGUGUUGUGCAAUGCUGCAAGUCAAACAUACCCUUUGUGUAAUACAUUCACACACGCACUCUCUUUUUUUAAGUAAGAGCAUCCCCACAUUGUUAAAGUAAAAAUGUCACUAAAAUACAAAAGAAUAAAAAUUUCAAUAUAUAUAUUUUUUAUUUGUUAGUAUAAUGAAAAUUGUGUUUUUUGUUUGUUAGUAGCUUCCUCAUUUUAACAAAGUUAGGAUGCUCUCACUAAAAAAUGAUUAUAUAUAUCGGAGUGAGUUUUCAAUUAAAGAUCCAUUAUUAUAUUAAAGUCAAUGAUAAAUUAAAAAUAAAAAAAUACUGGUUAAUAAUAUAUAUGCAUCAGAGUCUGUAAUUUUAUUUUUUAACUUAUUGUUGAUUUUAAUAUAGUUAAGAUUCAUGUAUAUAUAUUUAAAAAGUAGAAGAAGAAAUCAAUUUAAAGGGCCAUUGAGAUCUGGAUCCAAAAGCCCAGAAAACUUCAAAUUGGACUAUGACCCAAACAGAACCCCAGAAUCAACUUACACUCGACCUCUCCCGGAAGCAGUAUCGAGCUGAUUUUGCAGGUGAAAAUCCGUUGAUUUUAAUUUCUUUUUCUCCAAAAUUUUCAUUUCAGUUAUUAUUAUUAUUAUUAUUUUUCAAUAAGUUCAUCGAAUUUGUUCUCUGUUUCUUAACCAAGAAAAUGAUCAAAUAAAGUCUUCUUGUUGAUUCAGGUUUAUACUCGUAAAUAAUAUAUCAUGCCGGACACUCAGGCUCUUGUGAAUGACUUUCUUAACAAGCUUAAAAAACGGUGACGUUUCAGACAGUAUAUUUUAAUUAUUCUUUUUUUUUUUACUGAUUUUAGGAGCUGAUUUUGUUUGUUUGUUUUGUGAGUGGCAGUAAGAUCGAGGGCUCGCAAGCAACGGCAAGGCAGACCGCGGAGCUGCUUCGCUCUGUGAUUUCGCAGCAGCGCGUGCCGUACACAAAUCAGGCUGGAGCUUUAAUUGAUGCUGUCAAAGCUAUUGGCGAGCAGCUCGUUGCUGCCAAUCCUGAUACAAAUAUGGUACUUAGUCAUGUUAGUUAUUUUUAAUAUCAUUGUAAUGAUAUCACCUUUUUUCAGCUGAAUUGAUUUUUAUCAAAAUGUUAUUAACUUGAACUAUGUUAAUUGUUUUCAUCGCUCUUAAUUUAGUUUUGUUGUAAUCCAGCAUCCUCCAAUUAGUAGUUUAGUACAGCUAAUAUAGUGUAUGUGCUGUAGGUAAUUUGGCAUAGUUACCUCUGAGGUUGGGGUCUUGUACAAUUAUUUAUGUUAGGCACCAGAACUUGCAUUUGUUUGGGGCAUGCAUUAGAUAAUCUGGUAUCUACAAAUUUAUUGUACUUCCAUAGCAAAUAUUCUUCUUUUCUUUUUGAAUCACAUGGAUGAAACUAUGCAUUCUGCUGUUGAAAAUUAGUACUGUUGCUAUAUUCACUAUCAAAUGGAUUCGGCAUCGCUAAGAAACCUUUUCUACAAAGUUAUACUUGUUUUUUUAUUUAUGAUUUGUUUCUUUUAUUUCUUUCCCUUUUGUGGCUUUUCAAUUCUCCCUAGCACUUUUUUCCAGAUCCUCUUUCCAAAAUUAAAAAUGAUUAAUUUUCUUCUUUGUUUGUGAUUUAUGUUUUCUUCACUUUUCUGAUUGAUUAAAUGAUAUAUCAAUGCAGAGCUUGCCGUGGGUAAUAUUGUGAGGCGUGUUUUACACAUCAUUAGAGAGGAAGAUCUGUCUUUGACUACGGCUGCUAUUGGUGGGCUGAACUUAUCUGCUGUAAGUGAUGAUGAAAAUGAUGAUGAUCGAGAUGGCGACUCAACUCUAUCAGCAGCUGCUGUUGCUGCUGCUGCUAGAAGUACUUUGCGUCCACCUUCUUUGCAAACUCUGCUCGAGGACACACCUGUCUCUGCAGCUGUUCCUCAGACUUCCUCAUCUGGGGGUGAUUCUGAAGGAAAAAGCAAAUGUGUGUUACUUUUUUUUUUUUUUUUUUAUAAAGUGUUUUUGAUAAUUCUUCAAUCACAGCAUCUUCUGUUAUUUUCCCUAAAUAAGCUUGUCUUAUGUAACACAUGUUUUAAAUAUGCAAUCGGAUGCAUCUUGGUGAUAAACUGGUGUUCCUGAAUGUUUUAGCAUUGAUGAUUUAGUUAAUUCAGCCUUAUGAUGGUAGAUAGUUAACAUACUAGUUUCCUUCACAGCUGCUGAUAAAAGUUCAAGAAGUCGGAAGCUGAAGCAUGAUGUUAUUGAAGCGGUUAAUGAACUUAUUCAAGAUAUUGUCACUUGCCAUGAACAGAUUGCUGAACAAGCAGUGGAGCAUAUACAUCAGAAGUAAUUAUUCCUUUUCCUGAUUUCAACUAGACAAUAUGUUUUUUCUCCAUACUUGGACUUUAUUUUCAGGAGAAUUGGAUGUCUACAUAAUUCCUUUUUACCUGUUAAUUUAGGAUAUAUGUAUUCAGUUUGUUGUUUAUGAAUGUACUACACUUAAAAAUGCAUGCAAUAUCUCAUUUAGAAGCAUAUAUAUAUGCUCUUUUCAUUCUUGUUAGGUUUUUUCUAUGUCACUUUCUUAAGUCUAAAAGAAUAAUGUUGUUUGUCUAUUCUCAUGUUGUCUUCCCAAGGAAUUGUAGGAUGAUAAUUUCAUGUAUCGAUGAUGAACUGUAAGCAGUUUUCAUAUCUGGCUUGCAAGCAUUCCCUUUUAGUAUGAUGUGGAGGUUAGGUUGUCGGAAUUGUUGGUGAUUCAUUGACCUGAGGGCUAAUUACGGUGCUGGCAUGAGUAUAAUUGACUUUAAAUGACUUUUCUGCACAGAACUAAGCUGGGCUGUGUAUUUCUGUAUUGAUCACUCAUUUGUGCUCUUUAGAACUUAGAAGUGCAGGAGGGUAGGUUAUGAGGGGAUUUGGAAAGUAGGAAUUCAAAUGCUUAAAUUGAUAGGCAUACUUGGGCAAUAAGGCGUUUAAAUGCUUCACUUGUAUGAUUUAACUACGAUUUGCAACAAGAGCGGCAUCAUUCAUUUAAACAUAGAAGAUUUAGAAAAAUUGUAUUGGAUGUGUUAGUGCUAAUGAACUUUUAAGCAUUUGGUGUUUCUGCUUUUUUCCUUCUAGGUGAAAGUGAAUAUGUUUUAUUUAACUCAUUCAACAAAUUGCAAAUUUGGUAAGGUGGUAACUGCGACUUUGCUCAUGUUAUUGUUUGACUGCGUAACGAGUUCAACUGUGUGCUUUACUGCCGAGAGAGCUCUAAUGAAGCUGUUUUUUGAUUUUGAGGGGCAACUUCAUUAGCUCUUUCAUUAGGAUAAUAAUAUAUGUAUUAUAUUCGUAUUCUCCUUAGAGAUAAGGAUAAGAGUGUAAUAAGUGUGAUGUGACUUAAAGUAGGUAAUGAGUUGUAAAGUAGAUUCCUUAGUGAUAAGGAUCAAUAAUGCAAAUAGUGGAUCCCUUGAGCCUAUAAAAGAGAGUCCAUGGUUUGUAUCUAGGCAUCGAGUCUUGGAGUGCAAAUAGUGGAUCCCUUGAGCCUAUAAAAGAGAGUCCAUGGUUAGCAGGGGAAAUAUUGUGAUUCAUGGCCUUUAUCUAGUUUGGGUCAGCUAUGGCAUAUUAUAUAUGUUCUCUUGUGUCUUAUCUCCUAUAUUGUCCAAUACAUGUAUAUGCUUAUUUUUAAAUUCUUCAUCUAUGUUUCUUCCUACCAUUUGCUACUUCCAUUAAUUUUAGCUAUUAAAUGUAUUUUCAGUGAGGUAAUAUUAACUUUAGGCAGUUCAAGGACGGUGUUGGAAUUUCUUUUUGCUGCAAAGGAGAAAAAAAGAUCAUUCCGGGUAUUUGUCGCAGAGGGUGCUCCAAGGUUUGUGCAAUGGCUUGCUAUUUGUUGAUUGCAAAGAAAUAUUUCACUGGCUACUUUGGCUCUGAUGUUCUCUCUCUCUCUCUCACAUUCUCUGUUUGGUUGCUGUUCUGCUACUUCUUGUUUUAUAGGUAUCAGGGGCAUCUGCUUGCAAAAGAAUUGGUAGCAAGAGGUUUACAGACCACACUGAUUACUGAUUCUGCAGUUUUUGCCAUGAUUUCCCGAGUAAACAUGGUAUGUUUGGGCCACUUUUCUCGUUUGGUUUUGGAUUUCCUGAAAUGUUUUUAGCUUGAUCUAAAAUUUUGCAAUGUAAAGGUUAUAGUUGGAGCUCAUGCUGUCAUGGCCAAUGGUGGGGUUAUAGCACCUGUUGGGAUGAAUUUGGUUGCACUUGCAGCUCAGAAGCAUGCUGUCCCUUUUGUUGUACUUGCCGGAAGUCACAAGGUAGUUUGGUGCAACAAACUGCUUAACUAGAAAAUUAAGUAAAAUUUAGAAAGCCCAUUUUCCUUAACUGCCAUUCCUAAAUUCGUUGGUCUUGUGUAUGAACUGGUGUGGAGUUUAAGAUGGUGCUCAGUUAUUCAUGUGAAGUGAACUUCCCUUUCAGAUAAAACUGAUCACUAAUGUAAGGAGUAGUAUGUGCAAGAUGCAAAUGUGUUUAUGAAUAGUAUGUGGGUGUAAAAGCUCAUAUUCUUUGUACCAAAUAUUAUUGAAUGUUGGUUGAAUUAAUCUCUGUAGCUGCAGUCCUUUUUAAUGCAUCAACAUGUUUGCUGGGUAUUGAAUUGCAUCUGGUUGUAAUAACAUUGUAGUUGGAGAUAAAUCAUUGAACUCUGGUACUUCAGUUCUGGGUAUGAUCUUUUUGACAAAUGUGGUUGGUCUAUAUGACAGUUAUGCCCCCUCUAUCCGCACAAUCCUGAAGUUUUACUGAAUGAGUUGAGAUCCCCAUCAGAGCUGCUGGACUUUGGAGAAUUCUCAGACUGCAUGGAUUUUGGGAGUGGCAGUGGUUCCCCUCUUCUUCAUGUGGUCAAUCCAGCAUUUGACUAUGUUCCACCGAAACUUGUUAGUCUUUUUAUUACUGACGCGUAAGUUCAACUGCCCUUUUAGCAUGAGACAGAGACAAUCUACACCUUACGUGCAAUUUUUAUGCAAUAUAUAUAUAUACAUUAAGAUUACUUAUUUGAUUUCAUUGUAGAGUACCAGUUUUCUGGCCCCUUUAUUUUCCAUUGGUGUUCCAGUUCUAUCUCUCAAUAUAUUUCAUUUUUUUUCCUCUGCUAUUGCUGUGUUGUUCUGCUAAUUUCUUUUCUUCUUCACAGGGGAGGGCACAAUCCUUCAUACAUGUAUCGGUUGAUUGCUGAUUAUUACUCGGCUGAUGACUUGGUUGUGCAGCGAAGAGCUACUGCUGGGAAUUGAUUUUGGUUUGUAUCAUCUAUUGUGUAAGUAGUCUUUUUGUGCCAAUGCUCUGGUGGAAAAUUGUUGAUUUUAACAAAAAGGAUAAUCUUUUUAAAUUGACAUAACAAUUGGUACUCUUUCUGAUUGUUAUGAUUCCAAUAAACUUAAUUGAUGUUGCAAACUGCUUCAUCUCGGGAUAUACAAUAAUUAAAAGAUGACAAUGAGUGAAUGCUGUAACUUGGUAUAUCAUUUUGAGCUUUGACUUUAUCUAAUCUUUGCCCUAUUUUAAGGUCAGGAAUUUAUUAUGGCAAGAGCAUUAGCUUUGGGUUUGAGAAAUUUCAAAUCACUGAAUUUGGAGCUGAGCUGAUGCUGUAAAAGAACUCAGGGACAUAGCGAUUGCGAGGCAAUGGUGUGAACUUAGUGCAAAUUUUAGGGACGCAAACAAUGAUAGGAUAAUUUUUGUUGGCAGAAAUAUUAAAAUGUAAAAUAGAGGCUAAGAGUUGUACUGAGAUAAAAAGGUGGAUACGGUUGGAUAAUAUUUUUUGAUUGUAUCAAGGUUGGUGGUCAAGUGCUGUAUUCUUCUUCAUCAGUGAUUUUCAGACGGACGGUAUAACAUUGUUGUAUUGCUUGUUGCUUAAAAUUUUCAUAGCAGAACGUAGCUGUUGAGAUGUUUCCUAGAAUAAUUUUCUCGUCUUUGCAUGAAUAACAUUGGAGAAUAAUUAUCUGUUUAACUGUGUGUUUUCUUUCGUUCCUCGACGGUUGAGACAUGUUACUUUUGAGUAAUGAUAUGAGCCCAAAGGUCGACAUAAAUGAGUGCCAUGUGGAUGCCUCCAAGAAAGAAACAGGGCGUCCAAACCGCAUCAUGAGAGUGACAUAACGUUUGUCGGGCUCAAUAUAUCAUUACAUGUUACGUUUUGGAACAUAAACCAAGGAUUUGAAAUGCAUUAUUAUACAUUAAUCCCCCUGACAUAAUAGGCCGAACCCUUUAAGCCAUUUGAGAAGGGUCGAGUGUUAAAAAGGGAGUAACAAGAGCUACGAGACUAGUCUCUUGACUCGCAUUACAAGAGGUUACAUAAAACUUCGAAUAUUAAAAUUAAGGCGCACAUAAUGCAACUUAGAUAAUGAGAAAUCAGCAGUAACUUUGCAAACAUUGGAAAAUGUUACAUAAAAAUGAGAAUACAGUUUUCAUUGAUGGUCUACAUCGAACCAGAAAUACAGAUAAGUCCUGGCAUAUAUAACUCGAACUCGCUGCAGCACUAGAUCUCCACUAGUCAAAACAGCCUUGGCACCUCCUUCAAUUCGAGUAUGCAAAACAGUAACACUAUCACCAUUACUCUUCAUUGGAGUAGAUGUAAUACAGCUACGAGCUGUACUCACGAUUGGGCAUGAGAGGAAGUCCAGUGGAUUCGUCUCACACUGAAGUACACACCCAUCUAUAGUUAACCUUCCACUCCGAUGGAGAAAGCAGCAGCCAAGCUCUGCUUUCACUGUUAAAUUCGCCAGCUUGCAUGUGGAUAGAAACUCCAAGGCACUGCCCAAACAAAACAAAUAUUGCAUAGCAAAUUUUGUUGCUUGAGAUAUUAUGCCGGUCAUUUUCGAGGAUCCUACUUCAUAUUUUUGGAUAACUAAAUCUAAAGGAAGAGGCUUGGUAUAAAACAGCUCAACCUUAAAAUAUAUAACAAGAUCUUGAAAAAGAGCAACCAGCACAUCACAAUUAUUCAUCUUAUGUGAUGAUUUAUUAUAUCUACUUGUGAACCAUGCAUAAAGUCUGUUGAAUUAAAGUGUCACUCCUAUUAACGGUAUCUUCUGUAAAAUCCAACAAUAUGAAAGGGUCCUCAUGUAAUUCUAAUUAAUCUCCACAAAACAGUAUAACUUAAUCUGAAAUAAAAACCAGAAAAUUUACAAACCUGUCCGAACCUCGAGAACAGAUGAGGGUUGUUUCAUCAGGAAGCUCACCUCCACCGACCUGAAAAGUAAGUUCAGAGAAAAGGAAAAAGUGGAAAACAUUUAGAUGACAGAGAUCUUAUUUCUCUCUCUUCUGCUUUCCAACCAAGAAUAGAAAGUGAGAAGCCAUGUUUUUAUCUUCAGUAGGCAAUUACUUUGCGAUCAUAAUACAAAAAGGAAACCAAGGAAAUAAGUGACAAUAGCCAGCUUUCAUGAGUUGCGCUGAAGGCAGAUUUGUCACUCAGACGAAGCUGGUUUACUCAAUCAUAUCGUUUCUCAUAUUGGAUUGAUUCCUUGAACCCGCAUGAUAAUGGGAUAAAUCUGAUGUUGACUUGUGCAAUAAAGUUCCCUAAGGUUAACCAAACUAUGAAUUUCAAAUUCACCAGUCCUCGUAUGACUGCAAAACUUAAUUAGACAUUAUGAGCCCUAUAUGAGAAUAGGGUUUAAAUUUUGGGAUUUAUGGUUUAGGUAUCUGCAUUAAUCUGUGUCUCUAGUAUAGAUAAUUUUUAUUUACUUUUUUUUUUUUUUUGAUGACAUGAGACUAUUGCUCAAAUUACAACUCAAAUUACAACUCAUAUUACAUGAGAGUAUAACUGAUAUGUACAAUCCUAUAUAUAUACUGAGACCUAUUGAUAUUAAUGCUGAUAUGACACUGCUCAGAUUUUUUUUUGUAACCCUCUCAAAUAUUCGAGGGACGUCAAACUCCCCUUCUAGGAGAAAGACUGCCUUCACUCGAGCUCUGGGGCUCCAAGGAAGGAAAUAUAAAUUAAACCCCUACAAUACGCAUGCGGAGGCUCGAACCCCUUCCCUCACAUUUGUGAGGGAGUGGCUCUAGCCACUUGGGCUAAGCACAAGUGGUUUUAUUUACUUUCUAUAUGAGCAUGCCAUUCACUCUUUUUUUCAUUUUGGGAGAAGAAACAGUCAACCUACAAAGAUAAUAAAAUUCAAGCAAAUAUAAUAACAAUUAAUGUCAACAAUAGCCCCAAGAGGUGAAGAAAUUUUACCCAUCACCUCACACAGUUUUACCACAAGUCAGAGUUAAUCCAAAUUCAUUAGUUGGGGGCAACGCCUCAUGUCAACUUUGAAUCAACUUCAGAAGAAUAACCUUCCAUCAAUAACUUAUACAAUUCAUUUUUAAAUUAAUUUUAACAAUAAGUCUGUAUCAAACAUAUCUUGCAGCUCAUUAUGUAGAAUAUAAAUUAAAGAAUAAGAAUUCUGUUGGACUAAAUGACUGUAAUGAAAUAUGUACAGUAAAAGGACAAAUAGUGUGCCCCUCUUUUUUCUUUUUGCCUUUUUAAAUUUUCAUGAUAUUAACAGUCCAAGAGACUUUCCUAACCAAGUUUCUAUAGUGUAAAUUACAUCGCGGAAUGGGAAUAAUCCUUUAAUUGUUCACAUGAGUGUAUUAUUGAGAACAAGGAACGAUUGAAUAACGACCAAAUUAAGUCAGGCACAGUGGUUUGUAUUCGCACACAUAUAUGAAAUAAUGUUUUAUAAAACAAACAACAUACCAGGCACAGUUAUUUUUUUACUGAAUAUUAGAGACAGGAUGACUAUCGCCUGCUGCAAUUAAAAUGGUGUCGCCCGAUCUAUGAGGAACAAUAUGAAGAUCAGGUUUUAUAGUCCUAGCGUAUCCCACUUCUAUUGUUAUAGUUUAGAAGUUAAGUUAAUUUUAUUCCAUAAUUUUAUGAUAAAAAUUUAUAAUGUCUUGACUAUUUUAUUAAAAUUAUUAAAAAUUAUAUUUACUACACAUUAUCAAUUUUUAUUUCACAAUUAUAUGAAUUUUUUUACAGCAAUCGUAAUGUUUGAGUUAAAGCACCUCAAUAUUAAAUAAAUAUUUAACCUACAUCUUUUGUGUAAAAAAAAAAAACCACAAUUCUUGCUGAAUGUUUGAUAAAUCACUUGCCAUACAAUAAAAUUUCAUGAUAUUUAUAAAAAAUAAUUAUGAAAAUUUAUCAAAGAAUUUGAUAUUAGUAACAUUUUUAUUCAAUAAUACUAACUAUACUUUUUUUAAGAAAAAGUUGGGCCAGAUAUCAAAGCCCAGCUGGCUCGUUUUGGGCGAAAACUUAAAAGCAACUCUGGUGGCCAACAUUGGGCGUAACUCAGAAGUAAUUUCGUGGGUGGCGUGGGUCAUGUCGGUUUCUUGUGGGUGGUGAAUGAGAAUAUUGGGUGCUGUUAGUGUUGUCGGUUAGUCAAAUACUUGAUGAUGGUCAAACAUAGCAAACCUUAAAAGAAAGAUUUUGAUUCAGUGAACAGUCGACUUGGAGUUUGUUGAACAAGUGGAAGAUGAAGAGAAGAUAAACAGUGAACGAAGUACUAAACGAUUCAAAAGCAAAACUAUGAAAAAUAAUUCUUUUAUUGCUCCAAUAAACAAUCUUGAUGAUGGCUGCCUUAUGCACGUAUUCAGCUUCUUAUCCCCAAUUCCAGGUGACUAUCUUUUUUUGGGGAAUUAUUUGUAUUUAAUUAAAAAAAAUCUUCUCUUUCUUAUAAAUGUUUAGUGUCAUUAAGUUAUGUAGUAUUUGUGACCUGAAUGUUGCUGGCCUUUUUAGAAGUUUGCUUCGGGUUUUUGACUUUUGUGUUGGGAGUCUUAUUUAUUUUCCCUAUUGGGUUUUGCCCAAUUCAUCACUUUUCCUGAAAUUUAUUUUGUACAUUGAGAGGAUUAUUUAUUUUUUUAAAAAAAACAAAAAUUUUAUAUUUAUGCGGAAUUUCAGAAUAUGGGCAUUUCUGUUGUGAACAAUUGUCUAUUAAUUUUAAAUUCCUGUUUCAAAAACUCUAUGUGCUAAAUUUAUGUUAUUGAUACUCUUUUGUGCGUAAAAUAGUAUAUUGUGUCCCUUAGAAGGGCUGUAUAUCCUCAUUCUUCACAUGCCUUAAAAGAAAUCUAGAAGGAUCGGAUAGAAAUUAUUGUCAAAGAACAUGAUAAUUACAUCAAGAUUUCUGGGGUUUAAUAGAUAUUGUUGAGUAAGCUUGACAUAUUUUAUGCAUAAUUGUCUUUAUGAUGAUUUUGACAUAUUUUAUAUGUAAUUGUCUUUAUGAUGAUUGUUUGGCAUUGAGAUGGAUGUUUUAGAUGUUUGCCAAAUGCAUGUAUGAUAUAAUUUUGUGCGAUCUCUUUCACAGUUGUUAUGGAGCUUGCAGAUCGGUAUAACACAGCACUCGUUUGCCACAGAUGGAAUUAUUUGGCAUGUCAUCCUCGCUUGUGGCUGCGGGUAGAUCAGUCUGUUAAGGAUCUCUCAGAGCCUGGAGUUUUCCCCGACCUUAAGACAGCCGUAUCUGUGGCAAGGUUUGUAAUGUUGUGACUGCCUGUAUGUGAUUUUAAACACUUUAGGCCCUAUUUGGAGUGUUGUCAAGUAGCUUGAUUGCCAUAAUGGAGUACUUACUCAUUUAUUGCUACAACUUUUAAGGUACAGUGUCCAGCACAAUACUAAACAGAAUUAAAUAAUCCAAAACAAAUUGUAAAUGUUAACAAUGUUUAAAUAUAGCUAAGAACAUCAAUAUAUAUAGAGUUUGUAAAUAACACAUACCCAAAAAAGUAUAGAAAGGCAAAGAUAGCCUCAAGUUUUGUACUAAAUUGGAGAAAAAAAAUAAAAUGAUUUUUUCCAAAAAUAACCACAGAGUUGUUAGUAAUAAGUAGAGAUGGUAAAAUGAGUUGUUAUCAUGACACGAUAACACAACAUGGAUGUGGCACGAAUUUUGUAUAUUCAUGUUGAUAAAUAUUGAUACAAUUAAUUAAAUAGUUGAUACUAUACGACACAAUAAAUAACCGUAUGGUUUUCAUGUUGGAUCACCUCAGCAUGAUUACAUGUUUAUGGCAUGAAUAUCAAUUAAUAUAAGUAAUAUUAUUAAAAAAAUUCACACACACACACACACACAUAUAUAUAUUUGUGUUGAUAAAUAUUGAAAUGAUUAAUAAAAUGGUUGAUACGAUACGAGACGAUAAAUAACCGUAUUGUUUCAUGUUAGACCACCCUAACAUGAUUACAUGUUUAUGACAUGAAUAUCAAUUAAUAUAUGGUAAUAUUAUUAAAAAAAUUAACAUAUAUAUAAACGAUCAAUAAAUGAGUCAUACCCAUAUUUUGGUAUUUUAAUAUUGAUGUUUUGAUAUUUUGAUACAAUUAAAAAAAAAUAGAUCAUGUCAGUGUUUUCUUAACUUGAUACGACAUAGUUUAACUCAAUUAAGUAACUCACAUGUUAAAAAUUCUCUAGUAUUCUCACAAACUCUGUAGCUCCGCCAGUGGCUAGUAGUGUGGGAGUCAUUGUGUGAGCCUUUGUUAUUGUCUUUGACACUAUUUGUUUUUUAAUUGUUAUUUAUGCCUUUCUAAGUUUCUAACUAUUUUUAUAAGUUCGCGAUGAAGAUUUCAAACUAGUUAAAUUGUGUGGCUCACUUUUGUUGAAAGAAACAGUUGCUAUGAUUGCGGUUUCAGACAAGACAUAUCGUUAUGGAAAUGUGUUGGCUGCCACUAGUUUAGUGAGAAACGUUUUGACGUAAUCGGUGAAUAAGGAUGUCUUUAUUUGUAGCGUUGCUCUGAUUUGAAAGUUCAUCAAGGAUGUUGGGAGUAGAGCAUUUAGAACAAAAUAUAUUCUUGUUUCCUUUUCCUAAUGAGAAUGAUCACUGUCAUAGUUUGUUAGUGAGACCUUGGCAUUUUUUUUUGAAUUACAUGAGACUAAUGCUCCAAUUACAACUCAUAUUAUAUGAGAUUUACAACUGAUAUUUACAAUCAGACAAUUAUUGGGCCUAAUUUACAUUAAUUCUUAUAUAGCACUACCCAUAUUUUACCCUCUCUAAUAUUCGAGAGGUGUCUACUCCACUCACAUUUCGAAAGGGAGAAGACUGCCUUCACUUAAUAAUUAAGGAAGGAAAUAAACCCCUACAUGCGUCGCGGGGGCUUGAACCGCUGCGCUCACAGUUGUUAGUGCAGGGUCCUAGCCACUGGGCCAAGGCCCAGUUGGUUAGACCUUGGCAUUUUAAUCGUUCUUUAUUGGCUCUCUUUCCUUUAGCUAGCAAUAGAGAAUAGUCUAGUCAACAAUUUACUAUAGUUUUUUUUUGGGUUCAUAUUUACAAUAUGUCGUUAUGUUACAUGUCGAAGGAAAUGGUUGAUUUCCUCGGAGGAAUGCUUGGAGGAGUGAAGAAUUUGGAUGCUGGUCUUAGUUGUGUUUUGUAUGAAAGUUCUUUUGCAUUCAAGUUUUAAUUGAUGUCUCUAGGCCACUUAAACUUGGUUUGCUAAUUCGGUUUCGCACUAAUGAUGAUGUUCCUGUGCUCCUAGUGGUUUAUAAAAGGUUAUCAUAUUUUUGUUAAUAUUGCGAUUGUAUAGAUAAUUUAUUUCCAGAUUGUUCCGCAUUUGACUUAUCUAAAGUGGAGCAGGGUGUGGUCAUGGAGUAUGGAUGCAGGCUAAUGCUGGCAGUGUUUGUCGGAAGUCAGAGGGUCGUAGACAAGUAAAUCAUAGUGGUAGAGAAUUGGAUUUGGGAUAUCAUGAGGUGGUUUUUAACGCGACAAUAAAUGCUUCAAGUGUUACGAAUAAUCAUGAGAGUAAUGAUAUAAGAAAAGAGGAUAGUGGGAGAAAUGAGCAUGUCUGUGUGAAUAAUGCUUAUAUUUAUGAGAUAGUGAACGAGAGAAAUCAAGUUCAGUAAUAAAAAGACAAAUCGUGGAUGCGUUUAUAAGAAUUUCAAAUUUUGAUUGUAUAUGUGUUUUACAACCUUUUAUUACUAAUAGUCACUUGCCUAAGGAAACAAAGAAGGCAUCAUGCGCAGAAUUUGUUAAAGAUUUUGUGAAGGAUUGAAUGGAGUUGAUGGUAGUGACGUGGUUGGCCAUGGGCCUUAUGUGCCCCAAACUGGAGCUAUGGCUUCUUGUCUUGGUGAUGAUUCGAGUGACAAAAAUGAAUCUAGUAAUGUUGCAAGAUUGAAAAAUUAGAGAGAGUAAAGAGAAAAAAUUUACCACAAUGUGAAGGGGCUAUGAAAAGGAAAAAAUGAAAGCGACUGGCACGAAAAAUUCUAAAAGAAAAAUCUCAUAUUUCUCUAACUUUGGGAUCUAAGUAUGGUAAUGAGAAGGAUAUUAGAGAUUGGUCUAAUCAAUGGAAAUGAGGCAGGAUGGUUGCUAUUGAAUCGGAGGACGGUGAUGAUGGCGUUUGUGCAGACAAUAAUUUGGUUGUGUAGUCUAUGGCUUUGUCAAAUUUAUCAACAAGAGUUAACGUUGAUCAGCCCCACCGAUUGCCAUGAUAUCCUAACCUAAAAUGUCCAAGGUUUAGGGAAUCCUUUGGAUCCCACACUCUUUAUAAAAUGCUCCGUGAGGUUAGACCUUCUGUUGUCUUUUUAUGCGAAACUAGAUUAAUGGCGGCAAAGAUGAAUUGUAUUAGUAUGACAUUGGGUUUGGACAAUUGUUUAGAUAUUGAUUUGGUUAGUUUUUGGAGUGGCUUAGCAUUACUUUGGAAAAAGAAAGCUCAGGUUGUUGUGAAUUCCUAUAGUACCCAUGCAAUAUAACAGUGAUCAAUUGUUAUGCUAACAUUAGAUAUAGCAUUAAAUGUUCUAGGUUUCAUUUACCCUACAAGGUCAAUCCCCACGUCAAGUUCUUCACUAAUUUUAUAUUAAGUAUUACCCUAUUCAAAUUAAGAUUCACUCAACUUGGGAAACCCAAUCUAAAACCUAGUAUUGUCUUAAUUUGUUCCACUAAGUUGGCCAUUUUCAAGGCUCUUUAUUAGCUAGUAUCCAUUAAAUGUGUGAUCAGCCAAAAUAGAGAAUUGAAAUAAACACAAUUAAGACAAAAUGCUAUAACAAAUACAGAGCAACACACCUAUGUCAGUCAAACAGAUCGUUUAUCACUCAACCACAACAAAUUCAAUUUGUGAUUUGCGAUAGAACAGUAAAUAAAAUUGUUUCAGCCAUCAAAUACAUCCCCAUAAUUAAAUAAACAACAAGAAGAUAAGAAGAAGAACUGAAGUAUGCUCGAUCUUAGUGAUAUCUUCUUUAUUUCCUCUUUGAAUCUUCUAUUACAUCCUUCGAUUUAUCUCUUAAUGUUUUGUUUUCUUAUUGUUUCUUUUCGGUAUUCCCCUUAGGUGAUGGCUCUUUAAUUUUUUUCUUUUCAUGUGUGCUCAUUUUAUAACUUAGAAUUAAGGCAACUAAAAGUGUGUGACGCGUAUCCUCCAUUUUUAGAAACUUUAUAUCGCAAUAUUUUAGUUAUUGCGCACGAAAUCCAGUCUGUCAUUGCUCCAGGAUUGCUACAGCAACUGCUAUAGCAUCUUCAGUGUUCCAGACUUAUUUCAAUUCCUCUGCAGUCAAGAUAUUUUGUCACUUUUGCAAGUUUGUUGCAGCAACAUUUCAUCCUUAAAACUUGAGCUUUUCGGUCACCUACAAUUAUGCACAUAAUCUAAGCACAAAAUAAUCUAAAAACAAACUUAAUUUAUUAAAAAUAAAUUAAAAUGGAUGCUUAUGCCAAAUGUAACUAAUAUGUCAUAAAAAUACAUUAUUUACUUUCUAAGUAAUAUUGAUUUAAGUCUAAAAGUAUCAUGAUAACUUUCAGUUCAUAAAGUUAUCAAUUAGCAAAUUGAGUAAUUUGAAAUUAGCUUCCCAAGACUAAAUUGUUUACUUUCUUUUAGGAAUUAUCUCUAUAAAUUGUGAAUCUCACGUUGCACAUAGUCACUUGGAUGCAUCUUAAGAGAUCGCAAGAUAUCAUCUAAUGCUUGUUUACAUGGACCAUCCUUAAUAAAUUUAAUUUUAUCUUCACGAUUUUAAAAACCAUUCCUAAAGUUGUACAAUACGCUUCACAAGAAAGUCUUUCACAUUUAUGAUAUUUAGAGCCAAUCCAUUUAGCUCUUCUUUUUUUAGCAAAUAAUAUCAUAUAAGUCCAAUGAACCAAUUAACACAUACAAUCCAUUCUUCUUUUCACCUUUCAUCACAAUAGAACCCUCCUUAGUCACUUUUAUGCCAUCACUAUCUAACUUAAAUGAAUAUCUAGAGCUGUCCAACAUGCCUGAAGAGAUCAAAUUUCCCUUUAACUCAGGAGCAUGUCUAAGCCUAUGUAAAGUUAUGAUGAUCCCAUCAAAUAUUUUAAUCUUAACAAACCUUAUUCCAACAAUUUAACACUUAUUGGUGUUUCCCACAAAACCUCUACCACCAUCAAUAAACUCAUAUUGAUGAAAAAGUGACUUAUUAGGCAUAUGUGAAAAGAACAACCCAAGUUUAAUACCCACUGACCUUCUAAGUUGCCUUUUGAGGUUAUAAAUAUAUCAGCCCUAUAAUAACCAUCAUCAAAGGAGAUAUUUAAAGCCACAGCCACACCUCCUAACCUUUAUUGACUUUCCUUCUUAUUUUUCUCUGCACUUUCUCUGAUGUAAUGCAUUUGUUUCUUACAAAAAAGCAUUUCCUCUUGUUUUUCUUCUUUUUGCAUUCUCUUGGUUCUUUCCUCUUUUUGAUUCUUGUUCUACUGUUCCUUCUUCUUUCGGUUCUGGCAAUUAGCCCUUCACCAUUACUUACUUCACGGCCAUCAUGCUUUUCAAUCUCUUUUGAGCUUAGUGAUGUCGUGACAUCUUCCAAAGUCAAGGUUUUCUUCUAUACAACAUUGUAUCCACAAAACCUUCAUAUGAUUGUGGCAAUGAACUUAAAAAGAAAAUGAUUUUGUCUUCAUCUCUAAUCUUCACAUUUUCAACCUCUUCAAGAUCAAGAAUGAUCUUGUUGAAAGUGUCAAUGUGUUCUUAAAUAGACACCCCUUAUAUCAUUGAAAAAGUGUACAACUGUUUCUUCAAGAACAACUUGUGAGCCAAAGAUUUCUUCAUACAAAGGCCUCCACCUUAUUCUAUAUCCCAAGGUAUGUUUUUGUUUAGAGAUUUCCCUCAAGAUUGAGUCAGUAAGACUCAAAAUUAUUGUUUUGAAGGCUCUAUUUUAAAUAUGUUUCUUCUUUUCAUCAGGUUUAAAGCUUGUUGCCUUAUCAGGAUCUUCUUCUUCUAAGACGAAUUCAAGGCCCUGAUGCACAAGUAGAGCCCUCAUCUUCAUCUUCCAAAGUGAGAAAUCACCACUCAGCUUCGCAAUUUCUGGUUUUAAUAAGUGACAUGGUCAAGGUUCACUAAGUCUCUGAUACCAAUUAUUGUAAUUAAUGGUUAACAAUCAAGAACUCAACCAAUCUUUCGAGCUUUAAUCAAACAAGAUUAAUUGAAAUCAAGAUUGAAGAAAAACAUAGCAAGAACAAAGAAAUAGAACUCAAUCACAAAGAACAAACUUCUCUGUUUGAAGGGAAAAACUGGCACACUUUUACUAAUCCAGCUUAUCACAAAUUGAUCACACAUUACAAAAGAGGUUGCAAGCUUUAGAAAUAAACAAAAAGCACAUAAUUUGGUUAAGAAACAAGAGAGAAAAGGUUCACACAUUAGAGGUUGUGCACUAGCCUAUUUAUUUUGGAAAUUUUCAAAAACUAUCUAACAACCUUUAACGAACUAUAGCCAUGUCAGCAAAAAUUUACAAAACGACCCUAAGCUAAAGUCGAUCUGUACAAUGGCCCAACAAAUCUCCUUCAUUUUACUUUAAUUCCCAAAAACAGAAUAUAUAUCUUCACAUUUAUAAUGGUUGGCUUAAAAGAAAAUAUAGAGAUUGUAUAUAAAAUAAAAAACUACUAAAUUGUAAAAAUGAAAAAUAGGCAAACUCAAAAAAUAAUAAUAAUAAUAGGUUCAAAAACUCGCUUCAAACUUGUUAUGACAUAUACAUUCAUUCAAAUAACUUAAUCAAUUUCACUCAUCAAAUCUCUUAAUUCAUAGUUGUCACUAACAUCAUCAUGCAAAGUUGCUAACGCGGUGUAGCGUAACUCAAAACCAAAGAUAAUAUAAGUCAUCAUGUCAUCCAAUGUCAAAUGAUCAUACAAGAUGCCUAGAAAACUUUAAUAAUCUUUUUAAUUUUUUUUAUAAAAAUACCUCACCCUCAAACUUAUUCUAAACAUUAUCCUUAAUGUUUCUUAUUCUAAAGAAGUGCAUGUCAAUGUGUAAAAAUACAAAGAAGAUAUGAAUGCCAAUAGUAAGAGAAAUAAGUAGGAGAGAUUGCACCUAAAUUGGCGAUCGCUCUUAAAUUGGCUGCAAAAUAUUCUAGAAAAAAAUCUAAAGAAAACGUUAAAAUAAAUAUAAAGAAUAAAAUACAAAAAGCAAAAUAUUAGAGGUUUUUAAUCUAUAAAAGGAUGAUGGUAGUGAUACUCUUUAAUGUCAUACAGCUUAGGCCACACCUGUCUUAAGCUUAUUUGAAAGCUAUCUUACUACUUUAUUCAUGUCAAAAUGUGACUUAUCUUGUGCUGCUUUAGGAAGUAGCUCUAGUUUGAAUGGUUUUUCUUCAAGAGGAAAUAGCUUAAUCUUUUCUUUCCACUUAGUUAAAACCAUGAUAUGGGCAAAGAAAGUAAAAUAUUAACUUCUAGGAAAAUUAUCAUUCGUAUACUUUAAAUUUGUACUUUUAUCAAAAAUACUACAACAUUUUAAGGGUGUAUGAAUCGUCCACCUUAAAUUGACAAACGUUAUCUACCGACCACUAAACCUCUAGCUACCAUUUGAAAGUUAAUGGAACUAUAGUGAAUUGACGAUUUUACCCUUGAAAAUUAUCACUUGUAUACUCUUAAAAUCUCUUAUUAUCAUUUAGAUACCCUUAAAUUAUCACUUGUAUCAUAUGAAAAUACCAUACUACCCCUCUAAUGUUAUCAUAUUUAAACAGCAACUAACGGUUUGGUAGACGGUAGAUAUAUUUUGUCAACUUAGGGUGGACGAUUGAUAUACCCUAAAAGUGUUGUAGUAAAUUUGAUAAAAGAGUAAACUAAGGGUAUACGAUUGAUAAUUUCCCUAACUUCUAAAAUAGCACUAUCAACAUCAAAAGAUAAAACAAAGUGAAUUAAGUAUGUCUUUAGAAGAUCAUCAUAAUGGUUAGAAAUAAAUCAAUCAUUAACUUGUGCUUCUAUCAUAUCUACUUCAACACUUCAUCAUCUUCUUGUGCCUGCUUGAGAACAUUAAAAAUAUUCAAUUUCAUACCCGUGUUACCAACAGACAAUUGCAUGUUUCUAGUCCUACAACUAAUAUAAUCAUCUACUAUCGCCCAAAAAGGACAACUUAAAAUAACAAGAGUGUGCUUUGUAUGAUUCUGCACAGGUUGAGUAUCAAUAAUAAUAAAAUCAAUAGAAGAAUAAAAUUUAUCAAUCUGCAUGAACACAUCCUCUAUAAUACCACAAGAUAUUUUUAUUGACCUAUCAGUAAGUUGUAAAAUAAUAGAAAUUGAAUGUAAUUGACCUAGCCCAAGUUACUUAUAAACAGAAUAAGGCAAAAUAUUAACACUAACUCGUAGAUUCAACAAAGCUUUAUCAAACAAUUAGAUCCUUAUAACAUUUGAGAUAGUAAAAGAACCUAAAUCCUUAAAUUUUGGUCGCAUUUUAUAUUGAAAUAAAUUGCUAGUUUGUUCAAUUAGAAAUGCCUUCUUAAUAACAUGCAAAUUUCUCUUUCUAGUCUUCAAAAACUCAGCAUAUGAGGAACGUUGCUUGAUAGCGUCAUGUAAAGCAAACUUUAUAUUUACCUACUUGAAGAUUUUCAUGAUCUCACCUGUUUUUUUUUCUCUCUCUCUCUUCCUUUCUGCCAUAAAAUUACUUUAUUGAUUGAAUUAAUUUCCAUGCUAAAACGAAGACUUAAAAAGUACACUACAUUUUUUUAUAAUAAUCCCAAUGGUAAUUCCGACCGUUACGUUAUAAUACUGUCGUGUCAAAAUAAAUUAUAACAAAAUUUUAGUUCGACUUAUUUAUUUUUUUGAAAUUGAUUAAUCAUCAUGUUAUUAUAUUACAUAGAGAUAUAUAUAAUUGUUAUGACAAUAGAUCAUUACACUGAUAUUUACAAUCAGAUAUAUAUACAUGAAAUUUAUAUUAUUAUAUUUUUAUUUUAUGAAGUACAUGUUCAUUCAAAUACUCCUCACGGAGGAGAGAUGUCUUUACUCCACUCGUAUUUUAUAAGGAAGAAAAACAUUAUAAAAAAUCUCCACAUAAUUAUAUUUGAUUGAGAGAAGUUGAGUCCGUAGAGACUAUGAUUCACCACUGAACUACAAGCUCAAAUAACAAAUUCGACUUAUUUAGUAAAUAGAUAUACUUAAUAAAAUAACAAAACGAUUAAUGUGUAUCAAUGAUAUAGACACAACUGAAAUAACUCAUAAUGUGAAAACAAGAAAAGUCCCGCCACCAAUAAUUCAGAGGCAGGCCCCACCGCCAUCAAUAAUUCAGCAAGCUUCACAUGCUUCUGCUUGACGAACCGGACAUGGGUGGACCAAGCACCAUUGAAUAAUUGCAAAAAAAUGAAAAAUAAAAAUCAGUGUCCAGCAAAAAGAAUCCAUAUUCAUGUGUUGCUUCCUACUCAGUACAUCUACUUAGCAUUUAAAAAAAAAUGGAAGUAGAAAUUAAAACUCACUUUUUUAGAUAUGGCUCAUAUAUAUUACAAGUAUCAAGAUUUAAUUAAAGUUCACAUAUUUACAAUGUGUCUAGUUUUAAUUGAGAGAUAAAGUGAUAAACUAUUCAUUAAUAAUGAGGUUUUUCUAAAUGAUUGAAUAAUGAUAUUAAUUAUUGAUAUUUACAAAAUUUCUAAGAAGUGAUAGCUAAUACGUUGGGGAUAUGUAUUUGCGCGGAAUGGCAAACAUAGGGAAUAGUAAUAAAAAUAGUGGAAUUAAUAUGAUGAAAAAAGGUAAACAGUAGAAAAUUAAUAUGUAAUUCGAGGCGCGUUACAAAUAUCACUUUUUUUAAGACAUUAUUUACGCCCACCAAUUAAGUGAUGCAUAUGAGUUAAACAAAUAUAUCUCUAUGAUAUAAUGAAACGCUUCUUCAUUUGUUUGCGUUGUGUAUCGAAUAAAGUAAACCUGAAUAUAUAUAUGAAUGUUGCAAGCUUGCUAAGAAUCAAUAUGUUGAUUCUGUUGAAAAACAAUGUAUUGGAUAUUUGAUGCAUAAAAAAUAGAUGUUAUUUGAUUAAAUUCAUUUUAGGAAAUAGGGCUAAUAAAAGAGUGGUGUAGGAUUAUCUUAUUCAUAUCUAAAAUUUUAAAUAUAUUGAUUUAUUUAUUAUGGUGACGUAAUAGUAAUUAUAAAUUAAAAAUAAAUUUAUUAUUAAAAUAAAUAAAAUUUAUUAAUAAAAAUAAGGGUCAUAUAUCUUUUUUAAAAUGUUAAAAAAAUUUAUGUCCUUUUUUGGGAGUGAAUUUUCUUUUCUCAUUAAGCAAAACCCACCGCAAAAGUGAAAAGAAAAAAUAGAGGCCACAAAACAGAGCCCACUACAAAUAUAUAAUCGGAGGAGCUCAUGAUCAUGCCUAUGCUUUACAUACUAAAUUAAAUAAAAGCCGAACCAAGAAUCUUGCAUUUGCUUAACAUGCUUAAUUAGGCACUACUUCAAAGAGAACUUGAAAGCAACGAACCCUUUUGUUAAUCUUAAAUGUCAGGAAUCUAAUUAGCUUGGAAUAAAGCUACAUUCUUCUCCUCUGACCGUCUCUUGAGGUUUAUUUCAAAAGUUUGAAGAGAAUUUAUCAAUUCUUCUUAUAAAAGCAAGCUAAAUUAAAGGAUUUUAAUCUCUCUUCUUAUUACUAUAAGUGCACUGCAUUUUUUUAUAAUCAACAAUGUCAAUUUGUAGUGUAAUGUUAUAUUCAUAUUUCUGUCGCGUCGAAAUAAGGUAAAACAAAAUUUUAAAUAACACAUAUUCGACUUGUUUGUAAAAGGUAUAUAUUUAAUAAGCUAAUACCUUAAUUAACAUAACACUAUUAUUACGCUAAAUGAAAUAAAAGAUGGUACCCACCACCAAUAAUGACAUUAGCAAGCUCCGCAUGCUCGUGUUUUAGGAACUAGACAUUGGUUAAUUAAUCAAGGAUAACGAAACAAUUUCAAAAAACAAAAUAGAUACUAUGCAUUUUCUUUUUUUAGUCGUACAGAAAAUGGGACUAAUUUUCAGAAAUUUUCAAAUUCACUCUUUUACAAAAGCCAUACAAAAUGAUUUCCUUUAUAUUUUGAAACAUUCUAUGGAAUCAAAUAAUAGUGAUACAAAGAGCGCAAAGUAGUAAUUCUCUUGUUGUAUUUUUUUUUUCUUUUUUAAAAGGAGAUGGUGUGGUUUGGUUGUUUGCAAAAUUAUUGGUGUGGGAUCUAUUUGUUUUCAAUUUCACUUUAUUAAUUAAUUAGCAAAGCAAACAUGUAAUCAUUUGUAAUGGGGCCACUGGCAUCGGAUUAUAUAAGAUGAAUUCGUAAGGCUUACUAAUUUCGAUUAAAAGGUAGCGUUAUUAAAUUAUUAAUUCAUUAACUUGAGUACCAAUAUUUCCUAACUGUGGUGAUUAAUUUAUUUAACUUGUUAUAAUUUUCAAUUGAGAAUGAACUUCAAUUAAUGUAUGAAAAAUUAAAAAGAUAACUUUUCUUUUUUUUUUUUCAAAUUUUUAAUUCCUAUGAUUUGAUUUCACUCUUUUUGUCGAUUAUUGACUUGUGAGAGCUUGUUGAAUGUCAUCAAAUGCUUAUAUCUCUUAUCCAAAUUGGCAGAUAUCAUUUGGUUUCUUUAUAGGCGGCAAUCACGAAUGAAAGUAACAACCCCACCAUAUAUCGAAAAUUAAUUUUAAGAAUUUUUUUACUUGAAGUCUUUGAAAAGAAAAAUUAAUCAGAUUAGAUUAGCGAUAUACAUAAAUUCGGUACCAAUUUAAAAAUGCGAGCAUGAUUUAAUAAGAAAGGAUGAGAAUUGAUCAUGUCCCAAAAGACUCAAAAUAAAAUUAUACAAAAUUACAUGCAGGCAUAUCAUAUGUUAAUCUUAAUUUUUUUUGCGGCUGAAAAUUAAUUAAUUAAUUCCACUACUUCUUUUUUUUAAUUGUAUGGUGUGUAACACAUAGUGAAUUAUGUUGUAUAUUUGUUAAUUCAAAGAAAUAAUACUUUUGUAUCCACCAAACUUUAUUAAUAUUCUUCAUCAUUAUGGUUAAUGGCUUAGCAAAUUUAGGAGGAGGAGUCAGCCAAAAUAAAGUAUUUUCUAUUACAUUAACCUUUAUUAAUUGCAGAAGUUAAAAAAAAUUAAAACGAGUUAAAACAGUUCCAACUCAAAAUCAAUAGUUUAUAACGCAGGGGUGUAAAAAAUAUCUGUCCGGACUGAAUUCGGACCGGAUCCGAGCUAGUUUAGGGAUGUGCCGGUCUAGUCUCGGGCAUCAUUGGAGAAGUCCAAUGUCCUCCAAGUCCAAGGUCCGGCCAAGAACUUAAAUUUUAUAGAAAAAAUAAUAAAUAUAUAUUAUUGUAAGUAAUUAUGUUUAUUUGACUCGUCUAUUACAUAUAUUUAAAAUUUUAAACAUUUAUAUUUUGUGUCCAGUUUCAUUUAAAUAAGAUUUAAAAAUUAUAAAAUUAUGAAAUAAAUUUAAAAAAUACAUUCAUACAUAUAAUGUUAUAAAAUAUAAAAUCCAACCUUUCUAGGGUGAAAUAAAAAGCCUAGCCCAAUGUGUCCAAAAAAUAUGUCUGGGUUGGAUCCAGGCAUUGCCAUACCUGAACUUGACCCCGAGUUUUGCAAUUAUUCUAGAUCGUUAUAAAUGUUUCCAAAUUUCAGUCUAAUUUACUUGUGUGAUGCAAAAAUUACCUUUAUCACUUUUUUCAAAUAAAUACUCAUAAAUUUCACCUAAAUUGUCACCCAAAAAAAGAGAAAAAUCGUGUAGUUAAUUUUUCUACUUCUUUACUCUAUUAUUUAAUGGGAAUAUAAUAAGUUAGGAGAAAGGAGAAAUUAAGGAGAAAAUUAGAGUGCUUGUUCAAAUGAUAAAAACUCAUGCAAAUGCGUAUUUCAGAUGUAAGUGUGGCAUUCAUUAAUUUGACAAAAAAUAAGUGAAUUUAUUUAUAUUUUAAUCCAAAUCGAGGGAUAUAAACAAAAUUUUCCCGCUCCAGAUAUUUAUCAUUUUCUUGUUAGAAAAAAAACUGCAUAAAAUUAAGGAACCAGUAGGCACUGAAAGAGAGAAACAGACUGAGAAGAGAUCAAAAGAUGGAUUUGGAACUGAAAGAGAGAAACAGACUGAGAAGAGAUCAAAAGAUGGAUUUGGAACUGAAAGAGAGCUUGGGCUGAUCAUUCAUGAUAAUAUUCCGCGUUCGCUAUUAUAGAGACGAAAGUUUGCUUUUUGUAUGGUUCUCCACUGACGGUGCCAAAUGUCGACGCCAAAAUUUGGACUAGUUAGUUACAUAUUGGAAACCAAAUUUUGCGUCAGCAUUAAAUUUAUUUGUUAGGGAAGCGACUUACCAAUCACCAAGGACGCCCUGCGAUCACUAGCAAAUAACUCUCAAAUACCUGAAAUCAUAAAAAAAAUGGUAAGAGACGCCAGAAGUUUUUCCGGCGUGAACCCUCCAGUGUUCAAGUCAGUUAUCGGGUUUACAAGAGAAACAAAAUAUGCAAUUUCUAGUUUUUUUAAAAAAUAAUCUUAAGUCAAUGUAAUAGAAAAAUCAAAAUUGAGAAAGAAAGUUGAACCUCCCUCUUUAUUCAUUCCCCUAGGGAUUUUUUUAUAAAGGUUUAAGUUUCCCCCCACUCCAACCCCCCCAAAAAAAAUCUUUGUGAUCAUAAGAUGGAUGAGAUAAAAUAUGAGCCCCCAAAAUGAUCUCAAUCAUGGAGGAGUCCUCCCUGGUUUGUUGCCCUAUUUUCUUAUUUGUUCUCCUCCACUCUCGAAAGUUAAGAAUGAGAUAAAAGUAACCUUUUCACUCUCUAUUUUUUCCUCCAUUUUUUUUCCUCACCAAAUAGUUACGAAUUUAAAAUAUGAGUAUGAUUUAAUAAGAGAGAACGAGAAUUGAUAAUGUCCCAAGAGACUGAAAAUAAAAGAUUACACAAAUUUGCAUGCAGGCAUAUCAUAAGUUAGUCUUAAUUUUUUGUUGUUCAAAUAAUAAAUUAAUUCCACUAAUCCUUUUUCUAAUUAUAUGGUGUGUAACACAUUGGCCACUUCUGAAUUAUGUUGGAUAUUUGUUAACUCAAAGAAAUAGUACACUUUUCUAUCAAUCUAACUCAUUUUAUUAAUAUUCUUCAUCAUUAUGGUUAAUGGCUUGGCAAAUGUAGAAUAAGGAGUCAGCCAAAAUGAAUUACUUUCUCUUGUACUAACCUUUGUUAAUUGUUGACAUUAAAAAUAUUUUAAAAUAGUUCCAACUCAAAAUCAGUAGGUUGUAUGUAGAUUGUUAUAAAUAUUUCUAAAUUUCAGUCUAAUUUAAUUGUGGAUGCAUAAACUUGACUUUUUCACUUCUUUCAUGUAAAUGGAGGGUAGAACUAUUUGAACUCAUUAAACUACUUUUUAAAUUCCUUUACUCAUUAAACCCAUCAUGAAAAUUCAAAAAUCUUUGUGUAUACUCAUUGCACCUCUUAAUAUCACAAAUAUGAAUCAUUUGUCUUCACUUUUGUUUGUCUUCAACAUUCACAAAUUUUAUUUGAAUCUGCAAUAUUUUUACCACUAUUCAUUCAUUUAUUAGAGUUUCAAUAUAAGAAUAUAGAGAUUAAAAAUAUCAUUAACGAAUUAUUUCUUUGUUUUCUAUAUGAUAUUCUUGGUUUGGAAAAAGCUUCAUUGGCAAUGUAUGUAAAUAAAAGACUAAGAACUUCCAAUAAUCCACAUUUGAUGGAAACUUGUUAUACUUGUUUUCACUUUAAAAAAUAAAAGGAAAAUUAUCAUCCGUAUACUCUAAAUUUACAUUUUUAUAAAAAAUACUACAACACUUUAAUCGUAUUUCAAUCGUCCACUCUAAAUUGAUAAAAGUUAUCUGCCGACCAUUAAACCGUUAACUGCAAUUUAAAAGUUAACAGAACUGUAGCGAAUUGAUGAUUUUACCCUUGAAAAUUAUCACUUGUAUACCCUUAAAAUCUCUUAUUUUCACUUAUAUACCAUUAAAUUAUCACUUGUAUUAUAUGAAAGACCAGAUUAUUUCUAUGACGUUAUCAUAUUUAAACAGUAACUAACGGUUUGGUGGACGACAUAUACAUUUUGUCAAGACGACUGAUAUACCUUGAAAGUGUUGUAGUAAAUUUGAUAACGAAGUAAAAUAAGGGUAUACGAUUGAUAAUUUUCCAAAAUAAAAUAAAUAAAACAAAAGAAAUUCUUGUGUUUUAAAAGAAAAAAAACUUCUAAAACAACUAUAAACCAAACUAGGUUUGACGUGGUGAGUUUUGGAUCAUAAAGAAUACAUAAUUGAAAUUUCACCUAAAUCAAAUAAUGAAUUUCAUAACAAUGGAUUUAGACUAUAGACCAGUAUACAUAGAAUUGGAUGUUCUUGGCAUUUGUUCUUGAAGUUGUUUUGCCCAAAAAAGUUAACUAUUGUCCUUAGGAGUAAUUUUGGUUAGGGAGAAAUUUGUAAUAAAUUUUUUAAUGAAUUAAUAUUUUUUGUGAGUAAAAUUAUGGGUUCAUAUACACUCAUUCAUAAAUAAUUAUUCAUAAAUUGAACCCUUCUUUUAUGUUGAUGCACAACCUAAUUUAACAAAAAUAAUGUUCAAAUUGUCAUAAAAUUUUAAAAAAAUCAUUAAGCUAAUUUUUCUUCUACUUCACUCCAUUAUUCAAUGGGCAAAUAAUAAUUUAGGUGAGGGGAGAAAUAAUGGGGAAAAUUAUAGUGAUUGUCGCUAGAUACACCGGUACAAAUGCUUGGGUGUGCGCGCGCGUGCAACGUUCUUUAAUUUGGCAAAAAAUAAAUGAAUUUAUUUGUAUUUUUAAUCAAAUUCAAGUGUCCAAACAAAAUUUUUCUGGGAAAAAGAUAAACAUGUACACCCUCAAUAUUUAAAUAAAGAGAUAAAAAUAUUCCUAACGUUUUAAAAAAAUAUUUACACCUUAAUUUACUAACAAAAACAGUAAUUUUUAACAAAAAUUACUAUUAUACCCUUUUAACAUAUAAAAAAAUUAUAUAUACAAGUUUAAUUUAUAAUAUUAAUACCAUAAAAUUUUAUUUAAAUUUUAAACUUAUAUAUUUAACAAUUCUCCACAUGUUAUUAUUUAAAUUUGUAUAUUUAUAACUAAUUUUUUAUGUUAUUUAUUAUGGUAUUUAAAAUUGAAAUACAAGUCAUUAAUAACUAAUUUUAUUUAUUUUUAUUCUUAAGUAAUGAAUUAAAUUUAUUUAACUUGAAGAGAGAAUUUGAUAAAAAUUUAAAUAAAAAAAUUGAAUAAUGAGGAUAUAUUUAUAAUUUUAUUAAUAAUAUAUAGAUAAAUUAAAUAAUUAAUAAUUUUUUAUAUACUAUAAAGGUAUAAUAAUAAUUUUCAUUAAAAAUUACUGUUUUCGUUAAUGAAUUAAAAUGUUAAUUUUUUUUUAAAAUGUUAAAGAAUUUUUACCUCUUUACCUAAACGUCGUGACUGUAUUUUGCCCUUUUCCCAAAUUUUCCACUCUGGAGUCGACAUUUAUCAUUUUCUCGUUAACAAAAAAAAUUGCAUAAAAUUAAAAAACCAUCAGGCACUGAAAGAGGGAAACAAAGAAGAUGGAACCUAAAGAAGAAACCCUAGCAACAAUCCCAGAAGAAGAAGAAGAAGAUGGAGACACGGUUAUUCCCGACGUUGAGAACAACCCUAAACCAACAACAAAAGACAACUCUUCGGACUCGAGCGAUGCCUCUGACUCAGACUCCGACUCGGACUCUGAAUCAGAAGACGAAGCAAAACAGAGCAUGGAGCUUCAAACCCUACAGUAUCAACUAUCCAACGAACCCUCCAAUUACGACACCCAUGUUCAAGUAACUUCAAUACACAUAUUUAUUGAGUGAUUUUGUGGAUACCCGUUUGCUUGUUCUUCUUGGGUUGCGAUAAAAAUGGUUUUUAUUUUUAUUUUUUCAGUAUAUAAAGGUUUUGAGAAAAAUGGGUGAGAUAGAGAAGUUGAGACAAGCAAGGGAAGCCAUGAAUGAGAUUUUUCCAUUGACUCCUGCUAUGUGGCAAGAAUGGGCGAGAGAUGAAGCCUCUAUUUCAACUGGGUAUCUGUCAUUUCCUUUUUGCAGUGGUUUUUGAUUUAACAAAUGUUUUUUCGCUUAGAGAUAUGGAUGUUUAUGCUAGUUAUUUGCUAAUGUAAAAAGGAACAAAACCUGCUUAAAAGGUAUUAAAGAAAGAAAAAAAAAAAGAACCAAUUUGAAGAAGGGGAUACUUAUGGUGGGAGUUCUAUUCUUUGGGGUUUAAUUGAUGGGAAGAAGAAAUAGCUUAUAUGUUUACAGAAUUAGACAUUUGAUCGCGGAGUUAGUUGAGGUAGAUAAUUAAUCAGAAUGUCGGAUGUUUUUUCUGUUGGCCUCAGCUAAUUGUUAAGAUUUCAUACUUUUUUUCUGGUUUUACAUAGCUGUGACCUAAAGCUUAAUGUAUAUAUUGAUAAUUACACAAUCCGUUUCUUGCUGAUACUUGGCUUUAAUUUGUAGACCUGAGGCUCUUUUGGGAGUUGAGAAGAUUUACGAAAGAGGAGUUUCUGAUUAUCUGGUUUGUUCCCUUUAUGCUUACAGAAUUUGAAUUAACACUAUGCAUGAAUUUAUGAUUCUUUUUAUUUUUUAUUUUUUAUUUUUUGAGAAAGAUUUUAUCAAAUUGAAGCAUUGUAGUAAAGCGUACUAGUUGUAAUCUUGAUUCACUUUGUUUUUAUUUUAUUACCAAGAGGUGCUAACAGUUCAUGAUGCACAAAAGAUUGGGGGGGGGGGGUUGGGGGAAUCUUGUUGGUACAUACAUAAAUUUUAGUACCAAAAAAAUAAUUUUACAGUGGCUGAAGAGCAGCAUUUUCAUUUAUAUGAAAGUUGAAUUGUUGUAUCAUCUGUUUCCGUCUCCUUUGCGGUAAAUAAAGUCCUUGAUGAUGGCAAUAAGAAUCACAGAAGAAGUUGUUAAGUUCAUAUCUGGAGAUUUUCAUCAUAGCAGUUCAUUGAAAGUGAAGGCAGCUGAAAACACUUUUUUCUGAUGCAGUCUGUCCCUCUUUGGUGUGAUUAUUUGAAAUUUGUGCAAGAAUAUGAUCCAUCUAUAUGCGAAUUUUUACCCGAUGGCUUUUGAAAGGCAAGGAAUUUAUUUGAGCGGGCUAUUACUGCUGCUGGUCUGCAUGUUUCAGAAGGCAGUAAAAUAUGGGAAUUGUACAGAGAAUUUGAGCUAGCCAUAUUUUGUAGGAUCGAUGAGACUAACUUGAAGGUGAGAUAUUUCAAUUUAUUUUACUUUUUAUUUGGGGGGUUAAAUAACGAGUUUAUUGCCAUCUAAAGAAAGAAAAAGGGAAGACUUUUUUUUUUGGGGGGGGGGUUGCCAACCCUAGCACAUGAGAAGCAUUCCAAGAUCCUUCCUGCUUGUUUUGCAGGAAAAGGAAAAACAGGUUCAGCGGAUUCGAAGUAUAUUUCGUCACCAGUUGUCUGUUCCCCUUGCUAACUCAAGUACAACUUUUCUUGCCUACAAGUCUUGGGAGGUCGAACAGGGGGCUGUUCUUGAUGUUGAAUCUAGUAAUCUAGACGGAAUGUCUUCUAAUGUUGCCUCAGCAUACCAAAAGGCAUUGGAGAUGUGUAAUGCACGAGCUUAUCUUGAAGAGCUGAUUUCCAGGCAGGAUUUAUCUGACUCAGAGAAAUUUCAGCAAUACAUGGUAGAUGACUUUACUAUCAUCAUUUGAUAGCUUUUUAUAAUAAGUAAAAUCUAGCUGUAAAAAUUUAUUAAUUUCAACUUUUUUUUGGUGGAUUUCUUCUUAUGGCAUUAGUAUUUUGGUUUUUGGUAGCUUACAAAUAAUAUCUGCACUUUAAAUAUCAUCUGUUGUUUCUUAGCAAAUAAUAGUAAUAAUAAUAAGUAAUAAAUAAUUAAUAUCUGCUCUUUAACUCUUUGGCCCGGGGGGGGGGGGCGCCUGGGGGAUGCAGUGUCAUUAUUUUCCUUCUUCUCCUUUUUCUGUUUUGUGCUUUUUCAAGUCCAAUAUUAUUAGAUUAAUCUGUUAUUGUGGUAGAUAUACUUGAACUAUGAGCAAUCUUCUGGAGAUCCUGGUCGAGUUCAACUUCUUUAUGAACGUGCUAUUACCGGCUUUCCUGUAUCAAGUGAUCUCUGGCUUGAUUAUACUCGUUAUCUUGACAAAACAUUAAAGGUUUAUCCUUCUAUUUUCUAUUUUAAUUCUUCUGUUGCAGCUUUUUGUAUACUAAUCCACUCUCCUCUUCAGGUAGGUAAUGUUGUGAGAGAUGUUUAUUCCAGGGCUACAAGAAAUUGUCCCUGGGUUGGAGAACUUUGGGUACGAUCUUUGCUUUCUCUGGAAUGUAGCUGUGCUUCUGAGGAGGAGAUAUCCACUGUAGGUUUAAUUGUUACCCUUCAUUCUGAGCUUAAUCUAUUUUUCUGAAUGUAAUUAAUUUUGAUUGUUUGAAGUUAAAGAAAUAAUCAGCUUCCUAGGCAAAUUUCUUGGCAAGCACUUGAUUGUGGGAGUAACUGAGGAGAAGCAUUCCCUAGUGUUUUUUUGUUCUUCCCCUCCCCUGAAAUUGCACUAUAUUUCCCUUGAAGACUAAUUUUUGCUUUAGCAUUUACACUUCUGUACAGAAGCAAACAUGAAUCAGAGAGAUUUAGUGGGCAAAUACACCUGGGCAAAAAAAUUAAUGCAUAUUAAAUACCGUGGUGGUUGUUGGAAUGCUUCAAAAAAAGUGUUUUCUUGGUGCUCCUGCUCCUUUUAUACUUUCAUAGCAUUUUAAUAACUGGGUUGUUUAAACGUCUUGUACUUAUUUUCUUUACAAAUGUCUGUAUUUUUUAAAUUUAUACAAGAUUUUUCUAAUUAUAUUAAUAGCAAUAAAUUGCAUAAACUCAAAUCUUAAUUUCAUUCUGCCCCUAUUGCAUACAUAUGGGAUUCACCCAUUAUUUCAUCAAAUUUUCCGUUGCUAAUUUCAGGUCUUUGAGAAGUCCCUACUAUGUGCAUUUUCAACCUUUGAGGAGGUAAAGAUAUAAAUUUAUGUCUACUGUACAUACCUUGAUUUCUUGAGCUGUAUGAUUUGGUAUAUAUCUACUUCUGAUUCAUCAUGUAUUUUUUUGUUAACUGGUUCUUUUUUAUUUCAGUACCUAGAUCUAUUCCUUACUUGAAUAGAUGGUUUGAGGCGGAGAAUUUUAUUCUCUGGUGAAGUUGAGGGCGUCUUGGAUUAUUCAUUGAUAAGGGAAACUUCAGGUUUGUAAACUUAUACCGUUUGCUAUUCAAUAUUAAAAUUGGUUAUACUCCUUAAUAUCAAGAAAUUGAAGCUUUCCAAAUCAUACCCAAAAAAUGCUCAAUUGUGAAUUACUGGAUGGAGCUAGUUGCUAGAUGAUACUUCUAAGAUUCAAGACAAAUGUUGUUUUAUGUAUGGCUAUCAAGUACUUUGGCCCACAAUUGUGGCAUAUUGGUCUUAUGCCAGCAUCAGGUAUAACAUUGUGUCUGGCAUAUAUACCAUUGGAAUUCUGGGUUUCUGUUGAAUGGGCUCCAACAGCUAUAUCUGUGUCCAAUGUUGUGGGGUCCUCUUCUUUGGUGCUUUUAAGUGAGGUUUUAAGUUUUCUUGUUAAAAUUUUGUUACAUAUCAAGUAGAAGGCACUGCACUGAAGCAUUGGUACUUCUAGAUCGCUUGUUCUGGAUGGUAGAUUUCAAUCCAUUGCUUUUAUUUCUUGGAUCAUGUGUAUCAUUGAGGACUUUCCUGGCCAGUGAUAGAGCUGGUAGGGGAAAAAAGUCAAAAUUCCUAUGGGAUGCUUUCUGACUUAGGGAAGAUGUCUUCAACAAUUUGUGGAUUUAAGUCUUCACAUGAUGUUAACUCUUGAUAGUCUAACCUUGGUUCAGGAUGUAUAGCUGUCUUCAAAGUUUGUGCUCAUAAACGAGUAACCUCUCUGUCUUUAUGAUACCAGUUAAAUUUGUUAGCUUUCUAGGAUUUGGAGGGUGUAAAUGUCCAUAAACAACAAUGUAUUCUCUUCCUUACAGCGUGCAUCAGAUUACUUGUCAGAACAGAUGAAGAGUACCAACGGUUUGCUGCAUUUGUAUGCUUAUUGGGCGCGUCUUGAACAAAGUAUGGGAAAAGAUAUGGUUUCAGCUCGUAGUGUCUGGGAGAGGCUACUUAAGAUCAGGUUCAACAAUUUUAAUUUUUGCCAGUGCAUACAUAGCAUAAUUUCUUUAUAUCUAUAUAUAUUUUCAGAUAACUUAUGCUUCUCUUAAUGCAGUGGUACAAUGUUGGAAGCCUGGCAAAGUUAUAUAUCUAUGGAAAUUGAAUUGGGUCAUAUUAAUGAAGCUAGAUCCAUCUACAAGAGAUGCUACAGUAAAAGAUUUACAAGAACAGGUUCAGAGGUAAAUUUCCUUCGUCCAGCUUCUUUAAUUAAUAUUAACUGCUUGACAACGUACCUUGUUGUUUCCAUCUUGUUUGUUUAAUUGGUCUUAUUUGUAAACACCUGAAAUCAUACAUCUUAAUUUCUGAUAAUUAGAUGUUAUUUUAGAUAUCUGUAUCUGUUAACGUUCUUUCAAGUCUAAUUCCAAUGCAUAUUUAGUUAAACUGCUCUUUACUGCAUUUUGGAUUAGUUAAUGUCUUCCUUUCCUAAAAAACAGAAUCAUUCAGGACAUAUGCCAUGCUUGGCUGUGAUUUUAACGGGAAUUUUGUAAUCAAAUUUUUAAUGAAUUUAUGGGUUUGUUGAGUAAAAUUAUGGGGUCAUACAGACUCACCCAUAAAUUGAACCCUUAUUUUAUGUUGAUGCAUAACUUAACUUAACAAAAAUAAUGUUCAAAUUGUCACAAAAUUUGAAAAAAAAAAAUCACAGUUAAUUUUUCUUCUACUUUACUCCAUUAUUCAAUGGGCAUAUAAUAAAUUAGGAGAGGGGAGAAAUAAAGGGGAAAAUUAGAGUGAUUGUCGCAAUGAUACACUGAUACAAAUGCUUAUGUAUGUGUAGUGUGUGUGUGUGUUGGUGGGGGGGGGGGGGUUCUUUAAUUUAACCAAAAAUAAAUGCAUUUAUUUGUAUUUUUAAUCAAAAUCGAGGGAUACAAACAAAAUUUUUACCACUCCAGAGUCUAGACAUGUAUCAUUAUCUCUUUUAAAAAAAAAAACAUUAGUAGCUGAAAGAGAGAAACAAAUUAAGAUGGAACCCAAAGAGAAAACCCUAGCAACAAUCCCAAAAGAAGAAGAAGAUGGAGACAUUGCCAUGCCCGACGUUAAGAACAACCCUAAACCAACAACAAAAGCAACUCUUCGGACUCGAGCGAUGCCUCUGACUCGGACUCUGACUCUGACUCAGAAGAUGAAGCAGAACAGAACAUGGAGCUUCAAACCCUAUAGUAUCAGCUAUCCAAUGAACCCUCCAAUUACUACACCUAUGUUCAAGUAACUUCAAUACACAUAUUUAUUGAGUGAUUUUGUGGAUAAUCAUUUGUUUGUUCUUUCUUGGGUUGCGAUAAAAAUGGUUUUUAUUUUAUUUUUCUUUUUCAUUAAAUAAAGGUUUUGAGAAAAAUGGGUGAGAUAGAGAAGUUGAGACAAGGUAGGGAAGCCAUGAAUGGGCGAGUGAUGAAGCCUCUAUUUCAACUGGGUAUCUGUCAUUUCCUAUUGCAAUGGUUUUUGAUUUUGUGAACAAAUGUUUUUUUGCUUAAGAGAUAUAGAUGUUUAUGUUAGUUAUUUGCUAAUGUAAAAAGGAACAAAACCUGCUUAAAAGGUAUUAAAGAAAGAAAAAAGGAACCAAUUUGAAGGGGAUACUUAUAGUGGGAGUUCUACUUUGGGGUUUAAUUGAUGGAAAGAAGAAAUAGCUUAUAUGUUUACAGAAUUAGACAUUUGAUCGCUGAGUUAGUUGAGGAAGAUGUUUAAUCACAAUGUCUGAUGUUGUUUCUGUUGGCCUGAGCUAGUUGUUAAGAUUUCAUACUUUCAUUCAACAAUGCAAUAGACUUUGGUUGGGUCCACCGUAGUUGGGUGUUCUGAGGAAUCAAUGAGUGUCUUGAGAAAACUUGGGCGGAGUGCUGGUCAUUUUCAGGAUUCAGUUUCCAAGAAAACAAAAACGAAGUCAAUAGUUGUAGUUUAAAUUAAUUUAUGUUUUUAUCUUUUUCAUUGAGCCCAGUGAGCUUUUAUUUUUACUUUGUUCGCUUUUGUUUCUUUCCCUUCUUUUCCUACUGUUUCUUGACAAUCAAACAGAUCAGGAUUAAGUGUUUACUUUUGGUGUAAUUAUUCACUCUAACUCGAAUAAUACUUAGGUUUAGUGCUAACAAAAUAGGAAGUGAAUUAAUAGCUGAAGCUGACUUAGGAGUGGAAUGAAUGUUACCAAAAAUAUACUAUAUGGUAGAUAGAAUUUGCGUUUUAGGUAAGACUAAAAUAAUUACAGCUGUUAAUUUAUUUCAAUAAGUUCGUACAUCAUUCAAUAAUAAGUCCAAGAUUUUAAUGGUUUUGUUUCCUGAAAAUUUGUCAUGAGUGCAUGAACAAAGUUCUAUGGAUGAACUUCUCCUAGUUAAUUUUAGUUCAAUGUCGCAGUUCCUCAUAUUAACUGUAUAAAACACUAAUCUUGCUCUUUACUUUGAAGCAUUUUAAUAAUUGAUGCUAAUUCCUUAGCCAUUUUAUUCAUCUUGUGCAUAAAUUAUGCAAUCAAUAAACCAACUCAACUUUCAUCUUUAUUUAGUGCAAAUUUUGCAAGGCCACUAGGAGGUUUUUGUAUGUCUCAUGCUAACAUGGUCGCCAUGGUUUCACUAUGUAAAUUUUCCCUACUGAAAUUCAUGAUCCGUCAUAUACCACUGAUGAAGCUGUUUCUGGGGCUUUAAAAGCACCAAAUUUUAGUUUUAUCCUUUCUAGCUUAUUAACCUGUCCGCAUCUGCAUUAUUAUCUUUCCUGUCAUACGAAAGUUUCAUUUAUCAUCUUCCCAACAAAACCAUCGAUAGGUUAUUGUUGACUUUUUUUUUUUCCAUUUAGAUUCAUGCCAGAUUAUGGUUGCUGGAUUUUCUGCUUUGACACUUUAUUGUUUCUAAGUAUAGGCUACCAAGGGAGGAAAAAAAUUGACACUGAUGGUCAUCCCCAGCAUUUUUAUCCCAGGAGACUGGUCAAUUCACUUUCUAUGAAGGACUAAAUAGAAUUCCAGACUCUAUUUUGAAGGACAAAGCUGUGGCUGAGCUUGGUUGUGGAAAUGGAUGGAUAACCAUUGCCGUAGCUGAGAAGUGGUUGCCUUUGAAGUUUUGUUGGUUUGUCGUCCUUAUGCCAUGUGAGAGCUUUUGUUUCCUUCCUUACCAGUGCCUUCAGGGGCUCCAUCAUGAUUUCUCUCAUCAUUUUCUAUCUCUGUGUUUUGCAAGGCUAUUUGAUAUUUAUAACAGCAUUGGCACCAGGUUAUGGUGAUUUAAUGCAUUCCUAUUAGGAAAAAUUACAUAAUUAUCAACUCUGUCCUUGUCCAAAAGUCUUUGUUGGAGUAUGUUGAAAAUAUAACCUUGUAGCAGUUCUUAUAUGCUGUCUGAAUAUCGUUUUGCAGUCUAUGGCCUUGAUAUUAAUCCCAGAGCAAUAAAGAUCUCUUGGAUACAAUUGUACUUAAAUGCAUUAGAUGAAUCUUUUUCUAAGCUUUUCCGUCACUGUCACUGCAAAAGGUCUUUUGUAUUGAUGGUUAUCUGUGGGGCCAGGAAAGAAGGUCAGCCCGUCUAUGAUGCGGUGAAGAAAACCUUACUGGAUAGGGUGGAGUUUGAUGAAUCUGAUCUCCUAGCGUAUUGUUGACAUCAUGACAUUCAACUUGAAUGACUAGUGGGGUGCAGACCUCAGGUACUCUCACUUUCUGCAACUCAUGAUAUUUCUAGGGGAUUAAAUUUUGGUGAAGUUUGUUUACCCAACAUCAAGUUGGAAUUUUAGUGUGCCCACAUGGAUUACUUUUAACUCCUAGUUUAACUUAUUCUGUUUUCUCCAUGCAGGUUCUCAACUCCAAUUCCAAUGCAAUGUCGAAAAUAAUCAAUGAAAAUGCAAGCGAGGAAUUUCUGUAUUCAUUGAGUAACUAUUGUGGACUGCAGGUUGGAGGAUAUUCUAAAUAAUUUAAUUUUGAUGCGCAAUUGCAAAUUUCCGGGAAGUUAGCACUUACAGGCUUCUUCUGGUUUCACUUAUUUCUAAGCAUACUUGUUAUAACUUUGGUUUGAAGCUUGCAUACCUUAGGUAAGGUUGUUGUCUUUAGUUGGUCAAUAUCAAUUGGGAAAUAUAGCAAACCAGUGAAGACAGUGGGAAAAGGAUAAUGUGAGUUUGACAGAUGCUGAGAGGAGAUAGGGAAACUUGGAUCUGAAAGUUUUUUUUUUUUUUUCUUAACGUGUAACCUCUUCACAAUGCCAUUGAUUCCCAUAGUUCAUGUUGCUAGGUGAACUUAACAACAACUAUCUGUUAUGCCUUGUGGAUAACUGAGAAAGUUUAUUGAUUUUGACAGAUUGCUUUUUGAAAUAGAGUGCAAGUAGAUUGACUAAUAAUGAACAUACUGUAUCAAGUUGUUACAUUUGAACAUGUUAAGGUCAUAUGAAGCAUACUUCUUGUAACUUUUUUUUUUUUUUUGCCCUCCCCAUUUCCCUGUAUGGAGGGUUUCAUGGAGGAUCAGUUUGGCUCAGGUCUAAUUGCUGGAGCAGUUGAGGAAGGAAUUACUGUUAUCAAAAUAAAGAUUCAUCUCACUCACUAGCCAGUUGAGCAGCUCGUCACUAGUCGAAUUCAUUGCCGAUUGCGGCCCGUAUCCAUUGCCCAUCACUGUUUGGAUUCGUCGGUUCUAUCAUGUUGGUUCAGUAGCUCAUCGCCGCUGUCAUGGUCGGCCUCUUUGUUGUCAUUGAAGAACCAAUCGAUAAAUAUGAUGAUAAUUUUUUAUGACAAUAAUUAGGAUGAUUGAUGAUGAUGAUUACCAUUGUUUUUUUUUUUUUUGAAGGAUUACCAUUGUUGAUGAUUAAUAUUAUUGAUGAUGAUUUUUUAUGACAAUAAUUUUGAUGAUGAUGAUGAAGAUGAUGUAAUUGCGAUGAGAUAAUGAAGAUGAAACUGAAUUGUGAUGUUGAUAAUGAAAUCGGCGGAAGGAAGAAGAUAAUUGUGGUGAUGAUGAUGAUGUUGAUGGAGAAGAAGAAAUUAACAUGAUUGAUGACGAAGUAAGGAGGAAUUUAUAAAACAGAGAGAAAAAGAAAAAAGAGAAGAUGAAGAGGAUAAAAAGAACAAAUAAAAAAAUAAAAAAAGGAAAAAAACAGGAGAGAAAAUAAUAAUAAAAACAAAAGAGGAAAAUAAUAAUAAUUAUUAUUAUAAAAUAAGUUAAAUAUUAUUAUUAUUAUUAUUAACAAUAAUUUUAUUGAUAACCAUAAUCAUUUAAUAGAUAAUAAAAAUAAUGGUAAUAAUGAAUUACGGGUAUUUUAAUAAUUUAAAUAAUUCAUUGUGAUUUAAAAAUAAAAUAAAUAUAUUAAUAGUAUGUCUUUUUUAGACGGCCAUCCAAUUUUAUGUCUUUUUUAUGGCCAUCCACUUAGUAGCUUGGUUAGACGUAUUGGGAUGUCGUAGGCCUUAAAAGAUAAGAGCAAAAAAUCAAUUCCAAAUCUAAAGUGAAAAACACUAGCUAGAAAAAAAUCUAUGUUCUGAUGUCUUAGUUUGUAAGCUCAAACAAUGAAUAGUAUACAUACAGCGCAUUAUAAAACACAAAACUCAUGUAGAUUUUUAGUUUCGAAAUUCAUUUCAGAAAAUCUGUUCUGUUCAACAGGUUAAAGUAGAUUAUCAACUAAACUCUACCCACAUACUUGCAUACAAUUAGAGCACUAGGUCAACAAAGGAGCACAUCUUUCGGAAGAUAAUUGAAGACUUGUUUGGCAAUUUGAAGAUUACAUCUUAGCUCUGCCAUUGGAAGCAAGCAACUCAGCUGCCCAAAGACCGCCAUGCCAUCAAGACAAUACCUAGAUACAACAUCAAUAAUAAUAACAUCAAGAAUUACAUAGAGGCCGUCGCACGUUACACCCACCCCAAUAAGAAACUAAUUAAUACCGUCUUAGCUCCUCUGUUUUAAAAGAAAUUAACACACCCAUGAAGUAGGAAUAAUUAAUUAAUUUAUACAGUUCAGUACUCAUUCGACCUCUGUUUCAAAUCCAAAUCCACUGCUCGACCAUUUACUAUGACGUAAGGUAUAUGGAUUAAUUAACAAGUGCCGAUAUUGUCCUCCAUCCUUUUGUGUACCUUUCUUCUGGCAAGGCCUUUUCUGGAAAGUAUUUGAGCUCCAGACAAUUACAGAAUUUCAAUUUGCUGAGGUUUUGAUGAUCAGCAAUUGAAGAAGACAAGCGUUAAUAAUUAUGAAGAACUGGUGUAAUUUAUAUCAUGUAGGAAGCCCUUCAGUUACUUCUUUGACUGUGCCCAAACUCUUUUAAGGGCUAAUAUCAAAAUUUCGUGAUAUUGUGCCUGAAGAGCUUCAUACCUCAUUGUAACUGUUUCUAAAAGUUGAUGAGCCCAAAUAUCCAAUAACUGAUAAAUUAUGUUGAGAAAUAGAAAUAUUAAUAGUACUGAUACAGACGCAUGGAAGUCCCCCGUUUUGAGUUUAUGCUUGUGCUUGUCUACUUGACAAAAAGGACAUAGGUGGAAAGUGGACUAAGCAUCAUUGGAUAACUUGGAGGAAAAAUAGUGUCCAGCAUAAAGAAUCCAUCGUUAUGUGCCGCUUCCUAUUUAAUUACAUUUAUCUAACAUUUAAAAGAUGGAAGUAGAAAAUUAACUCAGUUUUUCAGAUAUGGCUCAUAUACAAUGCAAGUAUCAAGAUUUAAUUAGAGUUCACAUAUAUACAUGCGUCUAGUUUUUAUUGAGAGAUUAACUAAUCAUAAAUACUCGUGUUCUAAAUGAUUGAAUAAUGACAUUAUUGUUAUUUAUAAAUUUAUAAGGAUAAAUUUAUACCGAAAAGGGUCCCCAACAUAACUUGAACAACUUUACUUGUGUUUGCUCAUUGAAUAAUGUUAUAAAAAAUAAAUACAUAUGUUAGAAGAUUCAUAGUAUAUUGGAGUGUUUUUUGUACUUGAAUGAUAAUGAAUGAAGGUAUGUUAAUUUACUUUAAAUAGAAACCUUCCUAAAAGGAAUAGAAAUGCUCUAUAACAUACCAAAUACUACCUUAAUCAAAAUUUAGUAGGCAAAAAUUUUAAAAAUGGAAUAAUUAACCCUAAUUAAAUAAUUGUCUUACAUCACCAAACUCUUUUUUUUUUUUUUUAAUUAAGGCAUCACAAAACUCUGUAAAGCAUAAAAUAUAAUAGGCAAAUUUGAGCUAAAAAAAAAUGAAGUUAGGAAAAUGACUUGCAUACUGUCUUUGAUGAGCGCAUAAUUUUCUUGAAAAAAAAGGAUUUUUGUGUUUUUUUUUUUUUUGGUAAAUUCGUGUCGUUUACUAGUCUUUUGGGUUUUGUUGUAUAAUUCUUUGGUACGUGUUUAUCUUGCUUUUGUAUAUGUUAGGAAACGGAGUGAAAUCCCAAUAUUAAAAUAUGGAGAAAUGAUUUUUCAUGAAUAAAAUGAUUUAAUUUAUUUUUAUUUCUACAACAAAAAUUAUUAAGUUAUCAACAUAUUGAUUUCAUCUGUAAGUUCCAGUCAGUCAGUUUCUCACGUUCCAUUGUUAUCUUUUAAAAGAUACUGCAAUGCUUUAAGUGUAUUUGAUCACUUCACUAAUAAUUUGAUAUUUACAAAUUGAAAAAAUAAAUUAUUUCUGACCAAAGACACUAGAGAAUGUCGAAAAGAGUUUGAGUAAUUUUUGUAUACACACACAACACAAAAUUAAAUUACGUGGCAAUGUUGAUAGUGAGUCGUUUUUGGGAAUCCAUAAGUUCACAUGUGCACAGACGUCGGUUGCCUGCCAGCCCUUUCCUUUUUUUUUUUUAAUAUCUCCAAAUCAUUUAUUAGAGUCCCAAAUUUAUCACACAUCAUUAAGUAAAAUGUGCCAAUUAGUAAGAGCCAGCUUCUUUCCUCUGUUUUCUUGCGUAUGCUGCAUUCAAGUAUCACUGAAAAUUUUAAUUAUACCGUCAACAGCUGCAGGAAAAUUAUAUACAUUCUAUCAACACCUGCAUGCUGCAAUCCUCAAUGACUGCCAAAUCUUCAUACCAUGAAUAUCAAGUAACUUCCAACUCUUCAUAUAGUGAAUCAGCAGGAUUCACGUCCGACCAACUCCACAGGCACGGCUAAAGCGAAAGAUUAUUUUUUCAGAUAUUAUCAAGAAAUUAAUUUAAGUGAAAUAAGCUAAGAGUGAUUUCGAUAAGGUUUUCAGAGAAGAUAUAGAAAGAAGAUAAAAUAAAUAAAUAAGUAAUUUCAGUCGAUGCAAAAAAUGGGCAUGUGUCUGACUAACAGGACAUGGCUUGGAGCAAAUAUCAAUGGAGGAAAUAUCAGCUUAUAAUUUUAUAAAAUAAGCAUCAAAAUAUUCGACAAGUUUGAGGUUUAUGAAAUAUUGGGAAAAUAGACAAAUAACAAAGACGCUCACACUACAAGUUAAGCAGAUCAAAUAAACAGAACAAAGGAAAUAACUGAUCAAUUUAAUUCUUUGUGCAAUGGCCACGGCAACAGAGAAAAUAUGUCUACAUGACUAUAUUAAUGCUACUGGCGUGGAUGGUACCAUCACCAUGAUGAUAUGAGAUUAAAAACAUUGACUUCAUAAUUUUAUAAAAUUUCAUAUAGAAGAUAUAAUUGAUUUGAGUUAGUUUAACAGAGAAAAAAGAAUAAUAAGGAAUUACAUUGAUGUGGCGUGUGAUGAGAAUUGAUAGAGAAGAAAUAUUGAUCAUGUAAUAAUGAAAUAUGUAUUUACUGAAAAAUAUUUGGCAAUAAAAUGAUGCUAUAAAAAUUUAACAUUGUUUGCAAGAAAAUAGUUUGACAACUAAAAGACAUAUAUAUGCAAUGCUUUGAGUUUAUUUUAUCGCUUCACUAACCAUUUUGUAACUACAUAUUAAAUAUAAGUUGAAUUAAUUCUGAUCUAAGACUCUAGAGAAUGUAGCUAGAAAAAUGAUUUGAUUUUGUAUAUAAACAAUAUUAGAGAUGAGAUAUGUCAAAAUCAAUUACAAGAACAAUAAUAAGAACAUAUUCUGCAAAAGUUAUAAAUACAUAUAAAAUAAAUUUAAUUUCAAAUUAGGAAAUUAUUAAUUUGUAUAGUAAGAGAGUCCAAUAGAAAAAUAGAAAUUUUUUUGAAAGAGAUUUGCUUAGGGAACAACUUUAGUUUGGUUUAGUUUGUGAAGGAUCAAGUAAUUGAACGCAAUUGAAGGAAAUUCAAACUUUUGAUUUUGACAAAGUAAUCGUUAAAAUGCUAAAAAUACUGGGACAAUAGACAAAUAAUGAAGAUCCUAAAAGUUGGUGGAGCAAAUAAACAGAGUAAAACAGAGCAAAUAUUUACCGUUAUACAUAUAUUUUUAUUUUUUUCAAAAAUGAAUGUGUCUAAUAUAUAACCACAGUCCGCUAUUACUGAUGUAUUAUAUAAGCACGUGUCUAAUUACCAAAUAAAUUCCACUUUGACAAAGAACAAAAGCUAAUUUUAUUGUUACCGCCUGCAGUUGUGCUUUCUUUUAUUUAUUUUCGUUUUGUUAUUUUCGUUUUGAAUGGUCCUGCAAUUUGUAUUCCUUUCUGUGGGAUUGGUUUUUGUGAUAAAUAUUAUUCAAACUGCUCAACAGGUGGAUUGUCCUGCAAUUUGUAUUUUCGUUUUAGUGAUAAGAACAUGGCUUGGAGCAAAUAUCAAUGGAGGAAAUAUCAGCUCAUAAUUUUAUAAAAUAAGCAUCAAAAUAUUCGACAAGUUUGAGGUUUAUGAAAUAUUGGGAAAAUAGACAAAUAACAAAGACGCUCACACUACAAGUUAAGCAGAUCAAAUAAACAGAACAAAGGAAAUAACUGAUCAAUUUAAUUCUUUGUGCAAUGGCCACGGCAACAGCGAAAAUAUGUCUACAUGACUUUAAUGCUACUGGCGCGGAUGGUACCAUCACCGUGAUGAUAUGAGAUUAAAAGCAUUGAUUUCAUAAUUUUAUAAAAUUUCAUAUAGAAGAUAUAAUUGAUUUGAGUUAGUUUAACAUUGAAAGAAAGAAUAAUAAGGAAUGAUAUCGAUGUGGCGUGUAAUGAGAAUUGAUAGAGACAAAUAUUGAUCAUGUAAUAAUGAAAUAUUUAGUUACUGAAAAAUAUUUGGCAAUAAAAUGAUGCUAUAAAAAUUUAACAUUGUUUACAAGAAAAUAGUUUGCAAUUAAAAGAGAUAUAUAUGCAAUGCUUUGAGUUUAUUUUAUCAUUUCACUAACCAUUUUGUAACUACAUAUUAAAUAGAAGUUGAAUUAAUUCUGAUCUAAGACUCUAGAGAAUGUAGAAAAAUGAUUUGAUUAUGUAUACAAACAAUAUUGGAGAUGAGAUAUCAGAUAUGUCAAAAUCAAUGACAAGAACAAUAAUAAGAACAUAUUCUACAAAAGUUAUAAAUACAUAUAAUAUAAAUUUAGUUUCAAAUUACGAAAUUAUGAAUUUGUAUAGUAAAAGAGUCCAAUAGAAAAAUGGAAAUUUUUUAAAAAGAGAUUUGCUUAGGGAAAAACUUUAGCUUGGUUUGGUUAGUGAAGGCUCGAGUAAUUGAAAGCAACGCAAUUGAAGGAAAUACAAACUUCCGCUUUUGACAAAGUAAUCGCUAAAAUGCUAAAAAUGUUGGGAAAAUAGACAAAUAAUGAAGACCCUACAGGUUUGCGGAGCAAAUAAAUAGAGUAAAAUAGAGCAAAUAUUUACCAUUAUACAUUUACUGCAGAAACAAAGUGCCUUCAUAACACCAGUUAAACUGUGUCUAGCUACCAUGCUGGUUCUACUUUUACUUUAUUAAAUAUAUACAGCAUUAAAUCACCUGAGCCUCCAGUUUCUCUAGUUUCCAACUUGAAAUUAAAACGUAGAAUUGAUGGUAAUGGAGUUCCUUAUUUAAUUUUGCUGUAGGUCAUGGGCAAUUAGACGGCCAUCCAUUUUUAUGUCUAUUUUAUGUACUAUUGGCCACUAAGUAGCUUGGAUAUUUUAUACGUAGUUUGAAAUAAGUCAAAAUCAAUUACUAGAACAACAAUAAAAGCAUAUUUUAUAAAGGCCAAAAAUACAUAAUAUAAAUUUAGUUUUGAAUUUUGUAAUUAUUAAUUCAUAUAUUAAGAGAGUCUUAUAGAAAAAUAGGAAUUUUUUGAAAGAGAUUUGCUAAAGUAAAAAAUUUCGUUUGGUUUAGUUUGUGAAGGCUCAAGUAAUUGAAAGCAAUGCAAGUGAAGGAUAUAUGAACUUGUAAUUUUUACAAAGUAAUUGCUAAAAUAUUUGACAAGCUUGAGAUUUUAAAAAGGCUGGGAAAAUAGAAAAACAAUGAAGACCCUACGAGUUGGCAGAGCAAAUAAACAGAGGAAAACAUGACAAAUAUUAUGUUGAUGCACAAUCUUAUUUUAUGUUGAUGCACAAUCCAACUUUUUAACAAAAAUAAUAUUUAAAUUGUCACAAAACGUAUUAUUCUUUAAAAAAAAUUCAUAUACAGUAGUUAAUUUUUCUUUACUCCAGGAUCCAACUACAUACCCCUCUUGUUUGUCGUUAUUCUGCUCAGUCGUUAGAUUUUAAUUACUGUAAAGAAUUGUGGAAAUGCUCAUAUAUUAUUUGUUGCUGUGUACAAGAUCCUUAUAUACAAAAAUACUAGAAUCAUCUAAGGCAAGUACCAAACGGUCAAAUAAUAGAAAAGGAAAGAAUAUAAAGGAGAAUGAAUAUUACAAUAUGCUAAGUUAGUGGCUAAGAUCAAGGACUGAUUGAUUCUUGUUCUAAUACUCCCCCUCAAGUUGGGAAGUGAAGAUCCGUAACUCCCAACUUGCCAAGAAGAUAUUGAAAUUGAUGUUUACCAAGAGCUUUGGUAAAAAUGUCAGCCAAUUGUUGUCGUGAAGGCACAUAAGUUAAGGAAAUGAUUUUGGCAUGAAGCUUUACACGAACAAGAUGGCAGUCUAUUUCUAUGUGCUUGGUACGCUCAUUGAAGAUGGGAUUGGCAGCGAUAUGAAGCGCAACUUGAUUGUCACAAUGUAAAGUUAUAGGCAUUGGAUGGGUCACAUGAAGAUCACGAAGUAGAGUUUUCAACCAAACCAAUUCACAUGUUGUUGUCGCCAUGGCUCGAUAUUCGGCUUCAGCGGAAGAGCGCGAUACAACUGGUUGCUUCUUGGUUUUCCAAGAAAUAGGACUAUUGCCAAGCAUGAUAAAAUAUCCAGUAGUGGAUCGACGGGUCAUGGGGCAACUUGCCCAAUCUGAAUCUGAGAAGGCAGAGAGUUCCAAAGAGUUAGUGGAGGACAAGAGGAUACCAGCGCCGGGAGAAAAUUUGAUGUAACGUAAGACACGCAGGGCAGCAUCAUAAUGUGGUCAUCUUGGAGUGUGCAUAAAUUGACUAAGUAUGUUCACAGCAUAUGUAAUUUAUGGCCGGGUGAUUGUCAAAUAGAUGAGACGUCCUACAAGUCGUCGGUAUUGGUCAGGAUUUUGACAAAGGGUUCCUUGAUCGUUAGAGAGCUUCAAGUUUUGUUCCAUUGGAAAAGAAGAUGGCCGUGUGCCUAAUUGUCCACUGUCUUGAAGUAUAUCUAAAGCAUAUUUCCUUUGAUUGAAGAAAAUCCCUUGCUUUGAGCGAGCCACUUCAAUUCCUAAAAAAGAUUUCAAAGUUCCCAAGUCUUUAAUAUGAAAUUGAGCCUGCAAAAACAUCUUCAAUGCAGUUAUAGUGUCAAGAUGGUUACCAGCAAUUAUUAUAUCACCAACAUACACAAGCACCAAUGUAAAAUGAGAAUCAUGCAUUUUAGUAAACAAACAAGAAUCAACAUAAAAUUGAAUGUAACCAAUUUGUUUAAGAGCGGAUGAGAAUUUUUCAAACCAAUUUCGAGAAGCUUGCUUGAGACCAUAAAGGGACUUGUUUAACUGACAAAAUUGAUAAGACUCCCCCUGUUUACAAACUCCUGGAGGUAAGGUCAUAUAAAUUUCCUCAUGCAAGUCACCAUGAAGAAAUGCAUUAUGAACAUCUAACUGAAAUAAUAACCACCCUCGAAUAGCUGCCAUUGCCAAUACACAUCUAACAGUCACAAGUUUUGCAACAGGUGCAAAUAUCUUAUGGUAAUCCAAACCUUCAGUUUGUGUGUAUCCUUUAGCAACAAGGCGUGCUUUGUAUCUCUCAAUAGAACCAUCAGCUUUUCUUUUAAUUUUGAACACCCAUUUACAACCAAUUGGUUUCUUGCCGGGAGGUAGAUCUUGUAUAGGGAUGGCAAAUUGGUCCAUCCAAAUUGGAUAUCCAUAUAUCCAAUCCAAUUGGAUUGGAUAAUAUCCAUCCAAAAUCUUCUUGGAUAUGGAUAUGGAUAUUUUUAAAAAUAUCCAAUUAGAUAUUGGAUGGGUAUGGAUAUUUAAUGGAUAUCCAAAAUCCAAUUAAUUUAUCCAUUUAAAGUUAAAAAAAUUUAUAUUGUUCAACUAAAAUAAAAAAAAAAUCUAAUUUUCUCUUAUAUUAACUAGUGAAAAAUUUAAAUUUCUCUUAUAUUAAAAACUAAAGUUUUCAAAAUUACCCUUUAAUUUUUUAACUUAUUUAAUACUAUUUAUAAUUGUUAUUUUAUUUUAUUGAUUUAAUAUUAUAAAUGGAUUUCCACCGGAAAGUCACCGGACCACCACCGGAGUUCGCCGGACCACCGUCGGAUAUCGCUGGAAUUACCGCCGGACCUCGGCGGAAAGUCACCAGAAGACCGCCAGACCACCGUUGGCUUCACCGGAAGAUUGCCGGACCACCGCCGGAAUUCGCCGGAAGGUCGCCGGACUUUGCCGGAAAGUUGCCGGACCGCCACCACCGACCACCGGACCGCCAUUUUAUUAUAUAUAUAUAUUAUUACUAAUAUAAAUAGUUUAAUAGCCAAAUUUGAUAUUGAAAUUUUAACUAUUUUAUAUUAUUAUUUUUAUAUAAUUAAAAUAAAAUAUCCAUGGAUCUCCAUAAACUAUAUGGAUAAAAUCCAUAUCCAUGUCCAAUAUUAAAUAGUGGAUAUGGAUAUGGAUAUAUCCAUUAUGGAUAAUUAUGGAUUUAUGUUUAUCCAUCCAUCAUUGGAUAUUUGUCAUCCCUAAUCUUGUAUUGUCCAAGUGUUACUUUGCUCUAAAGCUUUAAUCUCUAUAUCCAUAGCAUUGCGCCAAUGAGCAUGUUGAACGGCUUGAGAAUAUGUAGUUGGUUCAACAUCGUGAGAUAUGGCUGAAAGAAAGGCUACAUGAUCACUAGAAAACUUGUCAUAUGAUAAAUACUUGGAUAAUGGAUAUAAAGAACUUACCAAUAGUGGAUGAUUAGUAAAAGUAUUAGAGUUGCCAAAUGUACCGUGAAGUGCAGUAGAGCAAAUAUAAUUCUGAAGAUAAUUUGGAUGACAAGACUGUCGUUGGGACCGUCGAAGAGGUGGAGAAGGGAGAACUACUGAAUCAGAUGUACCUUGGUGGAGUGGCUGCUCAUUGGAAGAAGUUGGAAGGAGCUGUGCAUUUUCAUUGGCAAGAAGUAUGAUAGGAAGAGGUAAAACAUUGUUAUUUUCUUGUUGAUUGGUGAUAGUUUUGAAUGGGAAUUCAGUUUCCACAAAAGUAACAUCACGAGAAAUAAAAGUCUUUUUGUUAAUGAUAUCAUAAACUUUGUAUCCGGGAUACCCAAAUGGGUAACCAACAAAUAUACACUUGGUAGCACGGGGAGCAAAUUUAUGAUGAUUAGCACUGUUGGUAUGAACAUAACAAAGACAACCAAAGACACGAAGACGAUCAUAGUGAGGUUUAGUCUUAAAAAGCAUUUCAUAAGGAGAUUGACCACCAAGAUUAGGAGUGGGUAUACGAUUAAUCAAAUGGGUUGCAGUUAAAACACAAUCUCCCCAGAAAGAUAAAGGUAAAUGUACUUGAAAACAUAACGCACGUGCAACUUCUAAAAAAUAUGUCGGUGCUUGCGUUCUGCUACCUAAUUUUGUUGAGGUGUUUCAACACAAGUCCGUUCAUGCAAGAUGCCAUGCUCAUGAAAAAAAGAUUGCAUCUGAUUUGAUAAAAAUUCACGUCCUUGAUCAGUACGAAUUUUUUUAAUUUGUGACUGAAAUUGUGUUUUGAUCAAGAAGUAAAAGUUUUUUAAUAAUUGAAAAGCUUCAAACUUGUGCCGCAUGAGGUAAACCCAAGUACAACGAGUAUGGUCAUCAACAAUAGUAAGAAAAUAAUAUGAUCCCGUAUAUGUAGAUGUGCGAUGAGGUCCCCAAAUAUCACAAAAAAUUAAUUGAAAUGGCAUAUCAGAACGAUUUUUAUUCAAUUGAAAUGAACUUCUAGUGUUUUUUGAAAGUUGACAAAUUUCACAACAAGAAUUAAAUGAUGCAAUAUCAUAAAUAAAAGACAAACGCUGCAUUCGGUCUUUAGAAGGGUGACCGAGUCGCAAAUGCCAAAGAUUGGAAUUGGGUUCCUUUGCAACGUUCAUUACUGAAGGAAGGGAAGAAUGACCAUUGAUAUGCUCAUAAUAAUAUAGUACAUCCCGAACUUCACCCUUUCCAAUCAGCUUCUUCGUUGAAAGGUCCUGAAAAACACAAAAUGAAGGGAAAAAUAUAGCAGCACAGUUCAAAUCCUUGGUUAGCUUGCUUACAGAUAAUAGUUAAAAAUUAAAAUGAGGAACUAAUAAGGCAUUAUCUAAAGUCAAAGAGGAGGAUAAUUUAAUGGAUCCACAUUUUGUUGUAGGAACAGUUGUGACAUUUGGUAGUCUCACGGGUUUGACAUGAGACAUGGGCACAAAAUUUUUAAAGGAAGAAAUAUUAGGGUCAUGUGAUCAGAUGCCCCACUAUCAAUUAUCUAAGAAUUAUUAUAUGAGUUAAUAGCAGAAUUGCAAAAAGGAAUGAUUUUACCAGCUAAGUUUACAGUAGAUGGCUGCUUACUUGUUGAAAGUAUAGAUAAUAAAUGUUGAUAUUGUUCAGCCGUGAGACCGGGAAUUUGGAUAGUAGGCUGAGAUGAUGAAUUCUUGUCUUUUGGAAUGGGAUGAUCAUCUAGUUGUUGUGGCUUCGUGGUUGCAGGAGCAGCAACAUGCGAUCGAUUUGAAUGUUUCCAGUUUGGUGGGUAGCCAACAAUUUUGUAACAUUUGGCUUUUAUAUGCCCAUAUUUCUCGCAAUGAUCCCAUAAAGGUCUACCUCGUCCUUGUGUCUCUUGUACUCCAUGCAAUUGGCUAGGAUGUGAAUGAUUUUGACGGCUGGUCAUUUGAGUCUUAUUAUUGGCUGUCAAGGCUGUUGAUUCAAUAGAUGGUUGACUGGAAACAUGGAGAAGUCGUUGACGUUCUUCCUGAUGAAUAAUUGAAUAUGCUUUUCCAACAUUUGGAAGUGGUUCCAUGGCUAAGAUUUGACUUCAUACCGAAGAAUAUGAAUCAUUGAGACCCAUUAGGAAUUGAAACACCUUUUCAGUCUCCAGUAAUCCCUGUAAUUCAUUUGAAGUUUCACACUUGCAAGAAGAAAUAGUGGUUAAUGUGGACAAUUCAUCCCAAUAAAAUUUCAAAGUAUUAAAAUAAAUCACUAAUGAUUUUUGCUCUUGCUGGUGAUUGCAUAUGGCUCUCUUAAGUUCAUAAAUCCGUGGAUUAUUACUUUGUGAAAAACCUUCUUCCAACCCAAGCCAAAGAGAGCGUGGCGUAUCACAAUAGAUGAGGCCAUUGGCAAGAUUUUUCUCUAUUCCAUUGAGCAUCCAUGAAAGGACCAUGUCAUUGCAUCGCUCCCAAGUUUUUAAAUCUUGUGAGGUUGAUGAAGGUUUUUGUAUGCUUCCAUCAAUAAAACCCAAUUUGUUUUUGGCAUUUAAUGCCAUCUUCAUGGAUCUUUUCCAUGUUGAAUAAUUAUCACCCGUUAGCACAUUAGAUACAAGAAUGGCUCCAGGAUGAUCAGAUGAAUGAAGAAAGUAUGGUGAAGAAACAUCGGUAAUGAGGGAAUUUGAUGUUUCUAAUAUUGGAUUCAAACUACUAGACAUGAUUGUCAAAGAGAAAAGCAGAAAUGAGCAAAAUUUGCUCUGAUACCAUGUAAAGAAUUGUGGAAAUGCUCAUAUAUUAUUUGUUGUUGUGUACAAGAUCCUUAUAUACAAAAAUAUUGGAAUCAUCUAAGGCAAGUACCAAACGGUCAAAUAAUAGAAAAGGAAAGAAUAUAAAGGAGAAUGAAUAUUACAAUAUGCUAAGUUAGUGGCUAAGAUCAAGGACUGAUUGAUUCUUGUUCUAAUAAUUACGUUGAUCUAACGGUUGGGAUUUGUAAAUGAAUAACGAAGUGGUGUUUUUGGCUACCGUCUGAACCCAUUGCAUCUAAUUGGUUUUGUGAUUUUUCGCUUUCUUCUCUGCAACGCUUGACUAGUUCUAGAAAUAUCGACAGCAAAUUUGGAGCAUGUAUUAUUUUUCAUUAAAAUAAGUUUCCACCACCGUACCAGUAUAUGGAUUUCUGAAUUAAUUAUUAAAAGAAGCAAACAAUACUGAGAAUAUAUUAAUUAUUAAUUUAUAUAAUAAAAUGUUUGCUUCAAAAUAUACUAUUUGAAUUUGAAAUAAUAUUUUUUAAAAAUUUUAAUAUCACAAUAAUAGUCAUGAUCCAAUUGGUUUGAUUUUUUUUUUUCAGAAAAAAUUUGGAAGAAUAGACAAAUAAUGAAGACACAACCUAAGGAGAGCCAAUAAACAGGGGAAAGUGAAUUGCGUACUGUCCUCGAGCUCUCAAUUAUCCAACAUUCUCAAAUUUCUAUGUACAUUUUCGUAAAUUCAUGUCAUAUACUAGAGCUAGUAUUUUGGGUUUUGUUGCAUUAGUUCUCUGGUGUUUAUCUUGUUUUAUUACCUUAUGAUGCAAGAUUCGUGGUAGCGAUACACCUCGAAUAAAACUAUUUUUGUUUUUUUGGCAUUUUUAUUAGCACAAAUCAUUAUUAAUUACUGAACCCAUCGAGAUAUUGGUUUCAUUUGUAACAACUUGCUAAUUGCUUAAUACAUUUUUGUAAUUCUCGUCAUGAAGUCACAAAGAACCUGCAAAUAAAAGAUGAUUCAUAUACAGGUACAUAUAGAAUAAAGAUAUUUAAACAUAAACAUUCAAUUUUAUGAUAAACCUAACUGUCAUUGAGUUAUUGCUAUUAAAGGAAGUGAACAGAAAUAGAUGUAGAAAGUCAGAAAUAUGAAUGAGUGCACUUGAUGAUUUCUCGAAUAGAAAAUUAAAGUAAUAUCAUUUUUAAUAAAUGUGAGAUGAUUUAUACUCUAGAAUUUAUUUUGAACACUUAUAUUUUUAUUAUGAAAAAUCUCAUAGUUCAAUUUAUUAGUAUGGACAAUUCAAUAUAAGUAAACAGAAUAAUAAUACUUUUGAAACUCAUCUAACCAUAGUGCGCACGCACCCAUAUAAACCUUAAACCAUAAUAAAACGUUCUUCCUCAACAUAAAGACUAAUUCAUUAUUUAAAAGCAUAUAUUAACAAAUUUGUACACACAGAUUCUAUGGUUCUAAUUUCUUUGACUUUAAUUUUUCACUUCUCCACCAAAGGAGGUUCUACACAAAUAAACAACAGCAGAAAAACAAAUAUAAAAUGUGAUUCGUGUGUAGAAGAUAUAUACUCAUCAUAACAAUAACUGAUAAAUUGUAUUAAGAAAUAAAAAUAUUAGUAGUGAUGACAUGAAAGAAGUCUGUUGUCUUCACUUUGACUAAAAAUAAUUUAAAAUAAUCGACCAAGCGAAAUUCCUUAAGAAAUGAACUAGGUUGGGAAGGCAGAGCAGCCUCUGUUCUUUUUACUAUAAUGCUAAGAAUUGACUUCAAUUGGGAAGUCAGGCCAAUUGAAGAAGCUCCCCUGUUUUUCACUGAAUCAUAAUCCGAACAAUUUAUAAUUAAAUAAAUCAUUCAAAAUCUCCUUUAAUCGAACCCCCACUUCUGUGGUUUAAUGAAAUAUUAACGUUCAGCUCCUGAAGUUGCCAUUUUAUGUAUUGAAAAAGAAGAAAAUACAAGAAACUGAAAAUUAAUUGAUGCUGCAUCAUGUUGGAUUGUUAGUUGUUAUUAUGAUGGGGAUAUAAUCUUUGCCUUUUAAUUAUCAUCUAGCUAACGCAAGCCCACUAGUUUCAUUUGUGUCCAUCACUAAAAAGUAGAGUUGUUUAAUUCAAUAGUGUCACGUUACAUCACAUAAAGUCACUCAAUUUUCAUUGCCAUAUGUAGCUCAAAAGUGCAUGAACAUUGAACUUUCAACUAACUUAUAUUGAUUAAUUAAUACGACCAUCAGUUCUUAGUACCCAACAACAUCCAUCAAUAAGAGCAAAAUCCCCAUUAAUUUCAUAAAUAAAAAUAAUAAUAAGUUACAAAGACAAUAUUUGACAAUCACAAAAACAACUAUAAUUCACUCCAAUAAACAACAUAACAGAUACAUUAUCAAUAUUGCAAGUCGUUUUAUGAUUUAAUUAAAAGAGAAAAUAUGAAGGACAUAUUUUUUAUAUAAUUGAAUGUUCUCCUUGAUAAUUAGACAAAAUAACACCAAUCUAACUACCUAAUUCAAUCAUCAUAAUGAUUCAAUUUUCAUUUUUUAAUUAUGUCCAAUCAUGCUAAUUUAAUAAAGAUUACUGAGCACUUAAAGUACCUAUAUCUUCAACAACUUUGGCUAAGUUAGAAAAGUGUUAGAGCUGCAUUUAUGCUUUGUGUUAUUAAGCAGGACAUGAUCAUAUUACGUUGCGUUUUUCCGAAAACUGAAAAUUAUUAAAAAAAAAAUCUGAAAAGAGAUGUUGAAUCGCGAGCUUAAACUGAGUUUUAGACAUGUUUGACUUGUCGGUUGAUAUCCCUGAUUGUGCAUGUGCUGUCGGUUUUUGGACGGAACACAAGAAUAUGACAGCUGUGUGUUGUCGUCUGGAUCACAUGUUCUUCACGUGAUUUCACUUACCCUAUGCGGCACAUUUGGCAGUCGUUUUGGUCACUCAUUGAAGCACGAAUUAAGAACGUCAUUCAAGGUUGUUCAUUGACCUUUACAAGGCGGGAAAAUUCUGGGUUUGUUUUAACAAACCCAGAAUGCAGCUUGUGAGUGGGGGGAACUUUCUAGAUUCUUCAUGAUCUGUGUAUAUAGUCUUAGAGGCUACAGUUGAGGCAUAUGAAAAGCUUGUAACUUCUUCUUAAUGAUUGUAGUUUGAUCUCGGUGAUGGAGAUAAGAUUGCUGCCCUGUUCUUCACUUGAUAUAGGCUAUCUCCAAGCGGAACCACUUAAAUUGUGCCUCUGUUUUGCUUGUUUCGAGGUGUGUGAUUUGCUUGUCAUUUCUAAAUCAUCAAUUAGAGAGUUUAGUGAGAUCUUGGUGGUUUUAGAAUGAGUUUAAUCGAUCAAGAAUCAACAAGAUGCUAUGAAAACAAAAUAAGAGACUAUUGCACGCACAUCAUAGCAAUGUUUCAUUCAUUUCGAAUCUAUAUAUACAAAACUUAUAUCUGGUGGUUUCUGUUUGUUUAAUCUAACGGCUAUAACAUGUAUAUUGUCAAAAGCUACAGCGGCCAACUUUGUUUGUCCUCUUAGCAUCCUUGAUCUUAUAUCAUCCUGGUGAUUCUUGAGAGCUCUUCUCAUUCUCUCGUGUUGAGUCCCUUGCUGAGAUGAUAAAUACUUGAGGGUCCUUCCUUGAUAUAUUUCAGCAAACACUUGAUUCAUUCUAUCAAACAUUUGCAUCACUAAUCAUUAAAUGGUGUAAGAUAGUUCUGUUUUGAAAAAUCAAUAUAAAAUCAAUCACCUUAGAUUUUCUUAGUCUCAGAGCACAAUGGCUGAUGAUUUGAUGAGAAAUAUUAAUAUGCAUGCAUCCCCUGCAUUCGUUAGAGCUGCUCUCAACCUCUGUUUAAUAAGCUAGUCCUCUGCUGUAUCCUAGAAGGUGGAACAUUAUGCUUCCCAGCUGGCUCAAGAGGGAACUAUGCUUCUGCUGCCAAAUUUUUGAAAGCGAACAUCGUGGGAAGAGGUUGAUCUGAAGCCAUUGCAUCUGAUUGGUUUUGUGAUUUUUUGCUUUCUUCUCUGUAACGCUUGACUAGUUCUGGAAAUAUCGACCAUCAUCGAUGGCAAAUCUGGACCAUGUAUUUGCCCACUACUAAGAAAUAAAGUUUCCACCACCGUACCAGUAUGUCGAUUUACGAAUACAUUCAUUCAAAUAUUAAACGUACAGAGAAGAGAGCAAACUGUGGCAGGAUAGCAAAAACUGCGAAUGGUCAUUCCCAACACGAACGCUUAUGGCUGUUUUCCUUUUAAUUUUCUUCUUUGAAUUCUCCUUUUAUUAAUCAUUAGAAAAACUCCCUUUUUUUAAAUCAUGUGUUAUAAACAUUUACAUGGUUAAUGUCAUCGAAAUCAAAUGGUUGUUAUCUACGAAAAGAGAAUUGUUAGAAAUUUUGUAAGUCCCAUUGCAACAAUAUAUUGUUAUAAAUUGCAUUGUUUCCCAUAUAACAAAUAUAAUAAAAUCUCAAUAAAUUAAUAGUUUUGGGGACCAUAAAAAAAUUUAUUAAAAUUUAACAAAUAUCAAUUAAUUGGCAAAUUAAUAAAUUAUUAAUUUAUGAAAAUAUUCAUUAUUUUAGAAAAACAUGAUCACGUUUUUAGUAUUGAUUUACCUUGAGUUAGUAUCUAUUAUGUUUUAUUUGUCUCUAUUAGUUUUCUCUUGGGAAGAUUUUUUAAGAGUUAGCUGCUUUAUAUUAACAGUAAUAAAAUUAUUGUAUGGUUUUGUUUUUCCAUGUUAAAGAUCGAUUAGUCCUCUGCUUCUCCUCAGAGUCAUCGAGCACCGCCUGAAUCAUCAACAACGUGCUCUUCCACUUCAUCAGAUCGUCUUCGAUCUUCUCUUGGCGUGUGUUAAGGAAGUUAAGGAAGCUCAUAUUUGCAGUCAAGCAGAGGAUCACAGCAGCUUCUAUAAUCAGUUGCAAGUUGAUGACAUGUACUGCCAGCUGGCACUAGGUGGUUAUGUAGCUGCUUGUACUUAUACACGUGAUAAGUUUGUUAAUUAGUUUGUAAUUAGUUAGUUAGUUUUGUAACCAUCAGCUGAGAAGCAACACUUGUAUAUAUAUGCUUGUAAUCGUUCAGUAGCAUUUAAAAAAAAAGCUUGAGAAAAUAAAAGAAGAAAGUUUUCUAAAUCUCAGUUUAUUUUCUUAUUAGCCAAACACUCAUUUUCUGUUUUAUAACUUGGUAUCAGAGCCAGUCAUGGCAUCUCUGAAUAUUGCCUCAUCAAAUCACACUUCGAAUAUUCAUACAAACUCAACAAACUUCUCAUUCACAUUCAAUACCCCUGUGAAACUGGAUCAGGCAAACUAUCUGAUCUGGAGGUCCCCAGUUCUAGCUUCCAUACGCGGCAAUAGGCUAGAAAAGUUUAUUGAUGAAAAUGUCACUCCUCCUCCAUCUCAUAUUGCUCAAAGGAUUGACGAUGAACUUAGAUCUGUUGAGAAUCCAGAUUCAUCAAGCUGGAAAGCACAAGGUCAAGUACUUCUUGGCUGGUUGUUGUCAUCGAUGAGUGAAGGUAUUAUAAGUCUGGUGUUUAAUUUGGAAACUUCUCUUGAGGUAUGGAAAGCUAUUGAAACUCAAUUUGGAUCACAGUCAAAAUCCAGACUCUUACAUUUGAGAUAUUUGAUGAAUUCAACUAGGAAAGAUGAUCUGAAAAUCAAUGAGUAUUUCAUUAAAAUGAAGAAUAUUGCUGAUAACAUGGCUGCGGCAGGAAGUGCCUUAAGCAGUGAUGAUUUAAUUUUGCAUGUACUCUCAGGACUAGGACCAGAUUAUAAUGCUGUUGCUACUUAUAUUACUGGUCAAAUAAGUGGUGAUAAAAUGAAUUUAAAUGAGGCUUAUGCUAUGUUGUUGACUCAAGAAGCUAGAAUUGAGCAACAAGCACAUAUGCUUUCUGGAAUGGAUGUUAAGCAUAAUUUUGAAGCUAAUUUUGCUCAGAACAGAGGUUUCAAGAAAGGAAAUUUCUCAGGUGGUAGAGGAUCUGGUAAUCAUGACUAUUUUACUGGAUUAGAUAAUGCUGGAAAUUUUGGAAAUAAUUACAGAAGUGGCUAUGGAAGAUCUGGUUUCUUUGGUAAUGGUUUUGGAAAUAAUCAUAAUAACCAAUUAAGAGGAUUUCAAAGUGAUAAUCAAAGGGGAUCAGGCUCAGGAAAUUGGAACAAUGGUGGGGGUGGUAACAAUAACUCUAUCAGGCCUCAAAUGAAUCCAAAACCUCAGUGGAAUGCUUCUAAACCAACUUGUCAAAUCUGCUUAAAAACUGGUCAUACUGCAAAUGUCUGCUGGAAGCUUGAAGAAUUCUUUACCUCUGGUGCUUGCAAACCUCCUCCAAACAGAAAUCCCAAAGCUGCAUAUCUAGCUGAUAUGGAUGGUGCAGUUGAUGCCAACUGGUAUCUGGAUAGUGGAGCUACACACCAUCUUACCAAUGACAUGAGGAAUAUGACUAUGGCAGAAUCCUUUGCAGGUAACUCUAAACUCAUCAUUGGAAAUAGUACUGGUUUACAUAUAACACAUGUUGGAAAUGCUGUGUUAAGAAUGCAUAACUCUUCUGCUCAUCAUAUACUCAAAUUAAACAACAUGCUUCUUGUUCCACAAAUAUCCAAGAAUCUUAUUGGCAUAUCUCAGCUAACCAAAGAUAACAACAUUGUUAUUGAAUUUACUGAUAAAUCCUGUGUUGUGAAGGACAAGGUGAGGAAUUUGAUCAUACUGCAGGGCAAAGCUGAAAAAGGUUUAUACAGAUUGCUAUUGUUUCCCUCUAAUAAAGUCUCUUCUCAAUCAUGUCAAAGGUCUCUUGAAGCCACUCAAUCCAAAAUUUCAAAUGUUCCUAUGUCUAUGUUUUCAGUUGUUCAGUCAGUUGUCAAUAAUCAAACAAGUCCCUGCUUGCAUACUGCAGCAGAACCUUGUAUCAGUCCAAAUUGUAUGCUGAGUGUUUCUGUUUUGCAUCAGAAACUUGGUCAUCCUAAUUCCAAAGUUUUAAGUCAUGUAAUAAACUCUUGUUCAGCUUUCAAGAAUUUAAAUGGAAGUAACUUUCUUGAUUCAUGUGAUGCAUGUAAAAUGGGAAAAAUGCAUAGAUUACACUUUCCAGUUUCUACUACCAAAACAAAGCAUGUAUUAGAAGUUUUGCACACUGAUUUAUGGGGACCUGCCCCUGUGCUUUCAGUUCAAGGUUACAGAUAUUAUGUGAGUUUUGUGGAUGAUUUUUCGAGGUUCACAUGGAUAUUCCCAUUAAAAACCAAGGAUGAAACACUAGCUGUGUUUAAAAUCUUUAAGAAGCAAAUUGAGAAACAGCUAGAUAGAUCCAUUAAAUGCAUUCAAUCAGAUUGGGGUGGGGAGUAUAGAUCAUUUGUUAAUUUUCUUCAUGAGGAAGGUAUUCAAUUCAGACACUCAUGUCCCUAUACUCACAAUCAGAAUGGCUUAGUUGAGAGAAAACAUAGACACAUAACCGAGCUAGGUCUCACCUUAGUUGCUCAAGCUUCUUUGCCUCUCAAAUUUUGGUGGGAUUCCUUCCAUACAGCCACCUAUAUUAUCGAUAGACUUCCCACACCCAUACUAUCUAUGCAGUCACCUUAUGAAUAUGUCUUCAAAACCAAACCUGAUUACAAAUUUCUCAAGGUCUUUGGUUGUUCAUGCUUUCCAUUCUUAAGGGAUUAUAAUACUCACAAAUUCCAUUUUCAUACCUCAAAAUGUGUAUUUCUUGGUUACAGCCCUUUACAUAAGGGUUACAAGUGUAUGCAUUCUUCUGGAAAGAUUUUUAUAGCCAGUCAUGUGUUAUUUGAUGAAACUUCUUUUCCUUACACAUCAAAUUCACAAUUCUUAACUUCAUCAUUCAAACCCUCUGAUUUCCAUUACAGUCUUCUUCAAUCUUGUACUGUUUCACUUCCCAAUAGCAAUCAAGAAACCUUUGAAGCUAGCUCUGCAGAAAAUGAAGCUCCAUCUCAUCAUUUCAGUGAUCAUUCCUCACCUGACAGUCAUAAUACAACCUUUGAUGUUUCACCUUCUCAAAUACAUCUUCAACCCUCUACCAUAGCUACUUCACAAACACAACAGCCAUCCUCAUCUACUAUUCAAUCCACACAACCAUCCUAACAUCCUCUGCCGAAUCAUCCCAUGAUUACCAGAGCAAAAGCUGGUAUAUUCAAGCCUAAAGCAUUCUUAACAUCACAUAACAGCCUGGAACCAUCUACUGUUGAUGAAGCUUUGUCUGAUUCUAAGUGGAAAGCUGUAAUGCAAUUAGAGUUUGAUGCUUUAACCAGAAAUAAUACCUGGAAUCUAGUACCUAUGACAUCUCAGCACAAGUUGGUUGGUUGUAAAUGGGUCUUUAGAACCAAGUACAAUACAGAUGGUACAGUUUCUAAACACAAAGCAAGAUUGGUAGCCAAGGGCUUUCACCAGGCAGCAUGAGUGGAUUAUAAGGAAACUUUUAGUCCUGUGGUAAAGUCUUCUACAGUAAGAACUAUACUAAGUUUGGCAGUGAUGAAAGGUUGGAAAGUCAGGCAAAUCGAUAUAAAUAAUGCCUUUCUUAAUGGAGAUAUUUCAGAGGAUAUAUACAUGACACAACUAGAGGGCUUCAUCACCAAAGAGGGCUAUGUCUGCAAACUUAGCAAGGCUCUUUAUGGCUUGAAGCAAGCUCCUAGAGCUUGGUAUGACAAACUCAAAGGGUGUCUUACAAGCUGGAAUUUCUUCAACUCCAAGGCUGAUACAUCCUUGUUCAUCAGACAUGACACGAGAGGUAUCAUUCUUGUUCUUAUCUAUGUGGAUGAUAUUCUUAUUACAGGACCAGAUUCUUCCCUGUUGGAAACAUUCAUCACUAAAUUUAGUAAGGUUUUUGCCUUAAAACAUUUGGGAUUGGUAUCCUAUUUUCUGGGUGUUGAGGUGUGUUAUACUGAUAGUGGGAUGCAUUUAUCACAAACAAAAUAUAUUAAAGACCUCUUAAGUAGAGCUUCAAUGCAGAACUGUAAAGGUUCUGAUACACCUCUCAGCACAGGUCAAAAGUUAGAAAAGGUAGCAAAGGUCUGUUUGGGGAAAGAAUUUGAAGAUCCAACUCUCUAUAGAAGUAUUGUUGGAGGGCUCCAAUACUUGAUACUCACCAGACCUGAUAUUGCAUACUCAGUUCAUAAGCUCAGUCAAUAUUUGAGUGCUCAUACACUUCAGCAUUGGCUUGCUUGUAAGAAAGUACUUAGAUAUCUUCAAGCAACUGUCACUCAUGGAAUAUAUAUUCAGAAGGAAGGAGAGCUUGAAGUUACAGGUUUGAAUGGAUACUCAGAUGCAGAUUGGGCUUGUAAUACAGAUGAUAGAAAGUCCAUUGGAGCAUAUUGCAUCUAUCUUGGCAACAAUUUAAUUUCAUGGUCCUCUAAGAAACAAGCCAUAGUGGCCAAAUCCAGCACUGAAAGUGAGUAUAGAGCACUGUCAUCAGCAAGUUCAGAAAUCUCUUGGCUUGAAUCUCUAUUUUCUGAGCUCAACAUUGUAAAGCUGCCAACACCAGUGCUUUGGUGUGAUAAUCAGAGUGCUGGGGAAUUAGCCAAAAAUCCUGUGUUUCACUCCAGGUCUAAGCAUAUCGAGUUGGACAUUCAUUACAUUCGAGAUAAGGUACUUCAAAACCAAUUAGAAGUGAGAUACAUUCCUACAGAUGAACAAGUUGCUGAUGUCCUCACCAAAGCUUUAUCACUUCCAAAAUUCAGCUACUUCAGGUCCAAGCUCAAUGUCGUUAGCAGACCCUUGAGCUUGAGGGGGGAUGUUAAGGAAGUUAAGGAAGCUCAUAUUUGCAGUCAAGCAGAGGAUCACAGAGCAAAGGAUCACAGCAGCUUCUAUAAUCAGUUGCAAGUUGAUGACAUGUACUGCCAGCUGGCACCAGGUGGUUAUGUAGCUGCUUGUACUCGUACACGUGAUAAGUUUGUUAAUCAAUUUGUAAUUAGUUAGUUAGUUUUGUAACCAUCAGCUGAGAAGCAACACUUGUAUAUAUAUGCUUGUAAUCGUUCAGUAGCAUUUAAGAAAAAAGCUUGAGAAAAUAAAAGAAGAAAGUUUUCUAAAUCUCAGUUUAUUUUCUUAUUAGCCAAACACUCAUUUUCUGUUUUAUAACUGCGUGCAAACCACCGAAUCCCCUCUGAAGCUAACUUUGGCGUGCAGCUCUUCGAUGAUUGGCUUUUUUUUUCUUUUUUUUUUGGUUGUGUUUUUUUUUGGCUCCUAGUUUGAUUUAACUUUGUUUCGGUUAUUGACAUUGCUGAAGAGGCAGUAAAAGCUUGUUGAAUGUCAUCAAAUGCACAAAUUGGCAAUAUCGGUUGGCUUCUUUAUAGGCGCAUCCAUCACAAAAUGAAAGUAACAACAACCACCAUCGAAAAUUAAUUUUAAGAAUCUUUUUUACCUGAAAUCUUUGAAAAGAAAAAUUAACCUGACAUUUAUUUAUUUAUUUAUUUUUUGGGGGCAAAGAAAGAAAGGAACAGAAUUAUGAGUUUUGGAAAGGAGAAUGAGAAAAUUGAACAGAUGAGAAAAUGGAUAAUUAACCAGAAUGAAUUUGCGAUUGGUCCAGCAAGCUUAGUAGAAAUCACGCGCUGAUACUUCAUUGACCAAUGACUAAUAAUUUGGCAAUUCACCCAUCACCAGCACUUGGUAAGCAAAACGAAAAUGCUUAGUAAGUGUCAAGGGUCAGGCAAGAUAUGACGUAAAAUGAGGCAAGUCUCCCCACUUGUUGUUCCUUGCAGCUAAGAAAAGAAAAAACAGAGCCCACCACCCAUUAAUAAUUUAGCAAUUCACCAAUCAAUCACCACCACUUGUUACGCAAUUCCAUUAGGUAUUCGUUUGUCAAGCAGUUAAUCCAGUGUCUAUUACCUAGAACCUUCACUUUACAAAUCUUCAUCUCAAAUGCCAAGUUAAAUCAAAACGUUUCUCUCUCACUCUUUCUUUUUAAACUCCGAAAACGUUUCUUUUUAGAAAUAUUUUACUUUAUUCAUGUAAAUAUGUUGUCUAACAAAUAGACACAAUUGAAAUCACUCUAAAGUGCAAAUAAAAAAAAAAAUCCAAUCACCAGUAAUUUAGCAAGCUUCACUUUAUUCCACCAAAGUGUAAAUAAAACCAGGCCUCACCGCCAUUAAUAGUUUUACAAGCUUCACACGCUUGUUGUUGUCUGCUUGACGAACUGGACAUGGGUUCAUCAAGAAUCAAUGAAAGAAUUAAAAAAAAAAAACUGAAAUUUUCGAUUCAGAGUAGAACAGUAAUUAAUGCUAAAAUUUACUCCGCUAACAUUUUCAAGAUAUUGUUCUGUAUAAUUCUACAGCAAAUAAGACUAAGUUUUGGACAUUUUCAAAUUCACUACUUUCACAAGCAAUAUUUUGAAACAUUUUACAGAAUUAGCGAUUAUAUAAAGAGAAAAAUGCAAAGUUGCGUAAUUCUAAUGUUUUUCAGGCUGAGCUGCCUUUGGAUUUAACCUGAAAUGAUCCGAAGGCCAGAAAUUGUAACGGCGGGCUUAAAUGUCAACACGCCAAGACAGUUAAUAGCAGCUAAAUUGGAAAAAAAAAAAAAGGCAAUAGAAGUAUAGAUGGAACAAUUUUUCGCUUAGGUCAUAGGUGCAAGAUGAAACUAAAAAAAGGUGGCAGGCAAUUUUAUCACAGACGCUCAUGAUCGUUUUUUAUUUGGGUCGUCAACUCGCCAUGACCCAUGAUUGAAUUAGAGUGUCUAGAAAGAAAAUUAAUAAAUAACGGUUUAUAUAUUUGGCCGUCGGAAUAUUGUAAGUGAGAAAGAUUAUCUUUUUUUUUAUUAUUAUUAAUUAGGUUAGUAUUUAUGAUUGAGUGACUCAGAGCUGUAUUUUAGAUUGAGAAUCAAUUGUUCUCUCAUACUGAGAGGCUAUAAGAUUGUCGUUAGCUAUUUCAUCGAUAAGAGAACACCCAAAUUUAUUAAAAGAAGAAAUGUAUAAGGUCUCCUUUAUGAGAAAAUGUAUCUGAUCAUUCUUUUUGACUUGAAAAUCUCAUAUAUAAAAACUUAUUAAUAAAUAACAUAAUAUAUAUAAAAAUGAUACUCAAUGAUCCUGUACUAAAACUAUAAUUUACCUGCACUAGUAGUUUCCAUAAUUUUCAAUUCAAAAGUAAGCAGUUGAACGUGCUCUCUCUUCUGGUUAUAGAUAUCAUAUAUAUAAAUUGAAGUAAUCGCGCGACAAGUAGCAAAACAGAUAAUGCACGGAAGAUAAUGAUCAAUGGCUGAAGUUUAAUUUAAUUGCAGAUAAAAUGUCAAUCAAGAUUAAGGUCUACUUACAAUUUUAUUUUAUUUUUUAUGAUUUUCAAUCUUUACCAAAAGAAACAUAUUUAGUGAUCCCUUUUAUCAACUUGCUUUUAUUGACUUUCUUCCAAUAAUAGAAGUGAAAAGAGAAACAAAGGCCACCACCACCAAGUGUUACCGGAUUCUAUAAAGACAAAAUCAGUGCCCAGCAAAACGAAUCCAACUUUUCGUUAUGUGUUGCUUCCUAUUUAGUACAUGCACAUAUAGAUAUAAGAUAUCCACAUGCACAUGCAGCGCGUCUAUCUAAAAUUUUAAAAACAGAAUUAGAAACCUUCUUGAAUAGGAAUAGAAAUACUCUCUAAUACUUCCUAAAAUAAUUAACCCUAAAUAAUUUGUCCUGCAUCACCAAACUCCGGAUUUUACAAAGCACGCAUAAAGGAUAAUAGACACGUUUGAGGUUUUUUUUUUAAAAGAAAAAAAGAUUAUGAAAAUAGACAAAUAAUGAAGACACAAGUUAAGCAGAGCAAAUAAAUAGAGGAGAAUGAAUUAAAUACUAUCCUUGAGAACUCAAUUCUUUAAUAAACUCAAUUUUUUAAAUGCAGGGGUAAACUCAUGUCAUAUACUGUAGUCUUUAAUUUGGGCUUUGUUGUAUCAAUUUUUUGGAGUUUAUCUUGUUUUGUUUUUUCGUUUUUAUAGUGCAAGAUUUUCGGUGGAGAUAAAUCAGGAAUAAGAGUGAAAUCCCAAUCUUAAAAUUUGGGAGAAAUGAAAUGCGAUAUGUUUUUUCAUGAAUAAAACAAUUCAAUUUUUUGUUAGCACUUGUAUAUGUUGCAAGUUAAUUACACCGUCAACACCUGCGGGAAAUUUAUAUAUUUUCUGUCAGCACUUGCAUACGUUGCAAUUUUCAAUGACUUCCAAAUCUUCAUAUCAUGAAUUAGCAGGAUUCAGGUCCGACCAACUCCCCGUGGCUAAAGCAAAGGAUUAAUUUUUGAGAAAUUAUAAAGAAAUUAAUACAAGUAAAGUGAGCCUAUUCAUUUGAUUUGAUAAUUGGCUGAGGGUGAUUUCGAUAACGUUUUCAAAGAAGAUAUAGAACAAAGAUCAAAAAGAAAAAACAAGUAAUUUCAGUCGAUGGAAGAAAUGAGCAAGCUUCGCACAUGCAUGCAUGCGUCUGACUAACAGGACAUGGCUUGGAGCAAGGAUCAAUGGACAAGUUUGAGGUUUAUGAAAUAUUGGGAAAACAGACAAAUUAUAAAGCCACUUGUUAGAGUGCAAUUUAUGCACUAGUUUUGCAUUGUUUACUUCCCUUAAUAUCGAUGUUUUGCAUUUAAUAAUAGUGAUUUACUUGUGUUUUACUUUUGUAGGUGCAAUUCUAUUGAUUGGUGAUAAAAUUGAGCUAUAAGAUGAUGUUUAAGGAUGAUUGUUCUCUUGGAGAAAUUAUGAGCGGCAGAAGAACUUUGUUGAUAAGGCGUGGGCGCGUGCUGUCAACUGCGGACCUGCAGUUUUUAGUUUAACGUGUUUUGUAUUUUUGGCUAUUUUUUAAUUACGAAUUUAAUAUUUCAAAUAUUAGUAUUUUAUUUUAAAUAGAACUCUAAAAGAGAAGAGAGAGAGAGUAUUUAAGGGAGGAAUCUAUUGUGAAAAAGGAGGGAAUUUUGAUUGGAGAAAAAGAAAAGAAACCCUAGAUCUAAUUUUUCUCUUCUCUCUAUGAAGAACUAAACUUAUUUUUCUGGUUGAAGAAUAAUGAAGCUUUGAUUCAUCACUACUGUGAGAUCUUUCUUGUGCUUUAAUUGUUUUAUUGCUUUUUGGGUAUUUGUUUAUUCUCUGAAUUAUUUUCAUGAUUAUGUUUGUUAAUUAGAUAAUUGGCCACUAUUUAAUUAUCAACUUAAUCUAUUGUCAAUUAAAGGAUUCAUCGUAUGAAGAAUUUAAUGUUUGUGACAAAUAACAUAGCAGAGAGUUGUGUUGUGAGAAUAAACAAUCUAAUUUAAAUAAAUCAUCAUAUGUGUUGAUUAGGAUUUGGGUCUCUCUGGUUUUUUAGGCUGUCAAUUGAUUAAAUCCUAUGAUCGUAUCUAGGGUUGUCUAUUGAUUAGGGAAAUAUCCAACGGUCGUACCUUGGUUAUCGACUAAUUAAGGAGAGAUUGGCUAUUAGAGGGUCUCAGUAGCUAUAACCAGUCUAUUCAUAAGUAAUAAUAAUUUAUAUUUGAAUCAAUGAUCAGUAGUCGAAUCAAGCUGAGUUAAUUCCUUCAACCAAAGCUUUCUCCAAUUUGAAUCACAACUUUAAUUUACAUUCUUGUUAUUUUAAUUUGAUUUUUAUUAUUGUCAACAAUUCCCCCAUUUUACAUUUUACGUUUCAAAAGGAUUUAAAUAAUUACCGAUCUCUGUGGACACGACCCUGCUCAAUCACUAUACACAAUUUAUUUAGAGUAGGAAUUUAUUUUUGUUGGCUUCGACAACCAUCAAAUUUUGGCGCCGUUGCCGGGGAUUGGUGUCAUUUAUUUAAUCCUUUUUACGUUUUACUUGGUGUAUGGUUCGUUCUUCUCGUACAGGUACACUUUCGUUUGAUCCUGAAAUUGAGAAGACAGCUCGCCAGCUGAGACAGCAGACGAAGCGAGCUAAGCAACGAUCCUCGUCGCCUUUGCUUUCUGAAACAGAUACGGUGCCUGAUUUAGUUCAAUCAUCUAGCGAUUCGGAAGAACAAGUGAUGAAUAGAGCUGCACCUGUAGAAAGAACUCUUAGAGAGUUAGCUGAACCAGACUUGAAUCAGCAACCACUCUGCAUUCAAUAUGUAGACUUGGAGGUAAAUUUUGAAUUAAAGUCUGGUUUUAUUCAUUUAUUACCCAAGUUUCAUGGUUUUGCAGGUGAAGAUCCUCAUAAACAUCUUAAGGAGUUUCAUGUUGUAUGUUCAAGUAUGAGACCACAAGGCGUGACUGAAGAGCAGAUUAAGCUGCGUGCUUUUCCGUUCUCUGUAGAUGGGCUAGCUAAAGAUUGGUUGUACUACUUGCCUCUUGGAUCGAUUACAACGUGGAAUGGUUUGAAGAAGCAGUUCCUCGAGAAGUACUUUCCUGCUUCAAGAGCUGCCAACAUCAGAAAAGAUAUUUGUGGGAUCAGACAACUUCCUGGGGAGACUUUGUAUGAGUAUUGGGAGCGAUUCAAACAAUUGUGUGCCAGUUGUCCUCAGCAUCAGAUUUCUGAUCAACUUCUUAUUCAAUAUUUUUACGAAGGACUGUCAUUGAUGGAUAGGAGUAUGAUAGAUGCUGCUAGUGGAGGCGUGUUAGUGAACAAGACCCCUACUCAAGCAAGGGAGUUGAUAUCAAAUAUGGCUGCCAACGCACAACAAUUUGGCAGCAGGCAAGAUCCUACUUCAAGGAAGGUGAAUGAGGUAAAUAUUUCUUCUGUUGAACAACGUUUAGAUAAACUUACUUCUCUUGUGGAAAAGUUUGUUGUAGGCAAUGUGCAACAGGUGAAGACUUGUGGCAUUUGUUAUAAUAUGGGUCAUUCAACUGAUAUGUGUCCUACACUUCAAGAAGAACCUGUUGAACAAGCCAAUGUAGUUGGAGGAUUUCCAGGCAUGCCUCAGAGGAGGUAUGAUCCUUAUGCACAAACAUACAAUCCGGGAUGGAAGGAUCAUCCCAACUUCAGCUAUGGAGUUAGGCCGUCAGGAUUCCCACAACAGUAUCCACCAAGACAACCAGCACCUCCACAGUCAACCUCCAAGUCAGGUAUAUCUCUUGAAGAAAUUGUUAAAUCGCUUGCGACUAAUACUCAACAAUUUCAGCAGGCAACUACAGCAAGCAUUCAGAACUUGGAGAACCAAAUGAGUCAAUUGGCGACUACAGUGAGCCGUCUGGAGUCUCAAGUAUUAGGGAGAUUGCCUUCACAAUCUGAGGUGAAUCCAAAGCAAAACGUUAGUGUUGUCAUCCUUAGAAGUGGGAAGGAGUUGCAAGAGCCUAGUAAGAAAGUGACAGAGCAUGUAGAAGAUGAGCUUAAGAAGAAUGAAUUGAUGCCUCAAUCUCAAGAUGCACAACCCACCAGAGUGAAACCCCUACCUAUUGUGAUACCUCCUCCUUUUCCAAGCCGGUUUGCAAAAUCCAAGAAGGAGGAACAAGAGAAAGACAUCCUUGAGACAUUUCGCAAGGUUGAGGUAAAUAUUCCUUUAUUAGAUGCUAUUAAACAAAUACCUCGAUAUGCUAAAGUCCUUAAGGAACUGUGCACCUCUAAGAGAAAAUUAAGAGGAGAUGAAAAAGUUCAUAUGGGGGAGAAUGUUUCAGCAGCUCUCCAAAAGAAAUUACCUCCCAAGUGCAAGGAUCCAAGUAUGUUUACUAUCCCUUGCAAAAUUGGUAGUGUUAGAGUCGAGAAGGCUAUGUUAGAUCUAGGAGCUUCUAUUAAUGUCAUGCCUCGUUCCAUUUAUUCAUCUUUGAAUGUUGGUCCAUUAAAAAAAACUGGCGUGAUAAUUCAACUAGCUGAUAGGUCUAAUGCAUAUCCUGAUGGGGUAUUAGAAGAUGUCUUAGUACAAGUUAAUGAGUUGGUUUUUCCUGCUGAUUUUUAUGUACUUGAUAUGGAAGAUGAUAACUCCUCUAAUUCUGUCUCAAUUUUGCUAGGAAGACCUUUUCUUAAGACUGCUAGAACUAAAAUGGAUGUACAUAAAGGGACUCUCACUAUGGAGUUUGAUGGAGAGGUUAUAGAAUUCAAUAUGAAUGAUGCCAUGAAAUAUCUUAGUGAGGAACAUUCGGUAUUUUCUGUGGAUGUUAUUAACCCUAUAGUGCAGGAAGUUUUUUACAAGAAAAAAACGAAGACAUUUCAUGAUAGAAUGAUUUUGAGAAAGGAGUUCUCUGUUGGUCAAAAAGUUCUUCUUUUUCAUUCUAAGCUUAAACUUUUUCCGGGUAAAUUACGUUCUUGCUGGGUUGGACCUUUUAUUAUUACUAAUAUUUUUCCUCAUGGUGCAGUUGAGAUUCGGAGUCCGACCUCUGACAAAGUUUUUAAGGUUAACGGUCAUCGCUUAAAACCUUUUUAUGAAGGUUUUUCGGUGAAUAUUGUGGAGGAUGUGGCUCUCGAGAGUCCCAAUUAUGGAGAUUGAUGCAUAAAUGUGUCUAGCCAAAGACAUAAAACAAAGGCGCUUUUUGGGAGGCAACCCAAAGGAUUUAUUUAUUUUGACUUUUGUUAUAUCUUUUAUUUUUAAUUUAGAUUUAGAUUUUUUUUUAUAAUGUUUUUGCUUAUUUUGGUCAGAAGAAAAUUUUUGAUAAGGCGUGCCCACGUCUUAACUAAUAAGUACUUUUGUGAUUUUUAAAGUAAAAUGGUUUUAAGGCGUGCCCACGUCCUUAUUAGAAAAGUACUUCUGAAAUUCUUUGUGUCUCAAAGUGAUUCAUCACUAAAAAAAAAUUAUUUAUUUAUUUGAAAAUUAAAAAAAAGGAAAAAAAAACUUUUUUUUCCUUUCUUUUCUUGCUUUUUUAUAUAUAUUUUUUUAUUUGAAAAAAAAACGAAAAAAAAUUUACUGUUCAUAAAAUCCCUAAUUCACAGAAUUGGUUUUCUUCUCCAGCUUUCACCGACCAGCCCACGCAGCAGCAGCAGCACGCAGAACCAGCGUCAGCCCAGCCCUCGCGUGCAAUCAACCCCAGCACGCAAAUCCAGCAGCCCACUAGCGCAGCAGGACCAGCCCCAGCAGCGCACAGCAGAAUCAGCCCCAGUGCACAGCAUCCCGCACGCAACCAGCGUCACCAGCGCGCAACCAGCAAUCCACCAUCGGGCCAAGCUCCAGCCGAGCAGUAAUCGUCCGCAACCAGCCUACGCCCUUAUUCCAGCCGGGUGAAUCGAAAUCCGUGAGUGAAAUUAUUGUAACAAUGCCGAAGAGGAAAGCAUCAACUUCCAAGUCAUCUAAAAAGACACCCGUCGCAAAGAUAUCCAAGAUUGCCGCUCUCAUUACAGUUUCAUGGAACACAGUUUCAGAUUCACGCCGAGUCGUGAGACAAAGAUCGAACCAUGGAAAAGGCAUGAGUGUUUUGCCACUUGCGGAAUCCAAUCUCGGAGGGUGCCUUGAAUUUACGACUCAACAAGAGAAAGAAAGUUUACUGAACCAGGACCCACUCAACCUCCAAAGAAGCUUUAUGCUAGAAGUGGUGCUACCUCUGAUGACGAGUUUGACGACGACACUGCUGCCCCGCCGACUAUUCCUUCUACAUCCACACCACCUUUGAGCAUUCAGUUAGAGAAAAUGGAGCCCAAGUUGAACAAGAUGGAGCAGAAUUUGGCCGCAUACUUCAAGAGUGUAGGAUUUAUCCCACCAUUUCCGCCAAGCCCAUAGACGUUAUGAGGAUCAAAGCUCACAAUUCAGGGAAGUUUUUGCCUUUAAUCUUUUAUCCUUAUGCUUUAAUUUUUAUGUGAGCUUUGAUUAUCUUACAUUGGGGACAAUGUAAGUUCUUGGUGUGGGGGAGGGAUUUUUGCAUUAUUGAUGUCUGGAAGUAUUAUUUUCACUCUACUAAUCUAUUUUCAUUCUACUCAUCCUUAAAUGAUUUUGGAGUUAGUAUGCUUCAUAUAUUAUUAUUUUUCUUUUCUUUUCUUUCUCACUACUCUUUUUCCAUCUAUCUCAAAUUAUUUACAUCUAUUUUUAUUCUAUCAUACUCUUUCAUCACUCACAUUUUAUCUUUCACUUUUCAUAUUACUACAUACAUCUUUCUCACUUCUUAUCAUUUUUACCUUUACUUCACUCAUACAUUCUUCUCAUUCUACACCACUAUUGAUGGUUGAUUCAUUUGAAGAGUGUACAUGAUUUGAUGGCAAAUUUACCAACUUUGUGAGGAUUUGAGCCAAUGAGCAACCACUUUGCUCUAAUUAUUUUUGUUAUGUGAAUAUCAAUCUUAGUUUGUUUAUUCUAGAACUUGCUUUGUUAUGCAUGUUGAAGCCACAUUACGGGAUUUUUUGCAUUAAAAUGAUAAGGGCAAACCAUUUGCCAUUUUUCUAUUCUCGCAUUUUCCUUUUUCUCUACCCGAAGACCUUUAUUUGCUACCUUUGUUUGAGCCUUAACCAUUACCCAUCUAAUUCUCUCCGUCUACUUAACCAUUUUUCUUCUUUUUGAGCCUCAAUUUAAAGAGAUUUUUGGACUCAUUGUGUGGAUAUAUUUUGUUGCUUUUUCUACCUUGUAUUAAAGUUUCUCAAUUAGAUCAACAAGCAUUAUGCUUGAAUUAAAUUGUGCAAGGUUCGUUUCUUUUGUUUGAUUAAAAAACAAAACAAAAAAAAAGAAAAAAAAGAACAAAAAAAAAAGAAAAAAAAGAAAAAAAAAAGAAGAAAAAGAAAAAUAAAAAAAAAGAAAAAAAAAGUUUACAUUCUUGGUGACUUGAGUAGAAAUAAGCAUUUUGAUAUCACAAGUUCAUUCAAUGAGUUCAUUCUUCUCAUUUUAAUCUCUUUUUCUUUCGUAAACCUUUCUUUUCCAUUCAACCUAUUUAACCUCAUUACAACCCUUAGAUUUUUGCAUUUUAUUCAUGUUUUGUGGAUUGAGAUGUGAUAUAUGAGCAAGCUUAUGGUAAUAGCAUUCUUUGAUUUGAUUUGAGUGCAUAAAUGAUACCCUAAACACUUUGAGUGCAUGGAGUGAAGUUAUUGAGAGGGCUAUUAAAUCUUGUUGCACUUGAAUUUUGAAUGGAUCCUCUUGGUGGUUGAAUGUUCUUAUUCUAUCUUAUGAAAUUCUAUGCUCUAAAAUCCUUGUCUCUCGAAUGUUGAUCGACUUAAUUUCUUGAGGUAUGCUUGCUUAAAAUUGUUUUUGGAUGAGUUGAGAUGAGAAUUGAGUGGAGAUUUGAGAUUAAUCUUGAGUUAUAUGCUUGAGGACAAGCAUCAUCUUGGUGUGGGGGAAUUUGUUAGAGUGCAAUUUAUGCACUAGUUUUGCAUUGUUUACUUCCCUUAAUAUCGAUGUUUUGCAUUUAAUAAUAGUGAUUUACUUGUGUUUUACUUUUGUAGGUGCAAUUCUAUUGAUUGGUGAUAAAAUUGAGCUAUAAGAUGAUGUUUAAGGAUGAUUGUUCUCUUGGAGAAAUUAUGAGCGGCAGAAGAACUUUGUUGAUAAGGCGUGGGCGCGUGCUGUCAACUGCGGACCUGCAGUUUUUAGUUUAACGUGUUUUGUAUUUUUGGCUAUUUUUUAAUUACGAAUUUAAUAUUUCAAAUAUUAGUAUUUUAUUUUAAAUAGAACUCUAAAAGAGAAGAGAGAGAGAGUAUUUAAGGGAGGAAUCUAUUGUGAAAAAGGAGGGAAUUUUGAUUGGAGAAAAAGAAAAGAAACCCUAGAUCUAAUUUUUCUCUUCUCUCUAUGAAGAACUAAACUUAUUUUUCUGGUUGAAGAAUAAUGAAGCUUUGAUUCAUCACUACUGUGAGAUCUUUCUUGUGCUUUAAUUGUUUUAUUGCUUUUUGGGUAUUUGUUUAUUCUCUGAAUUAUUUUCAUGAUUAUGUUUGUUAAUUAGAUAAUUGGCCACUAUUUAAUUAUCAACUUAAUCUAUUGUCAAUUAAAGGAUUCAUCGUAUGAAGAAUUUAAUGUUUGUGACAAAUAACAUAGCAGAGAGUUGUGUUGUGAGAAUAAACAAUCUAAUUUAAAUAAAUCAUCAUAUGUGUUGAUUAGGAUUUGGGUCUCUCUGGUUUUUUAGGCUGUCAAUUGAUUAAAUCCUAUGAUCGUAUCUAGGGUUGUCUAUUGAUUAGGGAAAUCGACUAAUUAAGGAGAGAUUGACUAUUAGAGGGUCUCAGUAGCUAUAACCGGUCUAUUCAUAAGUAAUAAUAAUUUAUAUAUGAAUCAAUGAUCAGUAGUCGAAUCAAGCUGAGUUAAUUCCUUCAACCAGAGCUUUCUCCAAUUUGAAUCACAACUUUAAUUUACAUUCUCGUUAUUUUAAUUUGAUUUUUAUUAUUGUCAACAAUUCCCCCAUUUUACAUUUUACGUUUCAAAAGGAUUUAAAUAAUUACCGAUCUCUGUGGACACGACCCUGCUCAAUCACUAUACACAAUUUAUUUAGAGUAGGAAUUUAUUUUUGUUGGCUUCGACAACCAUCAAAUAAACAGAGAAAAUAACCGAUCAAUUCUUUGUGCAGUGGCCACAGCAACAGCGAAAAUAUGUCUGCAUGACUACAUUAAUUAAUCCUACCAUCACCAUGCAACAUUAAAUCAACAUUUGAUCAUCUAUCAAUUUUCAUGAUAUGAGAUUAGAAACAUUGAGUUCAUAAUUUCGUGUAAUUUCAUGUACUAGAUGUAUAUAAUUGAUUUGAGUUAGUUUAACAUCUAAAGAAAGAGUAAUGGGGAAUGAUGUCGAUGUGGCAUUUGAUGAGUAAUGAUAGACAACAAAUACUGAUCAUGUAAGAAUGAAGUCUGUAUUUACUGAAAAAUAUUUGGCAAUAAAAUGAUGCUUUAAAAAAUUAAUAUUAGUUGCACGAAAAUAAAUUGGCAACUAAAAUUAAUAGAUAUAUAUCCAAUGCUUCGAGUUUAUUUUAUCACUUCGCUAACAAUUUUGUAACUACAUUUUAAUUAUAAUGUCGAAAAGAGAUUUGAUUUUUGUAUUAAAAAAAAUUAGAAAUGAAACAAGUCAAAAUCAAUCAUAAGAACAACAAUAAGAGCAUAUUUUAUAAAAACCACAAAUACAUAAUAUAAAUUUAGUUUCGAAUUAGGUGAUUAUUAAUUUACAUAGUAAGAGAGUCUUAUAGAAAAAUAGGAAUUUUUUUAAAAGAGAUUUGCUUAAGGAACAAAUUUAGUAAAUUAACAAUCACCAAAUAUGGUAGGGUGGCAGGCAGAGGAAGCGUGGUUCCUAAUCCUAAUCUUGAGUGAUAACUGGCUAUGUAACAUGUGGCAUUCUACAUUCUUGCAAUGCCAUUAAUUUCUUGUUAUGGCAGCAGCGUUCUUUCAUCAUGGCAUCACAAGCAAAUGUUUGAUUUGAAGACUUGCUUAGCUGAGAAAAAUAAGGAGAGCAAAGGUAAUGAAUUUUGGUGUGAUAAAUAUUUUUAUGGAUGUACUAAGAAAAAUAAAGAUAAUAGAAGUGAUGUUAUUGAGGAGCAUUUUGAUAUUUACCAAAGUGUUCAAAGAAAAAAGUUAUUUUUUGAAAUCUAUUUGCUGGUGCACAUAACAAAAGGGCAUUCUGAGUAAAUUUAAAACUACAAAUAGUUUCACUCUUUUAACAAUAUUCUUCAAUUAAUUCUGUUUAUUUCAAAAUAAAUAUUCUAUCUCUUUAUUACUUUCUAACUAGUCAUGCUAAUAUGCUAAUAAUUAUGAAGAACUAGUGUAAUUUAUAUGAUAUAAGAAGCCCUUUAGCACAUUAACCCGAAUUUAGCUAAUACAUGUGCCUAAUAUAGCGAAAUCAACAUUCAGCGCAUUAGAGUGCCAUUAUAUAUAUUGAGAGAGAAAUUAACACAAAAAACUGAAUAUUAAUUGACACUGGAUCAUAUUGGAUUGUCAGUUGUUAAUUAUGAUGGGAAUACAAUCUUCAUCUUUUGAUUAUCAGCUAGCUAAUGCAUGUGCACUUUCAUUUGUGUCUAUCACUGAAAAGUAAAGUUGCUUGAUUGAGUAGUAUCAUAUCACAGGAACUCCAAACUCAAUUUCAUUGCCGGAGCAUACCAUGCCAUAUGUAGCUUAAAAGUGCAGCUAUCUUAUACUAAUUAUUUAAUACGACUAUUAGCUCUUUAUGAUUAAUUAAAAGAGAAAAUGUUUGACAAUCACGAAAAUAAUAACAAUUCACUCCUAUAAACAACAUAACAAAUACAUGGUCUAUAUUGCAAAUCUUUUUAUGAUUAUAAUUAAAAGAGAAAAUACGAAGACAUAUUAUAUAUAAUAAUUGAAUGUUCUCCUUGAUAAUUAGACAAAAUAACACCAAUCUAGCUAAUUAAUCCAAUCAUCAUACUAAUUCAAUUUUCAUUAUUUAAUUAUGUCCAAUCAUGCUAAUUUAAUAAAGAGCACUGAACACUCGAGUACUUAUAUGUUCAGCAACUUUGGCCGAGUUUGAAAAAGAUUAGAGCUGCAUUUAUGCUUUGUGUUAUUACUUACGACAUGAUCAUAUUAUGUCGCAUUUGUCAGAGAACCGAAAACUGUGGGGGGAAAAAAAAUCCUAAAAGAGAUGUAACGAAAACAAAAUGAGAAAAUAAUGCACACACAUCAUAGCAAUGCUUCAUUCAUUUUGAUUCUAUCUAUACAAAAACUUGUAUCCGAUGGUUUACAUUUGUUUAAUCUAACGGCUAUAACAUGUAUACAGUCAAACGCUACUGCUGCCAUCUUUCUUUGUCCUCGUUGUAUCCUUGAUCUUAUAUUAUCCUGGUGAUUCUUGAAAGAUCUUCUCAUUCUCAUAUGCUGAGUCGCUUGCUGGGAUGAUUAAUACUCGAAGGUCCUUCAUUGAGACAUUUCAGCAAACACCUGAUUCAUUAUAUCAAACAUCUGCAUCACUAAUCGCUAAAAGAUAUAAAAUAGUUCUGUUUUGAAAAAUUGAUAUAAACCAGUCACCUUAGAUUUUCUUAGUCUCAGAGGACAACGGGUGAUGAUUCGAUGAGAAAUAUUAAUAUGCAUGCAUCCGCUGCAUUAGUUAGAGCUGCUUGUCAUUUUCUUCUUUCUUUUGGAUACUAUUUUAAAUUUUUAAUCAGUCUAAUUCAGCUGUAUGUUUGCUUUCAGUCCAAAUCGAACUCAGAUAUUAAGUACUUCUACAGGAAUGGACGCACCCAAAAAUCUAUGGGAUCCGUAGUUCUUGCAGAAGCGGCAGAAUGCUGCCAGCAAUUCAGGCAGAUAGAAGCUUGGUUGAGUGGUUGUUCUUCAAUGUGAAAUUCUACAUAAUGGGGAUCCUUUCAAUGGGGUUUAAAUUCUUUUUUUUUUUGAGUUGUUGAUUUAGAGCAGAUUAAGUAACAUGUGGCAUUCUAUAUUCUUGCAAUGCCAUUUCUUGUUAUGGUAUCAACAUUCUUGACCAUGGUUUGAUUUGCGUAAUUUUGCUUUCUGUUUUUGAUAUUUUCUUCGCAUUGUUGUUGUGGGAUUUGUAGAUAGUGUAUAUGUAUGAAGAUAACGUAAUAAAGUGCUUUUGAUAAAUUCCCCUGGUUUGUUUACUUCACUAAUUCAUUAAUGAGCAAGUCCUCUAUAGAGCUGUGUUGUGCGUACAAGUUUUGCUACAUGAAAUCGUUAGGUGAGGAGAAUUUUUAAAAGCAUACAUCAAAGUAAUGAUUAAAGGGACAAAAUCAACGUAAAUAUUGAUUAUCUUGAGUUAGAUUAUACAAAGAUGAAAUAAUGAUAAUCUAAUAAAUUUAUCAUAAUACACUACUCAAAAAUGCAUUUUAAUGACACAAAUUUUAUGACAUACAUCUUUAUGUCAUGAAAAUAUUUGCAUGAUGUAUAAUGCUUUCGUGAUUAUUUGAUGAUAAAUUCAUAAUUGCUGCUGAUAUGAAAUGAAGUGAUGAUAGGUAAAUAUUAUGCGAUUUUUUUUUUAUGGGUAAGAAUAUUUGAACCCACCAAAUUACUCUUUAAACUUAUUUUUUUAUUGAUAAUUUUAUUACAAAAUUACCGAUAAUUUGAAUUACUAUUACAGACAAACAAUAAUUAUAUAAAAUUAUUUUAUUUUUACUCAUUGUUUAAACCUACCGCAAAACUCAAUCAAAGUAUGCCUUUUUUUUUCUUCUGCAAGUUUUUAAUAAGUUCAUCCUUCAUCCACAGUUGAGAACUUUCUAAUUUUUUUUCUUGUUCUAGUAAUUUGGAUAUGCUGUGUUAGAUACUGAAUUUAUUAAAUUUCUUCUUCUCUUUUGAAUAAAAUCUCUUUAAAAUUCAAUUCAUAAAAAAAUAAAAAAUUAAUCUCCUUAUAAUUUAAUAUGUUUCAGCUGUCUUAGUGGAAUGAUGCAAUUUGUUUCCAUCAAAGUUUUGAAGCAUCCUGAAAUUUUGAGAUCGACAUGAUAACAAAUUAAUUUAAUUCAUGGUGUACUCUAAAUUUUCAGCCACAAAAAAAAUAGCCAAAUUGAAGUGUACCUGGGCAAGAAGAAACUGCGAUUAUACAAUUUCAGUGUUCGACUCUAUCAAUAAAAAAGAAAAUAAAAAAGAACUCUCAUUGUUCCAUUAUUUUUCCCAUAAAUAAUGAUAUACAGAGAAUUUAGUUUGAUAUGGGAUAUAAUAAGUAUUUAGGUGAGUUUAUAAAGUAAAUUUUAAAAUUUUAAAAUUUAGUAAUGGGUUUAUAAAUAAUUGAGUUCAUAUAAUAUUUUAAUAAAUUCAAAUAACCCACCCUUUUUUUUUUUAAAAAAAGAUCUAAUUACAAAAAUACCAUUCCAAUCGGCAGCAUUUUAUAUUUUAUUUUAUUAAAUAUUAUUUUAUUUUUAAAUUACUAGUGACGCAAGAAACGGCAUCAUUUAUUGAUAUUUUUAAAUUGUUUAAGAUUUGUUUAAUUAGAAAAUUGCCAUUGUUGAUAUUUAAUUAAUUUUAAAAAAUAAAAAUAAUAAAAUUGGUAAGCUCUACUCCAUAAGUGAUGAACGAAUUGACAAAUUUGCAGUAAGUGAUGAACGAAUUGAUAAGCUCUACUCCAUCGGCUCCUUAAUUGAGAAAAAACCCAAGCCCGUGCAGCGCAGCCUCACAAUUGAUAGAGACCCUAAGCCACCAAACUCGACAAUCAUCACUCAACGUCGUCGCAAGCUACCGGUCGCUCAACAAGCACCAGUUCCUUGCUCUACAGCCAUCGCUCAACCGCUGCCAUUACCUGUUAAUUAUUCGCUUGAAUUAGGGUUCUGAUAUUUUGGGAUUUUUUGUUAGUCGUGGAAUUAUGAAGCAAGGACGACGAUGACGAAGAUGUGGUGGUUGACGACGGCAAUGGCAACGUUGAAUAUUGAGGCACCGGAGGAAAAAGCAUUGGCUAUGUAUCUUGGUCGAUUUGCCUCGAAUUGAUCACUAAACAUGGGGAUAUCGUGGGCCGAGCUUCAACGCAGUGGCAAAUUUCAUUUGGGUAACUGAAUUUUUUUUUUGUUUAAUUUGUUUAGAGUUCAAUUGUUUAGAUCUAGGCUAAUUUUUAAUGAUAAUUUUUAUGAUUAAAUUAUAUGAGUAUGCUUAAAUUUUUUUUCCUUCAAAUUUAUUUUCUGAUGUUGCAUUUGGUUAGCAAAAAGAUAAAAAUAGUAGAAAAUGUCAGAAUUAUUGUUAUGAAAAUGUUGUUUUAGUCUGAUAUUGGGAAAAUAUCAUUAUACAUAUUGGCAUGAUAUUCAUGGGAGACAAAAUUGAGAAUGAUGACAGACUAUGCAUUGCUCACAACUAAUUUAAAACUCACUAUUUCUAUUGUUUGUGUUUCAGUAACUUUGGGGGAAUUCCAACUAUAGUUAAUAAGCUAUAAACUUGUUUAGGAUUGCUGAUCAAUUUGCUAGAAAGAGUUGCAAAGUAAUUAGCUUUCUCUUAUAACUUUUACAGAUCAUCUGUGGAGGAGAACUGCAAGGAGUUGAAGACUCUAGACCCUAAACUUCAUAUCUUGAUUUAUAAGUGCAAUGGGCAUAAGUCCGAAUUAUGGGCUGGAGAUGGUAUAUGUAAUCUUUCUACUCUUGGUGUUUUUUUUUCCUCUAGUUAUUUUUUGUUCUCUACUCCAUUGUAUAUUUGUAUUCAAAAGUAUUUUUUCUUUGUUUUAAGCUUUUAAAUUUAUGGAGAUGAUCUUAUUAGGUGUUAAAAAAAAUAGUUGUAGAGCUUUACUAAAACUAUGUAAACUCCUAUUGAGAUUUGGGUUUGAUUUUGUAAGAUUGCUAAAAAUUUCAUAUUUUAUACUUGUUUUAUACUUUUCUAGUUGAAUUUCUUGCUUGUGGAAGAUAAAAUAAAAGUCCAAUUCAUGUUGUAAAAUUUUUUUUCCUCCCUUCUUUCUUUCCUUAUAAUCUGGCUCUGGCUUUGGUGCUAUGCUUGGUGCAGUUUAUGGUUUCAAUGCAGGGAACCAAUUUCAUCAUAAUCAUCUUAAAGGAUCAAAAUGGCUUUCUUUUGUAACUGGGUAAGUCAAUGCUACUUCCUGAAUUCGAUUUGGAGUUCUUUCGGAAUAGAUUUCCUUCCCUUACAUCACUUGGCUUCUAGUUGCAUCUUCUUGGCUUUCUCCAGCGGACUUUUUUAUUGGCAAAAUUCCUUUGUUUCUAUUGUUUUCAAGUGCUAGUGCUGGAUUUAGAGGUAUGAAUGGUGCCUUCAUUUUUAUUUUUUUAUUUUUAUUUUGUACUGUAAUAUACUUCUUUGUAUAGCUAGUACAAAAUAGUUCUUCAACUUCUUACUUUUGGCUUUAAUGGGUUCGAUAUAUGAUAGCGGAGCCCUAUCAGCAUUUGAUGUCAGACAACAAAUAGGGGACAGAUGGGAUUAGAAAAAUAAGUAACAUGACCAAAAUAAAAAUCUAAUCUACUCAUAUAAGCAACUCAUCAAAUAAGUGUAUCACAUACUUAAGUGAAUAAGAUUCCGUGAUUUCUAGGAAUCCAAGUCAAAUUAUAACAUUCUUUAAAUAAGACUCACAAGCUUAUUAGGUGUUAUAUUGAAUCAUCUAAGUUGAAUAAUCUUUUGGGUUGAAUAUGUUAAUUUCUUAUUCCAUAUGUUUCAGCCUCUCAAUAGUUGAAUUAGCAAUGAAAAUUUGAAAAUGGAAAAACUCAGUGCAAUUAUUUUAGGUGCUUAUCAUAGAUAAGAAUUUCACUUUUUACACUUCAUUGUCUGUUGUCAAAUUUAUUAAGUAUGAACCCGGAUUAGGUUUGUGCUCUCAAGGAUUUAUAAAUAAGUGCUACUUGACUUAGAUGUAAGAAAAUUGAAAAGCAGAGUUGCUUGAUUGAAUAGCUUCAUAUUUUACAUCACAGAAACUCAAUUUUCAUUGCCAUAUGUAGCUCAAAAGAGCAUGAACAUUGAACAUUCAGCUAAUUUAUACUAAUUAAUUAACACAACUAUCAGUUCUUACUUCUUGGUACCCGGCAACAUCCAUCCAUAAGAGUGAAACCCCCAUUGAUUUCAUAUAUACAAAAUAAAUAACUUACAAAGACAAUACCUGACAAUCACAACAAAAACACUAAUUCACUCCAAUAAACAACAUAACGAAUACAUGGUCUAAAUUGCAAGUCUUGUUAUGAUUUUAAUUAAAAGAGAAAAUGUGAAGGACAUGUUAUAUAUAAUUGAAUGUUAUCCUUGAUAAUUAGACAAAAUAACACUAAUGUAGCUAACUAAUCCAAUCAUUGUAAUAAUUGGAUUUUCUUUUUUUAAUUAUGUCUAUUGAUGCUAAUUUAAUCAAGAACACUGAAUACUUGAGUGUUUUUAUGUUCAACAACUUUGGCUAAGUUUGAAAAGAUCAUAUUAAUUAUUAAUAUAAAUAAAUAAGCCAACAAGGUACAUAUUACAUAUAUGUGUAGUUGCAAUAAAUACAUAUGUAAUAAAGAUCAUAAAGCUCAGGGCCAUUAAUUCAACAUUACCAAAUCAAUAUCCCAAUAAUGGUUUGAUUACUAAUCUAAGCAUUAAAUGAUCAGCAAACUUUAUUUGGCCAAAACAAAUGCUUCCUUGUUGCCUCCUUGAUCUUUUCCUGGCUGGUGAUUCUUGAAUGUUCUUCUCAUUUUGAUAUGCUGAGUCGUUUGCUGAUUAUAAAUGCUAAUCACCUUAAAUUUUCUUAGUCUUCUUCUUCAUGUGAAAUUCUACCUAAUGGCUAUCCUUUUAUCUGGUUUGAAUUCUUCUUUUUUCUUUGAAUUGUUGAUUUCUAAUGUUCUUGUCAUUCGCACAUGUGGCGUUCUGCACUCUUGCAAUGCCAUUUCUUAUUAUGGCAGCAGCAUUCUUGGUCAUGGCAUCACAAGCAAAUGCUUUUGAAUUGCUUUGUUUGAUUUUUGUUUCUAAUAUUUUUUUUUUUUGGCAUUGUGGGAUACUGUUUCUCUUUUGAUUUUCUGUCUUUGUUGUUAUGGGAUUCUGGUAUAGUAUGCAUCAGUACACGUAUGAAGAUGAUGUGAUAAAGUGCUUUUGAUAAAUUGCCCCAGUCAGUUUACUUCACAAACCAACCAUUAAUGAGCAAAUCCUUCUAAUGACCCUUGUACACAUUAGAAUAAAUACAAUUCUAUAUAUACACAAAAAUAAAUAACUCUCAAGUAUAUUAUUUGAUAAUCGCAAAAGCAACAAUUCACUCCAAUAAAUCUUAUAACACACUCAUGGUCUAUGUUGCAAGUCUUUGUAGAGAAAAAAUGAAGGACACACAAUUGAAUUUUUUCUAUGAUAAAGAACUCUAAACAAAUUCAUCUACAUAUCGCAGUACCCCUUACAAAUUCAUUUGUUUCUUCUUUUCCUUUGAUCAAGUGCUAAUUACAGCCUUGAUAUUUCAUUUGGUUUUAGUUAAUUUUCUAUAGGGUUGUGUUGUGUGAAAUUAAUUACAAAACAAUCUUUAACGAAGUCUUAUGAAAAUACCAUAUUAUAACUACAAAGUUAGGCUUCCUAAUCAAGCUACUGUUCAUCAGAUUGUGUAUUGUGUUACUGGUGAGCUCUUAUGUCAAUUAUGACCAGACGGCGCCUUGGCUAACUGUGAGUUAUGUGCGAACAUAAGAGCUGCAAAUGAAUUAUGUACUAUUUUUAUGUGACAAGGUAUGUGCUCUGUUUUUAUGGUCUUUCUCUCUGUAGUUCCCUCUGUAGUUUUUUUUUUUUGGGAUACAUUGAUAAUAAAAUUAGAAGUCUACUAAUAUGUACAACCAGAAACCUAUUGGGGACUUUUUGUCUUUUGAUGCAGUUGUAGGGCACAGCUCAAAUAUUCUUUCCUCAUUUAAUAUUGGAGAAAUCCGACUCCCAAGCGAUUCUGUCUACGGUUGUUGGACAAACUGUAAUGUGAAUUUCUAUCUAAUGGGUGUAUCAUUCUUGCAGUCAGUUUGGGAUUGUUGAUAUAGAUAUGAUGUUUAGUCUCCAAAAUUCAGAUGAUGAUAAUCUUGUGAGUACUUUUUGUCAUAUUUUCUUUUGUGUUGGUGUUGGGAUCUUAAUUUUGUAUCCAAUGUUAGGACAAUAUGAACCCAUUUUAAGUGAUAUGAUGCAAGUUCAUGUUCAAGAAUCCAUUUAAUGAAACAUUCCAGUGUUUAAUAAUGAGUAAUUGGUUUAAGAUUAAUACCAAAUAUUUUAAGUAACAUGUGGCGUAUUCUAGUGAGAUCCUCCAACUCAGAUUUCUAACUCAAAUGGAAACGUUUCGAAUUUCUUCAGAACAUUCUGCAGAACGGUUCGUCUUGUCUUUACAGUUUCUUUUGUGAAUUUCUCCCAGUUUCUUUUGUGAAGACUUCUGAAUAAGCUUCCAGAUAUUGAGAUACAAUCCAAUCUAAGCCCAUACGUAUAUCCGCCUCACAUUUGUCCAUUUCCCCAGAAAAUCAAAAAGCACUUUAGUUCGAAACAAACACUCUAAAAAAAACCAUCUAGCUACCCAGAUGGCGAAAUCAAGAAUCUUGCAAUGGCAAUGCCAUUUCUUGUUAUGGCAGUAGCAUUGAUGAUCAUGGCAUCACAAGCAAAUGCUCUGAUGCCGUACACACGAUCACCUUUCUUUGACGUGAUGUUCCCAAUGACGGAAGAUCCUUUCAGGGUUCUUGAACAAACCCCGUUAACAACCCAAAAGGAGCUGAACAUCAUCAAACUCUAGCACUGGCGAGAGCAGACUGAAAGGAGACACCAACAUCACACGUGAUCACACUCGACAUUACAGGGAUGAAGAAAGACGAUGUGAAGAUUGAAGUUGAAGAGAACAGGGUACUGAGAGUGAGUGGGGAGAGGAAGAGCGAUGAUUAUUAUAAGGAGGAAGUUGAAGGAGAAAAAUGACACAGAGCUGAGAGAACAUUUGGCAAGUUUUGGAGGCAGUUUAGGAUGCCUAUGAGUGCUGACUUGGAUCAUGUUAAGGCUCAUUUGGAAAAUGGUUCUAAGGAUCACAGUGCCAAAACUUGCUGAGGGGAAGAAGAGGCAGCCUAAGGUUAUUAACAUUGAUGAAGAGCCUGGUAAUUCUUCCGGUGAAGAUAUUAAGGCCGCCAAGGCUCAAAUGUGAUUGAUUAAAGAAAGAAGUGCUUACUUUGCUUGAUGUGCUAUUUGUUUUGUAAUCUUUUCUUGGUUUUGUUGUGGGAUGUUUUUCUUUGGAUGUUCUGUUUAUUGUAUUUUGAUGGAUUUUUAAAGAUGGCUUGUAUGUAUUAACAACAAUAAAGUAUUUUUUAUAAAUCCGGGUCCUAAAUUUGUAAAAGAAAUUAAUAAUACGCUUGGUUUAUUGUUAAUAAAAAAAAAAAAGACGUCUCUUUUUCUUUAGCAUAUAUUAUGCAUUUUAAGGGAAAAAAAAUUAUCACAUUCUAAUUUAUAAAGCAUUCCUCUUCUGUCAUAUUAAUGUGUUAAUACGAAGGUCUAUUGGAAUUAUAAUAGUUUAGAUGAAUCCAAAAUAUUCAAUAAUUGAUAAAUAGUAUAUAUAAAUAUUAAUAGCAAUGGCACAUAAUCAAUUAAUUCAAGAACUUGCCCAUAGUGCAUUAAGUUAAAAGAGUAAAAAUAACAUUGCAAAACAGGCCAGACCUUACGUGUUUAAUUAGCAAUUGAAAACUACUUUACCGUACAACACCAUUAAGAGAUAUUUAUAACACUGUUGUUGAUGAGGCAGCUGUUAAUUCUUUUGGUGAAGAUGUUAAGGCCACUAAAGCUGGAACGUAAUCAGGGAAAUAUAAUGUAUUCACUUAGUUUGCUAUUUGUGUUUUUAUAUUUGUUUGGCUAAUUCUUUUAUCAGAUUGCUUUUUGUUUUUGAGAUUUUAUUGGCUUAGUCGUGGGAUAUUAUUUAAUCUUUUAAUUUUGUGUUUUUAUUGUUAUGGGAUUUGAUGAUGGCAUACAUAUAGGAAAAUUAUGUAAGAAAGUGCUUUUAAUAAAUUAUGGUCGGUUUACUAUUAAUUAACCAAAUUUAAUUUACUCAAAUUACUCCUAUACACGAUUAAAAUAAUUUCAAUUCCAUGAUAUAAAUACGCGCGUGCGGACACACAAAAUGUAAAUAACUUUCAAAUACAAAAUAUUUAAAAUAAUCAUCAUACUAACAAUUCACAAGUUAGAUUAUAUUAAGGCCACCAAGGCUUAAAUGUAAUUGAUUAAAGAAAGAAGUGCUUGCUUUGCCUGAUGUGCCAUUUGUCUAUGAUGUUUUCCUGGUUUUGUUGUGUGAUGCUUCUCUUUAGAUGUGUUGUUUAUUGUAUUUUGAUGGGUUUUUGAGGAUGGUUGUAUGUAUUAGCAACAACAAGGUGCUUUUUAUAAAAUCCGGGUUCUAAUUUUGUAAAAGAAAUUAAUACUCUCGGUUUAUUGUCAAUAAAAAAGAAAAAGGAAAAAGCCUUUUUCUGUGGCAUAUAUUAUGCAUUUUAAGGAAAAAAAAAUCACAUUCCAAUUCAUGAAAGACAUUCCUUCUGUCAUAUUGAUGUGUUAAUAGAAAGAUCUCAUAACAAUUUUGAUGAAUCUAAAUAUUUAAUAAUUGAUAAAUUGUAUUUAUAAAUAUUAAUGCCGGUGGCACAUAAGCACUUAAUUCAAGAACUCGCCUAUAGUGCAUUAAUUUAAAGAGUAAAAAUAUUUAAUAAAUCAUGCUUAGUUUACUAUUAAUUAAUCAAAUUUAAUUUACUCAAAUUACUCCUCUACAUGAUCAAAGUAAUUUCAAAUAUACAACACAGAAAAUGUAAAUGACUUUGAAAUAUAAAAUAUUUAAAAUAAUCACCCCACUAACAAUUCACCAGCAAGAUUAUAAAUAGUCGAAAUAAUGAUAAUCUAGGGGGUCCAGUCAUAAUAAUUUGAUUUUUAUUUAUAUUAAUUAUAUCAGAAAGAGUACUCGAGAUUAUAUAUAUCCAACAACUAAAAUUUCAAAACAAUAUUUGCCAAAGUCUGAUGAAGAGAAUACAUAUAUAUAUAACAUGCACUCGCACACAUUCUAUUGUUUAAUUAAAAAAUUCGAAAGCCCAUUAUAUACAUGAUAAAGACUCACCGACACCGAACCAUAUUCAUUUAAAGGAAUUGUUUUUAACUGAGAUUUGAAAUUAUAUACACAAACACACCUGUUUUUUUUUUUUAAAAAAUUACUAAUAAUAAAAUAUUUCGGCAAAACAAAUUUUGCCGAAAGCAAAAAGUCUGGUGAAAAGAAAUGUUAUGUGCAUAUAACCGUACAGGCGCAGCAGAAGGAUAAGUCAAAGAAAAACGAAGUUUCAAUAAGAAAUUAAUUACACAUUUACACUCAAUAAGAAAAUCAAUUCAUUACUUUCUAGCGCUUUUAUUUAAAAAGCGCAGUCUAUUUUUUAAUUAAAAAAAUUCGAAAACCGAUUACAUGAUAAAAACUCACCGACACCGAACCUUAUUAAUUUAAAAUAGUUUUCAACUAAGAUUUGAAAUUACAUUCACAAACACACCCAACUAAAAAAGAAAAAUUCUAAUAAUAAAACAUUUCAGUCAUCAAAAACCCAUUUAUAAUUUAUUUCAACACGCGGUAUAUGGGUUAACAAGUCCCAAUAUUGUCCUCCAUCCUUUCUGCACUUCUCUUCUAUCAACGGACAUCCCUCGAUGUAUAAACACAAAAGUGAGGAAGGCAGGCCCUUCUCCGGAAAGUAUUUGAGCUUGGGACAAUCCCAGAGAUGCAAUUGAGUGAGGUUUUGAAGAUCAACAAUUGAAGAAGAUAGGCGUUCCAGAUUUGGAAAUCUGAAAAUCCACAGAGAUGUUAGAGAGGCAGGAAGAGGAAGCGCGGUCCCCAAUCUUAUGUCCUCCGGUGGGAACGACACCGUGUCCUCAUCACAUCCUUCGAUUCUAAGUUCUCGCAGAGAGGAGAAUCUGUGAAAUCCUCUGCUCCGCUCAAUCAUUGACUUCCAAAUUUUCGUAUUACCAUCAAUCUCCAGUGAAUGAAGGUUGGUGGGAAGGCCAUCUUCUUCAAGGCUUGGAAGCUCACCUCCUGUUCCUAUUCUUAAUUCUUGAAGAGAGCUCAGAUUGUGCAAUCCCUUGGGUAAGGCCUCUAGUCUCUCACAAUCAGAUGUCUCCAGCGUCCUGAGUUUCGCACAAGGCAAUCCCCCUUCGGGAAAGGACACCAGAUUUCCACAAUUCCAUAUCUUAAUCUCUUGAAGCUGGCGGAGAUUAUGUAAACCACUCGGUAAAAUUUUCAGAUUUUCACAAUUAGAAAUGUCGAUUGUUUCAAGAGAUGUGUUGUUGUCCAACCUUUCUGCUAUUGACUCCAGCUUUGAACAACUCCGAACAUUAAGGCUCUUAAGAGACGGAGGUAGAUUGCCAACUUCAAGGGACUCAAGCGUGGCAGGUAACUCGUUUUUUGAAAAUAUACAUGUCAGUGAUGGACAAACUGCAAUUAAUAAGUGCUCAAGAAGAGAUGAGGUGUACCUUCUGCUGCUGCUGCUGCUGUGGAUGCCCUCUUCCACUGUCAAAGUCCUUAUGUUACUGCACCACUGGAUGUCCAACCUCUUAAGGCUUGAUGGUAGCUGGACUCCAGCAAUAUAUGUCAACGAACGGCAAUCCUCAAUAUACAAGAUCUCGAGAGACGAAUUGGUGUCGCACAUCCAUGCCUCCGGUAACGAUUUCAGUGCGUCACAUUCCCUAAUCUCAAUUUGCUUCAACUUGGAAGGCAGAGCAACCUCAGGAAAGGAAACAAGGGAACUGCACUUGUAGAUUUCUAUCUCUCUCAAGGAACUGAGGCUGAGAGAUGAUUGUGGCAGCUUCACAAGGCCUUCGCAAUAUCUCAAUCUUAGAUAUUCGAGUCUGCAUGACAACUGGCAGAGCUGCUGUUGUUGGUCUUUCUCUUCCUCCGCCACCAAGGAUUGAAGUUUGGGACACCGUCUAAUCGUCAAUCUUUUGAGAGAGCAAAUGUCUUGUAGUAAUCCGUCAUGACUCUUCCAUAUAUAUGUUUGCUCUUUUGUCGACAAAAUUAAUUCUUCCAAUUUCGAUAGUUGUGGCUUCAAGGGCCCCGCAAGAAACACUUGAUUUGAUGUAUCUCUACAAACCACUGAAUUCUGUGAUCCGAGAUGACCAGUUGCACUUUCCCACACAACCUUUUUGCAUCCACCAAUCUGUAAUUUGCAAAGAGCUGGAAGACUCGAAACUGAAACUACCAAUUCUUCACAUCCUUCAAUAACAAGCAUCUCCAAUGCAGGAAGGUGCUCUGGAAAUGUUCCUUUCAGUUUAGAACAUCUUAAAAUGUGAAGCUCUCUCAAUUUAGGAAACCGUUCAACUCCCUGACUGGAUCCAUGAGGAAUCCAGUCUUCCCAUUCUCGCAUGUUUUCAAAACGAAGAGUCUCCAAACAUGGAGGAUCAUUCCCACAGAACUCUGAACCCAACCUUUUUACUCUGCUCAUUCCACGCACUGUAAGAUGCUUUAGAGAGGGCAGUUGCCCGACAGACGGCAGGGCAGUACACAUGCCGCAAUCUUCAAAUUCAAGUGUUACUAAAUUUGAGAACAAGGAAUCUCCUAACCAUGUUGGAAAUUUCAUACCUCCAUAGCCUUUGAUACAAAAUUGCUCCAGAUUUGUAUGAGGUUUUAGCAUGUCAAGCACGCCCAUUUCAGUUUCUGCCUCCCUUGAAGAAGAACCAUCGGUACUGCAAGUCCAUUUAAGCGAUAAUUCUUUCAGAUUCUUCUUUCCAUCCAUUUGAGCCUCCAUGGCAUCACCAACGCAUUUUACAUUCUCCAAUUUUGAAAUGCUAAGUGUCCCAUGAAGGUGCGUCAACAACUUUAGCUCUCGUAAACCGGAACCACUGCCUUUUCCCACAACAAAAUUACACAACGUCUGAAGACUAGUCAACCUACCAAUUCCUACUGGCAUUUCCUCCAACGACUUCGUAUUUGAAUUCUUAAGAUGAUGCAAUUUGAUGAGGUUCCCCAUGUCUGCACACAACUUCUUCAGCCGAUCACAAUCUUCCAACAAAAGACUAUGCAAAUUGUAAAGCUUGUUGACUGAUUCAGGCAGAGUUCUAAUCUCAGUUCUAGACAGGUUAAGGUACCUUAAAUACCUCAAAUCACCAAUUGAAUCUGGCAGCUCAGGGAUGCGGUAUCCACGCAAAGAGAAGACCCUCAAGCGUUGAAGUUUGAGCAACUUAGGAAGAAUGCUAGGAGCCAAGUAGCCAGGCCAUCUAUUUGUCAACAUUACUGGUAAAAAAGUUCUCAAAUGUUGGAUAUCAUACAAGUCCCCAAACCUUUGAACGCCAUCAUAAUCUCCACAAAUGUAUGAUAGAUGACGAAGAUUUCUGGAAAAACAUUGUUGCUUGUUAACCUCCGAGGUAUACUCCAGUGUGAAGUAUGUCUCCCCUGCAGCCCAACGGGCAAGGUCGUUGAUAAGAUCGUGCAUAACAAAUAGUGAUGCAUCGGUGGCCGAUUGCUGGAAAAAAGAUCUUGAACAUAGCUCCUUAAAGAAAUCACGACCUAAAUCUUCACUAGGAUUCUCAUCUUCUUUGUGAUCCAAAAAACCGGAGGCACACCAUAAUAAAAUUAUCUCCUCCUCUUCAAAUUCAUAAUCCUUUGGUAACAAUGAGCAGUAUGCAAAGCAUUGUUUCAAAGUUGGAGGAAGAUAAUAAUAGCUCACUGCAAGGGCUGGUAUAAUGCGACACCUCUGUUCUGGUAAUUCCCAUAUCUUGCUACCGAGCACACCUUCCCAUACCCGUCUGUCAUGUCUUCCACGUAAUAGUCCUCCAAGUGUUUGUGCAGCUAAGGGCAAGCCAUCGCAUUUGGUCACUAUCUUCUUGCCAAUUUCCUCCAAUAACUCAUGCGGCCCCAGAGAAUGUUGAGCGAAUAUAGCUAGACAGUCAUUAUCUGACAAUUUUUUUAAUGGAUGAGGUGGAAGAGUCCCCAUGAUUGUUGCAACAUCCUGAUUGUGAGUAGUAACAAUAAUCUUACUUCCCUGUGCACCAGCUUCAAAUGGAAGGCUGAGCUGAAUCCAAUCAUCGUAACUAUCAUUCCAUACGUCGUCUAAAACAAGCAAAAAUUUCUUUCGAGACAACUGCUUCUUUAGCUCCUCUUGAAGAAAAUUUAAAUCAUUAUUAUCAACAGUCUGCUUAGUAAUGGAGCUUAGAAUUGUUCUUGUUAGCCUGAUAAGAUCAAAAUCAUCAGAGACACAAGUCCAUGCCUUGAGAUCAAAAUGAUCCUCCACUUGCUUGUAGACAAGCUGAGCAAGAGUGGUUUUACCCAGCCCGCCCAUACCUAUAAUGGGAAUAACUGCGAAUCCACCAUCCUUUCUUGAAUCAUCCUUCAACAACAAUUCAACAAUUUCCUUCUUUUCUGUUUCCCUGCCAUAUACUUUGGCUUCCUCCACCAAAGAGGUUGUCUCUUGCCUUUGCCUGGCUUUUUUGGACCCCCCAGCUAAACUUUUUAUCAAAUUCAGCGAGCGUAUUCCUUCUUCAAUAUCUUGAAAUCUGUCGUUGAUCUUUUUGAUUUUGGACAUCAAGGCGAAAUCGAACUGAAUCGAUUGUAGAGUAAAAGUGGUACAGCAAGUAGGAAUGAGCUUCCGAAACUUACUCUUCGUGCUUGUACGACUGCUGCUGGGUUGAUCAUGAGCAGCAGCUGGUUCUCCAUUUCCAAGCAGCAACUUCCUCCGGAAAGCCUCAGUUUGGAACUCAUCCAACAAGUCUUCAACGUCAUAAGCCAAGUUCUGAAGCUCGCCAAGCCACAACUUCACAUAAUCAUCAGUCGUCUUCUUCUCCUCAGCAUCAUCAAGCACCGCCUUGAUCGUCACCAACUUAUUCUUCCACUUCACUAGAUCGUCUUUGAUUCGACCUUGGCGUGCAAAACGCAGAAUCCCCUUUGAAGCUAACUUAUUGACCAGCAACUCAACGGACGCCGUCAGGAUUGCCUCUCCGAUGAUUGACAUUUUUUCUUUUUUCUUUUUUUUUGGGUUUUUUUGGACAAAGAAAAAAACUAAAUUAUGAGUUUGUGGAAAGCAAAAUGAGAAAAGUGAAUAAGCGGAAUGUGUUUGUGAUUGUGUCUAGCAAGCCUAGAAAUCAAGAAAAAUCCACCGUAAAAGUGAAAAGUAAAACGGAGCCCACCACAAAUAUAAAAUCAGAGGAGCACAGAAUAAAAAAAAAAACAAAAGAAAAGAAAAAGCCAAGCCAAGAAUCAUAUGCCAUUGCUUUACAUAUUAAAUUAAAACAAAAGCCAUGCCAGGAAUCCUGCCUUUGCUUGAUAUUUGACAAGAUUAAUUGGACAUUACACAUUAUUUCACAGAGAAUAAAACUUGUAAAGAACCAAACCCAUCAAACCCUUUCUUUAUCUUAAAUGUCAGAAAUAUAUAAUUAGCUUGGAAUAAAGCUAUACUCUUCUCCUUUUUCCAUUUCUACAGGUUCAUAUAGGCAUAUCAUAUGGAUUUUGUUUUAUGCUAGGUAAUUAUUAAUUUAUAUAAUAAUAUAUUUCCCUCAAAAUAUACUAUUUGAAUUUGAAAUAAUUUUUUAAAAUAAUUUAAUAUCACAAUAAUAGUCAUGAUUCAAUUCGGUUCAGUUUAAUUUUUUUAGAGAAAAAAUUUGAGAAAAUAGACAAAUAAUGAAGACGCAAUUGAAGCACAGCCAAUAAACAGGGUAAAGUGAAUUGCGUCCUGUCCUUGAGCACUCAAUUCUCUUCAAUCUCAAAUUUAUACGUACAUUUUUGUAAAUUCAUGUCAUAUACUAGAGUCUUUUGGGUUCUGUUACAUCAAUUGUUUCGUGUCUAUCUUGUUUUAUUAAUUUAUGGAGCAAGAUUGCUAGUAGCGAUAAACCUGGAAUAAAACGAUUUAUUUAUUUUAUAUAUAUAUUGCGUUGUUAUCAGCAAAAAAUAUGAUGGGUUUCGUUUGUAACAACUAGCUAAUUGCUUAAUACAUUUUUGUACUUCUCGUCAUGAAGUCACGAGGAACUUGUAAAUAAGAUCAUAGACGUGGUACGAUGUGACGUGAUAAAUUUAAAUCAAAUCUAAACUAAGAUGGUUCAUAUAUAGGUACAUACUGAAUAAAGAUAUUUAAAGCAUUCAAUUUUAUGACAUACCUAAUAGUCAUUGGCUUAUUGUUAUUAAAGGAAGUGAAUAGAAAUAGAUGUAGAAAGUGAAAAAGAUGAACUAGCGCACAUGAUGAUUUCUCAGAUAAAAAGUUAAAUUUAUAUUCUUUUUUUUAAUAAGUGUGAGAUGAUUUACACCCUAAAAUUUAUUUUGAACACUCAUAUUUUUAUUACAAAAAACCCCAUAGUUCAAUUUACUGGUAUGGACAAUUCAAUAAAAAUACAUAGAACAAUAAUACUUUUGACACCCAUCUGGCUAUAUUUAACAAGUUUGCACGCACAGACUCUAUGAUUCUAAUUUCUUUGACUUGGUUUUAGUUUUUGUUGAAUAUAUAUCUACCUAUAUAAAGUGUUAGUGAUUUUUCACUUCUCUACCAAGGAGAUUCUACACGAAUAAACAACCGCAGAAAAAAAAAUAUAAAAAACCUGAUACAGGUGAAGAAGAUAUUCAUCAUAACAGUUUUUUAAAGUUGAUGAGUCCAAAUAUCCAAUAACUGAUAAAUUGUGUUAAGAAAUAAAAAAUAUUAAUAGUGAUGACACAAAGGAAGUCCCGUGUUUUGAGUUUGACUAAAAUAAUCUGAAUAAUUUAAAAUAAUCGAUCAGGCCAAAUUGCUGAAGAGAUGAACGGCCUCUGUUUUUUACCAUAAUACUAGGAAUUGACUUCAAUUGGGAAGUCAGGCCAAUCGAAGGAGCUCCCCUGUUUCUGACUGAAACAUAAUCCUAACAAUUUACAAUUAAAUAAAUCAUUCAAAAUUUCUCCUUUAAUCGAACCCCCACUUCUAUGACUUAAUAAAAUAUUACAAAAGUUCUUAAUACAGUGAAAUUAACGUUCAGCUCAUGAAGUCGCCAUUAUAUAUAUUGAAAAAGAGAUUAGUACAAGACAUUGAAAAUUAAUUGACAUUGAAUCACGUUGGAUCCUUAGUUGUUAAUUAUGAUCUUGGUCUUUUAAUUAUCAUCUAGCCAACGCAGGUCCACUAGUUUCAUUUGUGUCAAUCACUGAAAAGUAGAGCUUUAUUGAACACCGCAUAUUACAGAAACUCACUCGAUUUUCAUUGCCAUACAUGUAGCUCAAAAGUACAUAUUAUAUCAGUGAACAUGGAACAUUCAGCUAACCUAUAACAAAUAUAAUAAAAUCUCAAUAAAUUAAUAGUUCUGGGACCAAUGAAAAAUUAGUUAAAAUUUCAUGAAUAUCAAUUAGUCGAUAAGUUAAUAAAUUAUUAAUUUAUGAAAAUAUUCAUUAUUUUGGAAAAAAAUGAUUACGUUUAUAGUAUUGAUUUACGUUGAGUUAGAAUCUAUUAUUUUUUAUUUGAAUAUUAAUUUUCUUUUAAGAAGAUUUUUUAAUAGUUAACUACUUUAUAAUAAGACUAUUGUAUGAUUUUUAUUUUUCCAUGUUAGAGAUGAUAGUUCUGCUAUGCAAGCUGUUUCGAUCAAAGGAUUAGAUGAUAUUGACAUUGAAUAAUUUUUUGUUGCAAAAUGACAACACCAAUUAGAAUUUCUUUUCGCAUUACAAAAGAAAAAAAUGAGAUCCAAUUCUAAAUUAAUUUAAAAAGAAAUAAACGAUGCUGAGAAUAAAUUUUACACAAGCCAUAUAGACAUAUCAUAUGGAUUUUGUUUUAUAUUAGGUAAUUAUUAAUCUAUGUAGUAAUAUAUUUCCUUCAAAAUGUACUAUUUGAUUUUGAAAUUAUUUUUGAAAAAUUUAAUAUCAUAAUAAUAGUCAUGAUUCCAUCGGUUUGAGGUUUUUUUUUUUUUUUUGGUUUAAGAAAAAAGAUGGGACAAUAGUCAAAUGAUGAAAACACAAGCUAAGCAGAGCCAAUAAACAGGGGAAAGUGAAUUACUGUCCUUGAACACGUUCUCUAAUAAUCUCAAUAUUCUACGUACAUUUUUGUAAAUUCAUGUCGCAUACAAAAGCCUUAUGGGUUUUGUUGCAUCAAUUCUUUGGGGAUUUAUCUUGUUUUAUUAUUUUGCGACGCAAGAGUCCUCGAAGCAAUACAUUUGGAAUAAAACGAUUCAAUUUAUUUUUCGUUGUUAUUAACAAAAACUAUAUAUUAUUAAUUAAUCAACUCAUCGAGAUAUUGGUUUCAUUUGUAACAAGUAGCUAAUUGCUCAGUACAUUGUUGUACUUACUCAUUAUCAUAUCAAGACGAACUUGUAAAUAAGAACAUAGACGUGGUACACUGUGAUGUGAUAUAUUUAAUUCAAAUCUAAAUUAAGAGAUGAUUCAUAUAUAUAGGUACAUACUGAAAAAAGAUAUUCAAACAUAAACACUCCAUUUUAUGAUAUACCUAACAAUAAUCGGUUUAUUGUCCAUAGGAAAUGGAGUGAAUAGAAACAGAUGUAGAAAGUCAAAAAGAUGAACGAGCGCACAUGACGAUUUAUAAAAUAAUAAAUUAAAUUUAUAUCGUUUUUAAUAAGUGUGAGAUUAUUUACAUUUUCAAAUUUAUUUUGAAUGCUCUUAUUUUUUACUACAAAACCUCAUAAUUCAAUUUACUAUUAAGAGCAAUUCAAUAUAAAUAAAUAGAACAAUAAUACCUUUGACACCCACCUAGAGCGCACACACCCAUGUAAAAUUAUUAAACCUUAAACCGAAGAACAUUCUUCCUCAACAUUAAAACUCGUGCAUUAUUUAAAACCAUAUUUAACAAAUUUUCACAAAGAGACGCCAUGAUUCUAAUUUCUUUGACUUACAUUUCAAUUUUUGUGGAAUAUAUAUCUAUUCCAUAUUAAGAGAUUCUGAAUCUUUCACUCGGCUGUCAAGGAGAUUGUACUGAAUAAACAACAGCAGAAAAACAAAUAAAAAACUUGAUACACGUGUAGAAUAUACUCAUUAAAUUUUAAUUUUCGGCACAAUUAUGAGCUGCAUAUUUAUACACACACACAAAUAACUGUUCUGCAAAUAUGUACAAAUCAAUUUCAGCCAUCCAACUUUUUUUCGAAUUUUAAUGAAUAUAAAUUUUAUAAGUUGGGCAACUAUGAAACAUAAAAUUAGCAAAAUGAUAUUAUUAACAAAUAAGGAGAGCAAAAGGUAAUUAUAUCUUGGUGUGCUAAAUAUUUUUAUGGGUGUAGUGAAAAAACUAAAGAUAAUGGAAGAAAUGUUAUUGAGGAGUAAGUGAAAAGUGAUUUCCUAAAAUCUAUUAACUAAUGCGCAAAAUAGAAGGGCAUUUUGAGAAAAUUUUAGAUUAAAAAUAGUCCCAUCCUUUUAAUAAUAUUCUUCAAUCAAUCUGUUUAUUUCAAAAUAAAAAUCCAUCUCAUUUUUACUUUCUAAUUAGUCAUAUUAAUGUGUUAAUAAUUACGAAGAACCAGUAUUAUUUGUAUGAUGUAGGAAGCCCUUUCGACACAAUAACCCAAAUUUCUAAGAGUAGCGGCUGGACUUGAUUGGGAACAACUUCGAUUCAGUUUAAAAGGUUAAUCUCAAAAUUUCGUGAUAUUGUGCCUAAAGAGCUUCCUGCAUCAGUAUAACAGUUUCUAAAUUAAUAUAAUUGUGUGUUCAUUUUUUAUGAUUUUCCUUUAAUUUUUUUUUUAGAAACUGUUGUUCUUCAAUAAUUAUUCUAACAAUGUUGCUUUAAAGUGAUGUUGAUACGGGAGUCGAUGAGUCUUUAUCUGAAACAAAAAUUUACAAAAAAAAAUAUUAAAUUAAAAAAAAAGUACAUCAAAUAUUGGGCUCCCCCAAGUUUUACAUUUGUCUUCCACAAUGAGACAAGCCCUUUUUUCAAGUGAAGACUUUUGAUGUACAAUUUGUAAAGGAAAUUUGCCCCAUAUAAUUUUCCUUUCUACAACUUGCAAGCUUAUGUAAAUCAUAUCAACUUAAAAGAUUCCAAGAUUUGGUAUUUUGGUGAUUUGAGUAUCCAAUGGUGAUGACACAUACGCAUGGAAGUCCCCUGAUUUGAGUUUGACUAAAAUAAUCUGAAUAAUUUAAAACAACACAUCAGGCCAAAGUCCUUAAGAGAUGAACUGGAUUUCAGUGCAUCACAUUCCGAAAUUGAUACUAACCUUAACUGGGAAGGCAGAACAGCCUCUCUUUCCUACUGUUGCACAAAAUGGCAAGUCAAGCCAAUUCAAGGAACUUCCCUGUUUUUUACUGAAAAAUACAUAAUCUGAACAAUUUAUAAUCAAAUAAAUCAUUCAAAAUAUCCUUUAAUCGAACCCCCGUUUCCAUGGUUUAAUAAAAUAUCACAAAGGUGCCUAAUACAGUGGAAUUAACACUCAGCUCAUGGGAUUGCCAUUAUAUAUAUUGAAACAGAAAUUAAUACAAGAAACUGAAAAUUAGUUGACACUGGAUCACGUUGGAUCGUUAGUUGUUAAUUAUGAUGGAAAUAUAAUCUUGGUCUCUUACUUAUCAUCUAGCUAAUGCAUGUGCACUAGUUUUAAUUGUGUCUAUCACUGUAAAUAGUAGAGUUGCUUGAUUGAAUAGUAUCAUAUUACAUCACAGAAACUCGCUCAAUUUUCAUUGCCAUAUGUAUCUCAAAAGUGCAUGAACAUUGAACAUUCAGCUAACUUAUACCCAACAACAUCCAUCAGUCAGAGUGAAACCCCAAUUGAUUUCAUAAAUACAAAAUAAAUAACUCGCAAAGGCAAUCUUUGACAAUCACAAAAGCAACAACAAUUCACUCCAACAAACAACAUAACAAUUAUAUGGUCUAAAUUGCAGGUCUUUUUAUGAUUUUAAUUGAAAGAGAAAGCACGAGGGACAUAUUAUAUAUAAUUGAAUGUUAUGAUUGAUAAUUGGGCAAAAUAAUACUAAUCUAGCUAACUAGUCCAAUCAUCAUAAUAAUCUGAUUUUCAUUAUUUAAUUAUGUUCAAUCAUGUUAUUUUAAUAAAGAACACUGAACGCUUGAGUAUUUAUAUGUUCAACAACUUCGGCUAAAUUUGAAAAAAAAAAAGUAUUAAUUAUGAAUAGUAAUAAAUUACCCUACAAGCCACAUAUUGCGUACAUAUGCAGUUGCAACAAAUAUAUGUGUAAUAAAAAGAUCAUAUGUGCUUAGAAAAUGAAGCAUCAUUGAAUAAAUGGAAAAAAAAGAAAGAAAAUUAAAAUCAGCGUCCAGCGGAAAGAAUCCAUCUUUACGUGUUGCCUCCAAUUUGGUACAUCUAUCUGACUUUAAAAAAAUUGCAGUAGAAAUUAGAGCUCAUUUUUUUAGAUAUGGCUCAUAUACAAUACAAGUGUCAAGAUGUAAUUAGAGUUUACAUAUAUACACGUGUCUAAUUCUAAUUGACAGACAAACUAAUCAUAAAUACUCAGGUGUUUCUAAAUGAUUGAAUAAUGAUAUUGUAGUGACUUGAUUGCUUUGUUCUCUGAUUAGAAAUAAAUCACUGUCCAAGAACCUUUGUCAAGAUCUGUUCAAGUUGCAAUUAAACCAACACCAAUCUGAGGCUUCAAUGCUGAUUCACACCAUAGCUCUAGGUUAAUGGAGGUUGAAAACAGAAGAUUAAAUUGAACUAGAAGCAGCACACACUCACACAAAGAACAGGAUUUAACGUGGUUCGAUUAUGCAUAAAUGCACAAUCUACAUCCUUGGGAGAAGCCACAGAGCUAAUACAGAGGAGAUUACAAGGAACAAGAAGACUCUUUCUCUCUUUCUAAGAUCUCUCUGGAAAGCUCUCAAAAUCCUAUGCAAUGUUUUUCAACAACCAGCCUCUUUACACCCCUGAUAUUGAAACCCAGAUUGCAUAGCUUUUGGACGCGUGUAUAACGGCUUCAUAACGAAUUUGAUUCCCUUCUCACAUGCGGUCUCACGUGCUUCACUUAAACUUGCUCAAAACGACUGAAAGUAGCGUCGUUUUUCCUUAAGAUUAGUGAAGAAGAUAGCAUGUGUGUUGCACGUGAGUCGUAAGUGGAUUCGCUUACUCAAAACACAGCCGCUUUAGGGCUUCGAGUUUUGGAUUCAUGGCACUCUAGUCCAGAGAUAUUAUUGGUAUUUAUAAAUUUCAAAGUGGUGAUAACAGAUUCACAACAUAUUGGAGUUUUGGAUUCAUGGCACUUAUGGUUUCUCAUCAAAUAAUGUUAUAAAAAAAAAUACAUAAGUUAGAAGAUUCACAACAUAUUGGAGUGUAAUUUCCACUUGAGUGACAAUGAAUGAAGUUAUGUUAAUUUAGAUUAAGUACAAGCCUUCCUAAAUAGGAUUAGAAAUACUCUAUUAACAUAUCGAAUACUACCUUAGUAAAAAUUUAGUUGACAAAAAUUAAAAAAAAAAAAGCCUUGAAGGCUUGAAACAAUUAACACCAACUAAAUAAUUGUCUUACAUCACCAAUUUUUUUUUUUUCAUUUUAAUAAGACAUCACCACACUCCUGACUUUAUAAAGUGACUUUAUAAAGUAAAGCAUAAAAUAUAAUAGAGAAGUUUGAGUUUAAAAAAAUAAAGUUGGGAGAAUGACUUGUCACGCUGUCUUUGAUCAUUGAGCACACAAUUAUCUGAGAAAAAAAAACUCUAUUGUAUUUGUGUUUGUUGUAGAUUCAUGUCAUUUACUAGUCCUUUGGGUUUUGUUGUAUCAAUUCUUUGGUAAAUGUUUAUCUCGUUUUCAUUCUUUUAUGAUGUGAGAUUCCUGGUUAUAUUAGGAAUCAGAGUGAAAUCCAAUCUUAAAAUUUGGAGAAAUAAAACGUAAUAUGAUUUUUAAAAUUUAGAGAAAUAAAAUGUAAUAUGAUUUUUUAAUGAAUAAAACGAUUUAAUUUAUUUCUUUUCUACUAGUAAAAAUUAUUAAUUUAUUAACCCAUCAAGCUAUUGGUUUCAUUUGUAAGCUGGUCAGUCAGUUUUUUAUUUUGAGUUGUUAUCUUUCAAAAGAUAUUAGAAAAAUCUUACUUUGAGUGUACUUGAUCACUUCACUAAUUAUAGGGUAUUUACAAGUUAGAAAAAUAAAUUAUUUCUGGCCGAAGACACUAGAAAUUAAAGUUCAUAUGACUUUGUAAUACUGUUUGGUAAGUGAGAAAAUUGCCGAGAAAAUACAGAGCAAAUAGAAUCUUUAAGAAGAUCUAAAUUUCUGUAUUUUAUUGAUCUAAAAAAAUGAUACAAGCUCUUAUAUACAAUUGUAAGAUUCUACACACUCACAAUGAAAUAUCACGCUACUAGUAAUUAACAACCCUUAUAACAAACUCAACUGAUUCAGGCUGACUCCAGAGAAUGUCGAAAAGCGUUUGGCUAAUUUUUGUAUACACACACAUAACACAAAAUUAAAUUAGUUGGCAGCGUUGACAGUGAGUCGUUUUUGGCCAUCCAUAAGUUCACAUGUGCAUGGACAUCUGUUGCCAGCCCUUUCAUUAUUUUAAAUCUCCAUAACAUUAUUAGAGUCCCACAUUUAUCACACAUCAUUAAGUAGAAUGCGCUAAUUAGGAAGAGCUAGUUUCUUUGUUCUGUUUUCUUGCAUAUGUUGCAAUUUUCGAGUAUCACUGAAAAUUUUAGACCGUCAAACCUGCAGGAAAAUUAUAUACAUAUUCUAUCAUUCAACCUCAACAAAUAAAUUCUUUUCACUGGAAUCCAACAAUCGUUAAGUGUUAACCUUGUAGUUCUCAAGAGCAGAAAUUGUUGUAUUAAUUUUUUCAAAGUGUCUCUCUUAAAAGAACACUAAAGAUAGGAGAGUGAAAUUUCAACUGAGAUCUUGCCACAUAAGACGAUCGAUUUAAUCCGACAAAAUGUGCGUUAGGUUAAUAAGAGCCAAUACUGCCCUGAUCCUUUCUGCAUCUUUCUUCUAUCAGCGGACAAUCCUUGAUAUACAGUUGCAAGAGCGAGGUAGGCACGCUCUUGUCCAAAAAGUAUUUUGGCUUCGGACGAAUAUAAAGCCAAAGAUACACCAACGACGUGAGAUUUUGACCAAUUGAAGGCAGGCAUUCCAUGCUUUGGAAAUCAUAAAUCCACAAAAGGGUUCCUAACUCCUGUGGCGAAAUGACACCACGUCAUGAAGUCCUCCGAUUGACAGUCGUUGUAGAGAUGAGAAUCUGUUCAAUCCCCCUUCCCCCCCACCCCAUCGAUGGCUUCCAAAUCUUCAUAUCAUGAAUAUAAAGUGACUGAAGGUUGCUGGGAAACCUACCAUCAUCUGCCUCAACUGGGAAGCAAUACCAUAUAUGCUUGCCAGACCUCCUCUGUUUCAUUCUUGAAGACUGUGCAUGUCCUUGGGUAAGGCCUCUAGCUUAUCACACCACGUUAUCCGGAGCUUAGACAGUUCCGCAGAAGGCAAUCCUCCUUCAGGAAAGGGUCAUUUCAAUAAAAGCACAGUACAAUUGCUUAACUAAUUUUUUGAAAACAGAGAUAUGAGAGAUUGACAAUUUACAAUUGCUUAACUGCUCAAGAAGAGAGCACGCUUGAAUUAUGAAAUACGAAAAAGAGAGCACAAAUGAAAAAUCUUAAGGAAUCAGCAGGAUUCACAUCCGACCAACUCCACGCUGCUAAAGCAAAGGAUUAAUUUUUGAGAAAUUGUAAAGAAAUUAAUACAAGUGAAAUGAGAGCCUGUUCAUUUGAUUAUUGGCCAAGGGUGAUUUCAAUAACGUUUUCAAAGAAGAUAUAGGACAAAGAUCAGAACGAAAAAUAAGUAAUUUCAGUCGUUGAAAAAAAAGAGCAAGCUUCACACAUGCAUGCAUGUGUCGGACCAACAGAACAUGGCUUGUGUCAAGGAUCAAUCAAAGACAUAUAAACUCAGUUUUAUAAAGUAAGCAUCAAAAUGUUUGACAAGUUUUAGAUUUGUAGAAUAUUGGGAAAGCAGACAAAUAAUCAAUGAAGACACUGCAAGUUAAGCAGAUCAAUUAAACAGAGGAAAUAGCUGAUCAAUUCUUUGUGCAAUGGCCACAGCAACUGUGAGGUUAUAAGUUGCUGAUGUGUUGGGCUUCAAUACAAGAUUCGAAGAGUUCUUGGGGCUGUGUGAAGACUGACUUCAGUUGGAGGGGUCUUAUUGUAAAUUUUAUGCUGAUGUGGCAGAGUUCGUUGAGAAUUCGUUAUGCCUUUUCCAGAAAUAUCAGAAUAAAAGGCGCUGGUGAUUAGCCCCUGAUCUGAGAUCAAUAUCUUCUUCAUUUCUUGUUCAUUUUGUUGGAAAUUUGGUUCUCUGUGAUCCUUGUAAUUGCCUCUUCAUAAUCAACCUGUAUCUAGAUUGUUAUGAUCAACAAAAGAGCAGUUGUUUCCUUCAUUGAUUUGUGUACUUGAAACAGUGCUCUGUGUUCUAUUCUUGGAAUUGCUUUCUUGUUUGGUUGAUCUGGUUUGAUUCUUUCAAGUCCGAUUCAUCAAGUUCUUCACGAAUUAACUUGUGUAGCCAUUAAAGUUUCAACAGCAACAGAUUAAAUAUAUCUACAAGACUACAUUAAUCCUAAUGGCAUGGUAGCAUCUCCAUGCAACAUUACAUUAACAUUUCAUCAUCAAUCAAUUUUGAUGAUAUGAUAUUAAAAACAUUGACUUCAUAAUUUAACAUAUAAAGAAAAAGUAAUACUUAUUUGAUGAGUAUGAUAGACAGCAAAUAUGGAUCAUGCAAUAAUGAAACAUGUAUUUAUAGAAAAAUGUUUGGGAGUAAAAUGAUGCUAUAAAGUUUAAUAUUAGUUGCAAGAAAAAAAAAUUGGCAAUUAAGAUUAACAGAUACAUAUGCAAUGCUUCGAGUUUAUUUUAUGACUUCCGUAACGAUUUUGUAACUACAUAUUGAUUAGAAGUUCGAUUAAUUUUGACCAAAAACUCUAGAGCAAGUCGAAAAGAGAUUUGAUUUUUUGUAUACAAAAAAAAUAAUCAAUAAAAGCAAGCUCUGGUGUUGUUAAGCUAAGGAUACAGGGGUUAAAAUUACUCACCACUCAAUGGAAUCCACCAAAGAGAUACAGAGUUUGAUAAUAACUCAAAGUUCAUCCAAUUUCCAAAAUUAAUCUCUGUCCUUUGGUUACAACUACAUAAGCUUAAAUAGCUUUCUUGGAACAAUCCUCCAAGCAUAGAUUUACUACAAAGAAACCCUUCAAAUAACUUGACUUUAAAGACCAACAUUAAAGCUAGACAUUAAUAAAACAUUGGUAUGCUUAAAACACAACAAAAAAAAUUAAAAAAAAAUCCAAGUCCCGAAAUAUUCUUCUUGACUCAAAACUGAACAGUCUGCACUUAACUGAUCAUAACUUACUGUAGAAAACUCCAAAUUUAGAUUAGUAAAAUUCAUUGGAAAACUAACAGAAAUAUCUUUCCAAUGAUGUAUGGCUCGAAAAUUAAUUCGAUCUCAUGCAGUACAGUUGAAUUCCCAAAGAUGCCCCUUCUGCACAGAAAUUCUGCUCACUUGAUUAAUGUAAGAACUUGAGCUGCACUUGGUAUAACUUGAUUACCAAAUAUUUCAAACGCCCGUGUUAUUUUCACUGGUGGCCGUAGGUCUCAUGACAGACUGAACCACGUUGUCUCUGUUUUCCCUGUGAUUUUGUCUCUGAUUCUUCUUGUUCUUUCUUCUUGAUUCUAUUUCUUGGAAGUUUAAGUCUGGUUUGUUGAAUAUUGAGUUGAUUCAGAUUCGGUUCGGUGCUUGUGCAUCUUGUGUUAGUCUCAUUCAAGAUCUUGGGCAGAGUCUUUGGUUUGACAAGUUAAUUAGAUCGUCCAAAGCUCUACGUUUUUUUUUUUUUUUUAAACAAAAAAGAAGCACAGUCUGCUAUUAAUACUGUAGCAUGUUAGCUACUAUAAAAGCUCGUGUCUAAUUACCAAAUAAAUUCCACUUUAACAAAGAAUAGAAGCUAAUUUUAUUUUUUCUUUUUGUUAUUGAAGUUACCUCGCAAACUUCUCGGAAGCUUAUUACAAAAUUUCCUUUUACUCUAGGAUCUCUUGAAUGGUCCUGCAAUUUGUAUUCUUUUAUGUGGGAUUGGUUUUUUCUUUAAACAAAAUUUCAAGGAUAAGAAACCUUUCCCAUUGAAUACCAACUUUGAAUUUUAUUAUCAUUUGAACUUAGAAAACUGCAGAAACAAAGCGCGUUCAUAGCACCAGCUAAGCUAGCUGUGUCUUGGUACCAUGCUGGUUCUAUUUUUACUUUAUUAAAUAUAUACAAAAUUAAAUCUCCUGAGCCUCUAGCUUCACUAGUUUCCAACUUGAAAUUAAAACGCGGAAUUAAUGGCAUUGGAGUUCGUUAUUUAAUUUUGCUUUGGUUCAUGGGGAAUCAGAUGGCCAUCCAAUUUUUUGUCUAUUUUAAGUACUAUUGGCCACUAAGUAGCUUGCUUAUAUAUGUGUAUUGGGAUGUCAUAGGCCUUAAAGCUGAAAAUCAAUCCCCAAUCUAAAGUGAAAAACAGUAGCUAGAACAUAAUCUAUGUUUUGAUGUCUUAGUUUAUAAGCUCAAACAAUUAGUAGUAUAUAGAAAAUGCCCGAUAGAACCCAAAACUUGUAGUGAUUUUUAGUUUCGAAAUUCAUUUCAGAAAAUCUGUUCCGUUCAACACAUUCAACUAAACUCUAGCCAUGUACUUGUAUGUAUACAGGUAGAGCACUAGGGCAACAAAGGAGUCCAUCCUUAAGGCCUUGUCUAAGACUGGUUGUCUUUUUCAUGAGCUUCUGGCUUUCCAGCUUGCUGAGCGACGUACACAUAAAGAGGUUAUCCUUUUCUUUUUUUCUUUGUUUUUAUAUGACAGAAUCCAUUUUUGAAUAUAUAUAUAUAUAUAUGUUUAGGUACACAAACACACACAUGAAUAUGCAUGUUUUUAUGAGUUCAUUUAAGUAUAUCCAAUGUUGAAUAACUCUUCCAUUUGAACUUGACAGUAAUCAGGUAGUUGAUAUUUAUGUUACAAAAAUUGGAAGUGUUAGAUAUGAGACUCAAAUCUGAACUUGAGAACACAUACGACAAGUCACGUGGAUCUUUGUAUUAAAUGUGACAUGUCAUGCGUAGGAGUUCACGGAGCUGUAUGACAUUCUUGCUCUGUCGGGAAAACGAGUAAGUAACACACGUGACGUAACACGUGCAUAACUUACUCAAAACGACAGGAGUUUGUGCCGCUUUGUGCUCAAGAGCUUGUGAAGGUGUAACACGUGGCUACCAGAGGUUCAAAAGGCCGUUAAAGGUUGUUAUGACGCGGGCAAAAACUGGGGUUCUUCACAAGCAGCCCAGGUGGCGUUAACAGCUGACUGGUGAAGGGUCUUUCUAGAUCCUUUUCUUACUAUAUAUAUGCCUUUAUGGUGAGAUCUCGCGUAGAGUGAUUCUGUAACACCUUCUUAAGAACUUUGUAUCUUUAAUAAGCUCAGAUAGUGGAAUUCUUCUUCUCCUUCACAGUAGAUGUAGGCUCACUCUAUGGCCGAACCACUAUAAAUCAUUUAGUGGAACUCUCCUUCUCCUUCACAGUGGAUGUAGGCUGACUCUGUGGCCGAACCACUAUAAAUCAUUGGUGUCAAGUGUGUGUGUAUUUUUGUCUCGGUUCUCUUUGAGUUUCUUGCUUUGGUUACAACUGAUUCAUCAGCCAUUAAAGCUAAGUAUAUUCUGAAAUCUUGAGUUCAUAAAGGUCGUUCUUGGGGGGUCUAAAUUGGUGCUUAAUCCGGUUUAGUUUCAACAAGAAGCAACAAAAGCAAUUCAGAAUCAUGCAAGGACUUGGAUUUUUUUGUUAAUUCACUGGGCAUAUGUUUAUCCAACCUCUGAUUUUUCUUAAUAUGUCUCAGUAGUUCAUUUCACGCCACUUUUAGCCGCUCCAUUGGCAUUUUCUGCCAUUUGCUUUUGUUCAUUGGAGCAAGUUAGCUUAUUAAAUUGCUUUUCGAUAAAUGUUCUUCAGAGGGAAUGUGAAAAGGCCAAAUGAACCGAGAUGAUCGGGUUUUCUAGAUCAGCCAUCUCUGUCCUCAACGGUGCUGAACCGUCAAUUACUGAGACACCAAACUCUGACCUGAUUCAUAUGGGAUGUAGACCAAAGCUUCUUGCCAUACCAUCUCUGGUCAAAGCUGCUAUCUUUGAAAGUUUUGCAGGACAAAACAUGUCGGAGUCAGAAAUUGACGUCACCCCUAGCAUAAAACGGUGUAUCAAGAGCAAUUUUGGUUUCCCAGUCGAUACAGAUACAGAAUUCAUAUAAGCAGGUUGCUCUCAAUCUCUGUUUAAUAAGCUUCCUCUGCUGUAUCCUAGAACGUUAUGCUUCCCAGCUGGCUAGAAUGGGAACUAUGUUUCUGCUGCAAAAUUUUUGAAAGCGAGCAUUGUGAAUAUCCCGACUGUGUAUGAAGUGGGCCUUAAGAAGACAGAGAGGACACUUGUGACAAUACUCGAGACUGUAAAGAAGCCGUGGGUAUACAUUUCUGGUCCAACAGUCAAUCCAACUGGCUUGCUUUAUAGCAACAAAGAGAUAGAGAAUAUAUUAACUGUUUGUGUAAAAUAUGGGCCAAGAGUUGUGAUUGAUGCUUCAUUCUCGGGAUUGCAAUUCAAAUACGAGGGUUGGGGUGGCUGCAAUCUGGAAGGCUGUUUAUCGAAGCUGUAUCGUCUCUCUCUGUGUCUCUGCUGGAGGGCUGUCUCCGAAGAUGCUUACUGGAGCCCUCACAUUUGGAUUUCCGGUUCCAAACCAACGUCAUUUAGUUGAUGCAUUUAGUAGCUUUCCGGGAUUAAGAAUAUAUUUUAUGCUAUGAAGAAUACAUUUUUGAUAAAUUAACCUCAAUUCUGAAUUUUAAUUUAGAGAAUGUCGAGAAGAGAUUUGAUUUUUCAUAUAGAAAAAAAUUAGACAUGAAAUAAGUCAAAAUCAAUUACAAGAACAACAAUAAGAAUGUAUUUUUUAAAAGCCACAAAUACAUAAAAUAUAAAUUUAGUUUAAGAUUAGGUAAUUAUUAAUUUGCAUAGUAAGAGGUUCUCGUUGGAGAAAUCCAUUAACCUUCGGCUAAUUUGAUGCAAGGUAUAAUUUUGCAAUGCCCAAUAAUAUAUAGCUGUAUGGUAUUUCUGUAUUAUAUAUACUCCUAAUGAAAAUGAAGCAAAUACGUAAUACUACUACUAUGACAUAACUUUCAUGAUUGCCAACUGCCAAAACCAGCCACCUCUCAUACGUGCCUUAUUGAGCAUGGAAACACCUUAUAUUAUAAUUUCCGUUCACCCAUAGAAGAAUUUCAGGGCCAUUAAUUCAACAAUUACCAAACCAAUAUCCCAAUGAUAGUUGGAUUACUAAUCUUAGCAUUAAAAGAUCUACAAUUUUUAUUUGGCCAAAAUAAAGGUUUUCUUACUGCCUUCUUGAUCUUUUCCUGCCUGGUGAUUCCUGAAUGUUCCUCCCAUUCUCAUAUGCUGAGUCGCUUGCUGAGAUGAUAAAUACUCGAGGGUCCUUCCAUAAGACAAUUCAGCAGACACCUGAUUCAUUCUAUCAAACAUCAGCAUCACUAAUAACUAAAUGGUGUAAGAUAGUCUGGUUUGAAAAUUCUAUAUAAAUCAAAUUUUUAUUUUUCAUCAUUAUGGUUAAUGGCUUAGCAAAUGCAGGAGUACGGAUCAGACAAAAUGAAGCACUUUCUCUCGUAUUAAGCUUUAUUAGUCGUUGAAGCUAACAAAUUUUAAAACAAGUCAAAACAGUUCCAACUCAGAAUCAGUAGGCCGUAAUUGGGUUGUUAUAAAUAUUUCAAAGUUUCAGUUUAAUUUAAUUGUGUAUGCACAAACUAACUUUAUCACUUCUUUCAUAUUAAUAUUCAUAAAUUUCAACCUUAUUUUAUGUUGAUGCACAAAAUGUUUUUUUGUUAUAUAUAUAUUCAAAUAGUCAAAUUUCUUCUUCUUUACUCCAGGAUCCAGCUCUGUACCCCACUUUUUUGUCGUCAUUCUACCCCGCUGUUAGAUUUUAAUUCCGUUGAUCUAAUGGUUGGGAUUUGUAAGUGAAUAACGAAGUGCUGUUUGGCUACCGUCUGAUAGCAAAUCUGAAGCAAAUGUAAUCACCACCAUGCCGGUAUAUUCAUUCAAAUAUUAAACGUACAGAGAAGAAAGCAAAUUGUGGCAGGAUAGCGAAAAUUGCAAACGGUCAUUCCCAACACGAACACCUGUGGCUGUUUUCCUUUAAUUUUCUUCUUUGAAUUUUCCUUUGAUUAAUCAUUAGAAAAACUGCUUUUUUUUUUUCAAAAUCAUGUGUUAUUAACAUUUACAUAGUUAAUUCAUCAAAAUCAAAUGGUUGUUAUCUACGAAAAGACAUUGAAAAUUUCCUUGUCACAAGUCUUUUCGUAUUACAAAAGCAUAUUUAACAAAAUUGCACUCACAGAUUCUAUGAUUCUAAUUUCUUUGACUUGAUUUUAGUUUUUGCUGAACAUAUAUGUAUCCCAUAUAAAGUGUUAGUGAAUUUUUCAUUUCUCUAGCAAGGAGGUUCUGCACGAAUAAACAACAGCAGAAAAUAUAUAUAUAUAAAACGUGAUACGAGUGUUUGUACUUUGCUAAUGGCGUUGCACUCUCCAAACAUGAAGAGUGCAUUAAGGUGCAUUAAGCAUUGGCUGAUUAGAAUCAUUCAUGUUAAGAAAUAAAAAUAUUAAUAGUGAUGACUCAAAGGAAGUCCCGUGUUUUGAGUUUGACUAAAAUAAUCUGAAUAAUUCAAAAUAAUCCAUCAGGCCAAAGGAAGUCUCGUGUUGAACUGCAUUGGGAAGGCAGAGCAGCCUCUGUUUUUUCACUAUAAUACUAAGGAUUGACUUCAAUUGAGAAGUCAGGCCAAUUGAAGAAGCUCCCCUGUUUUUGACUGAAACAUACUCCGAACAAUUUAUCAUUAAAUAAAUUAUUCAAAAUCUCCUUUAAUCGAACCCCCAUGUCUAUGGUUUAAUAAAAUAUUAAAAAGGUACCUAAAACAGUGAAAUUAACACUCAGCUCUUAAAGUUGCCACUUUAUGUAUUGAAAAAUGUACUUGAAAACGAAUGUUGAGAUUUUUUUCCCCAAUGAUUUCAUAAACACAAAAUAAAGAUCAUAUAUACUUUGAAAAUGAAGUUUCAGCAGCUGAGAAAGCUAGCCGUUACUAACAUAUUACACCCACCCACCCCACCAAGAAAUCCAUUAAUCUUGGGUUAAUCUGACACAAGGUAUAAUUUUGCAAUGGCCAAUUAUAUAUAGUUGUAUGGUAUUUCCGUAUUAUAUAUACUCCUAAUGAAAAUGAAGCAAGUACGUAAUACUACUACUAUGACAUAACUUUCAUGAUUGCCAACUGUCAAUACCAGCUACCUUUUAUACGUGCCUUAUUGAGCAUGGAAACAUCUUAUAUUAUAAUUUCCGUUCACCCAUAGAAGAAGUUCAGGGCCAUUAAUUCAACAAUUGCGAAACCAAUAUCCCAAUAAUAGUUUGAUUACUAAUCUUAGCAUUAAAAGAUCUGCAAUUUUUUUUUGGCCAAAAUACAUGCUUUCUUACUGCCUUGUUGAUCUUAUCCUGCCUGGUGAUUCCCGAAUGUUCUUCUCAUUCUCCUAUGCUGAGUCGCUUGCUGAGAUGAUGAAUGCUCGAGGGUCCUUCCUUGAGACAUUUCAGCGAACACCUAAUUCAUUCGGUCAAACAUCAGCAUCACUAAUCACUAAAUGAUGUAAGAUAGUUCUGGUUUGAAAAAUCAAUAUAAAUCAACCACCUUAGAUUUUCUUAGUCUCAGAGCACAAUGGGCGAUGAUUUGAUGAGAAAUACUAAUAACAUGCAUCCCCUGUAUUAGUUAGAGCUGCUUGUCAUUUUCUUUUUUCUUUUGGGUACUGUUUUAAAUUUUUAAUCAAUCGGAUUGAGCUGCAUGUUUGCUUUCAGUCCAAACUGAAAUCAGACAUUAAGUAUUUUUGCUAGAAUGAAUGCAACCAAGAUUCUAUGGGAUAUGUAUGAAGAUGAUGUAAUAAAGUGCUUUUGAUAUAUUCCCCUAGUCGGUUUACUUCACUAACCAUUAACGAGCAAAUCCUCCCAAUGACCCUCAAAACUCUUGUGCACAAUUAAAAUAAUUUCAAUUAUAUAUAUAUAUAUAUAUAUAUAUAUAUAUAUAAAUAAACUCUCAAAUAUGUUAUUUGAUAAUCACCAAAAAAAAAAACAAUUCACCCCAAUAAAUCACAUUACAGUCUAUGUUGCAAGUCUUUUUAGGACUAAUUCAAAGAGAAAAUGCGAAGGACAUGUAAUUGAAUUUGGGACACAGAAUAUAUUCCCAAUUACCCUUUAGUGUAAACAGUUCCACUUCAGAUAUAUAUAAUGAUGAUGAAAUUUUGUUUUCUCAUAGCAAUCAUUCUAGUGUUUUACAAUGAGUAAUUGGUUCAAUAUUAACACAACACUAUUUUAACAUGUGACAUAUUCUAUCGUAGUGUGCUUCAACUCAUACUUCUAACUCAAAUAGAAAAGUUUCCAUUUUAAUUUUAUUCAAUCUAAUGGUGCACGUUUUUAGUCAAAAAGCCACAAUAAGUCAUCGUUAUUCUUCUACUAUUGAAAUGAAUAUAUCAAAUGGAUGAAAAUUAAAUUAAAAGAUUGAAAUGACUAUGUGGAAGAAAAUUGAUGUAAAAUGUUGAAGUUAAGAAGCCCUCCGAAUUAUAGAAGAAACGAAAUAUAUUGACACACAACAGUUUAUUUAUUAAUUAAGAGAGACAAAAUAUAUAAAUACAAACAAAGAAAAUCUCUUGCAUAUAUCAAACUUACGCUCACGUAAUUGACAGGUAAUAACAAUACCCAUUUUUUUUAUUUCAUAAAACAUAGUAUGAAAGAGAACACUUCAUGCAUUUAACCACUAUAAUUAGGAUUUCUCUCAUAUUGAGAGACUAUUAAAAGAUCAAGAUUGUCAUCUUUUAUAUCCUCGUCACGACAAUACUAAACACACGAUGAUGCCUUCAACCCUCCAACCCAUCGAUCUUACCUGAAAAAAUUAUAAUUAAUAGGAAACUUAUUCACAAAUGCAUAUAUUUAGAAAAGAAUUACAAAUGAACGAACUCAGCCUAAAAAUUAACCUGCACAAGCAAAGAAAUUAUAUACCAUUUUUGACUUGCGAACAAAAGCGAAGCAAUAAUGCAUGGUAUAGACAUAAGCCAUUUUUAAAAGACUAUAUUCAUCAUGCGGAAGUUAGAAAACUUACCUCCUGCCAUAGUUAUCAGAUUUAAUUGUACACAACUUUUCUACUAGAAUGCAAACAAAACCAACGAAAACAAGCGAUGCUUUGUAAUCAGAAUUUUCUAGUCUAUCUAACACUUAAUUCCUGAGAGUAGAUGGUAUACACAAGCUCUGUUGUUAGACCAGGGACCCUCAAUAUUUUUUUUGAAAAAACUUGACCGUAAGUCAUCUCCCAUCAAGAUGACAUGUUUAAAUAAAAGAGGAAGUUAUGAGCCAUUAUCCCUUUGAUUUUAGGAAACCACCCGUAACGUGUAUGAGAGAUAUUAAGAAGAGUUGUUUUAUCUUUAUUCCAAUUUUAAACCAAAACCAACGUUUUGAAAUUAAACUAGAUAAAGAUAAUUAUCAAUUUAAAUUAGAAAACUAAUAAUUAAAAUAAAUUAGAUGGCCAUAUUAUACACGUUUUGAAAACGUGUCUAACAAUUUUUACUUUAUUGCAAAUGUGAUCAUAUGGCCUGAUGCGGUCCACAAAAUAUAUAGUUGUCAAAAAGAAGACGAACAAAGCAAUUGAUCAUAAGCCAUUUUUACUUUAUUGCAAUAAAGCAUGAUUAACGCUUAUUGCAAUCACUAAAGAAAGAGAGAUUCUAGAGUACAUAGAAUUAUUACGCUUGAUUAAUAUAUAUAUAUAUAUAUAUAUAUAUAUAUAUAUAUAUAUAUAUAUAUAUAUAUAUAUAUAUAUAUAUAUAUAUAUAUAUAUAUGUAAUUUCCCUAACGAAUAUGUCUAAUUCAGGAACUAAUUACUUUUUCAGGCCUAUGAAGUCAUUUCAAUAUUUUAAUUUUUUAAUCAUUUAUUUACUAUUUACAUAUUAAUAUUUUGAUUGUUAAUUUUUUACAUUUCCAAUUACUUAACAUAUAUCAAUUAUUUUUGUUGCCUUUACAAAGUCGUUACAAGAAUAUUAUGUUAGAGUGGAGAUACUUUCAUACUUUCAUGAGUUAACGGCGGUCAAUGGUUAAAGAUAACGAGUUUUGGGGUAGAUUGAUGUUUUCAAUAGUAAGAGGGGGAAAUUUGAAGAUUGUCAAUUCCCUAAGGGUAAUUAGAAAUUAACCCAUAUAUAUAAUAGGUACAUUUGAUAUGAAACGUAUAAUUUAAUUAAAUAUAUCUAUUAAUUACAUUUUAAUUUUUUAAAAUAAAUAUACACAUAAUAUAUAUGUAUUAAUUUAUAUAAAAAUAUAUAAAGAAAAUUAUUAUGUAGCACAAAUUCCCGCCCUAUUAAAGAUCUCAUGAUAUCCAAAAAAAUAAUUAUAUAUUUAUAGCAAAGUGUUGGUAUAUUUUGAAGGAACGAGUUCGGUACGGAAAUGUAAUAGUAUGUGUUUUUAAUGACGUUUAUAAAGUCAUUAAAUGUCAAAAGGAAUGAAUUUAGUGAUCAAUUAAUAAUUAGAUAGGUAAACAUGAAAUCUCUCGGUCUAUUAAUGUAGUAUAGUUUCUCCCUCAGUUAUUAUCAUUAAAUUAAUUUGUAAAUCUCGUUUCCCGCUACUCCUUCCAAAUAUACAUGAGUAGUGAUAUUUGGCCCUUUUAUUAUAACUCACAAUCUCCUAUUUUUUUGUUAACCCCAUUAAAUAUUUUUAAAUAAAUUUUUAUCUCUCAACAUAUCACACAUAAUUAUGGAUUUACAUUUAUUAUAAUUUCUAUCUUUUUUUCCAAGCACUCACUAUAUAAAAUUUAUAAAAUCUAUUUAAAAAAAAAACUCUCAUAAUCACUAUAAUCUCUUUUUUUAAAAAAAAAAAAUUUAUCCGUCGUUGUCAUAAUCAUUAAAAAGAAAAAGGCACCAUCCUUUAUUGAAAUCUCUCGGUCUAUUAAUGUAGUAUAUUUUCUCCCUCAGCUAUUAUCAUUAAAUUAAUUUGUAAAUCUCCUUUCCGGCUACUCCUUCCAAAUAUACAUGAGUAGUGAUAUUUGGCCCUUUUAUUAUAACUCACAAUCUCCUAUUUUUUUGUUAACCCCAUUAAAUAUUUUUAAAUAAAUCUUUAUCUCUCAACAUAUCACACAUAAUUAUGGAUUUACCUUUAUUAUAAUUUCUAUCUUUUUUCCAAGCACUCACUAUAUAAAAUUUAUAAAAUCUAUUUUAAAAAGAGAAAAAAACUUUCAUAAUCACUAUAAUAUCUCUUUUCAAAAAGAAAAUUUAUUCGUCGUUGUCAUAAUCAUUAAAAAGAACAAGGCACCAUCCUUUAUUGAAUAUUGAGUACUGUAAAUUAAUUUCUUUCACGAUUACAAAAAAAGAGUAUACAAUAUUUGAGAAAAAAAUAAUGAUUUAAAAAGUUAAAAAAAUUAGAGUUUAAGAAAUUAGAUUAGCUAAAUUCGAUAUUAAUAGAAAUUGUCAUAUGAGUGCACUUAAAAGUUAUUUACCCUUUUAAAUCAUUUCACAUAAUAAUAAAAUAUGUACUAACAUAAAAGUGAUUAGUAGAGACUGAUGAGAUAUAAUGAGUCAAAUAUCAAAUUCUACAUAUAUAUAAUAGCUAAUAUAAUUGUUUAAAUAGGAUUGUAAUUAAACUCAUUAAUUAACUACCUUUAAUUUUUCAGUAGGCGAUAUUUUUGAAACGUGAUGAUCAUGUGUGAAUAUUAUUCGAAAGUAAUGAUUUUACUAAAAUCUUCGUCUACAAUGAUGUUACAGUACUGAUGCUCAUUUAUUAGCUGUUGUCUUACCUCUUAAUUAAUUUUUUGCAUUUGCACUUGGAAUUAAUCAUUUGGCCGUGAUAGUAAUGCUACAGCCAGCGGAAUUUGAGCCUCCCUUCUUCAAUGCCUGGUACGAGAAUGAAGCUAACAAUCGGGAUGGACAGAACAUUCUGUUAUGGCAAACGUGUUUACUUCACUUUCAUUAACAAGACUUAAGCAACCCACAAAACCAGAGUUUGCAGAAACAAGAUUAAGAAACAAAACAAAAGAAGUAUCAAGCAAUCAAAGAUACUCAACACACCAAGAAUCUAACGUGGUUCAGCUCCACAAAGGAACCUACAUCCACGGCUGUAAAACCAGCAAGGGCAGAAGCUUUAUUGAACAACAAGAAGAUCGUUUACAACUGAGUCACCAAUUACAGAUUAAAGCCUAUCGAAUGUUUUCUCUCUGUAAAUCCUCUCUGUUUUUCUAUAUAUGUUUUACUAGCUUAGAGACAACUUAUAUAUGUAAGCUUCUCACGUGUGUUCCACUUGCAAUGAGUCAGUCUGUUAUUUAACUAACUAACCAACUCUUGACUUGAAUCCCACUUAUGCCAGCUCAUACGACACCUCAGCAUGUCCAUAACAGAUUAUAACUAAUCUCGGCUUCACAAAUCUCCACCUUAGUUCUAAUCUGAUUAUGCUUCUCCCUUCACUGCAACACAUCACCAGAAAGCUUGUUUCAUAAGCUAACACUUCCAAUCAGAUUCAGUAAGUCCCUGAACCUGACUGAUGGCAAAGGCUUGGUUAACAUGUCAGCUGGAUUUACUUCAGAUGGCACCUUAACUACAUUUACUACUCCUUUGCUGAUUUCAUCCCUUAUAAAGUGCAUUCUAACAUCAAUAUGUUUAGUUCUCUCAUGAUACUUAGGAUUUUUACUUAGCUGAAUAGCACUUAAGCUAUCACAGCCAACUACAACAACUUCUUGUUUAAACCCCAACUCAGAGACUAGUCCUCUCAGCCAUAUUGCCUCUUUGACAGCUUCUGUAAGUGCAAUAUAUUCAGCUUCUGUUGUUGAGAGGGCAACCACUGAUUGCAGGGAAGACUUCCAACUUAUAGCACCUCCACACAUGGUAAACACAAAACCUGUGAUGGAUCUUCUUCUAUCUUUGUCUGCUGCAUAGUCUGAGUCCACAAAUCCAGCUACUUCAGGUGAUGCUCCACUUAAUUUCCCAAACAUAAUGGCAGUGACAGCAGACCCUUUGAGAUACCUUAGUACCCAUUUCACUGCAUUCCAGUGACCCUUCCCUGGAUUCCCCAUAAACCUACUGAUGACUCCAACUCCAUGAGCCAAGUCAGGUCUGGUGCACACCAUGGCAUACAUGAUGCUGCCAACUGCACUGGAGUAAGGUAUCUCCUUCAUGUAGUUGAAAUCAUCAUCAGUGGUAGGUUCCAGUGACUUGGAUAACUGAAAGUGAGUUGACAGAGGUGUUGAAACAGGCUUUGAAUCUUCCAUAUUGAACCUGGUUAAUACCAUCUUCACAUAAUCCUCCUGAGAUAGAUACAAAACUUUGGACUCCUUAUCUCUCUUUAUCUGCAUUCCUAGAAUCUUUGUAGCUGCACCCAAAUCCUUCAUUUCAAAUUCAGUGCUGAGCUCCACCUUAAGCUUCUUUACUUCUUCCUUUUGUUUACAUGCAAUAAGCAUGUCAUCCACAUACAGAAGUAAGUAGAUGCCUCUACCAUUUGUCAGGAAUUUAAAAUACACACAAUUAUCAAAUCUGCUCCUACAGUAUCCAUGGCUUAGCAUGAAUUCAUCAAACUUUAAAUACCAUUGCCUUGGAGAUUGCUUGAGGCCAUACAAACUCUUCUUCAAUAAGCACACUUUAUCCUCUGAUCCUCUCUCAAUGAACCCUUCUGGUUGUGCCAUGAAAAUCUCUUCAUCAAGACUGCCAUGUAAAAAGGCAGUUUUAACAUCCAUCUGCUCCAGCUCCAGGUCAUGAUAUGCAGAGAGGGCCAGCAGCAACCUAAUUGAGCUAUAUUUGACUACAGGUGAGAACACUUCAUUGAAGUCAACUCCCUCUCUCUGUGUGAAUCCCUUUGCUACAAGUCUGGCUUUAUAUCUUGGUGGUUCAUUUUCUGAAGCUCCAGCCUUCAACUUGAAAAUCCACUUGCUGCCAACUAGUUUCUUGUUAGAUGGUCUGUCCACUAAGAUCCAAGUAUUAUUUUUCUUUAAAGAGACUAUUUCAUCCUGCAUUGCAGCAUACCAUUUCAGCUUAUCCUCACAUCUCAUAGCUUCUUUAUAGCUCAAAGGUUCUCCACCAGUUACUUCAUCACCUACUGUUAGUGCAUAGGAAAUGAGGUCAGCUAUGCCAUACUUCUUUGGCAUUUUGAUGGCUCUCCUCUCUCUGUCCCUAGCAAGCUGAUAUGUUUCCAGUUCUGGUGGUUGUUUUCUUUCCUUGGUCUGGUCUGAUGGUUGUUCAGGAGGCUUACAACUAUCAGAAUGCUUUACCAUCUGUCCAGCACUUUCUUCUUCCUCUGUUUCAGCAGCUUCAAUCUCAGUUUCUACCUUUGACUGGAGCAUUUGCUCUUCAUCAAAGGUGACAUCCCUGCUGAUUAAUAUCCUAGAUGGUUUCCCAUUAAGGGUCCAUAUCUUGUAUCCAUUAAUGCCCUCAGGAUAUCCCAAGAAAUACCCUUUAACAGCCCUUGGUUCAAGCUUACCUUGCUUUAAGUGUGCAUAAGCUGGACACCCAAAGAUCCUCAAAUUGCUCAAGUCUGGUGGCUUUCCAGACCAAAGCUCCUAAGGUGUCUUGAAACCUAAAGCUGAGGAUGAGCUUCUGUUUAUCAGGUAAGCAGCUGUGGUGACUGCUUCUGCCCAAAAACCUUUGGAUAUGUUUGCAUUCAGCAGCAUGCAUCUUACCCUCUCUAUUAUGGUUCUGUUCAUCCUUUCUGCCAGUCCAUUUUGUUGUGGAGUGUAGGUGACAGUUCUAUGCCUUGCAAUGCCCUUAUAUUUGCAGAAAUCUUCAAACUCUUUUCUGCAAUACUCUAGCCCAUUGUCUGUUCUGAGCCUUUUUAUUUUCUUACUAGUUUGGUUUUCAAUGAGAGUAACCCACUCUUUGAACUUCCCUAGUGCUCCACUUUUGUGUUUCAACACAUAGAUCCAAACCUUCCUAGAGUAGUCAUCUAUGAAGGACACAAAGUACCUAGCUCCACCUAAAGAUGGAACUUGUGAUGGCCCCCAAAGGUCUGAGUGGAUGUAAUCUAGUGUCUGUUUGGUUUCUUUUCUCCCUGAACUGAAUUUCAGUCUUGUGGCCUUCCCAAACACACAUUUCUCACAGAAUUCUAAGGAAGUAACUUUAUCAUUACCAAGCAAACCUUGAUUGCUUAGCUCCUUGAGGCCUCUUUCACUGAUAUGAGCUAGUCUCAUGUGCCAGAGUUUGGUUUUAUCUCUGGUCACACUUGCUGAGAUCCCUUGCACAGGUGAGGAUCCAACUAGUAUGUACAGCCCAUUUUUCCUAACCCCUUUCAUAACAAUUUUACCCUGAUCCAAGACCUGUAUCUCUCCAUUUUCAGCCUUAAUAGUACACCCUGAUUGGUCAACCAUUCCUAGAGAUAUCAGGUUUCUUUUCAGUUCAGGGACAAAUCUCACUUGGUGUAAAUCUCUAGUGACACCAUCAUGCAAUUUUAAGCUAAUGGUUCAUAUCCCAGCCACCUUGCAAGCUAGGUUAUUUCCCAACAACACCUUUCCACCAUUUACACUUUCAAAGGUCUUAAAGAAACUUUUAUUUGGACACAUGUGGAAUGAGCAACCAGAGUCCAGAAUCCACUCACCAGUUGGGUGCCUCUCUGCAGCCACCAAGACAUCUGCUUCAUCAUAGUCACAUUCAUCUUCAGAGGCAACAACAGCCUUUCCAUUUGAUUUCUUUUAUAGUUCUUCUAAUUUCUUUUUCUCGAAGCAAUCUUUAAUGUAGUGUCCCUCUUUCUGACAGAAGUAACACUUCCUCUUCUUCUUUUUCUUUUCAGCUUUAUCUUUCUUGUUGUUGUUCUUUGUUUGCUUAUUGUGUUUCUUUUCUGGCUUUCCUUUGACAACCAAACCUUCUACAUUAUUUUGAUCUUUCAUGUCUGAUCUUUUCUUCAAAUCCUUGGAUUCCAGAGCAUCUUUGACAUCUUUCAAAGAGAGGGUUUGUCUGCCAUAGAGGAGGGUAUCUACAAAAUGUUCAUAAGAUUCUGGAAGAGAACUUAAGAGGAUGAGUGCCCUGUCUUCAUCUUCAAGAAUUAUGUUGACAUUCUCGAGAUCAAGAAUGAGUUUGUUGAACUCAUCCACGUGAUCUUUCAUGGCUACUCCAUCUUUCAUUGAGAAUGUGUAUAACCUCCUCUUCAUAUACAGUCUCUUAGCCAAUGAUUUUUUCAGAAACAUUUCUUCUAACUUGCUCCACAAACCAGCUGCAGAUCUUUCUUUGGAUACUUCUCUCAAGACUUCAUCAGAGAGGUGCAAGAUAAUGGUGCUAUGGGCCUUAUUGUUUAUGAUCCUCUGAUCUGCACUAAAGCUUGAAGAGCCUUCUCCAUUCUCUUUCUUGGCCAUCGGAUCUUCUCCAUCAUCGAGGGCACUGUCAAGCCCUUGUUGAAUAAGUAUCGCUCUCAUCUUCAAACUCCAGAGAUAGAAAUCAUUGUCUCCAUUGAAUUUUUCAAGAUCCACUCUGGUGCUUGCCAUCUUUGAGUCUGAUCCCAACCGACACCAGGCUCUGAUACCAGUUUGUUAUGGCAAACGUGUUUACUUCACUUUCUUUAACAAGACUUAAGCAACCCACAAAACCAGAGUUUGCAGAAACAAGAUUAAGAAACAAAACAAAAGAAGUAUCAAGCAAUCAAAGAUACUCAACACACCAAGAAUCUAACGUGGUUCAGCUCCACAAAGGAACCUACAUCCACGGCUGUAAAACCAGCAAGGGCAGAAGCUUUAUUGAACAACAAGAAGAUCGUUUACAACUGAGUCACCAAUUACAGAUUAAAGCCUAUCGAAUGUUUUCUCUCUGUAAAUCCUCUCUGUUUUUCUAUAUAUGUUUUACUAGCUUAGAGACAACUUAUAUAUGUAAGCUUCUCACGUGUGUUCCACUUGCAAUGAGUCAGUCUGUUAUUUAACUAACUAACCAACUCUUGACUUGAAUCCCACUUAUGCCAGCUCAUACGACACCUCAGCAUGUCCAUAACAGAUUAUAACUAAUCUCGGCUUCACACAUUCUUUAGACAUAGAGGUCAAAUUAAGAUAAGGGGGGUCAAGAUUUUUUGUUAAAUUUUAUAAGAUAUGAUGAUGGUUGCUUGUAAUAUGUUGUAAUGGGCAAACUAUGGAAGCAUAACAUCUGCAAAGACUUGCUUUUGUCUUUAAUGGACAACUAGCAAGUAAAAACCUUGCUUGAUAUGCUGCUUUUAGAAACCAAUUUGCAAUCCAAUUCAAUAUUACUAUUCAUUUUUCAGGUACAUACAAGUUGGGAAUGCUGUAGCAAUUCCAGUUGGUAUUGUAUUGGGAUACGCUUUUGGUCAAGCUUGCCAAGGAUUAGCCGAUGAUGAUCAGCCAUUGACUAUACUCCCUUUCAAGUUUCCCAAUUGUCUUGCACAGUCAUCUUCAACACUUGCAGAAGAAGAUUCUGAUUGAAAUUGUAAGGAAAACAUAAAUAUGAUUCAUCAAAUUAUACUCUUGUUAGUUGCGAGUUAUUACCAAUUUGAUUUUUAAUUUGCUAUUGAUGUACGGACAAGCAUGUUCAAUGCAUUAUUUGUUAUUGAAGAUGUUUCGAGGUAGGAAUUAGAAUAUGUUGCAUCUUUUAAUUAGUGUUUUAGAUAUAUAUACUUUAUGCUUUUUCAGUCUGUAAUCACAUGUAUCAAAUAAAAGGUUUAGUUUUAGGGUUAAUUUUGGUAUCAAUCAUAAAUGUCUAUAUCAUUAUUGAAAGGGUGUUAAAUUAAAUGCUAAAAGGAUGAAUUUUUUUCCCUCAAGUGUGAGGGAUGUUUAUGAAAGUGACACCAUCAUAUGGCAUGGAGUCAUACUAUUAACAUAUUAUUUGAAUAUUAUUCACCAAAUAUCACAUAAUCAUGCCUUUUAUACAAGUGUAUAUAUGUAGAUGUAGUACAUACUCUUAUAUGUAGCCAUGAGAUCGAAUCAUGUCUUAGUAAAUGAAAAGUUGCUUCUUGUAAUCUUAUACUACGUUCUUUGAUAAAGACUUUCGCUUUUUGCUUUGAAAUGGUAACUAGGGGUGGGCAAAAAAAACCGUAGUCUUAAAAAAACCGAACCGAAUAGACGAUUUUUUCUAAUUCGGUUCGGUUUUUAUUUAAAAAAAAAACCGAAUAUACCGUUUGUAAAAAACAACCGACCCGAAAAACCGAAUUAUUGAUGAAGAUCGGAGAAUGUUGUUGGCGUUUGUUUGUAAUUUUAUUUUUUAUUUUUUGUUGUAAGUUGUAAUUGUUGUUAUUUUUAUUUCUCUUUAUAACAUUAUGAUUAUGUUUAUAUAGAUGGAGUAUUGGAGUUUGGUUAUGUAUUUUGAAAUUUUAAUAUUUCAUAUUUUGGGAGUAUCUUAUUAAUAGUUAGUAAAAUAUUAGUGAUAAAAUGUGUUUUGAAUACUUUGUAUUUAUUGUUAAUAAUUGUAAUAAAAUUAGGAUAAAUUAAUUGUUGAAAAAAAUUAUUACAUUCAUGAGGCCCAAUGGGCUAAAAAUUUAAAAAUUCAAAAUAGGCCCUAUGAGCCCAUAACCAAAAAAACCGAACCGAACCGAACCGAACCGAACCGAUUCGAAAAGAACCGUUUGAGUUCGGUUCUUAUUCGGUUCUACUUAAUUUCGAACCGAACCGAACCGAACCGUGCCCACCCCAAUGACAACUACAUAAUAAAGUAAAGACUUUCGCUUUCAUUCUUUAGUGGCAUUCUAUGAUGAAUUGACACAUUUUGUGACCCAUGCUUAAACCAUGUGGUGCUUUUUAUCAUCAUUAUUCCCAUUUCCAUUCUGCUUUUGGCUUUUAGGAAUUAAGGGUAUGCAACUUGCGAGCUUCUUUUGUCACCAACCCAAAAGGCCAAAACCAAUAAAAGAAAGCAACUCUCCUUCUUGUUCUAUCAUUCAUGUUUCAUUCUCUAGAUUGCCGUGCUCUUUGGUUUAUGAAAACGACAAAAUAUAGAACUUUAAUUAAUUUGAUAUGAUUUCAAAGCAUAAUGAGGAUGCAAUACGACAAAAUAUAAACAUUUAUUAAUUUGAUUAAAUUCCAAAGGAUAAUGAGAAUGAGGGAACAAUGCAUUGGAAAUUGCACUAGAAUUGGAUGUGGAUAAAAAUAAAAUGCGUUUUCUUUGGGGUUUUAAUUCAAAAGAGAGAAAUAUAAGUUGUAUUUUACUAAUUAAUCGAAAAAAAAAUUUAAAAAGUAUUUAUUCGUCAAUGGAAAAAAAAUUAUGAAAAGAUUUAAAACAAAUUUCACCAGUAUUUUCUCAAACCAAGAAUGGUUACUACGAACAUCAGGCAACAAACAGACAAUUUCCAAUUUAAUUAUUAGUUUUAUAUUUAUAUAUAUAUAUAAGUUCGUUUUGAUUUUUUAAUGAAUUAUAUAAGUGGGCCAUUUGUCUAAAGUCAGACAGUCAAUAACCACCGGCAUUGUUAUAUAAAACUUCUGUUUUAAAAUUUUUAACACCUAAUGUGAAAAUAUCCUCAAGGGGCCCUAGACUUUAUAAAAUAUAAUAUUAAAUCUAGUGCUAAAAAAUACUACAACUUAGAUCUACCUUAUAUUCUUGUUAUUACAAGGUGAUAAAAAUCUGUUUGCAAUUUUUGCCAUGUAGUUUGGAUUCAUAAUAAAAACACUAUUUUUUAGAUUUAUUUUGAUGUUCGAACUUGGUAAAAAUAUUUAUUUAAAUUAUUAGUACAUAGCUAGGUUAUUUGAUAAAUACAGGCAAAUUUUCUAACCAAAAUCGUCCAAAGAAGUUGAAAGUGUUUAUUGUUGUUAUUUCAUGACAUUCUAACAAACUGUAAGGGGUCACAGAAAGGUUGGUACCCCUACUUCUUGUUCUUUUUCUUUUCUCACUUUCUCAUAAGUUGACUUUAAAGGAAUACCCAUAAAAAGUGAUUGAAAAAGAUAUUCCACGUAGACUACACCAUCCACUCAGGAUGCACCACGUGUAAAACAUCAUGACCUUUUCUCUUUCUCGGCAUAAAAAUAUUUAAAAAAAUAAAUAUUAAAUAAAUAAAAUAAUAGAUGUAUGUAUAUAUAUGUGUGUACACACGCACGCGCUAAAAUACCGGGAACGAGAAAACAGACUUCCUACUUUCUUCUUUCAAUUUUCUAAGCUCACGCUAGCUUUCUCUCUCUAAAAGUAGGAACCGUAAAUUGAGUGAACGUGCGGAAUGACGGCAGCGACGCCGGCGGCGGAGGCGGUGGAGAAGUUCUUGAGGAAAUGCGAGGCGUCGGGUGACGAGGCGUACGGUGCGUUUCGGUCGGUGUUGGAGAAGCUGGAGGAUCCGAGUAGUCGGACGCAGGCUCGGGUCUUCCUUUCGGAUCUUCAGAAACGGGUCGAUGACUCGGACGAGUGUCUAAACAAGUACCAUUUCCGGAUCCAAGAUGUCGUCUUGGACCAAUACGAAGGUCCAUUUCUCUUGCUUCAUUUUUUCUUGUUUAAUUCGGUUGAUUUUUUUUUUUUUUUGAGCUAGUGGUUUGACUUUCUUUGAAUUAGGGACUAAAAAGUGAUUGUUUGUUUUUUAGUUUGGGGAGUGGUUUUAUGGAAGAUAGUUCGGAGGAAAAAGUGCUUUUGAUAUUAAGUGAUUUUUGGGAAAGUAAUUAAGUGCUUAUGUGACAUAAGAAGUGCAUUGUAGAAAAGCAAUUGUGCUUUUCGUAUGUUUUAAAGAAUUUUUGAGUAGUUCAGUUUGGUGCUUCUAAUUAAGUGUUUUUUCAGAAUGUGAUUUAUGUUCUUUUUUUUCUUCAAUUCAAGAAGUGCGUUUUAGAGAUGUAACUGUUAGAAAUUUUUCUGAAAGAAGCCCAAAAAAACGUAUGCUCUUUUUUUUUUUUUUUUUGUAGUUCAGCUGGAAACUUAAAGAAAAUGCAGAACUUACUUUUUUUUAAGAAAAAUCUGAUUUGAUUACUUGAAAACAUUUAUGAUUGUGAGUGCUAUUAAUUAUUUGCAUUUUUUUUAUGCAUUAACUUUCUUAACUUAGGGUGUUUAUUUUAUCAUGAUUAUUUUCAUUCAACAAUACAAUAGACUUUGGUUGGGUCCACCUUAGUUGGGUGUUUCUGAGCAACCAAUUAGGGUCUGGAGAAAACUUGGGUGGAGUGCCGAUCGUUUUCAGGAUUCAGUCCCAAGAAAAUACAAACGAAGUCGUAGUUGUAGUUUAAAUUAAUUUAUAUUUUUGUCUUUUUCUGUGAGCCCAGUGGGCUUUUGUUUUUACUUUGUUCUCUUUUGUUUCUUCCCCUUCUUUUCCUACUGUUUCUUGACAAUCAAAACAGACCAGGAUUUGUUUCAUUUAAACGUUUACUUUUGGUGUAAUUAUUCACUCUAACUCGAAUAAUGCAUAGGUUUAGUGCUAACAAAAUAGAAAGUGAAUUAAUAUCUAAAGCUGAUUUGGGAGUGGAAUGUAUGUUACUAAAAAUAUACUAUAUAGUAGAUAGAAUUUGCUUUUUAGGUAACACUGAAAUAAUAACUGCUGUUAACUUAUUUCAAUAAGCUUGUAAAUCAUUUCAUAAUAAGUCCUAGAUUUUAAUGGUUUUUUUUCCUGAAAUUUUUCGUCAGUGCAUGAGCAAAGUUCAAUGGAUGAACUUCUCUUUCAAUGUCACUGCUCCUCAUAUUAACUGUAUGAAACAGUAAUCUUGCUCUGUACUUUGGAGCAUUUUAAUAGUUGUUGCCAAUUCCUUAGCCAUUUUAUUCACCUCGUGCACAAAUUAUGCAAUCAAUAAGCCAACUCAACUUUCAUCUUUCUUCAGUGAAAAAUUUGCAAGGCCACUAGGAGGUUUUUGUACAUCUUAUGUAACUUGGCCGCCGUGGUUUUACCAUGUAAAUUUUCCCUAUUGGAAUUCAUGAUCCCUCAUAUGCCACUCGUGAAGCUGCUUCUGCCGCUUUAAAAGCACCAAAUUUCAGUUUUAUCCUUUCUAGCUUAUUAACUUGUCUGCAUACGCAUUAUUAUCUUUGUUAUUGUACGAAAGUUUCAUUUAUCAUCUUCCCAACAUAAACAUCCAUAGGUCAUUGUUCACUUUUUUCCUUUAGAGUCAUGCCCGAUUAUGGUUGCCGGAUUUUCUGCUCUGACAAUAUUGUUUCUAAGUAUAGGCUACCAAGGGAGAAAAAAAUUGACAAUGAUGGUCAUCCCCAGCAUUUUUAUCCCAGAAGACUGGUAGUUUACUUUCUAUGAAGGACUGAAUAGACAUCCUGACUCUAUUUUGAAGGACAAGACUGUUGCUGAGCUUGGUUGUGGAAAUGGAUGGAUAACCAUUGCCAUAGCUGAGAAGUGGUUGCCUUCGAAGGUUUGUUGGUUUGUCAUCUUUUGCCAUGUGGGAGCUUUUGUUUGCUUCCUUACCAGUGCCUUCAGGAGCUCCAUCGUGAUUUCUCUCCUCAUCGUUUUCUAUCUCCUUGUUUUGCAAGGCCACUUGUUAUUUAUAAGUAACAGUGUUGGCACCAGAUUAUGGUGUUUUAGUGCCCUCCUAUUCAGAAAAAUUACAUAUAAAUGAACAUGUGAAUUAUCAAGUCUGUCCUUGUCCAAAAGUCUUGAUUGGAGAAUGUUGAAAAUAUAACCUUGUAGCAGUUCUUUUAUGCUGUCUGAAUAUUCUUUUGCAGGUCUAUGGCCUUGAUAUUAAUCCCAGAGCAAUAAGGAUCUCUUGGAUAAAUUUGUACUUAAAUGCAUUAGAUGAAAAAGGUCAGCCCAUCUAUGAUGCGGAGAAGAAAACUUUACUGGACAGGGUGGAGUUUCAUGAAUCUGAUCUUCUCGCUUAUUGCAGAGAUCAUGACAUUCAACUUGAACGAAUAGUGGGAUGCAUACCUCAGGUAUUAUCACUAUCUGCAACUCAUGAUAUUUCUCGGGGCUUAAAUUUUGGUGAAGUUUGUUUUUCCAACACCAUGUUCGAAUUUUAGAGUGGCCACAUGGAUAACCUUUUAACUCCUAGUUUAACUUAUUCUGUUUUCUCCAUGCAGAUUCUUAACCCCAAUCCCGAUGCAAUGUCCAAAAUAAUCACUGAAAAUGCAAGCGAGGAAUUUCUGUAUUCAUUGAGUAACUAUUGUGCGCUGCAGGUUAGAAGAUAUUCUAAAUAAUUUAAUUGUGAUUGCAAAUUGCGGGGAAGUUAGCAAUUAAGUUGACAGGCUUCCUCUACUUUCACAUAUUUAGAAGUAUACAUGUUAUAAUUUUGGUUUGAAUCUUGCAUAACUUAGUUAAGGUUGAUGUCUUUAGUUGUUCAAUAUCAAUUGGGAAAUAAAGCAAACCAGUGAAGACCGUGGGAAAAGGAUAAUGUGAGUUUGACAGAUGCUGAGAGGAGAUAGGGAAACUUGAUCUAAAAGAUUUUUUUUCUUUUUCUUUUCCCUGAUUUUUGUUUUUUCUUAGUGUUUAGCCUCUUUACAAUAACAUUGAUUCCCAUAGUUCAUGUUUCUUGUUGAAAAUAAAGAUUCAAAGUUAGGAUUUAUUUGUAAUCUAGGCUAUUUUAGGAAUAAGUUAAAUUAUAAUGGGAAGAUUCAUUAGGAUUCUUUCCAGAUUUUGUUUCCUAUUAUUUAGGAAAGGAUAGAUGUAGUCUCCUAUUUUCUCUCCUAUUUUGCUGUAUAUAUUCCCUGUACAUACUGUUCUGGAAAGUAAGAAAAAGAGGAACCAAUUCACCGUUUUCUUCAUAGGUGCACUCAACAACUAUCUGUUAUGUCUUGUGGAUGACUGAGAAAGUUUAUUCAUUUUGACAAAUUGCUUUUUGAAUAGAGUACAAGUAGAUUGACUAAUAAUGAAUAUAUUGUAUCAAGUUGUUGCAUUUGAAAACUGUGCAUGACUGCGGUCUUUAUCACUUUUAUUCUCAAGGUUCAUGUUGACCUAAAUUUAAAAGCCUUGGACGUUUGGAAAAUCUAUAGCACUGAGUUUGCGAAACCUUUUAGUGCCCUGAAAGAUUGACUGCUUCAAUUGUGUUUUCAAUAUCUUGUUAUUAACAUAUUUGUAUAUAUGUUAAUAUCUUGUGGAUGACUGAGAAAGUUUAUUCAUUUUGACAGAUUGCUUUUUGAAUAGAGUACAAGUAGAUUGACUAAUAAUGAAUAUAUUGUAUCAAGUUGUUGCAUUUGAAAACUGUGCAUGACUGCGGUCUUUAUCACUUUUAUUCUCAAGGUUCAUGUUGACCUAAAUUUAAAAGCCUUGGACGUUUGGAAAAUCUAUAGCACUGAGUUUGCGAAACCUUUUAGUGCCCUGAAAGAUUGACUGCUUCAAUUGUGUUUUCAAUAUCUUGUUAUUAACAUAUUUGUAUAUAUUAUGAAGGCUAAGCUGUGUAAAUGAGAGAUAAAACAUAAAAGGUCAAUACACAGCUGUGUCACCUUUUACUUCUUCUUUAUUUAUUUAUUUAUUUUCUCUGUAUGCAGGGUUUUGUGGAGGAUCAGUUUGGCUUAGGUCUAAUUGCUAGAGCAGUUGAGGAAGGAAUUGGUGUCAUCAAACCUUCCGGGAUUAUGAUCUUCAAUAUGGGUGGUCGUCCAGGACAGGGCGUUUGCGUGUCGACAAGCUUUGGCAGACUAAAAUUCUUCAGGCAAGUGAACCUUUUUUUGUGGAAAUUCAUUAUCUAUCCCAAAUAUCCACCUCUUGAAUGUGUUUUUGCAGGCUUCUGACACAGAUAUUUCAGCUUUAGUUGAAAUUGAGAAGAAUAGUCCUCAUCGUUUUGAGUUCUUCAUGGGACUUUCUGGUGACUUACCUAUUUGUGCUCGAACAGCAUGGGCCUACGGAAAGGCUGGUGGACGUAUCUCUCAUGCUUUAUCAGUUUAUAGUUGUCAACUCCGUCAACCAAACCAGGUCUACAUUUCAUUUGGGUUUUAUUGAUAAAGUGGGUAAUUGCUCUGACCAGGGAAGUGAGCUAAAAUGAUAUCAACUUAUAUUUAUGGACAGGUUAAGAAAAUUUUUAAGUUUCUGAAAAAUGGCUUCCAUGAGAUCAGCAGUUCUUUGGAUUUAUCUUUUGAAGAUGAUUCAGUUGCUGAUGAGAAGAUUCCAUUCCUGGCUUAUCUUGCCAGUGUUCUGAAAGAGCGUUCUUUUUUCCCCUAUGAGCCACCAGCUGGAAGCAAAAGAUUCAGGAACCUGAUUGCUGACUUCAUGAAAAAGUACCACCAUAUUCCGCUCAAUGCUGAUGUGAGAAAACCUUAACUACUCAUCUAUUUUUGUACUUCUCUGGACAAGUAACUUUUGUGUUCUGUCCGUCCUAGGUUCUGUUUUCCCUGAUGCAUUUUUUCAAUUUCUUUGCAUGUGAACUCCUAGGUUCUGUUUCUCCUGAUGCAUUAUCUCAAUUUCUUUGCAUGUGAGCUUGGUGCAUUCAUAUUAGUUUAGGAGGGAAUCUAUUGGUCAUUUACUUGUUUGUGACGAAUAACGUAUGAAACAAUCUUGUUAUUUUUUGUUCUCAAUACGUAGAGCUCUAUGGACCAAUUGCUUAUCUUCUUUUAUCCUCAUUAGAAUUUCUUCAGACAACUUCUACUUCAUGCAAUUUGUGAUAAUUUGCAUUGUUUUUGUGGUCAUUCUUAUGUCUAUUGGACAAAUACUGUAAUGUGAAAUUCUGUCUAAUGGUAUCCCUUAUUCCUUUUGCAUCAUGUCCCCUCAAGUAGUUAAAUGCAUUUUUGGAUUUGUCAAUUUUUUUGGUUUGAUGAAAUCUUGAUUCUCAUGUUACCUAUCUGUUCAUUUAAUUUGACCGUGGAAUGUGUUGUUGCUGUGAGUUAUGCUGCACAUGCUUGUUAUUCGUCCAGUCUUUUUGUGUAAACAUAGAGUUUUGUACAUACUUAUAUAUGUACUGGACCUGAGAUAUUUGCACCUGACCUACUUAUUAAUGUACAUGACAAAUGAAGAACUUUUUGAGAUCUGGAAUGGAUCAAGACCUGCAACUUUCUACUUGUAGAUUUUCCACUGUCCAGUCCAAUUGUAAAAUACAGUUUGUGAUUGCUGCAUGCAUAAAUUAGCCAAACUUAAAGAUGUUGUAGUUGCCUUUUUCUCUUUUUUUGUAUGAGUAAAACAAUCCACAUUCUUAACUUUUCUUCUCCACUUGUUUCUCAAGAACGUUGUUGUUUUUCCUUCAAGAGAUGUGGCAAUUGAGAAUGCUCUUCGAUUAUUUUCACCUCGCCUUGCAAUUGUUGAUGAACGUCUAACCAGACACUUACCAAAGCAAUGGUUAACAAGUUUAACAAUUAAGGUAUGAUCUAUUUCUGAUUUAUUUUCUGUUAUUUUUGACAUAGUUGAAAAUUUCAUUUUUGGGCAGAUUUUCUUUGCUAUUCUUGGAACAAGUAAUAGUGCUCAUUCCCUUGCUUGAACACAUACUAGUUCAGUCGCACCGCGGAAUUUGUUAGAUGAUAAAAUAUCAGAUAUGAACUCAGCACAUUGUUAUACUGUUGCCUUUAUUCCUCAAGUGACAGUAAAAACUAGUAAUUGCAGUAGAUGAUAUAUUUAAUGAAAAUUACUGGGGCGACCAGACUUUUGUGUUGACAUUGAAGGGGGAGAUGGAGAAAGACCGCAGGAACAUAGCGAGCAGGGAUAGCUUUGUCUUAUGUUGUGAUGUUUGAUUUUCGCAGCCUUGACUAGUGGAGCUAAGAAGUUUAUUCCAAUCCCUAGUGCACUGAGAACAUUUCAUUUUUAUUUGUAGUUGCUGCAUUUAUGGUCCUGGCUACAAUCUUGUUCGAAGACCUUUCCUCAACCCACUUCCUUUGAAUUUCUUUGUUGUCAGUUGUCAUCUUGUGCUGCAUAACUACAAAAACAUCCUUCUUGCAGGGUACAGAUACUGAAAACUCUUCGGAGCAUGAACUAACAGUAAUUGAAGCACCACGCCAGUCAGAUUUGAUGGUGGAGCUGAUAAAGAAGCUGAAGCCUCAGGUGGUAAUUUCUGGGAUUGGUGAUUUUGAGGCUGUUACCAGUUCAGCCUUUGUACAUCUUCUAGAUGUUACAAGAGAAGUUGGAUCUCGUCUUUUCUUGGAUAUAUCUGAUCACUUUGAGCUCUCCAGCCUCCCAAGUUCCAAUGGGGUCCUUAAAUAUCUUGCUGGAAAUGUUCUUCCUUCACACGCGGCAGUUAUUUGUGGCCUUGUUAAAAAUCAGGUGAUUGUUUUUCAUUAUACUGGCCACUUGACUGUUAUGCUAUUACAAGAAGAGAUUUCUGUUUGUUCUGAUCAAGUCAUAAGAUGGGUUUCAAGAUUCGUUCUCAGUGGUUAUCUGUUAGCUUUUUGUUCUUAUUUAUGGAAGCCAAAUUCAUCUUUGCAGGUUUAUUCAGAUUUAGAAGUUGCUUUUGUAAUCUCAGAAGAAGAGGCCAUCUUUAAGGCCUUGUCUAAGACUGGAAGUACUAGAAGGGACUACUGCACUGAUUAGUCAAAACUACUAUGGUUGUCUUUUUCAUGAGCUUCUGGCUUUCCAGCUUGUGGAGCGACAUACGCAUAAAGAGGUUAUCCUUCUCUCUUUUUUUGCUGUUUUCAUAUCACAGAAUCCAUUUUUGAAUAUAUGUAUUUAGGUACAGAAGCACAUGAAUAUUCAUGUUUUUAUGAGUAUAUUUAAGUAUAUCCAAUGUUGAUUAACUCGUCCAUUUGAGCAUGAGAUAAUUAGAUAGUUGAUAUUUAUGUUACAAAAUUCAGAAGCAACAUUAGCACUGCAGUAUCAUGCAAGGACUGUAACAACCUGGAUUCUUUUUCCACCUGGAUUUUUUUGUUGAUUCACUUGGCAUAUGUUUAUCCAACCUCUGAUUUUUCUUAAUAUUUCUCUGUAGUUCAUUUCACGGCACGUUUAGUUGCUACAUUGGCAUUUUCUGCUAUUUGUUUUUAUUCAUUGAAGCAAGUUAGCUCAUGAAAUUGCUAUUUGAUAAAUGUUGUUCAGAGGGAUUGCGAAAAGGUCAAAUCAACUGAGAUGAUCGGGUUUUCUAGAUCAGCCAUCUCUGUCCUCAACAGUGCUGAACUGUCAAUUACUGACACACCAAACUCUGGCCUGAUUCAUAUGGAUGUAGACCAAAGCUUCUUGCCCAUACCAUCUCUGGUCAAAGCUGCUAUCUUUGAAAGUUUCGCAAGACAAAACAUGUCUGAGUCAGAAAUUGAUGUCACCCCCAGCAUCCAACAGUAUAUCAAGAGCAAUUUUGGUUUUCCAAUUGAUAUCAAUGCAGAAUUCAUAUAUGCAGAUUGCUCUCAAUCUCUGUUUAAUAAGCUAGUCCUCUGUUGUAUCCUAGAAGGUGGAACAUUAUGCUUCCCAGCUGGCUCAAAUGGGAACUAUGUUUCUGCUGCCAGAUUUUUGAAAGCGAACAUUGUGAAUAUUCCUACUGAGUCUGAAGUGGGCUUUAAGAUGACAGAGAAGACACUUGUGACGAUACUCGAGACCGUGAAGAAGCCGUGGGUGUACAUUUCUGGUCCAACAAUCAAUCCAACUGGCUUGCUUUAUAGCAACAAAGAGAUGGAGAAUAUAUUAACUGUUUGUGCAGAGUAUGGGGCAAGAGUUGUGAUUGAUACUACAUUCUCAGGAUUGGAAUUCAACUACGAGGGUUGGGGUGGCUGGGAUUUGGAAGGCUGUUUGUCAAAGCUGUAUUCUUCCGCCAAUUUGUCUUUCAAUGUGUCGCUGCUCGGAGGGCUGUCUCUGAAGAUGCUGACUGGAGCACUCAAAUUUGGGUUUCUGGUUCUAAAUCAUCCUCAGUUGGUUGAUGCAUUUAGUAGCUUUCCGGGAUUAAGAAAGCCUCAUAGCACAGUCAGAUACGCUAUAAAGAAGUUGCUUGGUCUGAGAGAGCGAAAAGCAAGAGACUUGAUGAAUGCUGUUGCAGAACAUAUAAGAAACUUGGAAAGUAGAUCAAAGCGCUUGAAAGAGGUACUUCUAUCUGUCCUCUUACAAGAAAUUUUGAAUUAACCAAUUACAUGUAGUACAUAAUCUUUGAAUUAUAUUACUCAAUUCUAAAUAUAUGUCCUACCAUUUUCUCCAUGGUGAUCUUUCUGCAACAGGCACUUGAGAAUUGUGGGUGGGAAGUGGUUCAAUCCUGCAGUGGUGUUUCAAUGGUGGCGAAGCCCUCUGCCUAUCUCAACAAAACUGUAAAGAUCAGCCGGCAUUCAGCUGGCAGUGGUGAGAAAACUGCUACAGAACAAAUCAAGCUUGAUGACUCAAAUAUCAGGGAAGCCAUAGUCAAGGCAACUGGUUUGUGCAUCAACAGUGGUUCGUGGACCGGAAUUCCUGGCUAUUGUCGCUUCACAAUUGCACUGGAAGAAAGCGAAUUUGAACGAGCUUUGGAUUGCAUAGCUAAAUUCAAAAGCAUCGUUCUUACACGUAGUUAACUAAAAAAUGGUAUUGUCAUUUGUCAUGAUUUAUUUCUAUUGCCUGAUGAUGGUACCCAUCACGCCUUAGUUGUCGUGAAUAAAUCGAAAAUCAAAUUGCACUGGUUUUUACCGGUUAUCAACAAUUGUGAUGUUUUGAGAUUAUAACAUACUUGACAACGUUGACUAGCGUUCUCUCCUAUGUGAAUUGGGACAAAAAUUAUUUUCCCAAUCACGCUUUCGUUUGAACAAUUCUACUUCAGAUAUAUAAAAUAAUGAUGAAAUUGUGUUUUAUAAUUAGUUACGAGUAAUUGGUUCAAUAUUAAUACAAAACUAUUUUAAGUAACACGUGGCAUAUUCUAAUUCCAGUGAGCUUCUAACUCAGAUUCCCAAAUCAAAAGAAACGUUUCAAUUUUCUCCAGAACAUUCUGCAAAACGUUUCUUCGAGUCUCUACGCUGUGCUAUAAUUUUCUCUCAGUUUCUUUUGCAAAGACUUCUAAAGAACUGUCCAGAUACCGAAAUAUAAGGGGUUUUUAAUUAAAUACCCUUUAAUAGUUUCAAAAUUAUUUAAAUAUCCCCUCCCUUUUUUGUUUUCAUGGAUACCCUAACAAAUGUGAGUAAAGUCGGAAAUACCCUUAAUGAAUACAUCAAAUUCACUCAAUGAAUUAUCUUCAUAUUUCUUUCCUCAUUUCUUUCACCCAACUCCAUUUUUGCUGCCGAUUCUUUCAAAAUCUCUUAGAAUCUCUCAAAAUCUCUCAUAACUUCUUACACAAAUACAAUUAUGUAUUCAUUUCUUUAACACCCACUCUUUCUUUAAAGGUGCAUUGCUUAUUAAACAACCCAAUAAGGUAUGUUAAUGUUGUUGGGUUUUAAAUUUUUUAAUUUUUAGGAAAAUUUAGAAAUUUUCCUCACAUUACAAUGUUUUAUUUUCACCAUUUUUUCUUAUACGUAGAAAUAUAUGCAAUGUAGGUUGUUUAAUUAUUUUUUUCAGCAAUAUAACUUAUUUAUGGCGAAAAUGUUUCGAGUCGUGCAUUCUUUUGAUACCGUGUACGUCAUAUAGUUAGUUAUGUAGGUCGUGUAAGUAAUAUAGUCGUGUAAGUCGUGUAGGUCAUGUAAGAAAUAUAGUCGUGUAGGUCAUGUAAGAAAUAUAGUCCUGUAAGUCGUGUAAGUAAUAUAGUCGUGUAGGUCAUGUAGGUCGUGUAGUUACUUGUAUAUGAAAUUUAAUAUUAUUGUUUUUAUUGUAUCAUCAGAUAUGGUUUUGGUACGUGUGCCUAUUCUCUUCAAUGGUGAAUGGAUUGAGCAAAAUGACGAGUAUAAGUUCAAAGGUUCAAAAGCUAAAGGGAUAAUGAUACCACGAUCGACAACAUAUGCCGAAUUGGUGGAGAAGAUAGCUGAAGUUAUUGAUAUAGAUACUUCGGAAUUCGAAAUCACAAUGAAGUUCAAACUUAAGACAUCUGAUCCUAUGCCACUAGUUACAAUUCAAACCAAAAAAUUCGUGUAAUUUUAAAGUCGCAAUUAAACAUAUUACAGCUAUUUAAAAAGUUUUUUUUUUUUUUAUCUUCAAAGUGCUUUCUUCCUCUGGCCAAGCAUACAAGCAUACAUGAGGAAUGUCUGCAUAUAAUUAAUCCAUGAAAUCAAUUAAGAAAAAAAAAUAUCAACCAUAGGAAAUUAAUGUAAUGUUAUACACAUAAGAACACCAUUCGCAGUGAUAAAAUAUUUCCACUCAUAACUAGACAUAUCAUGACUUACCAUGGCUUAUAAUUGGAAAUUAAGAAUCUCUCUAACUAAUGAUAUUUCACAAGGUAAAGGUAUAUGCACCAUUCCAAUUUAUUGUGAGCCUAAUUAAACUAAAUGUAAUGUGUAGAUUCUAUUGACAAGAAACAAAAUGUGGAAUUGAAGGUCGUGUAAUUGUGUAAUACAAGAAGAUCGUGUAAUUGUAUAAUACAUGAAGGUCGUAUAAACAUGCAAUACAUGAAGGUCGUGUAAACGUGCAAUACAUGAAGGUCGUGUAAACGUGCAAUACAUGAAGGUCGUGUAAUCGUGCAAUACAUGAAGGUCGUGUAAUACACAACCUUGAAUAUUACAUAACCUUACACGACCAAAUCUUAUGUUACAUAACAAAAUUAUAAUCAGCACAAUCCAUUAAUUUUUCACAAUUUGCAUGCAGCAAAACAACUAGAAAUUUGUUUUCGAACAUGUUAUGAGAGACCCACAACUAAUUAAUCUAUUUUUUCAAUAUAAAACCCUAACUUUUUAUUUUUUUUCCCUUGAAUAUUAACAAGAAAACUAAUUACACGGAAUUACUUGUCUCAACUAGUUACAUUCUGACAAUUUUGCAGUAAAUGAUCAACUCUCUCCGGCGAUUAUGUAGUGACGAACUAUGCUUCACUUUCUCAGUUGUGGCAGCUUCCCCUUCUCAGGCUUAGUUUGCUCGUGUUGAAGUUCGAUUUACCAUGUAUGGAGAAUGAAUGUUUGUUUCGGUAGAGGUGAUGCCGGUGAGGGAAUUGUAGAGGUGAUGUCGAUGAGGGAAUUGCAGUAUUUGUUUGUUUGAGUUUGAUAAUGGAGGGAAUUGCAGCAGAUGAGUGUUUGUUUGCUUCAGUAGAGAAGGGAGAGGUGCUGUCUAUUGAGUUGAAAUGUUUUAAAAUGAGGAUAGCUUAGUAAUUUCCUAUCAGUUUUUAAAGGGUAUCGAUGAAAAUUUUGGCAAAAACAGAUUUUAGGGUAUUGAGAUAAUUUUUGAAGUAUGGAGGUGUACCGGGCGCAAUUGGCUCGAAAUAUAAUCCAAUCUAAGUGUAUAUAUCUCUCUACGUAAAGAUAUUCUAAUUCUAAUUAUCACAUUCUAAUUCAUAAAGAUAUUCCUCUUCUGUCAUAUUAAUGUGCUAAUACGAAGGUCUAUUGGAAUUAUAAUAGUUCAGAUGAAUCCAAAAUAUUCAAUAAUUGAUAAAUAGUAUAUAUAAAUAUUAAUAGCAAUGGCACAUAAUCAAUUAAUUCAAGAACUUGCCCAUAGUGCAUUAAGUUAAAAGAGUAAAAAUAACAUUGCAAAACAUGCCAGACCUUACGUGUUUAAUUAGCAAUUGAAAACUAUUUUACCGUACAACACCAUAAAGAGAUAUUUAUAACACUGUUGCUGCAGCUGUUAAUUCUUUUGGUGAAGAUGUUAAGGCCACUAAAGCUGGAACGUAAUUAGGGAAAUAUAAUGCAUUCACUUAGUUUGCUAUUUGUGUUUUUAUAUUUGUUUGGCUAAUUCUUUGCUCAGAUUGCUUUUUGUUUGAGAUUUUAUUGGCUUAGUCGUGGGAUAUUAUUUAAUCUUUUAAUUUUGUGUUUUUAUUGUUAUGGGAUUUGAUGAUGGUAUACAUAUAGGAAAAUUAUGCAAGAAAGUGCUUUUAAUAAAUUAUGGUCGGUUUACUAUUAAUUAACCAAAUUUAAUUUACUCAAAUUACUCCUAUACACGAUCAAAAUAAUUUCAAUUCCAUGAUAUAAAUACGCGCGUGCGGACACACAAAAUGUAAAUAACUUUCAAAUAUAAAAUAUUUAAAAUAAUCAUCAUACUCACAAUUCACAAGUUAGAUUAUAUUAAGGCCACCAAGGCUUAAAUGUAAUUGAUUGAAGAAAGAAGUGCUUGCUUUGCUUGAUGUGCCAUUUGUCUAUGAUGUUUUAUAAAUGGCCGAAAUAAUGAUAAUCUAGUGAAUCUGGUCAUAUUAAUUUGAUUUUCAUUUAUAUUAAUUAUGUCGAAUCAUACUAUUUUAAUAAGAAAGAGCACUCGAGAAUAUAUAUAUCUAACAACUAAAAUUUCAAAACAAUAUUUGCCAAAGUCUGAUGAAGAGAAUACAUAUAUAUAUAUAACAUGCACUCGCACACAUUCUAUUGUUUAAUUAAAAAAUUCGAAAGCCCAUUAUAUACAUGAUAAAGACUCACCGACACCGAACCAUAUUCAUUUAAAGGAAUUGUUUUCAACUGAGAUUUGAAAUUAUAUACACAAACACACCCGAUUUUUUAUUUUUUUUAAAAAAAUUACUAAUAAUAAAAUAUUUCAGUCGUCCUCUGUUCAGCUGUCAAAAACGCAUUUAAAAUCUAUAGCAACAUGCGGUAUAUGGGUUAACAAGUCCCAAUAUUGUCCUCCAUCCUUUCUGCACUUCUCUGCCAUCAACGGACAUCGAUAGAUACUUAAUCGCAAAAGUGAGGAAGGCAGGCCCUUCUCCGGAAAGUAUUUGAGCUUGGGACAAUACUGGAGAUCCAAGUGAGUGAGGUUUUGAAGAUCAACAAUUGAAGAAGAUAGGCGUUCCAGAUUUGGAAAAUUAGAAAUCUCCAGAAAUGUUAGAGAGGCAGGAAGAGGAAGCGCGGUCCCCAAUCUUAUGUCCUCCGGUGGGAAUGACACCAUGUCGCCAUCGCAUCGGCUGAUUGUGAGUUGUCGCAGAGAGGAGAAUCUGUGGAAUCCCCGACCCCGCCCAAUCGUUGACUUCCAAAUCUUCGUAUUACCAUCAAUCUCCAGUGAAUGAAGGUUGGUGGGAAGGGCAUCUUCUUCAAGGCUUGGAAGCUCACCUCCUUUUCCUAUUUUUAAUUGUUGAAGAGAGGUCAGAUUGUGCAAUCCCUUGGGUAAGGCCUCUAGUCUCUCACAAUCAGAUAUCUCCAGCGUAGUCAGUUUCGCACAAGGCAAUCCCCCUUCGGGAAAGGACUCCAGAUUUCCACAUUUCUCUAUGCUAAUCUCUUGAAGCUGGCGGAGAUUAUGUAAACCACUCGGUAAAGUUUUCAGAUUUCCACAAUCAGAAAUCUUGAUUGUUUCAAGAGAUGUGUUGUUGUCCAACCUUUCUGCUAUAGACUCCAGCUUUGAACAUCCCCAAACACCAAGGAACUCAAGAGACGGAGGUAGAUUGCCAACUUCAAGGGACUCAAGCGUGGCAGGUAACUCGUUUUUUGAAAAUAUACAUGUCAGUGAUGGACAGCUGUUAAUACGCAACUGCUCAAGAAGAGAUGAGGUGUACCUUCUGCUGCUGCUACUCUGGAUGCCCUCUUCCACUGUCAAGGUCCUUAUAUUAUCGCAAUUGUAAAUCACCAACUGCUUAAGGCUCCGUGGUAGCUGGACUCCACCAAUAUAUAUCAACGAAUGGCAAACCCAAAUCUCCAAGAUCUCGAGAGAUGAAUUGGUGUCGCACAUCCAUGCCUCUGGUAACGAUUUCAGUGCAUCACAAGCCGAAAUGAAUAUUCUCCUCAACUUGGAAGGCAGAGCAACCUCAGGAAAGGAAACAAGGGAACUGCACUCGUAGAUUUCUAUCUCUCUCAAGGAACUGAGGAUGAGCGAUGAUUGUGGCAGCUUUACAAGGCAUUGGCAACGGCUCAAUCUUAGAUAUUCGAGUCUGCAUGACAACUCGCAGAGCUGCUGUUGUUGGUCUUUCUCUUCCUCCGCCACCAAGGAUUGAAGUUUGGGACAGCAGUAGAUCUCCAGUCUUUUGAGAGAGCAAAUGUCUUGUAGUAAUCCGUCAUGACUCUUCCAUAUAUAUGUUUGCUCUUUUGUCGACAAAAUUAAUUCUUCCAAUUUCUGUAGUUGUGGCUUCAAUGGCCCCGCAAGAAACACUUGAUUUGAUGUAUCUCUACAAACCACUGAAUUCUGUGAUCCGAGAUGACCAGUUGCACUUUCCCACACAACCUUUUUGCAUCCACCAAUUUCCAAUUUGCAAAGAGCUGGAAGACUCGAAACUGAAACUAACAAUUCUUCACAUCCUUCAAUAACAAGCAUCUCCAAUGCAGGAAGGUGCUCUGGAAAUGUUCCUUUCAGUUUAGAACAUCUUAAAAUGUGAAGCUCUCUCAAUUUAGGAAACCCUUCAACUCCUUGACUGGAUCCAUGAGGAAUCCAGUCUUCCCAUUCUCGCAUGUUUUCAAAACGAAGAGUCUCCAAGCAUGGAAAAGGAAUUGGAGCAUCAUUCCCAUAGAACUCUGAACCCAACCUCUUUACUCUGCUCAUUCCACAUACUGCAAGAUGCUUUAGAGAGGGUAGUUGCCCGACUGACGGCAGGGCAGUACACAUGUCACAAUUUUCAAAUUUUAGCGUCACCAAAUUUGACAAUGAGGAAUCUCCUAACCAAGCUGGAAAUUUUGUACCUCCAUAGCCACUGAUACAAAAUUGUUCCAAAAUUUCAUGAGGUUUUAGCAUGUCAAGCACAUCCUUUUCAGUUUCUGCCUCACUUGAAGAUGAGCCAUCGAUACUGAGUGUCCAUCGAAGCAAUAAUUCUCUAAGAUUCUUCUUUCCAUCCAAUUGAGCCUCCUUCGCAUCACCAACGUCUUUUACAUUCUCCAAUUUUGAAAUGUUAAGUGUCCCAUGAAGGUGCGUCAACAACUUUAGCUCUCGUAACCCGGAACCACUGUCUUUUCCCACAACAAAAUUACACAACGUCUGAAGGCAAGUCAGCCUGCCAAUUCCUAGUGCCAUUUCCUCCAACGAAUCUGUUUUUGAAUUAAUGAGAUGAUGCAAUUUGAUGAGAUUUCCCAUGUCUGCACAUAACUUCUUCAGCCGAUCACAAUCUUCCAACAAAAGACUAUGCAAAUUGUAAAGCUUGUUGACUGAUUCAGGCAGAGUUCUAAUCUUAGUUCCAGACAGGUUAAGGUACCUUAAAUACCUCAAAUCACCAAUUGAAUCCGGCAGCUCAGGGAUGCGGUAUCCACGCAAAGAGAAGACCCUCAAGCGUUGGAGUUUGAGCAACUUAGGAAGAAUGCUAGGAGCCAAGUAGCCAGGCAAACUAUUUGUCAACAUUACUGGUAAAAAAGUUCUCAAAUGUUGGAUAUCAUACAAGUCCCCAAACCUUUUACCGCCAUCACAAUAUUCAGGAAUGUAUGAUAGAUGACGAAGAUUUUCGGAAAAACUUUGCUGCUUGUUAACCUCUGAGGUAUACUCCAUUGUGAAGUAUAUCUCCCCCGCAGCCCAACGGGCAAGGUCAUUGAUAAGAUCGUGCAUCACAAAUCGUGAUGUAUUGUUGCUUGAUUGCUGCAAAAAAGAUCUUGAUCGUAGCUCUUGAAAGAACUUUCGACCUAGAUCUUCGUUAGGAUUCCCACUCUCUUUAUGAUCCAAGAAACCCGAAGCACUCCAUAAUAAAAUUAUCUCCUCCUCUUCAAAUUCAUAAUCCUUCGGAAACAACGAGCAAUACGCAAAGCAUUGUUUCAAAAUUGGAGGAAGAUAAUAAUAGCUCACUGCAAGAGCUGGUAUAAUGGGACAUUUAUCUUCUGGUAAUUCCCAUAUCUUGCUACUGAGCACACCUUUCCACUCACGUUUGUAAGGUUUUCCAUGUAAAAGUCCUCCCAGUGUUUUUGCUGCCAAGGGCAAGCCGUUGCAUUUGAUCACUAUCUCCUUGCCAAUUUCCUCCAAUGACUUAUGUGAACUGAAAUCUGCUGUCUCCAAAGAGUGCUGAGCGAGUACAGACAGACAGUCCUCAGUUGACAAGCUUUUGAGUUCAUAAGCUUGAUCCAGGCUCAUGAUUUUGGCAACCUCUUCAUUGCGAGUGGUGACAACAACCUUACUUCCCUGUGCGCCAGCUUGAAAUGGAAGGCUGAGGUGAACCCAAUCAGUGUAAUUCUCAUUCCAAACGUCAUCUAAAACAAGCAAAAAUUUCUUUCGAGACAACUGCUUCUUUAGCUCCUCUUGAAGAAAAUUUAAAUCAUUAUUAUCAACAGUCUGCUUAGUAAUGGAGCUUAGAAUUGUUCUUGUUAGCCUGAUAAGAUCAAAAUCAUCAGAGACACAAGUCCAUGCCUUGAGAUCAAAAUGAUCCUCCACUUGCUUAUCAUUGUAGACAAGCUGAGCAAGAGUGGUUUUACCCAGCCCGCCCAUACCUAUAAUAGGAAUAACUGCGAAUCCACCAUCCUUUCUUGAAUCAUCCUUCAACAACAAUUCAACAAUUUCCUUCUUUUCUGUUUCCCUGCCAUAAACUUUGGCUUCCUCCACCAAAGAAGUUGUAUCUCGCCUUUGCCUGGCUUUUUGGGACCCCCCAGCUGAACUUUUUAUCAAUUUCAGCGAGCCUAUUCCUUCUUCAAUAUCUCGAAAUCUGUCGUUGAUCUUUUUGAUUUUGGACAUCAUCGAGUAAUCGAACUGAAUCGAUUGCAGAGUAAAAGUGGGGCAGCAAGUAGGAAUGAGCUUCCGAAACUUACUCUUCGUGCUUGUACGACUGCUGCUGGGUUGAUCAUGAGCAGCAGCUGGUUCUCCAUUUCCAAGCAGCAACUUCCUCCGGAAAGCCUCAGUUUGGAACUCAUCCAACAAGUCUUCAACGUCAUAAGCCAAGUUCUGAAGCUCGCCAAGCCACAACUUCACAGAAUCAUCAGUCGUCUUCUUCUGCUCAGCAUCAUCAAGCACCGCCUUGAUCGUCACCAACUUCUUCUUCCACUUCACUAGAUCGUCUUUGAUUCGACCUUGGCGUUCAAAUAAACGAAGCCCCUCCGAAGAUAACUUAUUGAUCAGCAUCUCAACGGACGCCUUCAGGAUUGCCUCUCCGAUGAUCGACAUUUUUUCUUUUUUCUUUUUUUUGGGUUUUUUGGACAGAGAAAGAAACUGAAUUAUGAGUUUGUGGAAAGCAAAAUGAGAAAAGUGAAGAAGCGGAAUGAGUUUGUGAUUGUGUCUAGCAAAGCCUAUAAAUCAAGAAAAAUCCACCGUAAAAGUGAAAAGUCAAACGGAGCCCACCACAAAUAUAAAAUCAGAGGAGCACAGAAAUUAAAAAAAAAAAAAAUCAAACAUGUAAUGAUUUGUAAAGUUAUUAGCGAUUUGUAAAAAUCAAACAUGCGUCUUCUUCCUCUGAGUGUAUUUUUUUUUUCUUUUUCAAAAGAGAUGGUGGGGUUGUGUUGUUUGCAAAGUUAAUAGCGUGGGUCUAUUUGUUUUUGUUUUAACUUUAUUAAUUAAUUAGUGAAGCAAACAUGUAAUGAUUUGUAAAGAUCACCGGCAUCAGAUUAUUGAGAGGUAUUGCGCUUAGUAUUCACAAUUUCUUGUAAGAAGAAUUUGUAAGACUUAUUAAUUUCGAUGAAAAUGUAUCAUUAUUAUUUAAUUCAUUAAGUUAACUUGAGGUAUUAAUAUUCACUAAUUGUGGUGCUGGUGAAUUUACUUAACUUGUCAUUAUUUGUAAUUAAAGAAUGAGGUUCAAUCAAUUUAUUGGAGAAAAAUUGAUUUUAAUUCUUAGUAUUUGAUUUCACUCUCUUUUACUUUUUGACGUUGCUAAAGAGACAGUAAAAAACUUGCUAAAUGUCAUCAAAUACUUGUAUCUCAUCUCACAAAUUGGCAAUAUUUGUUUGGUAUUUCAUCUUAACGGGACGCCGUAAGGAUUGCCUCUCCAAUGAUUGAUAUUUUUUUUUUCUUUUUUUCCCGCACAGAAAGAAACAGAAUUUUGAGUUUUAAAGCAAAAUGAGAAAAUUGAGCAAAAUGCAUGUGGCAAGUCUCCUGCUUGAUUAUUCCAGUAAAGUGAAAAUAAAAGCAGAGCCCACCACCCAUUGAUAAUUGGAAAAUGAUAAACGAACGAAAAGCGCGACGAAGGGACGACAGAAAACGCGUUUCCUCAUCAAAUUUUGUUUUUGUGUACCGACAAUAAAUAAUAAAAUAUUUUUUGUGAGAGCGAUAACAAAUAGUAAAAUAAAGAAUUAAAAAAAAAGAUAGUGUAAACGAACGAAAGCGCGACGAAGGAACGACAGAAAACGCGUUCCCUCAUGAAAAUUUUUUUUUGUGGGAUCGAUAAUAAAUAAUAAAAUAUUUUUUUGUGGGACCGAUUAUAAAUAGUAAAAUAAAGAAUAAAAAAUAAAAAAAUGGAUGGUGAAAACGAACGAAAGCGCGACAAAGGGAUAACAGAAAACGCGUUCCUCAUCCAAUUUUUCUUUUGUCGGACCGAUAACAAAUAAUAAAAUAUUCUUUUGUGGGACCGACUAAAAAUAGUAAAAUAAAGAAUGAAAAAAAGGAUAGUGUGCAAUUUUUCUUUUAAUAGAAUUUAGCAAUUCACCAAUCACCAAUCACCACCACUUGUUACCAGAUUCAAUAAAUGUAAAAUCGCACCUGGACAUUUGUAGGGUCAAGCAACAUUAAUCCAGUGUCCGGGUAAAUGCUGAAUAAAGGGGAAAAUGGGAUGUAAAUUUACUAUUAAAACAAAUAAAAUUUAUUAAUAAAAAUAAGGGUUAUAUAUAUUUUUUAAAAUGUUAAGAAGUUUUAUAUCUUUUUUGGAUUAAAUUUUCUAUUUCCUAUUAAGCAAAACCCACGUCAAAAGUGAAAAAGAAAAAUAGAGCCCACAGAACAGAGCCCAUUACAAAUAUAAAAUCGGAGGAGCUCAUGAUCAUGCCUUUUGUUUUACAUACUAAAUUUAAUAAAAGCCAAACCAAAAUCUUGCCUUUACUUAACAUGAUUAAUUAGGCACUGCAUCAGAGAGAACACGAAAGCUAUGAACCAUUUUGUUAAUCUUAAAUGUCAGGAAUAUAAUUAGCUUGGAAUAAAGUUGCAUUCUUCUCCUCUGACCGCAAGAUAUGGACUGGGCCACUCCAAAGAGAUUGGUAAUGCUGUAUCAGUAUAAUUAGCUUGGAAUAAAGUUACAUACAUUCUCCUCCUCUUACUGUCUCUUUAGGUUCAUUUCAAAAGUUUGAAGAGAGUAUCAAUUCUUCUACACUUUAGAAUGUCAAUGUUUUUGCUUUCUUCAAAUGUUGAAUAAAGAGAAAAAAAAAAUGUUGAAUGUAGAAGGAAAAUGGAAUGCAUCCACCUUCGCUUUGGAAGUCUUCUACUUAUAAAAGCAAGCUAAAUUAAAAGAUUUAAAUCUCUCUUUUUAUUACUAUAAGUGCACUGCAUUUUUUUUUUUAAAUAAUCACCUAUACAAAUUUGUAACGUAAUGAAAUAUUCAUAUUCCUGUCGUGUCGAAAUGAGAUAAAAUGAAAUUUUAAAUAACACAAAUUCGACUCAUUUGUUAAAAGUAUAUACUUAAUAAGCUAAUAACAUAAUUAACAUAACGCUAUUAUUAUACUAAAUGAAAUAAAAGACGGUAGCCACCAAUAAUUACACUAGCAAGCUUCGCAUGCUCGUGUUUAAGGAAUUGGACAUUGGUGAAUUAAUCAAGGAUAAGAAACAAUUUCAAAAAACAAAAUGGAUACUAUACAUUUUCUUUUUUUAAUUGCACAGAAAAUGGGACUAAUUUUCAAAUAUUUUCAAAUUCACUUAUUAACAAAAGCUAUACAAAAUAAUUUCCUUUUUAUUUUGAAACAUUAUACGGAAUCAAAUAACAGUGAUUCAAAGAGUGUAAAGUGGUAAUUCUCUGAUUGUAUUUUCUCUCUUUUUUAAAAGGAGAUGGUGGGGUUUGGUUGUUUGCAAAAUUAUUGGUGUGAGGGUCUAUUUGUUUUUGUUUUCACUUUAUUAAUUAAUUACGAAGCAAACAUGUAAUCAUUUGUAAAGGGGUCACUAGCAUUGGGUUGUGUAAGAUGAAUUCGUAAGACUUAUUAAUUUCGAUGAAAAUGUAGCGUUAUUAAGUUGUCAAUUCAUUAACUUGAGGUACUAAUAUUUACUAAUUGUGGUGAUUAAUUUAUUUAACUUUGUCAUAAUUUUCAAUUGAGAAUGAAGUUCAAUCAAUGUAUGAAAAAAAUAAUUUUUUUAGAUUUUUAACUCCUAUGAUUUAAUUUCCAUCUGUUUCGAUUAUUGACGUGUUAAAAGCUUGUAGAAUAUCAUGAAAUGCUUGUAUCUCACCUCACAAAUUGACAAAAAUUGGUUGGUUUCUCCAAAGGCUGCCAUGACGAAUUGAAAGUAAAAACAACCACCAUUGAAAAUUAAUUUUAAAAAUCUUUUUUACUUGAAAAUUUUUAAAAGAAAAAUUAAGCAAAUUAGAUUGCAGAUAUCAAUCUUAAUAUUUUGUUGAUGAAAAUUAAUUAAUUAAUCCCAGUACUUUCUUAAUUUUGUGUUGUGCACCGCAUUGGCCACUUCUGAUUGUGUUGCAUAUUUGUUAAUUCAAAGAAAUAGAUCUUUUGUAUCGAUCAAACUUAUUUUAUUAGUAUUAUUCAUCAUAUGGUUAAUGGCUUAGCCAAUGAAGGAGAAGGGGUCAGCCAAAAUAAAUAAAGUACUUUCUCAUGCAUUAACCUUUAUUAAAAAGCUUUAUUAACUGUUGUAGUUAAAACAAUUUUAAAACAAGUUAAAACAGUUCCAACUCAAAAUCUGUAGGCUGCAAUUGGGUUGUUACACAUAUUUCUAAAUUUCAGUCUAAUUUAAUUGUGUAUGGACAAACUGACUUUAUCACUCCUUUCAUAUUAAUACUCAUAAAUUUCAACCUUUUUUUAUGAUGAUGCACAAUCUAACUUAACAAAAAUAAUGUUCAAAUUGUCAAAAAAUGUUCUUUUCUUAAAAAAGAAAAGAAAAUCAUAUAUAGUAGUUAAUUUUUCUUCCUCUUUACUCCAAGAUCCAACUUCGUACUCCACUUUUUUGUUGUUAUUGUACCCAGCCGUUAGAUUUUAAUUACAUUAAUUUAAUGGUUUGGAUUUGUAAAUGAAUAACGACGUAGUGUUUGGCUACCAUCUGAACCCACUGCAUCUAAUUGGUUUUGUGAUUUUUUGCUUUCUUCUCUGUAACACUUGACUAGUUCUGAAAAUAUCGACCGCCAUCAACAAUAAAUCUGAUCCAUGUAUUAUUUCUUAGUAGUGGGCAAAUUAAUAAAGUUUCCACCACCGUACCAGUAUGUCGAUUUGCGAAUACAUUCAUUCAAAUAUUAAACAUUCAGAGAAGAAAGCAAACCGUGGCAGGAUAGAAUGCUGCGUUCUGUGCUAACUAUAAAUUCUCACAGUGGCACGCAUAUCACAUGACACACAGAGCUCAGACAACACGCUCAACUGCCACAACACUCACCAAAUCUUCACCCAACUCAUGCAUCUCACCUCUCUGUGCUCUCUCUGUUGGCUCUCUCUCUCCCUCUCUCUCCCCCCGUCGCUCACGCAUCUCACCAUGCUCUCUUUUCACCGUCGACUUUCUCUCUCUCUCUCCCCAUGGGUCUUUCCACAGCUGGCGCGGGUCUCCAUCGAGAAUGCUUCGAACUCAUCAAGAGUGGUAGUAAAAGCAACAGUUUCAAUCGAGAACGGCGUCGUCUCGGCUCGGAAGAAGUAAUAACAGUGGUAUUUGGCGGGGGUUUUGGGUACUUUUUGUUCCUGUUUGUCCAUUAAUUAAUUAAUUUGGAAAAAGAACGGUGUAUUUGACAAAUAAAUAAUGGGGAUGGUUGGAUGUAAUUAAGGGGAUGAUGAACAUAAUAAUGGUUUAAGAAGACCAGGAUUUUGUUAACUUUUUUCUAGGUUUCUUGAAGAAUGUAACUUAAAAUAAAUGCAUCAAAUUAAGUAAACAUAAAAUCAUAAUAAUAAUAAUAAUAAUAAUUGGACUCAAUAAUUAUAUGUGAAAUUUACAUAUGUGUCAAGUAGGAGCAUGAUAUCAUCAUUUACACACACACACACCACACACACACACACACAUAUAUAUAUAUAAAUGACAAUUUAUUUAAAAGUCAAAUAAUUGUGACGUUUUAUCAAAUAAGUGACAAAUAUAUAAUAUAUUACAUAUUUAUUGAAUAAUUAUCAUUUACCUUUUCCUUUUAUUGACUUAAGAAAAAAAACAAAAAACUUGCUAUACCGCUUCUGUUUUCGUUCUUAGAACAUAUUAGUUUCUUUUGAGAAAAGUCAAACUCAUUCCCAUUACUUUCUUUUCAAUAAUCACCUCUCAGUUUUUCAUCAGUCACUCAAUUUCGAAUUUCAUCUCCAUUCUCUUUCAAAGAAGAACACACGAAGAAUUUUAGCUUGCUUUACCUGCUUCUCGAAUUUCAGGUAUUGUUUCCUUUAAUUUUGAUUUUUUUUUUUACCUCUCUGUUUCUAGUUUGAUAAUUUAGGGUUAUACUUGAAUUAAUUGUAUUUUUAAUCAUCCUAGGUUGAUUUAAUUGAUUCCAAGUCUCAAUUUCCUGUUCAACAAACAAGGAACGCACGAGUAAUUUUCAUUUUCAUUCUCAAUUUUGAAAGAAUCAAUUUAUUUUAUGUGUUCAAUUUUGUUUAUUUAACUUAGGAUAUCUUUUUCAUUCUCGUCUUCAAGCAGACUAUAGCGUUGCUCCUCUCAUUGAUUAUAUUGAGAACAAUGCUUUCUCCUUAAUUCCACCAAGAACAACGUUGAUGUCAGGUGAUAAUUGAAUGUGUAAUAUUUUCAAUUGAAAUUAAUUGAGUCUCGUAAUAAUAAUAGGGAUUUGAGAUUUACAUCCUGUUGAAAUGAUUUUAGAGUGUUCUGCUAUUUGAAUGGGCAUUAUUUUUUUAUUUUCAAUUAAUUGAGUCUCUUUAAAAGAUUAUUUUUGUUUUUAGCAAACAUCUUAAUGCACUUUGCAAAUUGAAUCCAACAAGGGAAAAUUACAGAACUGCAACAGUUUUCAAAUUGAUUGCAUAUUAGAAGUAAUGUUAAUUUAUGCUGCAACAGUUCAAUGGGCUGGGCACAAGUUUAGGACUUUAGUUGCUCAAUUAAUGAAUCCACCACUCAUCGGACUUGGAACUUAUAUCAACUGAAUCAAUAAAAAUAGUUGACGUAAUCAAUACUGAAAGCUUCAUUUGAUUAAUAAUGAACUACAGACAUUUAUUUAUAACAUCUGCUAGAUUCUGGACAAUCACAAAUAUAUAGUAGCAGAAACUAUGUUAGAGACACUGUAGUUGCUUAAUUAGUGAAAUUGUGAUCUCGUUGCCCCCUUUUUUUGGUUGAUUCUAUAAUUUUAUUAGUUGUUCUUGUGGUUGUAAACAAUAUCAAUUUCUAAUAUUAAUAAAACUGAAUGAAUAAAAUGCGAUACAUUUGCAGGAAAGUUAAUAGUUUAAAUAUGGAUAAAUCUUGGAUGUUGAUGGAUAGAAGGUCUAAAGAAUAUGAGAACACGGUAAAUGAGUUUCUCAAGUUUAAUGUGUUAAUAAUUAUGAAGAACCGGUGUAAUUUAUAUGAUGUAGGAAGCACUUUAGGCAAAAUCAUCUGAAUCUCAAAAUUUCGUGAUAUUGUGCCAAAUAUCCAAAACAGAGCUUCCUACAUUGCUAUAGCAGUUUUUAAAAGUUGAGGACUCCAAAUAUCCAAUAACUGAUCAAUUCUGUUAAGAAAUAUAAAUAUUAAUGGUGAUGACACAUACGCAUUGAAUUCCUUCGUUUUGAGUUUGACUAAAAUAACCUGAAUAGUUUCAAACAAUCCAUCAGCCCAAAGUCCUUGAGAGAUUGAACUCGAGAAUAUAUAUAUCCAACAGGUAAAAUUUCAAAACACCAUUUGCCAAAGUCUGAUGAAGAGAAUACAUAUACACACACGCGCGCUCAUAUGUAUAACCGCACAGCAGAAGGAUAGAUAAAAUAAAUUGAAGUUUCAACAGUUGAACAAUGCAAACUCAUUUUAAAAAAGCAUUCUAUUGUUUAAUUAAAAAUUCGAAAGCCCAUCAUAUACAUGAUAAAGACUCACCGACACCGAACCAUAUUAAUUUAAAAUUGUUUUCAACUGAGAUUUGAAUUUUGAAAUUACAUACACCAACACGCCCGAUUUAAAAAACAAACUAAUAAUAAAAUAUUUAAGUUGUCUAUGUUCAGUCAUCAAAAACCAAUUUACGAUUUAUUUCAACACAAACACACCCGAUCUAUAAAAAAAAUCAAAAUAAUAAUAAAAUAUUUCAGUCGUCCUCUGUUGAGUCGUCAUCAAAAACCCAUUUACGAUCUAUUUCAACAAGAGGUAUAUGGGUUAACAAGUCCCAAUAUUGUCCUCCAUCCUUUCUGUACUUCUCUGCUAUUAACGGACAUCUAUGGAUGUAUAAACGCAAAAGUGAGGAAGGCAGGCCGUUCUCUGGAAAGUAUUUAAGCCUGGGACAAUUAUAGAGUUCCAAUGAAGUGAGGUUUUGAAGAUCAACAAUUGAAGAAGAUAGCCGUUCCAGAUUUGGAAAAUCUUCAAUCUGCAGAGAUGUUAGAGAGAGGCAGGAAGAGGAAGCGUGGUCCCCCAUCUUAUGUCCUCUGGUGGAAAUGACACCAUGUUGUCAUCACAUCCUGUGAUUCUAAGUUCACGCAGAGAGGAGAAGCUGUGAAAUCCCCGGCCCCACUCAAUCAUUGACUUCCAAAUCUUCGUAUUACCAUUAAUCUCCAGUGAAUGAAGGUUGGGAGGAAGGCCAUGUUCUUUGACGCUUGGAUGCUCACCUCCUAUAAUUAAUUGUCGAAGAGAGUUCAGAUUGUGCAAUCCCUUAGGUAAUGCCUCUAGUCUCCCACACUCAUACAUCAUGAGCUCAGUCAGUUUCGUACAAGGCAAUCCCCCUUCGGGAAACGACACCAGAUUUCCACACCCCUAAAAUCUAAUCUCUCGAAGCUGGCGGAGAUUAUGUAAACCACUCGGUAAAUUUUUCAGAUUUUUACAACUAAUGAUAGUGAUUGUUUCAAGAGAUGUGUUGUUGUCCAACCUUUCUGCUAUUGACUCCAGCUUGGAACAUCCCCAAACAAAAAGUGACUUAAGAGACGGAGGUAGAUUGCCAACUUCAAGGGACUCAAGCGUGGCAGGUAACUCGUUUUUUGAAAAUAUACAUGUCAGAGACGGACAACUCUCAAUGUGUAAGUGCUCAAGAAGAGAUGAGGUGUACCUUCUGCUGCUGCUACUCUGGAUGCCCUCUUCCACUGUCAAAGUCCUUACAUUAUCGCAAUUCCGGAUGACCAAGUUCUUAAGGCUCGGUGGUAGCUGGACUUCAGCAAUAUAUGUCAACGAAUGACAACGCGAAAUCGUCAAGAUCUCGAGAGAUAAAUUGGCGUCGCACAUCCAUGCCUCCGGUAACGAUUUCAGUGCAUCACAACGGUGAAUUGAAAUGCUCCUCACCUUGGAAGGCAGAGCAACCUCAGGGAAGGAAACAAAGGAACUGCAGUUGUAGAUUUCUAUCUCUCUCAAGGAGCUGAGGCUGAGCAAUGAUUGUGGCAGCUUCACAAGGCCUUUGCAAUCAUUUAAUAGCAGAUAUUCAAGUCUGCAUGACAACUCGCAGAGCUGUUGCUGGUCUUUUUCUUCCUCCGCCACCAAGGAUUGAAGUGUGGGACACCAUCCAAUCGUCAGCCUUUUGAGAGAGCUAAUGUCUUGCAGAAAUCCGUUAUGACUCUUCCAUAUAUAUGUUUCAUUUUUAAUAUUGCUUAUCUCCAAUUCUUCCAAUUUUGGUAGUCGCGGCUUCAAUGGCCCUGCAAGCAACACUUGAUUUAAUGUAUCGCUACAAACCACUGAAUUCUGUGACUCGAGAUGAUCAGUUUCACUUCUCCACACAACCUUUUUACAUCCACCAAUCUCUAAUUUGCAAAGAGCUGGAAGACUCGUAAUUGAAACUAACAAUUCUUCACAUCCUCCAAUAACAAGCAUCUCCAAUGCAGGAAGGUGUUCUGGAAAUGUUCCUUUCAGUUUAGAACAUCCUAUAACUUCAAGCUCUCUCAAUUUAGGAAAUCCUUCAACUCCCUGAGUAGAUCCAUGAGGAAUCCAGUCUUCCCAUUCUAGCAGGUUUUCAAAACGAAGAGUCUCCAAGCAUGGAAAAGGAAUUGGAGUAUCAUUCCCAUAGAACUCCGAACCCAAUCUCCUUACUCUGCUCAUUCUACGUACUGCAAGAUGCUUUAGAGAGGGUAGUUGCCCGACCGACGGCAGUGUGGUACACAUGCCACAAUCUUCAAAUUUAAGUGUUACUAAAUUUGAGAAUGAGGAAUCUCCUAACCAUAUUGGAAAUUUUGUACCUCCAUAGCCACUGAUAAAAAAUUGCUCCAGAUUUUUAUGGGGUUUCAGCAUGUCAAGCACGCCCUUUUGAGUUUCUGCCUCCCUUAAAGAUGAACCAUCGGUACUGUUUGUCCACCGAAGCAUUAACACUUUAAGGUUCUUCUUUCCAUCCAAUUGAGCCUCCUUGGCAUCACCAACGUAUUUUACGUUCUCCAAUUUUGAAACGGUAAGUGUCCCACGAAGAUGCGUCAACAACUUUAGCUCUCGCAACCGGGAACCACUGUCUUUUCCUACAACAAAAUUACACAAUGUCUGAAGACAAGUCAACUUGCCAAUUCCUAGUGGCAUUUCCUCCAACGAAUCUGUAUUUGAAUUAUUGAGAUGAUGCAAUUUGAUGAGAUUUCCCAUGCCUGCACACAACUUCCUCAGUCCCCGACAACCCUCCAACGAAAGGGUGUGCAAAUUGUAAAGCUUGUUGACUGAUUCAGGCAGAGUUCUAAUCUGAGUUCCAGAUAGGUUGAGGUACCUUAAAUACCUCAAAUCACCAAUUGAAUCUGGCAGCUCGGAGAUCCAAUAUCCACACAAAGAGAAGACCCUCAGGCGUUGAAGUUUGAACAACUUAGGAAGAAUGCUAUGAGCCAAGAAUCCUUGCGAACUAUUUGACAGACAUACUGGUAGAAAAGUUCGCAAAUGCUGGAUAUUGUACAAGUCUUCAAACCUUUUAACGCCAUCAUAUUUUCCACAGAUGCAUGAUAGAUGACGAAGAUUUUUGGAAAAACUUUGUUGUUUGUUAACCUCUGAAGUAUAAUCCAUUGUGAAGUAAAUUUCCCCCGCAGCCCAAUGGGCAAGGUCAUUGAUAAGAUCGUGCAUCACAAAUAGUGAUUUAUUGUUGCUUGAUUGCUGGAAAAAGGAUCUUGCACGUAGCUCUUGAAAGAACUUUCGACCUAGAUCUUCACAUGGAUUCUCGCUCUUCCGAUGAUCCAAGAAACCCACAGCACUCCACAAUAAAAUUAUCUCCUCCUCUUCAAAUUCAUAAUCAUUUGGAAACAAUGAGCAGUAUGCAAAGCACUGUUUCAAAGGUGCCGAGAGAUAAUUGUAGCUCACUCUAAGCGCCGGUAUAAUGUCACAUCUCUCUUCUGGUAAAUCCCAUAUGUUGCAACUGAGCACACCUUCCCAAUCACUUCGGUCACAUUUACCACGUAAGAGUCCACCAAGGGUUUUCGCAGCUAAGGGCAGGCCGUCGCAUUUGAUCACUAUCUUCUUGCCAAUUUCCUCCAAUGGCUUAUUUGAACUGAAAUCUCUUGUCCCCAAAGAGUGGUGAGCGAACACGGACAAACAAUCAUCAAUUGACAACUUUUUUAAUUGAUAAGCUGAAGCAGUCCCCAUUAUGGCUGCAACCUCUUGAUUGCGAGUUGUGACAAUAAUCUUACUUCCCGGUGCGCCAGCUUCAAACGGACGGCUCAUGUCAACCCAAUCAUUGUAACUCUCAUUCCAAACGUCAUCUAAAACAAGCAAAAAUUUCUUUCGAGACAACUGCAUCUUUAGCUCCUCUUGAAGCAAAUUUAAAUCACUAUUAUCAACAGUCUGCUUAGUAAUGGAGCUUAGAAUUGUUCUUGUUAGCCUGAUAACAUCAAAAUCAUCAGAGACACAAGUCCAUGCCUUGAGAUCAAAAUGACCCUGCACUCGAUCUUCAUUAUAGACAAGCUGAGCAAGAGUGGUUUUGCCCAGCCCGCCCAUACCUAUAAUAGGAAUAACUGAGAAUUCGCCAUCAUUUCUUAAAUCAUCCCUCAACAACAAUUCAACGAUUUCCUUUUUUUCUGUUUCCCUACCAUAUACCUUUGCUCCGUUCACCAAAGAGGUUGUGGGUAGUCUUUGCCUGACUUUUUUGGAUCUCCCCGCUGAACUUUCUUUCAAACCCAACGAGUCUUUCUGUGUUGCAACAUCUUGAAAUCUGUCGUUGAUCUCUUUGAUUUUGGACAUCAUGGUGUAAUCGAACUGAAUCGAUUGUGGAGUAAAAGUGGUGCAGCAAGUAGGAAUGAGCUUCCGAAUUCUGGUAUGACUGCUACUAGGUUGAUCAUGAGCCGCAACUGGUUCUCCAUUUCCAAGCAGCAACCUCCUCCGGAACGCCUCAGUUUGAAACUCAUCCAACAAGUCUUCAACAUCAUAAGCCAAGUUCUGAAGCUCGCCAAGCCACAACUUCACAGACUGAUCAGUCUUCUUCUCCUCAGCAUCAUCAAGCACCGCCUUGAUCAUCACCAACAUAUUCUUCCACUUCUUUAGGUCGGCCUGGAUUUGCUCUUGGCGUCCGAACAACCGAAUCCCCUCUGAAGCUAACUUAUUGACCAGCAAAUCAACGGACGCCGUAAGGAUUGCCUCUCCGAUGAUUGACAUUUUUUUCUUUUUUAACGCACAGAAAGAAACAGAAUUUUGAGUUUCAAAGAGCAAAAUGAGAAAAUUGAGCAGUAAGUGUGAAGGGUCAAGCAAAUUGCACGCAACAAGUCUUCCACUUGUUGUUUACUCUAGUAAAGUGCAAAUAGAAACGGAGCCCACCACCCAUUAAAAAUUUAGCGAUUCACCAAUCACCAGUCACCACCACUUGUUACCAGAUUAAAUGAAUGUAAAAUCGCACCUCGACAUUUGUAGGGUCAAGCAACAUUAAUCCAAUUGUCCGGGUAAAUGCUGAAUAAAGUGGACAAUUGGAUGUAUCUACUACGAACCUUCCCUUUACAAAUCUUCAAACUCAUAAACCAUGUUAAAAUGAAAAACGUUUCUCUCUUUCUCUCUCCCUUUCUGCCGUAAAAUUACUUUAUGGAUUGAAUUAAUUUCCAUGCUAAAACGAAGACUUAAAAGUACGAUACAAUUUUUUAUAAUAAUCCCAAUGGAAUUUCUACCGUCACGUUACAUUACUGUAGUGUCAAAAUAAAUUAUAAUAAAAUUUUAGCUGAACAUAAAUUCGACUCAUUUAUUAAAUAUAUAUACUUAAUAAAAUAACAACGAUAUUUUAUUACCUGGCUUCUCCCCAAAAAGAUAAUUUUCAAAAUUGUUCAUGGAGAAGUCUAUGUUGCAGAUUCUGUAACAUACGCACCCAAUGCAUGCACCACACUUGUUCUGUGCAUGGAGAAAAAGCAUGCAAAUGCUUUUGUUAGGUAGCUGGCUUAAAGCAGAAUCAGUAAGUUACAGAGUCUGUAACUUAGCCUGCUCCAUGUGAAAACAAAAAAAGUCCUGCCACCAAUAAUUCAGAAAGCUUCACUUUAUUACACGAAGGUGAAAGCAAAAAGCCAAAAACAGCCCCCACCACCAUCAAUAAUUUAGCAAGCUUCACAUGCUAGCGCCUGUCUACCUGACGAACUGCACACAGCACAUGGGUGGACCAAGCAUCAUUGAAUAGUUGUAAAAAAUAAAAAAUAAAAAAUAAAAAUCAGUGUCCCGCAAAAAGAAUCCAUCUUUAUGUGUUGAUAUGCACAUCUACCGAACAUCCAAAAAAUGGAAGUAGAAAUUGAAACUUACUUUUUUAGUUAUGGCUCAUAUAUAAUACAAGUAUCAAGAUUUAAGUAGAGUUCACAUAUACACAUGCGUCUACAAAAUUUUUAGGAAGUGAUAACUAAUAUGUUGGGAUAUAUAUUUGUGGGAAAUGACAAAUAUAGAGAAUAGCAGUAAAAAUGUUGGAAGUUUAAUAUAAUGAAAAAAGGUAAAUUGCAAAAAAUUAAUAUGUAAUUUAAAGCACAUUACAAAUUGAGUAAUGUACAUGGGUUAAGCAAAUAUACCUCAAUGAUACAAUGAGACACUUAUUUGUUUGUUUGCUUUGUGCAUCGACAAAAAUAAAUUAGAAUACUCUUUAAUGUUGCAAAAACAAUAUAUUGGAUAUUUGAUGCAUAAAAAAGAAAGUUAUUUGAUGAAAUUCAUUCUAGGAAAUAGAGCUAAGAAAAGAGCGGUGUAGGAUUAUCUUAUUCAUAUUUAAAAUUCUAAAUAUAUUGAUUUACUUAUCAUAGUGAUAUAAUAGUAAUUGUAAAUUAAAAAUAAAUUUAAUAUUAAAACAAAUAGAAUUUACUAAUAAAAAUAAAGUUAUAUAUCUUUUUUCGAAAUAUUUAAGAAUUUUAUGUCCUUUUUUUUUUCAAAACGUUUGGAGUGAAUUUCCAUUUCCCAUUAAGCAAAACCCACCGCAAAAGUGAAAAGAAAAAACAGAGCCCACUACAAAUCUAAAUCAGAGGAGCUCAUGAUCGUGCCUUUGCUUCACACACUAAAUUAAAUAAAAGCCGAACCAAGAAUUGCCUUUGCUUAACAUGAUUAAUUAGGCACUACAUCAAAGAGAACACGAAACCAAUGGACCCUUUUGUUAAUCUUAAAUGUCAGGAAUAUGAUUAGCUUGGAAUAAAGUUACAUACUUUCUCCUCCUCUUACUGUCUCUUUAUGUUCAUUUCAAAAGUUUGAAGAGAGUAUCAAUUCUUCUACACUUUAGAAUGUCAAUGUUCUUGCUUUCUUCAAAUGUUGAAUAAAGAGAAAAAAAAAUGUUGAAUGUAGAAGGAAAAUGGAAUGCAUCCACCUUCGCUUUGGAAGUCUUCUACUUAUAAAAGCAAGCUAAAUUAAAAGAUUUAAAUCUCUCUUUUUAUUACUAUAAGUGCACUGCAUUUUUUUUUUUAAAUAAUCACCUAUACAAAUUUGUAAUGUAAUGAAAUAUUCAUAUUCCUGUCGUGUCGAAAUGAGAUAAAAUGAAAUUUCAAAUAACACAAAUUCGACUCAUUUGUUAAAGGUAUAUACUUAAUAAGCUAAUAACAUAAUUAACAUAACGCUAUUAUUACACUAAAUGAAAUAAAAGACGGUAGCCACUAAAUGAAAUUUUGUUGUUAUUGUACGUUGAUUUAAUGGUUUGAUUUUCCACUAAAUGAAAUAAAGCCGUUAGAUUUUAAUUACGUUGAUUUAAUGGUUUGGAUUUAUAAAUGAAUAACGACGUGGUGUUUGGCUACCAUCUGAACCCACUGCAUCUAAUUGGUUUUGUGAUUUUUUGCUUUCUUCUUUGUAACGCUUGACUAUUUCUGGAAAUAUCGACCGCCAUCGACAGCAAAUCUGAACCAUGCAUUAUUUCUUAGUACUAAGAAAUAAAGUUUCCACCACCGUACCAGUAUGUCGAUUUGCGAAUACAUUCAUUCAAAUAUUAAACGUUCAGAGAAGAAAGCAAACCGUGGCAGGAUAGCAAAAACUGCGAAUGGUCAUUCCCAACACAAACCCCUAUGGCUGUUUUCCUUUUAAUUUUCUUCUUUGAAUUCUCCUUUUAUUAAUCAUUAGAAAACUCCCUUUUUUUUUUUUAAAUCAUGUGUUAUUAACAUUUACAUGGUUAAUGUCAUCGAAAUCAAAUGGUUGUUAUCUACGAAAAGAGAAUUGCUAGAAAUUUUGUUAGUCCCAUUGCAACAAUAUAUUGUUAUAAAUUGCAUUGUGUCCCAUAUAACAAAUAUAAUAAAAUCUCAAUAAAUUAAUAGUUUUGGGAACCAUAAAAAAAUUUAUUAAAAUUUAACAAAUAUCAAUUAAUCAGUAAAUUGAUAAAUUAUUAAUUUAUGAAAAUAUUCAUUAUUUUGAAAAAACAUGAUCACGUUUUUAAUAUUGAUUUACCCUGAGUUAAUAUCUAUUAUGUUUUAUUUGUCUAUUAGUUUUAUCUUGGGAAGAUUUUUUAAGAGUUAGCUGCUUUAUAUUAAGUUAUUAACAGUAAUAAAAUUAUUAGUUGAUACAGGCGAAUUUUCUGACCAAAAUCGUACAAAGAAGUUGAAAGUGUUUAUUUUUGUUAUUUCAAGACAUUCUAACAAACUAUAAGGGGUCACAAAAAGGUUGAUACGACGUAAAAUGUGGCAAGUCUUCCCACUUGUUAACAGUAAUAAAACUACUUCUUGUUCUUUUUGUCCUCAAGGGUCAAGCAAAAUACGACGUAAAAUGUGGCAAGUCUUCCCACUUGUUGUUCUUUGCAGCUAAGAAAAGAAAAACAAAUCCCGCAAUGGAGUCCCCUUAAGUGGCUUGCCUGGGUUUGCUCCCCAGUUCGAGUCGCAAGGAAGUCGCCUUUGUUGGGAGAACCUGUGUCCUCCAGUUCGAGCGGGGACUUCUAGUCUGAGUUGUGGUACGGGCUUAAAGGCGUCUCCCACAGUUGGGCCCUCCCCAGGAUACCUCGUGGUUAAGAAAAAAAAAAAAACAAGAAAAAAAGAGCCCGCCACCCAUUAAUAAUUUAGCAAUUCACCAAUCACCACAAAAUUCCAUUAGAUAUUCGUCGAUCAAGUAGUUAAUCCAGUGUCUGUUACGUAGAGCCUUCACUUUACAAAUCUUCAACUCAUAAACCAAGUUAAAUCAAGACGUUUCUCUGUAUAUAUAUAUAUAUAUAUAUAUAUAUUUUUUUUUUUUAACUCCUAAAACGUUUCUUUUUAGAAAUAUUUUACUUUAUUCAUCUAAUAUGUUAUCUAACAAAUAGACACAGAUGAAAUCACUCUAAAGUGAAGAUGAAAGGGGAAAAAAAAACAUUCCAACCACCAAUAAUUUAGCAAGCUUCACUUUUAUUCCACCAAAGUGUAAACAAAGCCAGCCCCCACCACCAUCGAUAAUUUUGCAAGCUUCACACGCUUGUUGUCUUCUCCUUGACGAACUGGACGUGGGUGGACCAAGAAUCAGUGAAAGAAUUUUAAAAAUAAUAAUAAUAAAAGAAAAACCUAAACAUUUUCGACUUAGAGUAGAACCGUAAUUAAUGCUAAAAUUUACUCCGCUAACGUUUUCAAAAUAUUGUUCUUUAUCAUUGUACAGCAAAUAAGACUAAGUUUUGGACAUUUUCAUUAUUCACUUACUUUCAAAAGUAGUAUUUCAAAACAUUUUACAUAAUCAAGUUACAGUUAUAUAACGAGAAAAGUGCAAAGUUGUGUAAUUCUAAUGUUUUUUUUAUCACAGACACUCAGAUCAUUUUUUAUUUGGGUCGCCAACUCGCCAAUGAACCCAUGAUUGAAUGAGUGUUUAGAAAGAAAAUCAAUAAAAAACAGUUUAUUUUUUGUCGUCGAAAUAUAGUAAGUGAGAAAGAAUAUUCUUUUUUUUUUUUGUUAGUAUUUAUGAUUGAGUGACUCAGAACUAUAUUUUAGAUUGAGAAUCAAUGGUUCUCCCACACUGAGAGGCUGUAAGUUUAAGAUUGUCGUUUGCUAUUUCAUCGACAAGAGAACACUUGAAUUUUAUUAAAAGGAGAAGGCCAUAAAGGUUUUCCUUUAUGAGAAAUGUAUCUGAUCAUUCAUUUUUACUUGAAAAUUUCAUAUAUAAAAACUCAUUAAUAAAUGACAGAAUAUGUUGAAAAGUCAUGCAUGUGGCAUCCAAAUUCAAGAAAGCAUGCAAAUUUCAAAGUGCUACCAAACAAUUGAAGAAAAAAAUGAAAAGUUGGCAAAUUUUGCAAAUUUGCCAAAUGGACACCAUUGACAAUUUGCUUAAGUUAGGUGGAAUAGUAGAGGGGUUGGUGCACUUCUUCCAUUUUAAUCAUCUCAAAAUUGUUAAGCUUAUAAGUUUCUAAGCUUUUGAGAGAAGUGAGAGAAGUGUGUAUGGGGAAUUUAUCUUUCCUGCAGAGUGUGAGAGUAUUGGGUAUAUUUGGGUUUCUGGGAAGUGAGAUUCGUUACUCAAAUAUUGUACUCUAUUAAUUGUUAAAUAAACAAUUAUUCUUUCUUGCCUCCGUGGAUGUAGGUUUAAUUACCGAACCAUGUAAUUCUUGUGUCCUUUAUUUUUCUAUAAUUAUUUGGUGCGCUUGAUUUCGCAUUCCGCGCACAACAAAAUAUACAUAAAUUAUUAAUUCAUUUGAUAGUUGAUUAUCGAAGGACAUGUGACCCAUGGGAGCAUGCAGUCUAUAAAAUAAUUCUUUUUUUAUUAAACAAAAAAUUGGUGAUGUUGAAAAGCAAUAUUAUUAUUAUUCUAAUUGGGGUGAACAUUCAUAAAAAGAAUGCCGUAUGAAACUAAAUUAUUAAUUCGUUUGAUAGUUGGUUAUCGAAUGACAUGUGACCCACAAUAAAUAGUUAAAUUUGGCGGCAACAAUAAUUACAAGACGAACUUAAAGCAGCGCAUAGUUUUUUCUUAAAAAUACAUAAACAAUUCGAUAUUUGAAAUUCUAAUAUCUCAAUAAUAUUGAUCAUGAUUCAGUUACCAAUUAGAUCCACUUACAAUUUCUUUUUUUCUUUUUUCUGGUUUCCAAUCUUUACCAAAAGAAAAUAUUUAGUGAUCCCUUUUAUCAACUUGGUUUUAUUGACUUUCUUCCAAUCAUAGAAGUGUUACCAGAUUCUGUAAAGACAAGAUCAGUGCCCAGCAAAAGAAGCUAUGUUUUCGUUUAUAUGCUGCUUCCUAUUUAGUACAUGCAUAUAAAGAUAUACACGUGCACAUGCAGCACAUCUAUCUAAAAUUUAAAAAACGGAAUUAGAAAUACAGGAUUUAUGGUAGAAAUACAACAGGAAUAAGAGUGAAAUUCCAAUUUUAAAAUUUGGGAGAAAUGAAAUGCGAUAUUUUUUUUAUUAAUAAAAUAAUUUAAUUUUUUUUAAUUCUACCAGCAAAAACCAUUAACUUAUCAAGUUAUUGGUUUCAUUCACAGUUGACAGUCGGUUUCUUAGUUUCAUUCCUUAAUUCUACAAGAAAAAAACAGAAUACUUGACAUUUUUUAUUUGACAGUUUUUAAGAAAUGUCAAACAUAUAUGACAUUUUGUGAAAAACUGAGUAAUUGUGAAAUAUAAAUGACAAUUUAUUUAAACGUCAAAUAAUUGUGACGUUUUAUCAAAUAAAUGAUAAAUAUAUUACAUAUUUAUUGAAUAAUUAUCAUUUACCUUUUCCUUUUAUUGACUUGAGAAAAAAAACAAAAACAUUGACUAUACUGCUUUUGUUUUCGUUCUUAGAACAGAUUUUAGUUUCUUUUGAGAAAAUUCAAACUCAUUCCCAUUACUUUCUUUUCAAUAAUCACCUCUCAGUUUUUCAUCAAUCACUCAAUUCCGAAUUUCAUCUCCAUUCUCUUUCGAAGAAGAACGCACAAAGAAUUUUAGCUUGCUUUCGCUGCUUCUCGAAUAUUGG
rnacentral:lncRNA from 1 species